AUCAAAUCGACAUUGGUGGGAAGUAAUUCCAGCUGUUUCAUUAGCUACAACAAUUUGUCUUAUUUCAUGUGUUUGUUGUGUGAACUUCCAGAAAUAAGGGUAAUGUUACGUGUUUAGUAAUUUAUUGUGCGAAUCUCCAGAAAUAAGGGCGUAUGUUUGUUUUCCCAUUUGUGUUUCUUUUUCAAGUGUCUGAACCUUAAAAAGCGAGGGCAUAAUGUUUACUCAUUUGUGUGCUUAUGGUUUAAUGUGGGGAUUCUCAUUCUCCUCAUUUUGAUGUUCUAUUUCUAUUACGAUUCUUUAUGUGGUUAAUUUGUUAUUGUGCGUACCGUAUAGUAAUACGGUUUCUACAUGAAUAUAUAUAAAUACAUGUGAAUGAGUAUAUAUAUAAAAAAAUCAAUUUAUAAAUUUAUUGAUAGAAUAUGAAAUUCCAAGGUGUAAGUAAAAGGAUAAAUCCUCUAGCUUUGAAAAGAAUUAGUGUUUGCCUUUGAGAUUGUAAUAUAUUUUUUUUCAGGUCUAUUCAAUUUAAUAUUUUUAAUAAUACAAAUGAAAAUAAACAGCAAAUUUAAUUUAUAAAUGUAACUAUCUCAAAACAAUGUAGAGAAGGAAGAAAGAUUAGUAGAAUAAAAAUAAAAUAAAUAGACUUUUAAAAAGCAAAGAGUUUUAAAUGUUAAAUUUUUUUUUUAUUUAAUAGACCCAAUUUUGUGUUUUUUUUUUUUUUUUAUAAAGAUAACUCUAUUUUAAUUCUGAUUUUUUAGCAGCACAAUUUUUCAUUCAUCAUAACACACACAUAAUAUUUUUUUUAAAUAGUUAACAUGUCAUAUUAACAUAACGGUAAGAUUAUAUUAUAAUGAUGAACAAGAAUGAAGAAUUAUACUAAAUAUAAAAUAAUAAAUCAAAAGCAUCAAUGAAAAAGAAAUCACCUUUCUAUUUAUUUAGGCUGUCUAAAGCUAAAACUUACUAGAUUAAUUUUAUCACACACAACAAUUAAUUAGUCAUUAAAUUUGGACUAUUGUUGAAAAAACAUGCUAAAUACAACAUCAUAAGCCCGAUGGGGAUAUGAACUUAAGCAACUUCUACCCAAAAAAGUGAGGAACAAGUGCCUCAUGGGGAUUAACCUCCUAAGGGACAGAGUUAGCACAAUGAGAUUUUAUCACAUAUUAUUUGUUUAAGAUUUACCAGACUUGUAUCUAAUGAGAUUCUCGUUAUAAAAUAUAUGUGUGUGAGGAGAGUAGUUCAUGAAACUUGAUCAAAGAAAUUCUUUUUUGUAAUUUCACAGAGGCUCGUCUGAUGCAAAAAGGGUUGGAAUCUGAUAAUUGUUGUGUUCAUUGUGGAGCUGUUGGGGAGUCUCGUGAACAUGUACUGGUCCAUUGUUCUUAUAUGAAUGUUAUUGUAAAAUACUAUAUAUGUACGAAUGUGAAUGAGUAAAGGAUAAAUCCUCCAGCCUUGAAAAAAUUAGUGUUGAAAAAAUUAGUAAAGGAUAUGUACUGAUAAUUGUUGAUUUCAUAUUCCCUUUAAGAGCUUGUACGUAGUUGAUUGUAAUUUUUUUUCUCAAAUUUAUUAAAUAUUUUAUUUUUGAUAACACAACAACAACUAACUUUAUAAACGUAACUCUUUCAAAAUAACGAUGAGAAGGAACAAAAAAUUUAAUAAAAACAAAGAGUUAAUGUUAAAAACUUUUUGAAAUUGUCUAUUUUUUAUAGUUAAUUUAGAAUUAUUUUAAUUAAAAAAAUAAACCGUUAUUUAACAUAUACAUCUAUAUAUUUAAACAAAACAUAACUCUAUUUUAAAAUCAAUUUUUUAGCAAACACAUUUUUUUAGCAAACACAAUUUUUCAUUCAAUGUAACAUGUAAUUUUUUUAAGAAUCGUUAACGUGUCAAUAUUAACAUACCAGUAUGAUGCUAUUAUAAUGAUCAACAAGAAUGAAGAAUUACAACGAAUAUAAAAUAAUUAGUAUAAUUGUUUAUGUUUUGCAAUGGAUUAAUAAUAAUUUUUUAAAAAUAUAUAAAAAAAUAUUAAAAAUAUAAAGAAUAUUUUAAGUGUUUUGAGUCAGACGAAUAUACCAGACUCGAGAGUUUUGGAUCUGACAACCCUUACAUAACCUAAGUAAACAACAAACAAAUAGAAAAUAAAUAUGUAUUUUAAUUGUCAAGAGAGAGAAAAAAAAAAGCACAAAUAGUCAAAGAAAUAUUUAACAAAAAGAUAAGAUGAGAAAUUAAAAAUAAAACUAGUAUUAUAAUUUAUAAUUAAAUAUUUUUUGAUCUACAGUAAUUUUCAUAUACUUGUUAUAAUAAAUCAAAAGCAUCAAUGAAAAAUAAACUUCUAUUCUAUUUGGGCUGUGUAAACCUAAACCAACUAGAUUAAGCCCAGAAUGCAUUUUUUAUCACACUGCAACAGGUAGUCCAGUAAAUUUGGAUUAUUGCUGAAAAAACAAGCUAAAUCCAACAUCAUCAGCCAGGCCCACAAUUAAACCAAAAUAGAAACCCAAAGCAAGAGGCCUAUAACAGGAUGUAUCUACUGAAGCCACUUCUCCCUAAAAAAUGGAAGGAAAAAAAAAAAAAAAACUAGGCAACUUGUGAGCCAUCAUGCAUAGCAAAGAGGAAGUGAGGAACAAGUGCCUCAUGGGGAUUCAGCUCCUAAGGGGCUUUAUCCUUCUGGAGACAUGUCUUAUAAGCUAUGAAAAUAGGACGAGAAGGAAUAAUUAUUCCUUACCUGUUCGUUUAUCAUAUUCCAAAUAAUUCGUUGUAUUAUUCCGUUGAUUGAUAGCUUCUAAGACAUGUCUCCAGAAGGAUAAAGCUGUUCAAGCAGGUCUGAACUUUCUCUCUAGCUGGUCUGCUUCUCGGUUUACACCAGCACAUACAGCAAUUCAUCCUAAUUUGCUUAAAUGGGAGAAACCUCCUCCUGGUUUUAUCAAAUGCAAUAUAGAUGCAGCAGUUGACAAUAAUCAAGAGGCUGUGGGAGCAGUGUUUGUCUUGCAUGAUGAGGAGGUGGCUUUGAUAAUGCGUGGCUGCUGGCAUGCUAAUGAUGUUUUUUUCCCAAAGUUAGCAGAGGUAUUAGUUUUGAAAGGGUUUUCUUUCAUCAUAUAUAUAUAUAUAUUGGUAUCACCCUUGAAUAUUAACCAAAUAUAACCUAAAUAACCUAAUUUUUUUUUCAUUUAAUUUCUGAUUUUCUGAAAGCAUUUGAUUAUUACAACAUAAAAUAGGAUAAAAGUUGAAAAACAAAAAGCACCCACACCUACAUAAUAAAAUGGGCUAAUUGUAUGGUCACAAUCACAUUAGCAUUAGCAGAUGUCGGCUAUAAAUUACAAAAUCAAAAUAACCUUAACCAAAAUUGAUUACCCCAAAUUAAUUUUAAAAUUAGAUUUAUUUAACUUAUAUCUAAAAUUUAUUAAUCUGAAUUUCUCCCUAUAAAAAUAUAUGGAACCUGAUAAAAAAACAAUUUCUUCUUCAAUUUUUUUAAUCAUGAUUUGUAAAUCUUGAUAUAAAGAAAAUGAGGAAUGAAUUUCUCAUGACUCCAACAAAGUAUAUGUUCAAGCCUCAUUCUCAAUGUGGAGGGGCGAGAGUAUUAAACUUCAGGAUUAAAAUAUUAUUUGGUUAUUAUUUUGAGAUAAAAAAAUAUAAAGAUAAUGGAAAUAUAAAAGAUAUGUCUUUAUAUAUUUUUUAUUUUAAAAAUAUAAAAAAAAAUUAAAAAAAUUAUUCCCAAAAAAAAUUAUUUUAUGUAGCUAUUUUCAUCUUCACCAUCAAACACAUUUUCAUCACUCCUGUAUUUAUUUAUUUUGUUUUAAAAUAUUAACUAAAUACAGCUUAAUUUUUAAAUCUGAGUUUAUAAAAAAAAUAUGAAUAUCACAACAUAGGAUAAAAGUUUUAAGAAGAAACACUCACAACAACAACAAUAAUAAUAAUAAAAUCUUUACAAAUUUAUGCUAUAAAUGACAAAAUAAAAAUAACCUCAACAAAUCUAGUCCUAAUUUUACAUUAAUCCACAAGCAAGUUGUUAAUUGGUGGCUCAUUCCAGACUGUCAAGUCAAGCAUUGAACCUUGAACUUUUCAAAUUGCAUUUUCGUUUUCAAUAUUUUGUUCCAAAUUGCAUUUUCCCUUUCAUUUUUUUGUACAUUGAUUGAAUGGUACAGUCCUCAUUUUCAUUUACUUUUGGAAAUAAACAAAAAAUUCCUUUCAAGUUUCAAGUUACUAAACGACGUGCAGCUCAAUCAAUGCCUUCAUUGCCUACGGCCUUUAAAAAAUCAACUCAUUAGUUAGUUUCGUCCUUGGCUCGCUUAGAACGACAUCCACCCGAAUGUUUGACAUGUGGCACUUGAAGAUCAGAUUAAGAGAAUGUUAGAUGUUCAAUUAAUCUUUUAAUUAUAGAAAUUUAAAAUUUGUUUUAGAUAAAAUGAUUGGUAGGAGAUAUCUAGUAAGUUAAAAUGACUGAUGUCUAAACUGCUAUGAUGAUAAGUAGUUGUUACUUGCAAAUUUGAUGUGAGUAUUCUUACAUGUUUAAGAAAGAAUUCAUAUAAAAAGAAAAAAUAUAAUAAUAUUUUAAAGAGAUAGACUCUAAAAUUAUUAAAAAUAAAGAUAUUAUUAACCUUAAACUUUGAAGAUUCAUUUAGUAUUUAUAACUCACAAAUCUUGUCUUUUAUGAAGAGAAGAAGUUGAAAAAUAAUUUUAUCCUUGUGGUAUUUUGAGUUUUAUUUCACUCAAAAUAAAAUAUUGUAAAACUCGUAUGGGAUCUUGAAAAAAUUAAUUUGAUUGUGGUAUUUUGAGUUAUAUUUUACUUAAAAUAAUAGUAUUGAAUCAAUAUAAAAUAUUGAGACAUUUAUGUGGGAUCUUGAAAAUAUUAAUUUUAUUUUUAUGAUAUUUUAAAUUAUAUUUUACUCAAAAUAAUAUAUAUUAAUUUAAUAUAAAAUAUUAAAAAACCUGUGUGGGAUCUUAAAAAAAUUUGAACGGAGAGGUAGUUCCGACGAGUUACUUAAGUUUGUUACAAGUGAAAAAUAGAUCAACACGUGCUACAUAUCCACACGUAUUGUCUAAACCCACACAUAUUGGAUUCAAAAUAUACGCUAAAGCCCAUAAAGAAGCUGGGAUGUAUGCGGAAAGGUAUAUGGGUCAAGGCAGCGUCUGGAUUCAAGGGCAGUUAAGCUUUGGGAGGUUUUUUUAUCCCAUUAAAUUUUGGUCUAAAGCAGAUAGAAAGUUAUUGUUUUGUUGAUAGUUAGUCCUUUUCUUUUAUUGACUUGGUUUCUUUGGGUGUUGACUAGUUAUUUAUGGUGAAGUGAUAAUCUCUUUUUUUGUUCUGCAUAUGGUAAUGUGGUGUGAAAUGUUUUUAUAAAAAUAUUUUUUAAUUAAAAAUGUAUUAAAAUAAUUUUUUUCCAUUAAAAACAAACUUUAAAAUCAUUAAAAAAAAUACUUAAAAAAUUAAAUUAACAACAUUAAUUUAAUAUUUUUUAAAAUUAAAUAAAAUUUCAAAAGUAAUUAAUUUAAAUCACCUAUUAAAGCAGAAGGAACAUUUGUGCUUGAAUCCUGAGAUAAUUAAGUAGGAAAAUUUUGCAUUUUAUGAAGUUGUUUUUUUCUUAGUUAUGAUGAUUUAUUUUCUUGGAGGUCCCUAAAGUGGAAUAUUAAUGGUCCCAAAAUUUACAAAGUUUUCCUGCAAUCAAACAGUGCCCUUUUGAAAUUGCUCAAUUAUUAAUCGCUUGGUGUUUUCUUGACAACACAUUACUUUAAUUUUGUGGUUGAUUAGAGCUCUAUCUUCAAAAGUUUAAUCUUCAAAUCUUCUUCUAAAUUCUUUAAUUUUGCUCUCAUAUUGAAUUUAUGAAAAUGUUAUCUUUUUUUAUAUAUUGUUAAAAUGAUGUCAAGUCUUAAAGACUGUUAGCCAUGUGUUCCUAAUUAACUUCUGAUAUUUUGUAUUAUACCUCAUACAUAAUUGCUGGAAGAUAAAAUAAUUUAUUUUUUAUUCAUGUUUAUUAGCUUUCUAUCUAUUAUACAUGCAAAAGUUUAUCUUAUAAUACUUUUAACCAAACGUAUUUUUAAAAAAAACCCAACUAAAAGUGUUUUUGUUAAACCUAUUUUUUUAAAUCGCAACUAUAAAUGCUAUCGUUAUUGUAUGUUUGGUAAUGUGGUGUAGAAUGCUUUUACAAAAAUAUUUUUCAAUUGAAAAUGCAUUAAAAUAAUUUUUUUCAAUUAAAAAAACACUUCAAAAUCAUUAAAAAUACUUCAAAAAUUAAAUUAAUAACAUUAAUUUAAUAUUUUUUUAAAAAAUCAAAUACAAUUUAAAAGGUAAUUAAUUUAAAUCAAAAAAUUAAAUUAACGAGUUUUUCCUUUAUUUGAAAGGGAAGGGCUAAACGAUAUUUGUGUAUUUUCUUUGCACAAUGUGAUUAUUUAAUUACCCUUGGAAAACAAAGAAAAUCACUUGGGUCUAGGGGCUUAUUAGUCUUUGACUUGAUUUUUCAACAAGUAUGUUACUUCAUUGUCCUUAAAAAUUUAAAACAAUUAUAUGACUCUGAGGCUCUUUUAUCAUUUAGAUGUGGUCAUUUAGUAGUUAUUAGGUGUCAUUGGAGACAAUAAGAUAAUUUAGUAAAUAAGAAAAUUAAAUUAAAAAAAUAGAAUCAAGUGAACAAUGUUUGCCACCUCCGAAUGAUGUGUGCGGCAUCAUCCAAUACCCAAAAUGGUGAUUCCAGGGAGGCUUCUGAAGGAUCUCAAUGUCCCCCUACAAAUCAACGACGCGUGUAGCACUAUAGCGGUUGGUGGGACGUGUGUGGCCUUCUGUUUUUUUUCUUUUCCCGUCUCUCCUACUCGAUUUUCGUGUUGGGAUUAAAAAAUCAAAUCAGUCCCUAAAGUUUAUUGUACUUAUGAUUUCAUCCCUUUUCUCUUUAUUAUAAUUUUUUAAAUUUAGAAUACUUUAUGAAAUUAUGUGGUUUUUUCAAUUUCAUAAUUGUUCUCUUUGUUGCCUUUUUUUUUUUAGAAUAGUCUACUAAAUUAAGAAAUGUUUUUAAUUUUAGAUGGUUUUCACAAUAUUUUUUUUACCUUGCAAGAUUUUUUUAUUAUGUCAUCCUCCAACAUUUAAAUAGCCUGGUCUUUAGCUUUUUAGUUGAGUCCGGGUCUAAAAUUUAACGGUUUGUUGGUUUAAGAAAUUGACCCCGGUUUCUUUGUUUUUUUUCCAUCCUCCAACAUUUUGUUAUUUUUUAGUCUUUUUUAAAAUAAUGCAGGUUGCCUUGGUUUUUUUUUUUUUUUUUGUCUUUGUUGAAUUUAGUUUUAUGAAGGAAUUUUAUUUUUAAAUUGAAUUAAAUUGAUUGAUUUCAUCUUCUAACAUUUAUUUUUUUAGGUGUUAAGCUCCUACAUUGAGCCUGAGUCAAAAAUUUAAUGGAUUACGGGUUUAAGAGUUUAACCCGAGUUUAUAGGAUUCACGCUCAAGCUUCUUUGGUGUUUUAUUUCUUUUUUAAGCUGUUUUCUUUUUUCAUAUUUCAAUCUCUAACAUUCUUUUUAUGUUUUUUUUUAUUGGUAUCUCCCUUGAAUAUUAAAAAAAUAUAACCUAAAUAACCUAAUUUUUUUCAUUUAAUUUCUGAUUCUCUUAAAGCAUUUGAUUAUUACAAGGAUAAAAGUUAAAAAAACAAAAGGCACCCACACACCUACAUGAUAAAUCGGCUAUAAAUUACAAAAUCAAAAUAACCUCAGCCAACAUUGAUUACUCCAAAUUAAUUUUAAAAUUAGAUUUAUUUGACAUAUAUCUAAAAAAAAUUAAUCUGAAUUUCUUCCUAUAAAAAAUAUGUGAGCAGAGUAUUUCAUGAAACCUAAUAAAAAUAAGAUUCUUCUUCAAUUUUAUUUUUUUAUCAUCAUUUGUAAAUCUUGAUAGAAAAAAUGAGGAAUGUAUUUCUCAUGCCUCCAAACCUCAUCACUCCUAUAUUUGUUUAUUAUCUCCUAAAUACUAACUAAGCACAACCUAAUUUUUAAAUCUGAAUUUUUUAAAAGCAUUUAAUUAUCAUAACAUGUGAAUAAAAAUUUGUGCUCCAAAUGACAAAAUAAAAAUAACCUCAACAAACAUGAUUAGUACUAAUUAAUUUUUACAUUAAUCCACAAGCAAUUUUUAUUAUUGUUCGUGUUAUUUUUGACCUGUCAAGUUAAUCGAGUCAUAUUGUGUCAACUUUCAUGUUUUUAUUUGUAUUUAAAAUUUGAAUGAAAUAAUUCCAGGUUAAUUUAUUUUUAAAUUUAAAUUUAAAUUAUAUUUAUUAAAUUAUAUAUAUAACCCCAAAAAAACAUGCCAAAAUACCCCAAUAAAAAUCAAUGCAGAGCCUUAAUAUACGUACGGGACUUGUUAUAGAUUUCUUUAAAUUGCUUGAAAACGACUCCGAAGUCCAUGCCAUGUACGCGAAGAAAAAGUGACUCUAGAGACAAGGCCAUCUAAUUAAUUAGGAAACAUUUAUUAUCUUUUACGGCAUUAAAAAUGAGCAGAAGGAGGACUCACUGUAACCCUUCUUAUAAUUUUUUUAUCCACCGUAAUAAUUAUUUUGUUAUUCUUAUAAAAUAUAAAGAUAUUUGUUGUUAAUUGUAAAUUUGGUUGAGAGUAGUUACUGUUAUCUAUUUUUUUUAAUUUUCUAAACUAAAUAAAAAAAUAAACACCAUAAACAAAAAUAAUUUUCUAAAUUAAAUAAAAAUAACUAAAAAAUAAAUAAUUUCCCCUAACAAUCCUCGUGUACUUAUCCUGAGUUAUUUAAUUGUUUGUCUCUAGCUACUGGGGAGCACCGCCAUGAAAAGUUGUGUGAGUGCCUUUGCGCUUCAUGGAUUUCUAACAUAUAAUCAUCCGACUCAGAUAAAAUAUGCCAAGAAUCAGUCCCACUCUCCACUACCAAAUCAUUCUUUAUUGAUGAUGUUUGGACAGUACUGCGGAAGAAGAUGAAGUUCUAGAAUCUAAAUUAUAUUUCUAUCGCAAAACCAUAUAUCAAAUCGAUGUAUGGACAAGUGAAUUCGCAUCAGAAUCCCAUGCAACUUUUCAAACGAGCAGCUAACUCUUUAGAAAUAUUAUAUUGAUAAUUGGCAUAUUCAAAAGUGUACGAGGAUCGAUGACCAAUCUUCAGGUUACUUUGAAAUUCAACAGUUAUAGAAAACAAUAUAGCCCUGAAGUCCAGCUUUAGGUGCAUGUUUUCUGCCUUCUGCACAUAUUUAAAACAAUCGCAUUAUCAGUAUGAACAAAAAGUCGCAUUAUCUUCGCUCUUUUCUCCAAAUAUUUGACACACGGGAAAAAUAAACCUAGUUGUUAAUCUAUAGCAUACCUAAAACCAUCUUCUUUGCGUAAAAAUACAUCAGUCAUGCUAAAACGUCCUGAUACUUUAUCAAAUAGAUAAUAAAUUUAUAUUUUACCAAGUAUAAGAUAUCAGUAAGCCACCUUUUAUUCAUAAAAAAAGUCUACCAGCCACCUUAGUGUUGGUAAAGGCGAAUCGAGAGUCAACAUUCAACACUACAAAGUACAAACUACUCAAUUUAAUGGAAAGAAAAAACAAAUAAAAAGUACACAUAUAAGAUUUAAUGUGGGUCAUUAAGCAAAAUUCUAUCUACUCGGCAGACCUAGAGUAACCAUUCUUUACUUGAGAGGAAAUAUAAGAAUAUCAACGUGAUUUUUAUACUUGAAUAUAAAUUCCAAAACUUCUUUGGUAAACCUACUCACUCACUCAAAAGAAAAAAAUUUGAUGAACAAGAAAGAAAACAGCUUGGUGACUAUUCUCAUAGGCAAAGCCAUGAUGAUUCGUAGAUAAGGGGGAUACAAAUAAAAAUACUAUCCCUUCACACAAAUUUAUGUAUAACUUUUUUAUACAUUUCUAAGAAUUAUCUUUAUAAUUAAUUGCUUAUUAUUAUUUUUAUUUAAAAUAGUUUUAAAAAUAAAAGAAAAUUGAAACUUAAGAAACAUGUUUAAUAAAAAUAAAAAAGGUUAACGGACGCAUGUUAUGUGAUUCGAAGAGUUAUUAUUCUGUCUUAUAUAACAAUGCUAUAACAAAAGGCUGAUAUUAAAUAUAUUACCAUCGAUAGUAGUUUAAGAUUUACCAGACUUGAAUCUAAUGAGAUUCUCGUUAUAAAAUAUAUGUUCUUAUUCAUAGAGUUUAUAAAGGUUAUUACCCUUUUUUAUAUUGUUGAAAUGAUGUCAAAGUCUUAAAGACUGUUAGCCAUGUGUUACUAAUUAACUUCUGAUUUUUUGCAUUGUACGUCGUACAUAAUUGCUGGAAGAUAAAACAAUUUAUUUUUUAUUCGUUUUUUUUUUAUCUAUUUUACAUGCAAAAGUUAUCUUAGAAUACUUUUAACCAGAUAUAUUUUAAAAAAAAACCGCAACUAAAAGUGUUUUUGUUACAUUUAUUUUUUCAAAUCAUAACUAUAAAAGCUAUCAUUAUUGUAUGUUUGGUAAUGUGAUGUAGAAUGAUUUUACAAAAAUAUUUUUCAAUUAAAAAUAUAUUAAAAUAAUUUUUUUCAAUUUAAAAAACACUUCAAAAUCAUUAAAAAAUACUUAAAAAUUAAUUAACAACAUUAAUUUAAUAUUUUUUAAAAUUAAAUACAGUUUCCAAAGUUAUUAAUUUAAAUCAAAAAAUUAAAUGAACAAGUUUUUCCUUUAUAUUAUACUAUAUACUAAAAGAUAGCAGCCUUUCAUUGUGGAUUCGUAUAGUGAAAGACUAAAGGCUGAUUUUAUCCUUUAGUGAGCAAAGUAGCAUGCCUUGAAUUUAGAGAUAUAAUGGUUUUUUUCAUGGGAUACAUUGGUCAUUGUUUCAAAGGGAAGGGCUAAAUGAUAUUCUUGCAUUUUCUUUGCACAAUGUGAUGAUUUAAUUACCCUUGUAAAAAAAUCUUGGGUCUAGGGGGCUUAUUAAUCCUUGACUUGAUUUUUCAACAAGUAUGUUACUUCUUUGCCCUUGAAAAUUUAAAACAAUUAUCUUUGACUCUAACGCUUUUUUGUCAUUUAGAUGUGGUCAUUUAGUAGUUAUUGGGUGUCGUUGGAGAUAAUAAAAUAAUUUGGUAAAUUAAAAAAAAAACAGAAUCAUGUGAACAAUGUUUGCCACCUCCGAACGGUGUGUGUAGCGUCAUUCAAUAGCCAAAAUGGUGAUUCCAGGGAGGCUUCUGAAGAAUCUCAACCCCCCCCCCCCAAUGAAUCAAUGACGCGUGUAGCACUAUAGUGGUUGGUGUGACGCGUGUGACCUUUUGUUUUUUUCCCCUCUCUCCUACUCGAUUUUCAUGUUGGGAUUAGAAAAUCAAAUUAGUCCCUAAAGUUUAUUGUACUUAUGAUUUCAUCCCUAUUCUCUUUAUUAUAAUUUUUAAAUUUAGAAUACUUUAUGAAAUUAUGUGAAAUUAUGUGGUUUUUUCAAUUUCAUCUUUAUUCUCUUUGUUGCAUUUUUUUAAUUUAGAAUAGUCUACUAAAUUAAUAAUUGUUUUCAAUUUCAGAUGGUUUUCACAAUUGUUUUUUUUUUUCAAUUUCAUUAUUUUUUAGUUUUUUUCCUAUUAAAUCUAAUCUUUUUUUAUUAUUGUAUUUUUUUUGACCUUGCAAGAUUUUUUUAGAUUGAUUUUUUUUUAUUAUGUCAUCCUCCAACAUUUAAUUAGCCGAGUCUUUAGCUUCUUAGUGGAGUCUGAGUCUAAAAUUUAAUGGUUUAUUGGUUUAAGAGAUUGACCCCAGUUUCUUUGUUUUUUUUUUCCUUUUUUUUUCCAUCCUCUAGCAUUUUGUUAUUUUUUAAUUCACUUUAUAUUGUAUUUUUUAGUCUUUUUAAAAAUAACGCAGAUUGCCUUGGUUUUUUUUUUUUUUUGUCUUUGUUGAAUUUAGUUUUUAUGAAGGAAUUUUAUUUUUAAAUUGAAUUAAAUUGAUUGAUUUUAUCUUUCAACUUUUAAUUUUUUAGGUGUUGAGCUCUUGCGUUGAGCUUGGGUCAAGAAUUUAAUGGAUUGCGGGUUUGAGAGUUUAACCCGAGUUUAUAGGGUUCACUCGGGCUUCUUUGGUGUUUUGUUUCUUUUUUUAAUCUCUUUUCUUUUUCAUAUUUCAACCUAUAACAUUCUUUUUUUACUCUCUUUUUAUAGGAUUUAUCUUUCUUUUUUAAAAUAACAAGGGUUGCCUCAAAGUUUUUUCUUUCAAUCUUUGUUAAAUUUUGCUUCUUUAAAAGGAUUUUUUAAUUAAAUUAAUUUUUUUAAUUUCAUCCUCGUGUAUUUAAAUUGAGGCAAUACAUGAGAGAAUUUUUUUUUAAUUAAGUUUUUUGAAAAUUGGUAUUUGUUUUUCCAUUUUUUUCUAUAAAGUUAUCCUGAUAUUAUGUCUCAAGUCAUCGAUUCAAUAGAUUUACCAAGUUUGACUUAGGUAUUUUUUUCAUUUCUUUUUAUUUGUUUUAUCUUGAGUCAAUGAUCAAAAUCUUAAUUUUUUUUAAAAAAAAUGCAUCGUCAUAGUGUUUUUUUUACUUGGUUUUUUUUUUCUAAAUCUAUAUUUCUUUCUCUAUUUUCAUACUUCAACAUUUAGUUUAUUAGAGACCGGGUUUAAUAAUUUAUUGUAGUUUGCUUUAUAUAUGGUUAGUUCAGUUUCUUUAUACGCUAUAAACUAAAAGAGGUGGUGAAUUUACUAUUUACCGCCUCACAAAACACUAUUCAUUCCAAUAAUAUUUUUUUAAUUUUGUUUUUUGUUUUCUAAAUCUAUAUAUUAUUUCUCUAAUUUCAUAUUUCAACAUUUAGUUUAUUGGAGACUGAGCUUACUAAUUUAUAAUAGUUUGCUUUAUAUAUGGUUAGCUAAGUCUAAUAACUCGUAUUACGGGUUUGACGAGUUAGCUCAAUUUUUUUUUUUGUCUUUUUAUAAUUGGUAUUUUUUAAUUUUAUCAUUCAAUAUUGGGUUAAUUAUGAAUUAAGCUUCAUGAUUUAUUUUGAUUUGUUUUUUAUGAGGUUAUCCUGGUUUUAUGACUCAGGUCACGUGUUUUACGAAUUAAGUCGUGUAGACUCAGGUCUUUUAUUAUAUAAUAUUUUUAGAUUGAUUUUUUUUUUCAAUUUCAACCUUAAACAAUAAGUUUAUUGAAAAUUAAGAUUUAUAAUUUGUUUUGAUUUACUUUUUAUAAAGUUAUCACAAUCUCAUGACCUUGGUUGCGGGUUUGGCAAGUUAAUCUAGGUUGAGACUCACGCUAUUUUUUUUGUUUACUUUCUAUGAAAAAUUAAAAUAGUUUAGUAAUAAAAUUAAUAUAAAAAAUAAAUUGGGUGCAAAAUUGAUAACACCCAUGUAGUUUAAUGGUAUAUUUUUUUUUUAAACAAAAGGCUAUCAUUUUGAAAGUUUUAUUAAAAAGUCAUGUUUUUAACAAUCAUUAAGAUUGUAUUUUGAUCCAUAAAAUCAAUUAAUUUAAUUUAAGUUAAAUUUUACAUGAUUUAAUUAAAAACUUGAGUUAGAUAAAAAAAAACUAAAUUAUAAAAUUAACUUAUUAAAUCAAUAAUAUAAUUAAAAGAUCUUCAUGCUUUUAAUAUUUUUUUACAUUUAAAAAAAAUUAUCCAAUGAAUAACAGUUCAAUAAACUAGUAGAAGUUAGAUCAUGAGACACUCACAUCAGCUGAACUACUUCAUGAUUGAUAUGUUUUAAAUUAGCAAUUAAAAUAUCAAAGGAUUUCUGGGACACUCCCAAUGAUAUUAAUUUGUAAAAUACUUAAUUUUUUUAGGUAAUUGUAACAUAAAUCCUUAAUUGAAAAAUAAAAAUAGUUUACUAAUAAAAUUAAUAUAAAAAAUAAAUUGGGUGCAAAAUUGAUAACACCCAUGUAGUUUAAUGGUAUUUUUUUUUAAAAAAAGCUAUCAUUUUAAAAGUUUUAUUAAAAAUUAAGUCAUGUUUUUAUCAGUUAUUAAAAUUAUAUUUUAAUCCAUAAAAUCAAUCAAUUUAAUUUAAGCUAACUUUUACAUGAUUUAAUUAGAAAGUUAGAUAAAAAAAACUAAAUUGCAUGAUUUUAUAAUUAACUUAUUAAACCAGAUUUAAUAAUAUAAUUAAAAGAUUCUUCAUGAUUCUUCAAAAUUUACAUGAUUUAAUUAGAAAGUUAGAUAGAAACUAGAUCAUAAGACACUAACGUCAGAUGAACUACUUCAUGAUUGAUAUGCUUUAAAUGAGCAAUUAAAAUAUCAAAGGAUUUCUAGGAUACUCCCAAGAUGUUUAAUUAUUAGAGGGUUAAUUUUAGUUCCCUGAUAUCUUCUGAUUGUUGCUGGUUGUAGAUUUCCUCCUUCUUCCAUCUUGAUGACUGCUACUCAUAUCAAAGGAUUUGCAAACUAAAUUCAUGUUUUUUUUUUUUUUUUUUUUUUUUUUUUUUUUAAGUUGAAAAUUCAGUUGAAUCAACCAGAUCAGAUCAGAUCAGAUCAGAUCUAGAUUUAAUCAACUUAAUUUUAUUUGAAAAUGACAGGGAAUUGACAUUCUUAACUUUAUUUGUUUGUCAUUAUCUUUAUAUUAUGCUUUUUAUCUUAAUUAUUUCAUAAAAUUGCAUUUUUAUGGGAAUUGCUGCUUUAAACUCAUAAGUGUAAACUAUUUUGUUUCAAUGUAUUCGUUAGAUCGGUGGUAUGCUAUCUUUCACUAAUGAAAUUCUGUUUAUUGGUUUUGAGAAGAAAAAAAAAAGUAUUUCUAUCUUUGUUUUAUGGAAAAAGCACAUAGAUCCAAGAACUAGAUAUAACAAAAGAUAUUCGAGGAAAUGAGUGUUUAAAAUUAGAUAAAGCUGUUGUGUAAAUAAGCGUAUGAUGCAGAGAUAGUCAUUACAGAUUUUAGUUGGCUAAGAUUGAUCCUUUGUUGAGUUCGUUCCAUUAAUUAUACUUCCUUGCAAGUCUUUUUUGUCUCCUUAUUCAUAACUUUUUUUUUUAAAAAAAAACAUUGACCUAUCAUAGCUUUAGAUUGAUUAGAUGAGUUGUUGGAAGCGAUGAGCAGCUCGUAUCAUUCGUGCAGGUGUCAAAGUGAUCAUCAUCAACCUUCCAUACAGAGAGACUGGUGGAAAAUGGCUAUCGAAAGUGUUGGUGGGUCCGUUGUAUCUAAGAUAGCAGAGCUCUUGGUGGAACCAGCAAUCAAGCAGUUCCGUUACAUGUUCUGUUUCAACAAUUUUGUUCAAGAAUUCGAUGAACAAAUGAUGAACCUGGCUUUGGCAUUUUAUCGUCUGCAAGAUGCUGUCAACGUAGCUGAAAGGAAUGCUGAAGAAAUUGAGAUUGAUGUCAACACAUGGCUGGAAAAUGCAAAAAACGAAAUUGAAGGUGUGAAUCGUUUGCAAAAUGAAAAAGGAAAAAUCAUCAAAUGCUUUACUUGGUGUCCAAAUUCGAUGCGACAAUUCAAGUUAAGCAAGGCACUGGCAAAGAAGACGGAGACUUUGAGAAAACUUGAAGAAAAUAGCAGAAAGUUUCCAAAAGUGUCCCACAAAGCACCUCUUCAAGAGAUAAAAUUUCUUCCAUCAAAGGAAUUCACACUCUCAGGAUCGUCAAAAGAAGCUUUCAAACAGAUUAUGAAAGCUCUCAAAGAUGACAAGGUCAAUAUGAUCGGACUGUACGGCAUGGGAGGGGUGGGUAAAACCACCCUGGUGAAAGAAGUAGGCAGGAGAGCCAAAGAGUUGCACCUUUUUGAUGAAGUUUUGAUAGCUACGGUGUCCCAGAAUCCAAAUGCCACAGGCAUCCAGGAUCAAAUGGCAGAUAGUUUAGAUCUGCAAUUUGACAAGAAGAGUAAAGAAGGGAGAGCAAAAGAACUAUGGCAGAGACUGCAGGGAAAGAAGAUGCUUAUAGUCCUGGAUGAUGUUUGGAAAGAUAUUGACUUCCAAGAGAUAGGGAUCCCAUUUGGUGAUGAUCACAGGGGUUGUAAAAUUCUUCUAACAACACGUCUUGAAGACAUGUGUUCUUAUAUGAAGUGCAAGGAAAAAGUUUUUUUAUGUCUCUUUUCUAAAGAGGAAGCAUGGGCUUUAUUCAGAAUCAAUGCAGCUUUACGUGACGAGGACUCUACCUUGAACAGGGUGGCAAAGAAGGUUGCGAGAGAAUGUAAUGGAUUGCCUGUAGCACUUGUGACAGUGGGAAGGGCUCUAAGAGAUAAAUCUGUUGUUGAGUGGGAAGUAGCGUCUGAAGAGCUCAAAAACUCUCAAUUUCGGCAUUUGGAACAAAUUGACGGACAAAAAAAUGCAUAUGCAUGUCUUAAGUUGAGCUAUGAUUAUUUGACGUCCGAUGAAACCAAGUCAUGUUUCUUGCUAUGCUGUUUAUUUCCAGAAGAUUACGACAUUCCGAUUGAGGACUUGACGAGAUACGCAGUUGGCUAUGGGUUACAUAAAGAUGCGGAGUCCAUUGAAGAUGCAAGGAAACGAGUUUAUGUGGCAAUCAAAAACCUCAAAGCUUGUUGUAUGCUGUUAGGAACUUUUAGUGAAGAAUAUGUCAAAAUGCAUGACUUGGUUCGUGAUGUUGCUAUUCGGAUAGCAUCAUCAGAAAAAUACGGAUUCAUGGUAAAGGCUGGCAUUGGGUUGCUAGAGUGGCCAACGAGCAAUAAAAGCUUUGAAGGUUGUACAACAAUUUCGUUAAUGGGCAAUAAACUAGCAGAACUUCCUGAAGGAUUGGUGUGUCCACAGCUCAAAGUUCUAUUGUUAGGACUGGAUCGUGGUUUGAAUGUUCCAGAGAGGUUUUUUGAAGGGAUGAAAGCAAUAGAAGUUUUGUCUCUAAAGGGAGGGUGUUUGUCAUUGCAAUCACUUCAAUUCUCAACGAACCUUCAAUCGUUGCUGUUGAUCGAGUGUGAAUGCAAGGACCUCAUUUGGUUGAGAAAGCUGCAAAGACUUAAUAUUCUUGUUUUCAGGCGGUGCGGCUCCAUUGAAGAAUUACCUGAUGAAAUUGGGGAGCUCAAGGAGUUGAGGUUGUUGGAUUUGACAGGUUGUGAAAAUCUAAGAAGGAUUCCUGUGAAUUUGAUAGGAAGGUUGAAGAAGUUAGAAGAACUGCUGAUCGGGGAUCGGAGCUUCAAGGGAUGGGAUGUUGUUGGAUGUGACAGCACAGAAGGAAUGAAUGCAAGCCUAACAGAACUAAACUCGUUGUCUCAUUUAGCUGUAUUAUCAUUGAAGAUACCGAAGGUUGAAUGCAUUCCCAGAGAUUUUGUUUUUCCCAGGUUGCUCAAAUAUGAUAUAGUGUUAGGGGAUUGGUAUUCAGGACCCCAUAAAGAAUACCCAACCUCGACAAGAUUAUAUUUGGGUGAUAUAAGCGCCACAUCCUUAAAUGCAAAGACAUUUGAGCAGUUGUUUCCUACCGUGUCUCAUAUUUGGUUUUGGAGAGUGGAGGGUUUAAGAAAUAUAGUAUUGUCCUCUGAUCAGAUGACCUCCCAUGGCCAUGGGUCGCAAAAGGACUUCUUUCAAAGAUUAGAAUAUGUAGCAGUGAGAGAAUGUGAUGAUAUUCGCACUCUGUUUCCAGCAAAAUGGCGGCAAGCUUUGAAAAAUCUAAGGAGAGUGGAAAUUGAAGACUGCCAAUCAUUGGAUGAAGGAAUUAACGAGGAGAAGGAGCUGCCAUUUUUAACGGAGUUACAGCUGUCCUGGUUACCUGAGCUCAAAUGUAUAUGGAAGGGGCCCACUAGACAUGUCAGCCUCCAAAGUCUUACUCGUCUGGAGCUCAGAUGUCUUAACAAACUGACAUUUAUCUUUACUCCGUCCCUCGCUCAAAGUUUUAUUCAUCUGGAAACGCUACGGAUAGAAAAUUGCCAUGGAUUGAAGCGUCUUAUCAGAGAACAGGAUGACGAAAUCAGGACAGAGUCUCUUGGCUUCCCAAAAUUAAAAAAUCUCUCUAUAAUAUUCUGUGAUAAACUUGAAUAUGUCUUCCCUGUCUCCGUGUCUCCAAGUCUUCAGAACCUGGAAGAGAUGCAGAUUGUUUUUGCUGACAAUUUAAAGUCUCUUGUAUUUUACAGUGGAGAAGGAGAUGACAUCAUCGUCAAGUCUAAAAUUAAAGAUGGCAUCAUCGACUUCCCUCAGCUAAGAGAAUUGUCUCUUUCAAAGUGCAGCUUUUUUGGUCCAAAGGAUUUUGCUGCCCUAUUGCCUUCUUUGCAAUGUCUAAGGAUCUCUGGCCUUGAAGAAUGGGGUAAUUUGUUGGCACAGCUUCGAGUACGUCCUUUAAAUUGUCAACUUCAAUACAUUGUGAUAAUUUGUUCUAUCUUCCUCCAAAUUUCUAAAACUAAACUAAACUAAACUUCCACUGAAUUUAAUUGAUGAUUUAAAUUGGCUUAGGAAGUUAGACAUCAAUUACUGUAAUAUAAUUUCUUAUCUCAUCCUUCAGAUUCUAAAACUAAAGUAGUGGAUAAAUCCUUUAGCCAUCCACUGAAUUUAAAAGGAGUGAAAUUGAGGCUCUUCCGCCAAUUAAUGGAAAGUAUUUGGACAGAACGAUAAAGCUCCGUCUGAGAAUAUUGAGUUUUUUGUUUCAGUGCUGCAACUUAUGAUGUCAUGGUUCAAAAAAUUAAUAAAAAUUGGUUUUUUUAUCCAAUUUUUUAAGCAAUUAGAUUCAAAAAGCAAAAAUUGAAACUUUCUUUUUAAAUGCAAUAUUUUUCUCAUUCAAAGAACUUCAAAAGCACCAAAUUUGUAUUGAGUUCCAAAAACAUAUUUUUUUAAUAUUUUUUUCAUUUUUUUUACGAUUUGUUUUCACUUUUUUUUAUGAAAAAAAUAAUUUAAAUGAUCAAUAAUCAAGCAUUUUUAUUAAAAAAAUUUACUAAUAUGUAAAAUUCAAAUUAUUUUCUUUUAUAUUUUUAUUUUUGAAAAAUGUCAUAAUUGUUUUUUUUUAUUAUAAAUCGAAUAUAAAAAAAUAAUUUUUUUGAGUUUAAGUAUAAUUUUUCAUGAUUGCUUUUAAUUUAACUACUAUAAAAUAAUAGUUUGUAUUCAGAUUAUCAUAAAUAUGAAAAAAUAUGAUUUUAUAUUCCCAUGACCCGUUGCCUUGUCUAUCUAUAUCUUCUUGUUGAUAAGUAUUUCGGUAUUGGGAAUAAUUGGUUCAUCUAUUUAACAAAAUUAUAUAAUAGUUUCAAAGUGCACAAAAAUUACUAGGAAUUAUAUCUAAUAAAUUGGUACCCUUAUUUUCUUUUGAUGCAGGGGUUUACAAGUUUGGAAACAUUGAAGUUGUCCUCCCUGCUUGUGCCUGACUUGAGGUGUAUAUGGAAGGGUCUCGUGCCAUGCAAUUUGACUACUUUGGAGGUGAAAGAGUGUAAGAGGCUGACACAUGUAUUCACAGACAGCAUGAUUGCUAGUCUUGUUCAACUGAAAGUUCUAGAGAUAUCAAAUUGUGAGGAAUUGGAGCAAAUCAUUGCUAAGGAUAAUGAUGAUGAAAAGGAUCAGAUAUUUUCAGGAAGUGAUCUCCAAUCUGCAUGCUUUCCUAAUUUGUGUCGACUUGAGAUUAGAGGAUGCAACAAGUUGAAGAAGUUGGAGGUGGAUGGAUGCCCAAAGCUGACCAUAGAAUCUGCUACUACAUCAAAUGACUCAAUGAGUGGUCAAUCAGAGGUGCUGCUGAUUUGACUUGAUUUCUUGCCUCUCAUUUAGUUUUAAAAGUGCGCAAUAAUUACUAUGAAUUACAUCUAACAACUUGGUACCCUUGUUUUCUUUUGAUGCAGGGGUUUAUGAAUUUGAAAGAAAUAUCUAUUGGAAACUUGGAAGGAGUACAAGAUUUAAUGCAAUUUGAACGUUUGGUAACUAAUAGAAGAGGUGGGCAUGAACUUUCACUCGUGAGUUUGGAAACAUUACAGUUGAACUUAUUGCCUGACUUGAGGUGUAUAUGGAAGGGCCUAGUGCCGAGCAAUUUGACUACUUUGAAGGUGAAAAGGUGUAACAGACUGACACAUGUAUUCACAGACAGCAUGAUUGCUAGUCUAGUUCAACUGAAAGUUCUAGAGAUAUCAAACUGUGAGGAAUUGGAGCAAAUCAUUGCUAAGGAUAAUGAUGAUGAAAAGGAUCAGAUAUUUUCAGGAAGUGAUCUCCAAUCUGCAUGCUUUCCUAAUUUGUGUCGACUUGAGAUCAGAGGAUGCAACAAGUUGAAGAGUCUCUUCCCAGAAGCCAUGGCUUCAGGUCUCAAAAAGCUCCAAAUACUUAAAGUAAGAGAAUCCUCUCAAUUAUUGGGAGUAUUUGGGCAGGAUGAUCAUGCUUCACCUGUCAAUGUUGAGAAGGAGAUGAUGCUCCCUGAUCUGCAGGAGUUGUUGCUUGUACAAUUACCAAGUAUUUCCUGCUUUAGUCUCGGAUGUUAUGAUUUCUUGUUCCCUCAUUUGAAGAAGUUGGAGGUGGAUGGAUGCCCAAAGCUGACCACAGAAUCUGCUACUACAUCAAAUGACUCAAUGAGUGCUCAAUCAGAGGUGCUGCUGAUUUGACUUGAUUUCGUGCCUCUUAUUUAGUUUUAAAAGUGCGCAAUAAUUACUAUGAAUUACAUCUAACAAAUUGGUACCCUUGUUUUCUUUUGAUGCAGGGGUUUAUGAAUUUGAAAGAAAUAUCUAUUGGAAACUUGGAAGGAGUACAAGAUUUAAUGCAAGUUGGACGUUUGGUAACUAAUAGAAGAGGUGGGCGUGAACUUUCACUCGUUAGUUUGGAAACAUUACGCUUGAACUUAUUGCCAGACUUGAGGUGUAUAUGGAAGGGUAUCCUGCCGAGCAAUUUGACUACUUUGAAGGUGAACGACUGUAAGAGACUGACACAUGUAUUCACAGACAGCAUGAUUGCUAGUCUAGUUCAACUGAAAGUUCUAGAGAUAUCAGCUUGUGAGGAAUUGGAGCAAAUCGUUGCUAAGGAUAAUGAUGAUGAAAAGGAUCAGAUAUUUUCAGGAAGUGAUCUCCAAUCUGCAUGCUUUCCUAAUUUGUGUCGACUUGAGAUUAGAGGAUGCAACAAGUUGAAGAAGUUGGAGGUGGAUGGAUGCCCAAAGCUGACCAUAGAAUCUGCUACUACAUCAAAUGACUCAAUGAGUGGUCAAUCAGAGGUGCUGCUGAUUUGACUUGAUUUCUUGCCUCUCAUUUAGUUUUAAAAGUGCGCAAUAAUUACUAUGAAUUACAUCUAACAACUUGGUACCCUUGUUUUCUUUUGAUGCAGGGGUUUAUGAAUUUGAAAGAAAUAUCUAUUGGAAACUUGGAAGGAGUACAAGAUGUUAGCGUGAGCUGUACAGUUUAGGAAUUAAUGUUGGCGUGAGCUGUAGAAUCCAAUAUAGGAAUUAUAUUUUUAAUAUUCUGUAAUUGUAUAUAUCCCAAUAUAUAUGGGAUUAAUGUUACUUACCUAGAUAGUUAUCUUGGGAAGGGUUUCUCUAUAUAAGAGAACCACUCUGUAACGUUUGAAGAAUAAGAAAAAGAAGGGAAUACACAGGGCGGCUGCUCUCUGAUUUAUCAUGGUAUCAGAGCUACGUUCCAUUAUUUGUUUCUUGAAGAUCUAGCAAACAACCUAAGGAAAAUAAAGCAUGGCCACACCAAUUGACUUGAUUGAACAAGAACAACCGAAUACAGCUACAACUCUUGAUGAUCUCACGACGAGAAUGGCUCAAAUUGUAACCCAAAACCAGACCCAGACCCCAUCAGUAAUCUAUGAUACUGUUGCUGUACCGAUUGGUAUCAAACUUGAUGGUACCAACUAUGCUUUAUGGUCCCAAAUUGUGGAGAUGUAUAUCUCAGGAAAAGACAAGUUGGGAUACAUAAAUGGUGACCUUCCACAACCAGAACCGAAUGAUCCCCACUUCAGGAGAUGGAGAACAGAAAACUCUAUUGUUAAGGGAUGGCUUAUUAACUCAAUGGAGCCGUCUCUCAUAGGAAACUUUAUCCGAUUUUCCACGGCCAAACAGGUAUGGGACUCGAUCGCCACUACUUACUUUGAUGGAUCCGAUACUUCUCAGGUGUAUGAUUUGAAGCGACGAGUAACACGAAUGAAACAAUCAGGAGAGUCCAUUGAAACAUACUACAAUUGCCUCCAAGGCUUAUGGAGGGAAAUUGAUUUCCGUAGACCAAAUCCUAUGGAAUGUGCUGUUGAUAUUCAAAAGUAUAAUGCUUUGCUUCAAGAGGAUCGAGUGUAUACUUUUUUGGAUGGACUAGAUGAUAGGCUGGACAAUAUACGUAGUGAUGUGCUCCAACUGAAACCUUUCCCAACGGUUGAACAAGCUUAUGCCUAUGUUCGAAGGGAAGCUAUUAGACAGACGGUUAUGCUCACUAAUAAUGGAAAUUCUCCUGCUGCAGCAAUGGUUUCUAGGGGAGGGAAAGCCUACUUACCUCGACAGCAAGCACUCCAAAUAACCAGAUCAGGGACGUCUUCAUCAAGAGGGCGUAACAAUUAUCACCUAGCAAAGACUAAAGGACAGGUGGAGAGUGAAAGCAGUGGCUGUUCUCAUUGUGGAAACAUGAAGCAUACACGGGACACUUGCUUCAAACUGCAUGGCUAUCCAGAAUGGUGGAAUGAAUUAAAAACACGGAAGCAGAGGGUUGUUGCUGGGGACACAGGACAAGCAUCUUUGGCAGACACUAAGCCACAAUUAUCGUUAGCUCCACUUGUAGAAUCUGGAGACGAUGCCAUAAUUCUGCCUAAGGAUCAAGGUAAUACAGGAACUAAAACCGACUGGAUAGUGGACUCUGGUGCAACGGAUCACAUGACUUUUUGUUCAGGAGACUUUGCUAAUACUACAGAACCAAGGCGAACUGGUAUAACCAAUGCCAAUGGGGUUGUCUACCCUGUCACAGGAGCUGGAACAGUGCACAUAUCACCCUCCAUAUCAUUAACCAAUACUUUAUUAGUGCCUUCUCUAUCAAAUAAAUUGUUAUCUGUGAGCCAAGUUACCGAAGACCUAAACUGUGUAGCACUAAUGUAUCCAAAAUUUUGCCUUUUUCAGGAUAUUCUCACGGAGGAGAUCAUUGGGCGUCGUACUAAGAGAGAGGGGUUAUACUACAUGGAUGACUUUAAUUCCGGCAGAGUCAACACCGUGAGUCGAUCUUUACUGACAAAAGAAAACCAGAUUUGGCUAUGGCAUUAUCGGUUGGGACAUCCAUCUUUUAGCUACAUGAAGUAUUUAUUUCCGAAAUUGUUUUUGAAUUUGAAUUAUUCAGACUUUAAAUGUGAAACUUGCAUCCUUGCCAAGAGUCAUCGUGUAUCCUUUCCGAUUAGCUUGAAUAAAAGUGAUACUCCUUUUGCCUUGGUUCACUCUGAUGUUUGGGGACCAUCUCCCAUUACCACUGUCUCUGGCAUACGUUGGUUUGUUACCUUCGUGGAUGAUUGUACUAGGAUGACAUGGCUCUAUUUACUGAAGCGCAAAAAUGAAGUUUUUGAUGUGUUUCGUAUGUUUCACGCUAUGGUUCAUAAUCAAUUUUCAGCAAACAUACGGAUUUUUCGAUCGGAUAAUGGGGGAGAAUAUGUGAAUAAUAACUUUUCAGCAUUUUUUCACAGGAACGGUAUUCUCCAUGAAUUAUCCUGUAGUCAAACUCCACAACAAAAUGGAGUGGCAGAACGGAAAAACCGACAUAUUCUAGAAACUGCACGGGCAUUAUUAUUUGGAGCACAGGUGCCUAGUAGACAUUGGGAUGAUAGUGUUACUACUGCUGUCUAUUUAUUGAAUCGAAUGCCUUCAAAAACCUUGGACUUCAAGACUCCUCUACAGGUUUUGUCACGACAUGUUACUCUACCAUCUAUACUGUUACUUCCACCGCGUGUGUUCGGCUGCGUGACAUUUGUUCAUAUACAUAAACAUCAACGAACAAAACUUGAACCGUGUGCUGUUCGUUGUAUGUUUCUUGGGUAUGGCUCGAAUAAGAAGGGAUUCCGCUGCUAUGAUCCUAAAACCAAACGACUCUAUACUACAAUGGAUGUUACUUUCCUAGAGUCAGAAUAUUUUUACUCAUCCACGACAUCAACUUCUCCUCUCUAGGGGGAGACGUGGGAUGAAGAGAAGAAGUGGUGGAACACUGAAGCUGCUGAGAAUAUGGUAACGGUUUCAACCCCAGCUGAGACUGAAGCUGCUGAGAGUAUAUCCACGGGUCCAACUGAGGCUGCUGAUAUAGCCACGGUUCCAAACAUGGUAGCUGAAGGUGUUGCAGAGACAGAGUGCAUUAAUAACAGUAAGACAGUUGAUGAGGAGGACCAACAAACUGCACCCGACAGAAUGAGUAAAACCCCCUCUCUUGAAGUACCCGACAAUGAAACUCCUUUGCAUGAGGAUAUUCCUGAGGUAAUUUCUCCUACACCAUCCACCAGUAAUAUUUUGAAUUCUUCUGCUAGCUAUCACUUACCUUUCAGGCAGAACAGAGGCAAGCCUCCAGCCCGGUACUCACCAGAUAUGGCAGGAAAGAAAUCAAAGUACCCCGUCUCCAAUUAUGUAUCCACACAAAGACUGCCUAUGCUUCUCAAGGCCUUUGCAUACAAGUUGUCCUCCUGCCAUAUCCCUUAUGGAAUUCAUGAAGCAUUAGCAGAUCCCAAAUGGUCCCAAGCAAUCCAAGAAGAAAUGGCAGCCCUAGAAAAGAACAAAACAUGGGACAUUGUCACAUUACCACAAGGGAAGAAAACCGUUGGGUGUAAGUGGGUAUUCUCCACCAAAUAUAAAGCAGAUGGAUCCAUUGAGCGACACAAGGCAAGAUUGGUAGCGAAGGGGUAGACACAGACUUAUGGGAUAGAUUAUCAGGAGACGUUUUCUCCAGUAGCAAAACUGAACACAGUCAGAGUUUUGUUAUCCUUGACUGCAAAUUUAGAUUGGCCACUACACCAAUUUGAUGUGAAAAAUGCCUUCCUUCAUGGAGACCAUGAGGAGGAAGUGUAUAUGGAUAUCCCACCAGGAUAUACUUCAACCAAACCCGGAACUGUCUGCAGAUUACAACGAGCUUUAUAUGGAUUAAAGCAGUCACCACGCGCAUGGUUUGGUCGAUUUAGCAUGGCUAUGAGAAAGUAUGGUUUUCAACAGAGCAACUCAGAUCAUACCCUCUUCCUGAAGAAGCAACAAGGAAAGGUAAUUGUCCUGAUAAUUUAUGUAGAUGAUAUGAUCAUUACAGGAGAUGAUGAAGAAGAAAUUAAAAGAUUGCAAGAGCAGCUAUUUACCGAAUUUGAAAUGAAGAACUUAGGUGGACUUAAGUACUUCUUAGGGAUUGAAGUGGCUAGAUCAAAGCGGGGAAUUUUUCUCUCACAAAGAAAGUAUGUAUUGGACCUACUGACUGAAGUAGGAAUGCUUGACUGCAAACCGGCAGACACUCCAACCGUUCAGAAUCAAAAACUUGGAUUGUAUCCUGAUCAGGAACCAGCUGAUAAAGACAGGUAUCAACGAUUGGUAGGUAAACUGAUUUACUUAUCUCAUACUCGUCCAGAUAUUUCUUACGCUGCCAGCCUAGUUAGUCAAUUCAUGCAUUGUCCUAGCAAGGAUCACAUGGAUGCAGUUGGUCGAAUACUUCAGUACCUAAAAUCCGCUCCAGGAAGAGGACUUAUGUUCUUGAAGAAUGGUCAUUUGGAUAUUGAAGGUUACACGGAUGCUGACUGGGCAGGAAAUUUGUUUGAUAGAAAAUCUACAUCUGGCUACUUCACUUUCGUCGGUGGUAACUUGGUUACAUGGAGGAGUAAAAAACAGAAAGUGGUAGCUUUGUCGAGUGCCGAGGCUGAGUUCAGAGGAAUGGCUAAAGGCCUUUGCGAACUUCUUUGGAUUAGAAGACUACUCUCUGAAAUUGGUUUCACUCCUAAGUCAGGAAUGAACCUGUACUGCGAUAAUAAAGCUGCAAUUGCAAUUUCUCAAAAUCCAAUUCAGCAUGACCGGACGAAACAUAUCGAGAUAGACCGACAUUUCAUUAAACAGAAUCUUGAAGAAGGAGUGAUUUGCUUUCCUUUUGUUAGAUCAGAAGACCAACUUGCUGAUAUGCUCACAAAGGCUGUCUCCAACAAAAACUUUCGUGACUCACUUAACAAGUUGGGCAUAGAAGAUAUCUUUGCACCAACUUGAGGGGGAGUGUUAGCGUGAGCUGUACAGUUUAGGAAUUAAUGUUGGUGUGAGCUGUAGAAUCCAAUAUAGGAAUUAUAUUUUUAAUAUUCUGUAAUUGUAUAUAUCCCAAUAUAUAUGGGAUUAAUGUUACUUACCUAGAUAGUUAUCUUGGGAAGGGUUUCUCUAUAUAAGAGAACCACUCUGUAACGUUUGAAGAAUAAGAAAAAGAAGGGAAUACACAGGGCGGCUGCUCUCUGAUUUAUCACAAGAUUUAAUGCAAUUUGAACGUUUGGUAACUAAUAGAAGAGGUGGGCAUGAACUUUCACUCGUGAGUUUGGAAACAUUACAGUUGAACUUAUUGCCUGACUUGAGGUGUAUAUGGAAGGGCCUAGUGCCGAGCAAUUUGACUACUUUGAAGGUGAAAAGGUGUAACAGACUGACACAUGUAUUCACAGACAGCAUGAUUGCUAGUCUAGUUCAACUGAAAUUUCUAGAGAUAUCAAAUUGUGAGGAAUUGGAGCAAAUCAUUGCUAAGGAUAAUGAUGAUGAAAAGAAUCAGAUAUUUUCAGGAAGUGACCUCCAAUCUCCAUGCUUCCCUAAUUUGUGUCGACUUGAGAUCACAGGAUGCAACAAGUUGAAGAGUCUCUUCCCGGUAGCCAUGGCUUCAGGUCUCAAAAAGCUCCAGAUACUUAAAGUAAGAGAAUCCUCUCAAUUAUUGGGAGUAUUUGGGCAGGGUGAUCAUGCUUCACCUGUCAAUGUUGAGAAGGAGGUGGUGCUCCCUCAUCUGUUGCAGCUGAUUCUAGAAGAAUUACCAAGCAUUGUCUACUUCAGUCAUGGAUGUUAUGAUUUCAUAUUCCCUCGUUUGUGGAACUUGGAGGUGCGUCAAUGUCCAAAGCUGACCACAAGAUUUGCUACUACAUCAAAUGGUUCAAUGAGUGCUCAAUCAGAGGUGUUGCAUAUUUGACAUGAUUUCUUGCCUCUCUUUAAGUGUUUUUAUUUCUUGUUUCCCUCAAUAAUAAGACUUACAAGUUAGAAUAUGUAUGCCAUGCUUGAAUUGGCUUUGCAGGUAUCUCAAGUAGCUGAGGGUUCCAGCACUGGUUGCUCCGUGCCAACCAGCAGUUGUAGAACGUGGACCUCAUAUAAUGGGUGGGAAGAGGAAAAAGAGGAAGAGGAUGGAGUCAGAUGAUUAGUUUGGCAUUGGAAUUUGAAAAGCAUGCUAGUAAUUCAUUCUUGCAGGUAAAAUGGCUGCAACUAUUUAUCUUGUAUCCUUGUUUAAAUGGUUGGAUUAAAUCAACAAAUACGAGAUGCCUGGAUGAUCUUUGUUCUUGAUGUUUGCAUUAGGUUGGGUUGGUUGGUUACCUAUGUGAUGAUCAACUCGACAUUGGUGGGAAGUAAUUCCAGCUGUUUCAUUAGCUACAACAAUUUGUCUUAUUUCAUGUGUUUGUUGUGUGAACUUCCAGAAAUAUUGUGUGUUUAAUAAUUUAUUGUGCGAACCUUCAAAAAAGGGCUUUUGUUUGUUUGCCCAUUUGUGUUUCUUUUUCAAGUGUCUGAACCUUUGGAAGUUUCCACAGUUCCUGACAGCUUAGGUUAAGGCUACAAUAGGGAGUAGUGUUGUAAUCUUUCAACACCUACUAUGAGACAGAUUGUACUUUAUAACAAAACUCUGUGAAGACAUGGAAGGGGGUCCUGUCAAUUAAUGAAUAAAACUUUGUCAAAAUGAUUGCCAACUUUGCUUUCACGGCAGAUACAAUUAAUUAAUACUUUGAUGGGUAAUGUCAUGUGUUUUUAUACAAUAUUUAUUUUAAUUAAAAAUAUAUUAAAAUAAUAUUUUUUAAAUAUUGAUAUAUUAAAAUUAUUAAAAAAACAUAUAAAAACAUUGAUUUAAUGUUUUUUUUUAAAUUAAAUCAAUUUUAAAAACAUUUUAAGAAAAUAAAUUGAAUAGUAAAAACAAUUGAGAUUGUGGUAAUUAUUGUUUUUCAAGUGUUUUUUAUUAAAAAAUAAAUCAAGAUAAUAUAUUAAUUUAAUUUUUUUAAAAAUUCAUCUACUUUGCCUUCACCAAAAUACAAUUCUUUUGUAUUCUUGUGUCAUUAAACAUUUCAUAGUGAUAGUGCAAUGGAAUCUCGAGAUUUUAAUUUUUUUUUCAUCUUAUUUCUAAAUUUGGAACAAUUACUCAACAUUCUUGCUCUUAUUUUUGAACAAAAUAGACGUGCUAUUUUUAAUAGUUGAUACUAUAUGUCAUAUCAAAUUGAUUAUAUAUAUAUAUAUAUAAUCAAUUUACAAAUUUAUUGACAGAAUAUGAAAUUCCAAUAUAUAAGUAAAAGGAUAAAUCCUCUAGCUUUGAAAAGAAUUAGUGUUUGCCUUUGAGAUUGUAAUAUUUUUUUUCAGCGUAUAUUCAAUUUAAUAUUUUUAAUAAUACAAAUGAAAAUAAACAGCAAAUUUAAUUUAUAAAUGUAACUAUCUCAAAACAAUGUUGAGAAGGAAGAAAGAUUAGUAGAAUAAAAAUAAAAUUAAUAGACUUUUAAAAAGCAAAGAGUUUUUAAUGUUAAAAAUAAUUUUUUUAUUUAAUAGACCCAAUUUUGUAUUUUUUUUUUAAAAGAUAACUCUAUUUUAAUUCUGAUUCUUUAGCAACACAGUUUUUCAUUCACCAUAACACACAUUUUUUUUUUUAAAUAGUUAACAUGUCAUAUUAAUGAGGAGAGGUAUUUGAAUUGGGUGAGGCUGAUGAAGGAACUAACGAGGAGAAGGAGCUGCCGCUGCUGUCAUCUUUAACAGAGUUACGGCUGUACUGGUUACCUGAGCUCAAAUAUAUAUGGAAGGGGCCCACUAGAUAUGCUGAAAUUGUGGUAUCUUACCAAACUGACAUUUAUCUUCACACCGUCCUUGGCUUAGAGUCUUAUUAUUCAUCUGGAAACACUACAGAUAGAACAUUGCGGUGGAUUGAAGCGUCUUAUCAGAGUCUCUUGGAUUUCCAGGAUUAAAAAAUCUCUAUACAAGAGGCUGUGUUAAACUGGAACAUGUCUUCCCUGUCUCCGUGUCUCCAAGUCUUCUGAACAGAUAACGAUUAAAUUUGCUGACAAUUUAAAGCAAAUAUUUUACAGUGGAGAAGGAGAUGCACUCACCAGAGAUGGCAUCAUCAACUUCCCUCGGCUAAGACAAUUGAUUCUUUCAAAGUGCAGCUUUUUUGGCCCAAAGAAUUUUGCUGCCCAAUUGCCUUCUUUGCAAGUGUUAGCCAUUGAAGGCCACGAACAAUUGGGUAAUUUGCGGGCACAGCUACAAGUACGUCUUUUAUAUUUCUCCCCUGAUUUUUUACUUUUAAAUUUAAAUUGUCAAAUUCAAUACAUUGUGAUAAUUUCUUAUUUCUUCCUUCAGAUUUCUAAAACUAAAGUAAUGGAUAAAUGGUAGCAAAUCCUUUAGCCAUCCACUGAAUUUAAAAGGAGUGAAAUUGAGGCCUUUCCGCCAAUUAAUAAAAAAUGGUUUUUUUUAUCCAAUUUUCUAAACAAUUAGAGUCAAAAAGUAAAAAUUGAAACUUUCUUUUUAAAUACAAUAUUUUCACAUUAAAAGACCUUCAAAAGCAACAAAUUUGUAAUUAAACAAAUAUAUUUUUGUCUCUUAUGUAUUUGUUUAUUCUAACUUUAAAUACUAAUUAAACACAGUCUAAUUUUUUUUAAUUUGAUUUAUGAUUUUAAAAAAAAAAACAUUUGAUUAUCACAACAUAGAAUAAAAGUUUAAAAAAGAAACAUUCACGGGCCUACACAAUACAUGAGCUGAUUAAAUGGCGACAAUCCCAUUAGCAAAUUUGUGCUACAAAUGACAAAAUAAAAAUAAACUCAGCAAACAAGAUCAGUCCUAAUUAAUUUUGUCAACUAUUGGCAUAUUCCAAACUAUCAAGCAUUGAACCUUUCCAAAUUAAUUGUUUUUUUUUUUUUCAAUUUGUUUUGGUCUAAUUGCAUUGAUUGGUUGGUUGAUUGAAUGAAUGGUGCAGUCCCCAUUUUCAUUUACUUUUGGCAUUACACAAAAACAUCCCUUUCAAGUUACAAAACGACGUGCAGCUCAGUCAAUGCCUUCAUUGCCUAGCGCCUUCAAAAAAUCAACUGCUUAGUUAGAUUCGUCCUUGGCUUGCUUAGAGCGACAGCCACAUUAAAUGACAGCCACCGAAAUGUUUGACAUGUGGCCUACAAUGUGAAUUAUGUGUUAACAAUUAGCUAAUUUUUUAAUUCUCUUAAUUUAAUUAAUUUAAUUAGUUACGGGGGUGGCUGAUAGGUAGUAUCUAAUAAGUAAAAAAUGCUUAAAUAUUUAUGUAGUGAGAGAAAGUAUAAUGAUACAGAGAUAAAUUUUAAAAAUACAUAUUUUAAAAAUGUUAAAAAUAAAAAAAUUAUAUAUUUAUAACUUAUAAGUCUUGUUUUUUUUUUUAAAGAAGAGAGAUUAAAAAGUAAUUUUAUUUUGUGAUAUUUUAAGUUAUAUUUUAUUUAAAAUAAUAUGGGUUUGAUUAAUAUAAAAUAUUAAAAGAUUUGUACAUGAUAUUAAAAAAAAUUUAAACAAAAUAUUGGGCCUAAGCCUAGUAGAAGUAAAAAAUAAACUUACGAACAAGGUAUAUGGAUCCAGGCAGUGCUUGUAAAAACCUAGAGCAGUUAGGCUUUUGGGAGUUUUUUUAAGCCAAUUAAAUUUUGGUCUAAAGCAAAUAGAAGUGAUAAUCUCUUAUUUUCUUCCUGAAAUUCUUGACGUUUAGGCUGGGAAUAAAUUUAGCCUAGAAAAUUGAGGGAAAGUAGCUGAAAUAAUUUAAAACCAUUUAAGAUUUUUGUCAGUUUAGCUAGUUUAGUCGUUCCCUUUUGACUUAUUAAAGCCAGUUAUUGUGCUCAAUUAAAGCUCGAUCUUCAAAAGCUCGAUCUUCGAAUCUUCUUCUAAAAUCUUUAAUUUUGCUCUGAUAUUUAUGAAAAUGUAAUUCAUUAUUAAACCCUAAAAACUUCUAUAACUCCAUUCUCAAUCCCAAAAUUUUGACUUGAUUUUGUCAUAAGUUUUGAUUUAAAUCAAAAGUUAAUUCUAGUCAAAACUCUUACCAAAUAUAAUUUAAAUUUUGACUUAAAUCAAGAUUUGUUAUAAAAUUGAGUCAAAGCUUUACUUUAAUAAAAAAAUAAAAUUUUAAAAUUUUAACUUAUGAUAUAUUUUUUUCUUGAGUAAAAAGUAAAAAAAAAACAACUUAAAUUAAUUUACAAAACUGAACCAUAUACAAUCAAAAUUUGGACUUAUAUCGAAAGUUUGUUAUUUCACAGUUAAUAAUCGAAAGUUACUUUAAAUUAUGACUUGAAGUCAGAAGUUACUUUUCAUAAAUGAUGCCUAGAGAAAAGGGGGGAAAUAAUGCAAUCUGGGUCAUUGUGGAUCGACUAACUAAGUCUGCCCUUUUCCUACCAGUAAAGAUGAUAGAUCCAGUUGAUAAGUUGGCUAAGAUUUAUGUGAACAAAGUUGUAAGGUUUCAUGGAGUCCCAACAUCAAUUGUUUCAAACCGAGACCCAAGAUUUACUUCACGUCUCUGGCCGAGCAUACAACAUGCCUUGGGAACAAAUUUGAGUAUCAGUACUGCCUUUCAUCCGUAGACUGAUGGCCAAUCUGAGAGAGUUAUUCAGAUCUUAGAAGAUUUACUAAGGGCAUGUGCUUUGGAAUUUGGUGGAAACUAGGAGGAGCACCUGUCACUAGUAGAAUUCACGUAUAACAACAGUUAUUAGACAACAAUUGAAAUGGCCCCAUUUGAAGCUCUUUAUGGCAGAAAGUGUAGGACACCCUUGUGUUGGGAAGAAGUUGGGGACAAAAAGCUGUAUAGGGCAGAAUUAGUACAAAUCACUACUAAAAAAGUGAGGAUUAUUAAGGAUCGAAUAAAGGCGGCUCAGGAUAGACAGAAGAAGUAUGCAGAUAUUCGAAGAAGACCACUUGAAUUUUGUCCUGGAGAUAAAGUAUUUCUGAAGGUAGGUCCAUGGAAGCACAUGCUGAGAUUCGGCAUGAAGGGAAAGUUAGCCCCGAGGUUCAUUGGACCAUUUGAAAUCCGAAAAUGUAUCGGACCUGUAGCAUAUGAAAUAAACUUGCCCUCACAGUUGGCCAAGGUUCACAAUGUAUUCCAUGUUUCUUUGCUGCGAAAAGCCGAUGUAGACCCUUCGAGAGUGUUACCUCAAGUGCCAGUGGAGGUAAAAGAAGACUUAACACUUGAGGUAAGACCGAUAAAGAUACUCGAUUGGGGCGAGAAAGAACUUCGUAAUAAGAAAGUUCCCAUCAUCAUAGUCUUAUGGCGAAGCUCACAAAUCGAGGAAGAAACAUGGGAGAGAGAAUCAGAAAUGAGACUAAAAUUCCCCGACUUGUUUAUAAAUUCAAGUACAUCACUCAAAUUUCGAGGACAAAAUUUCUAUUAGGAGGGGAGAAUGUAAACCCCAAGAAAAAUAAAUAAAUAAAAGUGAAGAAAUUCAUGUAUAUGGUUAAAUAAAAAACAGGAAUUCAAAAAAAUUUUAAUAUGAAUUUCCGGGUGAAAUAAUUCGAGAUAUUAUAAUGAACCCGGUACUGCUAAGGGUUGGAUUUAAUUGAAGAGAAAAAAAAAUACACUUAAAGGAAAAAGGGGGCCUAAAUGCAAAUAAGGGAAAAUAUAGAGUAUAAAUACUCUCUCCUCACCAAAACAAAAUCUGUAUAAACCAUAAGGAGAGAAGAUAAGGAGUUUUAUACCCAUUCUUGAGAAAUCAAGAGAGAAACACUAACAUUUCAAGAACCCAUCCAAGAUUUAGAGCUUAUAGAUGGAAUAAACACUUGAGAGCGAAUGAUUACCAAGAAAUUGAACAAGAAGAAAAGAAAGGAGGGAGUUGAAAAUCUUCAACUGGUUGAAGAUCAAGAUCUUAAUUUGUAGCAGGUAAGGUAUUCUAAACAUGAGCUUAAAAAAAAUUCAUUUUUAAAUUCGAUAAAGAAUUGAUGCCUUGAUAUUGAAUCAUAGGUUAGGGUUCUUAGACAUAAAUUGGGGAAAAAGUACUUAUUGUUGAGAUUAAGUUAAUUUAUGUGUGUGGUAUGUAGUUUAUGAAAGUAUUGUGUGAAGGGGAGGGGGAGACAACUCUGGACAGACUUGUCUCCUGACUUUCGGUGAGAUUUUUGGAUAGGAGGAUGAGGGAAUUAGGAUUGGAUUCCUCAUAGAAAUUAUAGAUUUGAAUGUUAGCUAACUAAGGAAACUAGUCUUGCUCAAUUUGAAGAUGUAGAACUCCAGUUAUGGGUUACCAACCGAAACUGAGUCGUGACUGAUUAUGUAGGGCAGUAGGACUGAUUAGUUGAUGAGCAAUUUUGACUAUCUUGGAGGCAGAACUAGGUUAUCCUUCAUUAGAGAACUGAUAGCCUUGUGUCUUAGCUUUCUAACGAGAUCAAUCUCACUUAAAAUGGAGUUUUAGAACUUUAGAUAUAGUUAAAAAUCUGAUGAGUGUUCAGAUAGUAACAGUUCAAAGUCAGACAAUAACGGUUCAAAGUCAGACAGUAACAGUUGGAAUUGGACAGUAACAGUUGGAAUUGGACAGUAACAGUUCAAAGUCAGACAGUAAUGGUUCAAAGUCAGACAGUAACAGUUGGAAAAUUGGACAGUAACAGUAGACUUUCACGUGAAUACUAUAAAUAAGAAUAUUAAAGAAUUGAGUCAUAUGAACGCUUACACAUUGAGAUACUAACUCUGAUAAUAUAUAUGAUAUAUGUAUGUAUGUUAUUAUGAGGAAAUGAACAUGCAUAGAAAGUAACAUAUGAGUAAUGGAUGAAUAUGAAUUCUCUAUAAUAUCGGCUUGAAGGAAUCAUAACCAAAAAACUUCCUUGUGAUUCAGGAGGAGCAACCAAGAUUGGAUCUUCUGUUAGGGGAGGUCGUGAGACAGGCGAAGCAGGUGCGUGAUUUUCCUCCUAUUUGCACUUAUAUAAUUUAAAAUUCGUCUGGUGAAUGCAAUUACAAUAAGUGUCGUGUUCAAUGUAAAUAAAAUCUAGCGUAAAUACAAGAUUAGCUUCGGCUAAUGGCAUCCAUGAUAGGAUUGCCGGGAUAUGAAUUACAAGAUUAGCUUCGGCUAAUGGCAUCCACGAAAGGAUUGUCGGGAGAUGAUUUACACAAUUAGCUUAGGCUAAUGGCAUCCAUGAUAGGAACGCCGGGAAAUGGAUUAUAGGAUUAGACCUUGCAAGGUCACCCAGUUCAUGCAAGUAAAUAAGAUUAUUCAAUUAAGAAUAUACAAAUGAGUGUUAAUUGGGUUGUAAAGAUUUACAAGCAAAAUAUAAGUUCUCUGUUAGAAUUCUUAUGGUUCGAUAAAAAGUUAAUACUUCAUUCGUAUUUAUUACAUGAUCAUACAUAUAUUCUUUAUCAACAUAAUGAUAUAUUUAUUUAUGUAACAGGUCCAUCAAACAUCUAGGAAGAUCAUUAGUUUAGGACUCUACUUUGUGAAACUUAUGUAAAUAUUUAACUUAAACAAAAGGAAAUUAACGUGUUUAUGUAGUAUAUUUUUGUGUAAACCUUGAUGUAUUUAUAAAAUUUCAGCUUAGCAUUUAGUAUUUUAGUUAUCUUGUAAUUAACCCUUUUGAAAUAGUUAGGAACACUUAUUAUGUUGUAAAUACUUUCUUUGCAUGUUAGUAUUCCUUUUCUCUUAAAUUUUAUGAUAUGAUGUUUGGACUAUGUUCAUAUUGAUCUUACUCGUAGGAUAUAUAUAUAUAUAUAUAUUGUGUGGAAUUAUGAGGUUUGAUAUAAGGUCCGGAAUUAUGGGACCUUGUGAUGAUGGGUUGAUUGAGUAAAUUGACAGUAGUCGAUAACUUGGGAUGUCCUAAAUGCAAAAGAAACUCUGCCGAAUUUUUGAGAAAAAAAAAUCCACACUCAAAUAAAAAGGAUAUGUUGUGAUCUUUUAACAUUGAUUGAGUCGUACAGUCGGACUGUUACAUAUAUAAUCUAUGUUCUCAUGAAAAAAGUUAUGUUUUUUCAAUGUGGGAUUUGAAACCCAUUAGUAUAUAUACUCUACGUUCCUAAGAAAAAAAUCAUGUUUUUUCAAUGUGGGAUAAAAAUCUUUUUGGUUUAAAUACUUCAACUUAAAAGGAUAACAUAUUAUCUUUUCAAUGUGGUAUUUGAAGCCCUUUCAUAUAUAUACUCUAUAUUCCCAUGAAAAAAGUUAUGUUCUUUCAAUGUGGGAUUUGAAACUCAUUAGUAUAUAUACUCUAUGUUUCCAAGAAAAAAAUCAUGUUUUUUCAAUAUGGGAUAAAAAAACCUUUUGGUUUAAAUACUUCAACUUAAAGGAUAAUUAUUUUUUUAAAUAUUAUUUUAAACUUCAUUGUUUACAAUAUGUAUAACCUAUAUUUACAUGGAUUUUUUUCAUAUGAAAUAUUAAAAUUUUAAUUUUUUUUAAAAUUUUUCCGGGUUGAUCCAAGUUGACCCGGGUUGACCCAUAAAACUCGGGACCCGGUCCCUUGGCCGGGUCAACUCUCAGGCCGGGUUUAAUAACUAUGGUUCAAAUACUAUGAGAUAUUUAGUUGUUGCAAAUUCGUAAACUAAGGUUCUAUUUGGUAUGACAUUUACAAAUUAAUUUAAGUUGUUUUUUAAUUAAAAAAAUUCAUAAGUAUAUAUUUGCAAGAAAUAAGAAUAUGUUUGGCAUAUUUUUUCAAUUAUGAGUUUUGACUUUCAAAUAUAUUUCAAAAGUUAUUUUUUCAUAGAUAAUUACUGUUGUUACCCAUUUUUGGGUUCACAUAAAAAUGAGAAAAUACAAAAACAAUAUAUCAAAAGAAAUCCAAAAAAUAAUAGGAGCGAGAAAAGGAUUGCUGGAAUGCUGAAAAAAUGCCAAAAUUGGUUGAGAUUCAAAAAUGCAAAAGGUUGAAAUUUGACAGUGAGAGCCCUGUUGAUGAGGAAAAUUCAAUUUGAGGAAGAAAAGUCCAAAAUCAGAUGUUUAUGGACUCAAUUAAAUUUUAUCCAAGGUUUAAUUGAAUUUAUAGAGCGUUUGAUUGCAAGAAAAUUGAUUUUUGUAAGUCAAUUUAGGCUUUUAUCGGAAGAAAUUAAAGUUCUGGGGUCCAAUUGUAAUUUUAAAGAGUUAAUUUGGUCAAAUCAGGGGCUUAAUUGCAUAAUAAGGGUUUAAAAUAUAAAAAAGACUGCAAGUCUACAAGAGCUGACAAUAAGAGCAAGGCUGCUACAAAGGAUUUACAAUGGAAUUAGAAAUAAAAUUUAAGUCCACAUUGGCAUUGGCUUAAUCUACAAAAAUAUAGAAAAUCUACACUUGUUGACCUGCUUGCCCAUCCUUUUUUUCUACUUCUUCCUGACCUCCUAUUUGACUCUCAUUCUCACUCAUACAGUACUUCUUGAAGAAAUAACCAAAACACCUCAUCACAAAAGGCACUGAAGCUGCAAUCAAAAGAUAGCGAAAACGCACAGAUUCAUUAGGAGUAACAGCAAAAACCGCAGAUGCAUAGGUUAUCAUAAUUGAAGCUGUAGCAGCCCAUAUUUCAAGAUGGAAAGGGAACCUGUAAGUGAGAGAUGUAAUGACAAGUAUACAAGUGGAGAGAGCCAAAGUGUUUGAUAUCAAGAAAACAUAGAAAGCACGCUUUUGAGAUGCAUAAAUUGCUCUUCCUACACGAUCUCCUUCUUGCCAGACCCCUCCAGGAGGGUUCACCCCGGCCUGGAAAGUCACUGCUGCAAUCAAGGCCACAACUACUAGCAAAACAUUUCUAGCAUCGCUUGGUGAGUCUCUCACUUCAUCAUACUGAAAUUUCUUGAACCCGCUAGCACUUCUUUUAGUAUUGUUUUUUUUAGGCUGAGACAUUUUUACUUGGGCAAAGAUAUGUGGGAGAUACCAGCACUCUGGCUCUCAAGAAGUUACUUAUAUAGAGCCUCCGUUCUAAAGGAUGGGGCCCGCCCUAAUUAUCACAUGUUUCUUGUUGUAACCCAUUUUUAACUCCCAUAUAAAAAAGAAAAAAAUACAAAGAAAAAAAAGUCAGAAGAAAAAUAAAAAAAUAGUAGUAGUGAAAAGAAGAUGUCGGAGCGCCCAAAAAAUAGCUAAAAAAAAUGGUUAAGAAGGUUCAAAAAUACAAAGAUUAAAAUUUGACAGUAGUUUAUUGACUGAUGAGAGCCCUGUUGACUGAUGAGAGCCCUGUUGACAAAGAAAAUUCAAUUUAAGGAAAAAGUCUAAAAUCAGAUAUUUAUGGACUCAAUUAUAUUUUAUUGAAGGUUUAAUUGAAUUUAUAAAGGGUUUGAUUGCAAGAAAAAUUGAUUUUGAAGUCAAUUUGGGCUUUAAUUGAAAGAAAUUAAAAUUCUGGGGUCAAAUUAUAAUUUUUGAGAGUUAAUUUGAUCAAAUCAGGGGCUUGAUUGCAUAAAUAUUGAAGUUUGAAGGCCAAUUAGAGAUUUAAUUGAAGAAAUCCAAAACCAAGAACCAAACUAGAAAUCUCAGUGUUGAUUUUUAAGUUUAUAUAAAAUAUUUCAUUCUCAUCUAAAAAUAUUAAAAAGUAAGAAAGAAAAUCCAAAUUAAUAAAUAUAAAAACCUAAAAUAUGACAAAAUUUGAGAUAAUUAAUUUUUCUAAAAAUCCUAAAAUUCUGUCCACUUAAAUUCCCAUACAUUAACAAUAUCGUAUAUUCAAAGAAGUGAUCAGUGGUGUUAAGAAAAAGAAAUACUUAUCAUGUUUCUUUUAAGGUAAAAAAUACUUAAUGAGCUUUCAUCAUCAAAUAAAGACAUUUGAUAUAAAUAUCAUCCAUUUUGAUGGUCUCAAUCGAUAUCAAUAACACUUUUCUCUCUCUACCGCUUGAAUUUAUUGACCUCUAUCUCCCUUCUCUUAAUUAGGGAUUAAAAAAUAACAAAAAUAAACUUUUGAAUCAAAAUUUAAUUCGAAAAAUGUUGAGGUACUAAAAUUAUAUGAUUUAUGUGAUUUUCAAAUUUUAAGAACCAAAAUACAUCAUUUGCGAAACUUAUGGCAUGAGAUCCAUGUUUGGUGUCUUUUUCAUUUCGGUCCCUCUUCAUUCAAUCCUAUCUUUUCAUAAUAAAUCAAAAUUAAUUGGUCUUUAAUUAGAACUAAAUUAUCAAAAACAAAUUGAGGAACAAAUUAAAAAAAAAACUAUAGUUUUAAGAGCGUGCGAGAAAUAUCACUAGUUUUAACUAUUCCUAAUUUGUGACAAUAUUAUAGGUAAAACUAUACACAAAGUGAAGAGUGGGAGAUUCUCAAUUUUUUGAAAUGCUAAUAUUGUACUAUUUAUCUUGGAAAUCCCUUGAAUUUAUUCACACCAAAUUUAAAAUUCAGAGAAAUUAAAUCUAUGGUUUGUUUAUAAAUAAAUUUUAUUGUUAAUAUUUUUAUUAUUCCAUAGUUACUUUAUGUAAACCUUACAUUUAUUAGAGAAAUCAAAGUAAACAAAUUUAAUGGACAAAUACUAGUUUAUCAAGUACUUAACUUGAAUAAAAGAAGAUACAAAAAUAUAAAUAUUUUUUAUAUAUCUUUAUUGUUUAGAAAUUAAAAAUAAAAUAAAAUAAAUCCAAACUCAUCUAAAAAAAAAGUUAAUUUUGAUGUCAUCAUUCUAAUAAUAGAACUAAUGAAGAUAUUUUAUUAAUAAGAUUUUGUGAAAAUAAGUAUUCAAAUUGAAAAAAAAAAAUUGUUCAUGUUUUUUGCACUGAUGUCUCCAUCCAUUUACAGCCGGAAUGAAGAACGUCACCUAUUUUUAUGGUCUCUUCUUACUUGGAAGAUAAGAUAUAUGAAUAUUCAGAGUUAUUUGAGUCCACUCAUUUUAGUAGAUUUUUAUUUUUUUAUAUUAGUAUUCCAACUUUUCUUUAUUAUAUCAAUUAAAGAGACCAGUUCAAAAGAACAAUAGUGAAUAAGUUUUUUAAAAUAAAGAACAAUAGUGAAUAAUUUUUUUGUAUUUUUUAUGUGUUAUGUCAAAAUAUUUUUUUUAAAUAAAAAAUAUUAUUUUAAUAUAUUUUAAAAUAAAAAUAUUUUUAAAAAUAAUCAUUAUCGAACUUUAAAUAUCAUUAAGAUGAGGCAACCCUCCUUUUGACUCGGCUAGCCUACUGUUCUGUGGGUAUAUUUUAUUGCUGCAUUAUUUUCACUAUAAUUUUCAUUAUAGUGAAAAUUCAGAAUUAUUUUAAUGGAUUCAAAUUCAACAUGGUGAUUUUUUACAGUGGAUUCAAAUUCAACAACAAGGGCUAUUUCCUGCAGCAAGGAGAGUUUCUGAAUUUUCAUUACUCAUACAUCGCGAAAAAUAGUAAAGUUUCUGAGAAUUUUCAAAUCAAACUUGAGUUCAGCUUGUCGUUGCUAACUAUUUUAUUUUCACUAUAAUUAAUUGCUUUAUCACGUUGACGCCAGCAGUCAACAACUAUCUUAUAUUCUCUUGAGUCUUGGCAUCGAAUUCCAUGCCUUUGCAAAAUAUCAAAGGCUCCAGUGCCUCUCUAGCAAUAAUUAAUUUUAUUUUCCCCCAAAUAUUUAUCGAAAUAAUUAAUUUAACCACAAAAAAAAACAAAUAGAUCCAACUACCAUACCAUUCCACAAUUAAAUGUUUUUUGAAUAAAUAACUUUUUUUUUUAGUUUAACGUUGGUGUUCGGGCUAGCUUGCGCGCACCUCGACUAAUCCCACGGGCCCUGAAGUUAACGACCAUGUAAGCCUCCAGUGGCCAUCAUAUGAGCAAUCACAGGGCUCGAACCUAAGACCACAGAGAAAGCAAACCUCUUAAUUCCAAACUCUUACCACUGAACCACCAUCUAGAUAGUUUGAAUAAAUAACUUUUAAAUCAUAAAAAAAGUGAAGAAAGUGAAGAAUAAUCAAAGUGGUGGAUACGAAUGUAAUCAACCACAUUUAGCGAAAUAAUUAAUUUAAUCACAUCCUUUCUAGCUAAUCUAGAUUUUAGUAACUGGUUGGUGCUGCGUUCCAAAUAAAAAUAGAAUAAAAUUUGAUUUUUUUAUUUAAAAUUAUUUUUUUAUUUUUUAAUGUGAUAAUAUUAAAAAUAAUUUUAUAUUAAAAUUAAUUUUAAUAAAAUUUAUUGAAUCCACAAUUAAAGAAGUAAGAUGGAUAGGAAUGUGCAGUUUGAGAUGGAUCCGUGAGACCAUUGCUAUCAAGAGUUUUUUCUACGGGAUAAGAUGAGUCCGUGAGACCCGUAAGCUUUAGAAGAGAUAAUAUGUUUUAAUUUCAAAAAAUAAAUCUCAAUUCAGUGUGUUAGAAUGCAACCACCGACUAAUUAAUGGACAAUGGACCUUAGAUUAAUAUACUAUCAUUUUUUAUUGUAUUUUUUUUUCUAGUCAUAUUUAAUUUUUCAUCAAGUGAUUAAUAUGUAUAAUUCAAUGGAUAUAAUUCUUAACGUUAAAUGCUAUGUAUUUAGAAUUUUGUUGGAUUGAGAAAUGGAAGAUAGAAAGAGAGACAGAGCAGCUCAAAAGAAAAAGAAAAAGAAAAAGAUGGAACAAAAGUGGAACAGUUUUUAUUAACUAAAUAAACUUAUUUUAGGAAGCUAUAAUUAUUAAUAUUAAAUUUAAAAUUCAUAUUGCAAAUCCUGAAACAUAUCAUGUGGUUUAAUAGAAAUUAUUUUUAUAAACAUAUGUGGCUUAACAUCAUUAAUCAAAAGCUUAUAAUUUCUUUCAUUUUAUAUAUAUUAAAAGUAAAUAUUAAAACCUAUUAUAUUAUUAAUUCAGAUGUGAAUUAUAAUUCUAAAAUGUUUUUUAAAAAUUCUCUAUAUACUACAACUAGCUGAAGAAAGUCGUCUUCAUCGGACCAUCCAGUACCCAAAAAAUAAAAAAAAGAAUUGCAUGAAAGUAAUUAACCGGAACUUAUAAUCCUUCUUCAAACGUUGACCCGGAGUCAAAGUCUUAUUUUAAGGGAAAAAAAACAUGAAUAAAAUGUUAAUGUUAUGAGCUCACUUUCCAUGAUGAUGAUGAAUAUAAAGACUUGCAACUGUUUUUUUUUUUUUUUGUUUAUUAUUAUUCAAAUUGCGUGUGGAAAAUUAUGCCUUUUGAAUUUGAUGGAAAUUACAUGUGAAAAAUCACGCCUUUCGAGAUAAUUUAAAUUACGGUAGUUAUUAUUUUUGUUGUUAUAAUUAUAUAAAAAGAAAAGGAUAGCUUAAUUAUUCUUUUUUUAAUCAAAAACAGUUCACUUCAAGCAAUAUUUAUUAGCAUUCUAAUCAUUUAUUAUUGUUGCCAUACCCCUUUAAAUAUUCUAUUUGCUCAUUGUUACUGAAAUGCUCACGUAGGAGUUAACUUUGUUAAUGUGCCAAUGUUAUUAUUAUUUCAAUUUUGAAAAAGAAUAAUGACUUUGUAAUAAGCUUUGAUUUAAAUCAAAAGUUAAUUCUAGUCAAAACUCGUACCAAUUAUAAUUUAAAUUUUGACUUAAAUCAAGAUUUGUUAUAAAAUUGAGUAAAAACUUUACUUUAAUAAAAAAUAAAAUUUUAACUUAUGAUAUAAUUUUUUCUUGAGUAAAAAGUAAAAAAAAAACAACUUAAAUUAAUUUGCAAAACUAAACCAAAUACAAUCAAAAUUUGGACUUAAAUCAAAAGUUUGUUAUUACACAGUUAAUAAUCGAAAGUUAUUUUAAAUCCUCUAGCUUUGAAAAGAAUUAGUGUUUGCCUUUGAGAUUGUAAUUUUUUUUCAGCGUAUAUUCAAUUUAAUAUUUUUAAUAAUACAAAUGAAAAUAAACAGCAAAUUUAAUUUAUAAAUGUAACUAUCUCAAAACAAUGUUGAGAAGGAAGAAAGAUUAGUAGAAUAAAAAUAAAAUUAAUAGACUUUUAAAAAUCAAAGAGUUUUUAAUGUUAAAAAUAUUUUUUUUAUUUAAUAUAUAGACCCAAUUUUGUAUUUCUUUUUAAAAAAGAUAACUCUAUUUUAAUUCUGAUUCUUUAGCAACACAGUUUUUCAUUCACUAUAACACACACAAAUUGUAAUAUUAAUGAGGAGAGGUAUUUGAAUUGGGUGAGGCUGACGAAGGAACUAACGAGGAGAAGGAGCUGCCGCUGCUGUCAUCUUUAACAGAGUUACGGCUGUACUGGUUACCUGAGCUCAAAUAUAUAUGGAAGGGGCCCACUAGAUAUGCUGAACUUGUGGUAUCUUGACAAACUAACAUUUACAAAACGACGUGCAGCUCAGUCAAUGCCUUCAUUGCCUAGCGCCUUCAAAAAAUCAACUGCUUAGUUAGAUUCGUCCUUGGCUUGCUUAGAGCGACAGCCACAUUAAAUGACAGCCACCGAAAUGUUUGACAUGUGGCCUACAAUGUGAAUUAUGUGUUAACAAUUAGCUAAUUUUUUAAUUCUCUUAAAUUUGAUUAAUUUAAUUAGUUACGGUGGCUGUUAGGUAGUAUUUAAUAAGUUAAGUUGCUUGAUGUUUGAUAAUUAAAGGUGACUAUUAAAUGAUAUCUAUAAAAAAAUUUAUUUAAUAAAUAUGAGAAUUUUUAAAUGUUUAAAUCAUUUAAGAUUUUUGUUGAUUUAGUUUAUUCGUUUGCUUUCCCAUAAUUUCUCAGAUACCAAACACUUUGUUAUGUGUUGAAUAAAUAAUUAACCACCAAUUAAAAGCAGAAGGAACAAUAUUUGUGUUUGAAUCCUGAGAAAAUUGAGUAGGAAAAUAAAGGGAAAUUUUUGCAUUUUAUGAAGUUUAUUUUUCUUAGUUAUGAUGAUUUAUUGUUUUGGAGGUCCCUAAAAGUAGAAUAAUGGUCCCCAAAUUUACAAUGUUUUCCUGCAAUCAAACAGUGCCUUUUUUGAAACUGCUCAAUUAUUAAUCGCUUGGUGUCUACUUGUCCAUUCCAUUGACCUCUUACAACCACAUGAUGAGCUUGUUAUUGUGAUUGAUCUUCAAAAGCUCUAUCUUCGAAUCUUCUUCUAAAAUUAUUUUAAAAACAGAUUUAUUUUACGUAACUAUCUUCAUUUCCUUCAACAAAUAUAUUUUUGUCUCUUAUGUAUUUGUUUAUUCUAACUUAAAAUACUAAUUAAACACAGUCUAAUUUUUUUAAUUUGAUUUAUAAUUUUUUUAAAAAAUAUUUGAUUAUCACAACAUAAAAUAAAAGUUUAAAAAAGAAACACUCACAGGCCUACACAACACAUGUUGGCCUAUUCCAAACUAUCAAGUCAAGCAUUGAACCUUUCCAAAUUGCAUUUUUUUUUUUGGUCUAAUUACAGUCCCCAUUUUCAUUUACCGUUGGCCUUACACAAAAACAUCCCUUUCAAGUUACAAAACGACGUGCAGCUCAAUCAAUGCCUUCAUUGCCUACAGCCUUCAAAAAAUCAACUCAUUAGUUAGUUUCGUCCUUGGCUCGCGUAGAACGACAUCCACUUUAAAUGACAGCCACCGUGAUGUUUGACUUGUGGUUUAGAAUAAGAAUUAUGUGUCCUUAAUUUUUUAAUUUUAGUAAUUGAAUUUUUUUUUAAUUAUAGUGGUUGAUUGGUAGUGGUAAUUGGUGUUUCAUAAACAAAGAUAAUAAAUAGCUGGUACUUAUAAAAAAUCGUAUACCAAUUUGAUCCAAAAUCUCUUAUUGAAUUAAAAGACCUUUACUUUUAGUCGGGGGAUAAAGCAAUUAUUUUUUUUGUUUUUUUUGAAGAAGUUUUUUCUUAAAAACAAUAAAGAUAUAUAUCUAUUUACUAUUUAUGUUUGUUGUUUGCGAAGAUGACGUUUCCAUCUUUUUUUUUAUAUCUAUACCGGCUAAAAUCAUGGGUGAGGACUUUUAAAUCCUUAAGAAUUUAUGUAAGGAGAGAAAAUAUAAUGAAAUUUUGAAGAAAUAAAGUUUAAAAAUAUACAUGCUAUAAAAGUUAAAAAUAAAAAGAUUAUAAAUCUUGAACUUUGAGGAUUGAUGUGGUAUUUAUAUCUUACAUGUUUUGUACUUUUGAAGAGAUGAAGGAUUGAAAAGUAAUUUUAUUAUGUAGUAUUUUAAGUUAUAUUUCACUCAAAAUAAUAUAUAUUAAAUUAAUAUAUAAUAUUGAGAAAUCUGUGUGAGAUCUUGAAAUUUUUUUUGAAUGGAAUGUUGGGUUAAAACCCACUAAAAGUAAAACAUAAAUUCACGUAUAUUGUCUAGAUCCAAUCACAUUAGACUUGAGACGCACCCUCGAGCCCAUUAAAAGUAUAUGGUUCAAGGCAGUGCUUGGACUCAGAGCAGUUAGGCUUUUGGGAGUAUAUUUUAGCCAAUUAAAUUUUGGUCAAAAGCAAAUAGAAAGCUAUUGUUCUGUUGAUUGAUUUCUAUUCAUUAGUCUUUUUCUUUCAUUGACUCGGUUUCUCUGGGUGCUGACAAGUUAUUCAUGGUGAAGUGAUAAUCUCUUCUUUUCUUCUACUAAAAUUCUUGAUGUUUAGGCCGGGAAUAAAUUUAGCUCCUCUUGUUUACCUAGAAAAUUGAGGGAAAGCUGUAGCUGAAAUAAUUUAAAACCAUUUAAGAUUUUUGUCAGUUUAGUUUAUUCGUUCACUUUCUGUAGUUUCUCCGAUGCCAAACACUUUGUUAUGUGUUGAAUAAAUAAUUAACCACCAAUUAAAGCAGAAGGAACAAUAUUUGUGUUAGAAAAUUGAGUGGGGAAAUAAAGGGAAAGUUUUGCGUUUUACGAAGUUUUUUUUUCUUAGUUAUGAUGAUUUAUUUUCUUGGAGGUCCCUAAAAGUGGAAUAAGGGUCCCAAAAUUUACAAAGUUUUCCUGCAAUCAAACAGUGCCUUUUUGAAACUGCUCACUUACUUGUUGUCUGCUUGUCCAUUCAAUUGACUCCCUGCAACCACAUGCUGUAUUGGAGGUUUCUCUACCAGUGAAGAUAGCAUCAAAUGAUGAGCUUGUUAUUGUUCAAAAGUUCAAUCUUCAAAUCUUCUUCUAAAAUCUUUAAUUUUACUCUCAUAUUGAAUUUAUGAAAAUGUUAUUAUUCAUAGAGUUCAUAAAGAAAGAUGAUUACCCUUUUUUAAAUAGUUUUAAAAACUGUUAGCCAUGUGUUACUAAAUAACUUCUGUAUUUUGUAUUAUACUUUAUAUAUAAUUGCUAGAAGAUAAAAUAAUCUGUUUUUUAUUUAUGUAUAUCACAAUACUUUUAUCCUAACAUUAUUUUUUAAAAACCAUAACUAAAAGUAUUUUUUUUAAUUUAUUUUUUAAAAUCGUAAUCACAAAAGCUACCUUAGUGUAUGUUUGGUAAUGUGGUGUAGGAUACUUUUACAAAGUAUUUUUAAAUUGAAAAUGUAUUAAAAUAAUUUUUUUUAAUUUAAAAAAAAAGCACUUUAAAAUCAUCAAAAAAUAAUUAAAAAAUUAAAUUAAUAUUUUUUUAAAAUCAAAUACAUUUUAAAAGUAAUUUGAAAUGGACACCCUUAGCAUUCAUUUGUUGCAGGAAAAUGCUACACAGAGAUUUAUUUAUUUUUCACGUUGUUUUGUUGGAUGUAAAGCUGUUUCUAUUUUCUUAGAGCAGCGCCAACCUCCUCUUGCUGAUCUCUCUUCAUGCUAUUGGCUUUUUUGUAAGCAUUUUGUUCUGUGUCGGAAAUUAAAAGUCUGUUUGGUAAGUUUUUAAAUUAUGAUUUUUUUUUUGUUUUAUGUCAUAAUCCAAAAAUUAUUUUUCAUAAAUAACUUACGAAAAAAAAUAAAUAACUUCAAGUUAUAAAGAUGUUUGGUAAAAAUGAUUUAAAUUAACUUUUUUUAAUGAAAAAUGUAACAUGAGUUAUAGCUCAUAGGUUAAAAGUUAAAAAAUAUUAACUUUUUUUAUUCAAAUUUGGAAUAAACUUCUGAUUUAUUUAAGUCAAAAAUUGAAAAAUAACUUAAAUCAAAUUAUAAAAGUAAUACCCAAUAUAACUUAAAUUUAACUUAUAGUAUGCUUCAUAAAAUUGGCAAUUUCCUGUACAGCAUAAGCUUCUUAUUAAUAAACACAAAUGAUCCAACAACUGUGUAUAUGUUAUUAAAUGAAUUGAAACUCCUUUUGAUAUUUAGACAACAAAGAAUUCGGACCUAUACUUGAUUAGGAUUUAGAUUAUGUCAUUGAUACUCAAACAGGUGUAUUCAUAAAUAAAAAAAUUCAUACAAUUUUUUUUAUUUUAAUCCCAAAUUGAUAUAGUAAAAAAAAAUAAUCUCCUGAGUCGAUGAGUUAUCUAAUUGACCCAUCAAGCCAUGUCAUAUUUUAUAAUACUGCUAUUUAUUUAUAUAUAAAAAAUAUUUUUAUUGAUAUUAUCAUCAAUCUUCCUAUGAUAGAAUAGAAAUAUCUAAAACUCUAUACGGUAAUAUAGAAAAUUGAAGGCUUUAUGGCAUUACAUGCCUUGAAUUGGUUUUGUACAUGCAGCAGUAAUGUUUUCGCGUACACCCAUGAAACCAUUGGCCUGCCUGCAACCGAAAAAAAAUUGAAAUGAGAAAGGAAUGCCUUUGGCUUUCUUCAUAAGUAAACCAAACAUGAAGCAAGGAAUGCCUUUUCUAUUCUUUAUAUAUAUAUAUAUAUGUGGGCAAAUCAUAUUCCUUGAGUGGGAUUAGGGACAAUCAUAUAGCUCGAGUUUCAUUCUUGGAAGUGGCAGAGAGUAUUCCUUAUUUAAUUAAUUAUUGUCUUCUUUUCAGGUCCUUUCGUUUUUUUUACCCCAAUCAUCAUAAUUAUAGGAACACUACAUCCAUUAAGGAUUAUAUUUGUGGUUGCAAUCUAUUGAUAGAGAGGCUGUGGGUGUCUAAGUGAUCGUGAACCUUUCAUUCGUUCCGGUCUCUGCUAUAUAAGGUGUGUGUAUUUUAACUAAUUCUUGUAUUAUUAAUUUGUUUUUGUCUUUAUAUUAUAUUGUUAUGCAUAUAUUAUGUGUUCAUACAUGUUUGCAAGUAUGAUCCAUGAAGAAAGAAAGUGAAAUACUUGUUCAAUUUAAUCCUUAUUCUCUCCUACUAGACUCAAUCAAUCUCUAUAUAUACAAGUUUAUAUGGAAGUCUAUAUAUCUCGUUGUAGGGUUGAAUAAUUGUAAAUACAGAUCAAACACCCAUUAUUAAAAAGAUUAUGGUGUUUUAAUUUAUUAGUCAAUUAGAAAACUAAUUAGUUUUAAAAUCUUCUUAAUAAUACAUAUAUAAAAUUAAAUUAAGACUUUAAUCUUGAUAGCUAACAUUUUGAACUUUUACCUUAAAUUUGAUAUGGAUGUAAAAUCUACAAAUUCACAAGACUAAUAAAAUUUCUCUGUGUUUGGUGAAUUAAAGUAGGGUAAUGGUCUAAAUAAUAUUACUCUUGUAAAAGUUGGAUCUCCUUCAAUUUUCAACCUCAUCUUUCUAUUAUAGUGAAAAUAAAAAUGAUGAACAUUCUAACUAACUAUAAUGUUUGGAUUUAAUAGUGCAUGGCUAGCUUUCACCACCAUAAUUUGAUCUUGACACCAUCAUUCGUUUUUUUUUUUUUUUUUUAUUAUAUCACUCAUUUUGUUUUAUAUUGGAAAGCCCAAAAAUCCACGAAGUAAGAGCAGACCUUCCCAUUACUUAAUAAUUGAGGAAAUUAGAUUCAUUUUAAUCAAAUCAUCUUCAAUAGAUAAAGCUAUCAUGUAAUUAUUUGCUAGGCUAAGCAUAUUUGUAUAUUCACAGUCCCUCUUAAACUCUAAAUACUAUAAAUCUACAAGGAUUUGUAUGAUGUUAAGAGAAAUAUAUAUCCCCUUUUAGCCAACACUAGAUACUUUUCUACGCUACCAUAUGAGGUGAAUCAAUUUUUUUAAAGUAAAAAAGAAUAUAUAAGUGUACUUAACAUGUUUUGUAGCAGGAAAAAAUAAUCUAUGGAGGGGUUGAGCAAAGUGAUUUAAUCAACUUUAUAGGUUCAAAAACAACCCAAACGAGUGGUUAGCAUAUAGUUUGACUAAAAAAAUCAAGAUAAUAUAUUUUUUAAAAAUAAUAUUAAGACGACAACAUAUUAGAUUGACUUGGAUUUACUAGAAUCAACUUAGGUUAACCUAUCAAGUUCCUGACCUGAGUUAUAAGACCUUAAUAACCUUACAAAAGAUAACUAAGAAAAAAUAUUAAGCCUAAUUUCUAAGCAACACAAUAUUGCAAAAUAAAAUUGAAAAAAAAUUAAUUAAAAAAAUGACAUAAAAAACCAUCAUAAUCAACCCAAGUUAACCAACCAAACUCGUAACCUAUGUCAUGAGGUUAGGAUAAUCUCAAAGAAAACAAAAUGAAAUAAAUUAUGAAGCCUAAUAAUGAACUCCACAUUGAAAAAAAAUUGAAAAAAAAAAUAUUCAAUUAAAAAAGGAUAAAAAAAAACUAAGACAACUAGGCUAACCUGCGAUAGAAUCAUGAGACUGUGAUAUGCCCAUAGAAAGUAAAUAAAAAAAAUUAUGAAAUUCAAUUCUUAAUUAAUACAAUAUUGAAUGAAUAAAUUAAAUAAAAUCAAUUAAAAAAUAUCUCAGGUCAACUCGGAUUAACCUGUCAAACUCGGGUCUUAAUACCAAAAUAUAUCUAUAAAACAAAAAACAAUUAUAAAGUGAAAGUCUUGAUAGCUAACAUUUUGAACUUUCACCUUAAAUUGAAGUUUUAUAUGUGAAUUUCUCAUUUGUUUAUCUCUUUACUAUCAAGUUCUUAUACAGAUUCUUAAAUCAUGGUUGGUUGAUGUUUAACUAAGAGAAAUGCACAUAUCAAACUACAUUCUUAUUAUGAGAGAUUCACUAAAUUGAGAACUAUUAUGGUCUUAUGCCUCUACCUAGUACUUUUUAUGAAUAUCUACAAAAUCUAUCCAUACUUUUGUUUAAAGCGACACCCCUCCUUAUGUUCUUAUAGAUGAAUGGCUAAGUUUCAUAAAAAAACAUGAACAUAAUCAAAAUGGAUUAUUCCCUAUACUCUUUUUAUUUAUUUAUACAAAAAAUCAAGAUAAGGUUUUUAGUAACCAUACUUUUUUUGGUCUAAAUCAAAUGACCUAUAUCUUUACAAUAAUUUCAUUUAUGGUUAGGGUCAUAGGAUUGUUUGGCUUUAACAGAGUAAUUUUUCCAAUACUUUUGGUUCCUUUUAAGUUGAUAAACUUAACAUCUUUUGUUAAAAACACAUCUUUGGCUUCAAAGCACAUUUUCUAAUUCUUAGAGCCUUUUGUAAAUUUAGCUAGUAUUGUAUUCAACUUGUCAAACUUUUCUUGUAAGGAUUUAUUUUCUUCUUCAAGUUGAUUUACCUUUUUAUUUUCAUCAAUCACAAUGCAAUCUUUAUUUUCUAGAGUUUCUUUUUCUAGCAAACAAGCAUGCAUAAUUCUCUUUCAAUAAACUAUAUUUUAAACCUAAAUUUUUAAAUGUAUCAUAUAAAUAUUCAAGAGCAUCAUGCAACUCAUCAGAGGUAGGGUCAGAUUCAUCAUCCAAAUAUUGUAUCUCAUUUUCACUUUUGAUAGAAAACUUCUUAAUCACCUUGUAAUUAAGGCAAUGUCUUCUUCAAUGCUUUCUUGAUCAUCAUCAUCAUCCUCAAUGUGGUGAACGGCUUCAAAUGCCAAAGAGUGUACAUUUUCAUUCCCUCACUAAUAUCAUGAGUUUUUACUUAACUCUCGUAGGUUCACAAGUAUGGUUUUGUUUACAACAAACUCUUUCAUAGAGUGGAUGAUAUGAAUGAAGUUCUAGUAUCUCCAUAACUCACUAAAUAGUACUUAUAGGAUUUAAAAGUGUUUAAGUAUAGUGAUAAUGAAAAUGUAUACUCUUUGUUCUAGAAUAUAAAGGUUUAAACCCACUACUUAGAGUAUAAUCAAUAAUAUUUUAUUGUUAUUUUGAUCUUAGAGUAUGUUGUUCAUCAUAUUUGUUCAGAAUCCCUUGCUAAUUUUACAAUUAGACAAGCUAUAUAAUUGUUUCUAAGAAAAACUAGUCGUUGGAACCCCACUAAUGACUAAAACGAUCGAUUGGUUCAAAUUGAUCAAACCAAUCAAUCAACCGAUUCCUGCAAAAUUCCCAAGUGUUUAUCACUGAUAAACAAGUGAUCGUCUGAUUCAUACAUAAUUCUCAAAUGUUUUCAUCAUUGAUGAACAAAUGGUGGUUCAUUUCAUGUAGAAUUCUAUAUUUAACAGUUUUAAUCUAGGUGAAUUCUUAGAGCCAUCUAUCUUAGAUCAUCUUUUAUAUCAAUCCUAAAUGUAUAUAGAGUAAUGUGUGUGAGUUUAAUUUAAUUAUACCAUCAAGUAAGAUGUAAAGAUUUAUAAAUUAAACACUAAAAUGAAUGCUUGAACUUUUUGAUUAAUUUUUUAUGAAAUCCUUCAUGUUUAUUAAUGUGAUCUUAAUAUGAAACAUGUUUAAAGCUUAUUCUCAACCAGACAUAUUAUUAGUCUAUGUUUUUUUUUUUGUUAUAAUCAAAAUAUAAAAAAAUAUGAAUGUCUGACUCUAAAGGUCAAUAAAAUCAUCACCAUUUAGAGUAAAAAUAUAUCUAGACUAGGAUUUGCUAUCAUUAAUAUCUAAUUUAAAUCUAGCAUUUGAAUAUCCAUAACUACUGGUUUAUCUCAUUUAUAGAUCAUAAAGAAAUUCUUAUUUCUUUUUAACUACUUCUUAGACUCAAAACCUUUAGGUAGUGUAAUAUACAUAUCUUUAUGAAUUUUCCUAUAUAGAAAAGCAUUUUUUACAUCUAUUUGCUAAAAUUCAUAAUAUUAGCAUGUAGCUAUAGCAAGAAGGUUUUUACAUAACUAUUAGCAAGAAGGUUUCAUCAAAGUCAAUUCUUUGCUUGUAACCAUUUUCAACUAUUCUGGCAUUGUACAUCUAUACGUUGCCAUUAAUAUUAAUUUGUUUCUUAAAGAUCUAUUUACAUUUAGUGAGUUUUACCCUUUAGGUUGAUAGCCAAGUUAUAUUUUUCUUACACAUGAAUUUUACAUCCUUGAUUCAUUUUAUGGAAUCAAUAUUAAAUAUUGCUUUCAUGUAAUUGGUAGGCUUAUUAAGUAUAAGCAACUCAUCAUUUUUAGCUUAUAUAAAAAAUCCAUAUCUCAUUAGUGUGUGACAUCUUCUAUUAGAUCUAUGAAGUUAUUGUGUUUCUUGAGCUUUAAGUUGAGCAUCCAAUGUUAUAUAUUCUAGCUCAUGUUUUAAUUAGAUGUCAGUUUAUGGUUCUUGAAUUUCUUCAAAUUUUAUUUUUCUUUCACUACUCCUUUCAAGAAUAAAUUCUUUUUAAAAAUAUAGCAUGUUUGGAGACAAAUAACUUUUGCUCAAUGGAAUGGUAGAAAUAUUAUCCAAUAGUUUUUUUUCAAGAUAUCCUAUAAACUUAAAUUUAUUUGAUUUAGCUCCUAACUUUCAUAUAUGAUAUGCUUUACAUAAAUAUCACAUCCCCAAAUCUUCAAGUAUAAUAAGUUAAGUCUCCUACCUUUUCAUAUCUUAUCUGAAGUCAUAUUACUAGAUUUUGUUGGAACUUUAUUUUAAAACUAAGCAACAAUUUUUUAGGCUAUAUACCUAAAAAAAAAUAAAAGAUUUGUAUAGCUCAUAAUAGAUCAUCCCAUACCCAAUAGGGUACGAUUUGUCCAAUUUGGAAACUUUAUUAUAUUAUGGUAAAUGUCAUAAUUAUUGAUUCUUUGGAUGAGAUUCGAAACUCAUCUUACACAUGAAUUUUAUAAUUAAUACUAUUUAAAAAUAAAUAAAAUAUUUUUUUUCUAAAUUCACCUAUAAUGAUGAUACAUUUCUUAAUCAUAUAGGUUCUAUUAUACCCAAUAUAUAUCCACUUAUUACUUUUGAUUAAAGCAACAUAUUGUUAGGAUUGAAACAUAACAGUUACAAUAUGAACCAACUAUUUCAACUACUAUCUCCUUCUCACCACCACUAUUAACAUCUUCUCUUUAUCCACCACAAUCACCUCACCACCAUCUCUUCUUUUAUCACCAUUACCACCACUACUGUCAUCAUUUCACUACCACUAUCACUACCACUUCACCACAAUCUCUUUCACCACCAUUGUCAUCUCACCACCAUCACCAUCUCAUCACCACCUCUUUCAUAAUCAUUGUCAUCUCACCACCUUCAUCACCAACAUUAUUAAAAAACAUUUUACAUGUAAAACAUUGAAUGGUAAAGUAUUUUUCAAGCCAAACAUUAAAUUUAAAAUAAACUAUUUUUUAUUUGCAAAACAAACAUACUCUUAACAUAUAAUUUUAUCUCUUCUAGAAAAUUCAAUAAAAAAAUUCAUUUUUUCAUGUUUACCUAAGGUUAGCCUUCACAAUUAUAAUUCCGUUCUCUAUCUCUUUUGGGAUAUUUUCAGUUAGAAAUAAUUUCCAUUCUAUAAUUCUCUUUUAGGAUAUCUCAUUUAGGAUGUUAAUUUUUAUAGUGUUACAUAUUUUUUUAAAAACUUUCUUUGUAUUGAACCGUUAUUGCUUUAAAUUCCCUCAUGUAUACAUAACAUGAUUAAUGAGCUGUACCAAAUUUUUAUUUUGAGCUUCUAAGAACAUUCCAAAAGUGUCAUUUGAAAAUGAAUUUAAUCAAACUUCUAUACAUUUUAUCCUUGUUGAAUAUGUCAUCUUUUUCUUCAUCUUUUAAAUAUUUUUUAUUUUAUUUUGAAAUCAUCCUCACCAUGUUAUUUCAUACAUUUUCUAUUUUUCUUAUAUAAUCUUUUUAAUUUGAAGUUGUCUUUAAUUUUUUUAUUCUCUACUUAGUAACAAUAUAAUCUUCAUCGUCUUCAAUUCUGUAAAAAAAAUUAAAAAUUGUUAUAGAAAUCUGUCUUUCUUAUAUAGCUGGGAAAGUUAAAUUUUAUUCUAAUAAAUGAAUUUUAAUGCAAUUGUAUAUAAGAAAAUACACUCUUAGAAAUGUAUAAAGAUAUCAAAGGAAGAAAAAAUCUUAAAGAACUAAGAAGGGAAAGAUAUUAAUAAUCUAUAUCUUUUUUUUUUUAUUAACGUGGGUGUCCGGGUCAGCUUGUGCGCACCUCGACUAAUCCCAAAGGCCCUCAAGUUAACGACAAUAUAAGCCUCCAAUGACCCUGAGGUUUGUGAGACUCAAACUGGUGACUUUUAGAAAGCAAACCUAAAGUAUGACCAGUUGAGCUACGCUUCUUGUGGUUCUAUAUCUUAAAUUUUAAUGUAUAGAGUUUUUUUAUUAACAAUACAACCAUAUCAAUAUUCUAUAUUUUAUUAACAACACUGUGACAAUUUAAAAUUAAUAACAAAUUAAUUUAAAGAUAUUAUAGUCUUCAACAAAAGAUAACACCCUAACUUUUGUAGAUGGCACAGAUAGAUAUAGAUAAGGGGACAAGGAAUUAAUUGUUCAUUGGUAUACUUAUACCUUGCCUUGUUGCUUUUGAAGCUUGAAAAGGCCUUCUCGUUUUGUUCCUCGCUGAGCAAUCAACACCAGUGCUUUUCGCGCAUAUUUUCACAAAUUAAGGUAAUAAAAUUCCUAUUCUCAUUCUCUCAAUGCCUAUUUUACUUGUAGUGAACUCCUCUCACAGUCGGCAUCCUUAUUUCUCUGAUUUUCAGACUGGUGGAAAAUGGCUAUCGAAAGUGUUGGUGGAUCCAUUUUAUCUAAGAUAGCAGAACUCUUGGUGGAACCAACAAUAAGGCAGUUCCGUUACAUGUUCUGUUUCAACAAUUUUGUUCAAGAAUUCAAUGAACAAAAGAAGAACCUGGCUUUGACUCUUGAUCGUUUGCAAAACGCUGUCGAAGUUGCUGAAAGAAAUGCUGAAGAAAUUGAGAAGGAUGUCAACAAAUGGUUGGAAGAUGCAAAAAACGAAAUUGAAGGUGUUAAUCGUUUGGAAAAUGAAAAGGGAAAAAAUAGCAAAUGCUUUAAUUGGUGUCCAAAUUGGAUACCACAAUUCAAGUUAAGCAAGGCCCUGGCAAAAAAGAUAGAGACUUUGAAAAAACUUGAAGAAAAUAGACCAUAGAUAUAGUUACAUGCAUAACUUAUUAGAUUAAUUAUAUUUGUGUCAUUUAUGUAGGUGUUUAACUAAUCAUCAUGAAUUUCUCCUUCGUUUAUCACUACAACAUUUAACAGUUUUAUUGACGGACCAAAUCUGUCGGUGUAAGAUUGCCACUUCAUCAUUAAAUUUUUUACCGACUAAAUUCCCGACGGAAAGCGUCCAUCGACAUAGCAUUCGUCAGUAAUUCGACAUUCUGUCGGUAAAAAAAAAUACAGAUGGUUUUACAGACGGAAAAUGCGUGCCAAAAAAAAAUUCCCACUAAACAUAUACCGACAUAAAUAUUCCAUCGAUGAUCGCGGCAUAUGCAGUAAAUAUUUUUCAACUCUCUGUAAAAUACCGGCGGAAAAAUUCCGUCUGGAAAUCCGUCGGUGGUGUUUUUUUAAAAUUAAAAAAAAAACUCAUUUAUAAUAAAUAAUAUAAAAUUAUAUAAAUUAAUAGUAAAAAAACCAAUUAUGCAAAUAAAAUUGUAUUAAACAUCAAAAAUAGAAAAAUAAAGUUAAAUAAUACUCAUCCAAAUAUUCAUUACAAAUUUAAUGUGUUUCCAAAAAAAUAAAUUAAACUAGAACAAUGGUGGAGCUGGAGGGUGAGGAGGAGGUGGUGGAGGCUGGUCAUUUCCGGGACCAAACAACAAAUAUGUAUCACCCAUAUGUGAUCUAAUGUUCAUGACCAUUUGGCGGAGUUGUUCAUAAUUCACCGACGGUUGCUUGUAUUUUUCGAUGAGAUGAGUCGUGUGUUGCUGCAAGGCCACGAACUCCUUAGAUUGGGUGCUCGAUAUUGAUUAGGAGCUCCCAACGGUUGAGACAUUACGGGUCGCCUGCAAGUUCUCGGCCAUAGUAUUGGAGAGCCCGUACACCCGAUUUUUAUCGAGUCCACCAGACAAUCCUACCUUCAUCCACAAAUCCAGAUCGAAAUUCGGAUGGGACGAAGAAUCGUCCCCAUAUAUCUCCCUCAACCGGCUAUUAUAGGUCUCUUGAAAAUGAAAAUAGAAAUCAUCAUAUUCAAUUCAAGAAAAAUAAUAACUUACGAAAUAAAAUGGUUGAACGAACAUACCACGAAGUGUUGAACGCGGUUGUCAACGAACUGUUGCACCCCUUUUUGGUGGUUUUCACUCUGUACGUGCGUCUCUACAAACAGCUCCAUUGGACUCGGCUCACGUCCAAGAGACGUAGCCUAUAAGAAGAAAAAUUAAUUAAGUAACAACAAAUUUAUUAACGAUAUAUUUCAUUUAAAUUAAUCUUACCAUCCGUUUCGCAUGUGUAGCAAACGGAACGAAGCUAUCGGUGUGCGUGGUCACCGAACCAUGAAUUUGCCGGUUCCGAUUGUCAGCACCAGACUGUGAGCGUCGUGUGAAUUGUUCAAACAUCACGUGCUCAAUAUAUUGCAGCCAUAUAUCCCCCGGGAUGUAUUGCGGUUUGAAAUCCCUCCAAACCACCACGCAUUCCAACCUUGUAGACCGUUAUUUUCUGGCGUAUUUUUUUGCUUUUUUUUGUUCCCUCCAAACCGCCACGUCAUUCCAACCUUGUAGACCGUUAUUUUCUCGCGUAUUUUUUUGCUUUUUUUGGUGCUUCAUACUAAAAAUCACACAACCUACUUCUAUAGUGACAAAUUAGAUUUUAAAACAUAAUUUUUUUUAAAAAAAUAUUGUAUUGUUUUCGAUGUUACCUAGUUGCCACGUGAUUUUCGUACACCCUCCUCGCAACAUUGUCAUGCGCACUAUCCCACUUGAAUUUGUGUUGUGUAUAAAUAAUUUAUUUAAAAUAAAAAUAAUAAUUUAUUUAUAAUUAUAAUAAUAAUUUAUUAAAGAUAAGCUGGAAAUUAGAAAUUAACACCAAUUUGAAAUCUUCGAAAUCAUGCAUCGAUAUAAGGUCUCCAUUCAGGAUGUCUGGAAACCUGACUCCAUUGAAAUAAUAGAAUCUCCAUCGACGAUUUAAACACCAAUGAUAUUAAUCGGGCGACCUCAAAGUUUCUGACCCUGAAAAUAAAUUAAAAAAAUAAAAAUUUGAUUAGUUGUUCAUAAAUUAUGUUAUAAUUAAAAAAAAACUAAAACCAAAAAAAACUUAGAAAUUGUAGAUUUGAAUGUUAACUAACCAAGGAAACUGGUCUUGCUCAAUUUGGAAAUGUAGAACUCCAGUUAUGGGUUACCAACUGAGACUGAGUCGUGAUUGAUUAUGUAGGGCAGUAGGACUAAUUAGUAAAUGAACAAUUUUGACUAUCUUGGAGGCAAAACUGGGUUCUCCUCCCUCAAAGAACUAGUAGCCUCGUGUCUUAACUUUCUAACGAGAUCAAUCUCCGUUAAAAUGGAGUUUUAGAACUUUAGAUAUAGUUAAAAAUCUGAUGAGUGUUCAGACAGUAACAGUUGGAAAUUGGACAGUAACAGAUCAAAGUCAAACAGUAAUAGUUCAAAGUCAGACAGUAACGGUUGGAAAAGUCAAACAGUAACAGUUCAAAGUCAGACAGUAACCGUUGGAAAUUGGACAGUAACAGUUUAAAGUUAGACAGUAACAGUUGGAAAUUAGACAGUAACAGUUGGAAAUUAGACAGUAACAAUAGACUUUCAUGUGAAUACUAUAAAUAAAAAUAUAAAAGAAUUGAGUCAUACGAACACUUAUAUAUUGAGAUAUUAACUCUGAAAAUAUACAUGAUAUAUGUAUGUAUGUUAUUAUGAGGAAAUGAACAUGCAUAGAAAGUAACAUAUGAGUAAUGGAUGAAUAUGAAUUCUCUAUAAUAUCGGCUUGAAAGAAUCAUAACAAAAAAAAAGAAAACUUCCUUGUGAUUCAGGAGGAGCAACCAGGAUUGGAUCUUCUGUUAGGGGAGGUCGUGAGACAGGCGAAGCAGGUGCGUGAUUUUCCCUCCUAUUUACACUUAUACAAUUUAGAAUCCUUCUGGUGAAUGCAAUUAUAAUAAAUAUCGUGUUCAAUAUAAAUAAAUCCUAGUGUAUUUACAAGAUUAGCUUCGGCUAAUGGCAUCCGUGAUAGGAUUGCCAGGAAAAUUUACAUGAUUAGCUUCGGCUAAUGGCAUCCGUGAUAGGAUUGCCGGGAAAAUGAUUCACACGAUUAGCUUCAGCUAAUGGCAUUCGUGAUAGGAUUGCCGAGAUAUGAUUGAUAUGAUUAGCUUCGGCUAAUGGCAUCCGUGAUAGGACUGCCGGGAAAUGAUUUACACAAUUAGCUUCGGCUAAUGGCAUCCGUGAUAGGAUUGCCGGGAAAUGAAUUACAGGAUUAAACCUUACAAGGUCACCCAGUUUAUGCAAGUAAAUAAGAUUAUUCAAUUAAGAAUAUACAAAUGAGUGUUAAUUGGGUUUAAAAGAUUUACAAGCAAAAUAUAAGUUCUUUGUUAGAAUUCUCAUGGAUUUGAUAAAAAGUUAAUACUUCAUUCGUAUUCAUUACAUGAGCAUACAUAUAUUCUUUAUCGACAUAAUGGUAUGUUUAUUUAGGUAACAGGUCCAUCAAACAUUCAGGAAGAUCAUUAGUUAGGACUCAACUUUGUGAAGCUUAUGUAAAUAUUUAACUUAAAACAAAAGGGAAUUAACGUGUUUAUGUAGUAUACUUUUGUGCAAACCUUGAUGUAUUUAUAAAGGUUUAGCUUAGCAUGUAGUAUUUUUAGUUAUCUAGUAAUUAACCAUCUUGAAAUAUUUAAGAACACUUCUUAUAUUGUAAAUACUUUCUUUGCAUGUUAGUAUUCCUUUUCCUUUAAAUUUUAUGAUAUGAUGUGUUGGACUAUGUUCAUAUUGAACUUACUUAUAGGAUAUAUAUAUAUAUUGUGUGGAUUGUAUGAGGUGUGGAAUUAUGAGGUUUGAUAUAAGGUCCGGAAUUAAGGGACUUUGUGAUGAUGGGUUGAUUGAGUAAACUGAUAGUAGUCGAUAACUUGGGAUGUCCUAACUGCAAACGAAACUCUGCCGAUUUUUGGAAAAAAAAAAAUUACCCUCAAAUAAAGAGGAUAUGUUGGAAUCUUUUAACAUUGAUCGAGUCAUACAGUCGGACUAUUACAGAGGAGGUCAUUGCAGACCCCCCUAUUUGUUUGGAUUUUCCGGCGGCGACAUGUUAACCCACUCGCCGCUAGUGGCGUGGCGCGUGGAGGAGACGCGCCGCCACUGUUCCAGCGCCCAGAAACCUUCCGCCACUGUUCCGGCGGAUCUUAGAGGAUGUUCCCAGCAAUUCCUGGAGUUUUGGGGUUUUAUUGUGUAAUUUUUGAAUUGUAUUUGAUUUAUUAUGAGUUUUGUUUUUUUUACAUGUAAAAGAUGGUGUAUGAGAAAAUCAUAAUAAAAAGAGAUGUGUGUGUGUGUUUGUAUUUUUAUUUAUGUUAUUGAAUUGUAAAAAUAAAAAAGAUUAAAAGAAUUAAGUGUUUAAUUUGAUUAUAGUUAAAUAUCUCAAGGACAAAUAAAAUCAUGUUAUAUUUUCCAUGAAAGUGUAAGAACAUGUUUCUACACAUAUUCGAGGAUUUAAUAACUGAUUUAUUAAAACCUUAGAAUUUAAUGAGUAUUUUAAAUUUUCAAAUCACAUCAAAUCGCAAAGCAACUUACCUCAGGUAGGGUGCGCUAGGGGUGCUAAUACCUUCCCUAGCCACAAUCAGUCCCUUACCCUAGAAUUUCUGACAACGACUAGUAAAUCUGGGUUUCCUAGUAACCUUCAAUGAAAUACUAGGUGGCGACUCCAAAGAACCAAUCAAGCAAACAUAACGAAAAAUCGUCGAAUCGUCGCGCGGGGGACGUGCGACAAUCCUAACACCAUUAGUGAAACCUUUUCUCCUUGACAUAAUAAACUUAGCUAAACAUAAUGAAGAAGAGAAACAUAAAUAAACAAGAGAAGAACAUGAUUAUAUAAGUAUAGUAAAGGAAAUGAAAGGUAUAAACAAGAUAUUAAUGAAAGCAAAACUUAAGCAUUUCAAAAAUAUAAAGAAAGAGAGCAAGAACAUGAUCUUGAUCUUGAUUUGAAAACUAAGAUGCCUAAAUACAUGGCAAAUGCCUCCUUUUACAGGCCAAAAUUUAGAAUUAUUGAUUUGAUAACUAAUUGUUAAGUGGGUGGCCACCUCUUGACUUUGUGACAAUUCUUAUCUUCUUGUCUGCCAAAAACGUUAUUGCUAACAUCAGAAUUUGAAUAAAUAGUCUUCAUGAAAGUUUUGGGAAAUUGUCUUAUUUUUCCAACAAAAUAAAAUUGAGGUCAUUUAGACUUCUAGAACUCGAGAUAUGGGCUGAACACUGAAUAGUGUCUAGGCUGCAGGACAGAUUCAGACUUCUCUUUUGAUGCUAAGAUUUGGACUUCCAAACGGCAGAAUAGAGUCUUGGACUCCGCAUGAAUGUUUUAGGCCUAUGUCUUAGCUUUCUAGCCAUAUAAACCAAACUGAAAUCCAAGAUCUACAGCUCCAGAUAUGACCUAAUGACUGAAUAGUGUUCCAGUUUGAAUUAAAUCACCAUCUCUUUUCUAAGCUUAGCCUUUUCUUUAUCCUUUCACUUUCAAUAGUUAAUCACAUCAAUCAAUCAUUUGAAUUGUGAGAUAUGUCUGCAUUUAAAUGAGCAUUUACCAUAAAUUAAAGCUAUCUUAUAGUAUUAGAUAUGUUAUUAUAAAACAUGCUCUAGUUAAGGAGUUAUUGAUACUUCAAGUGCAAAAUGAUGAUAUAAAACCUUGAUAAAAAUGCAGUUUUAAGUACUAAUCACUCCAUGAGUCGAAUAGAAUGGUCAAAUAAGGAAAGCCGUAAAAAGGUGAGAUUGGAUUUGAGCCUUAGUUUGUAAAAACUUGUGUCUUUUGGUUUUAUUAAUAGCAUGUUAUUUUGUUUUGUUAUUUCUUAUAUUUGUUUAAGUGUGUUUCAGGUUUGUCAUUGUUCUUUAUUUCAAGUGAUGUCUUCUAUAUUUUAUCUUUUUACCUUAGGAUAUUAAGGACAAUGUCUCGUUUUGGUUGAGAAGAGAUGGUAGUAGUUGAUAUUAAAAAAAAAUUAACUAUGUUUUCUAUUUCAUAAACCAUUUGCAAACCUGUUGUUACUAGGAUGACAGAGUAAAGAAGUUCUUUUGUUAAAGUGACUAUUGAGACGCAUCUUAGUAAACAUUCUUAAUAAGGUCUAUCAGAAUACUUCUUGAAAUAUUCAGGUUUACAAACUCUCGCAUUGUUGUCACUUGAUUCUGCUCAUAUACUCGUUUACAAGUAUUUUUAAACCUUGAUUUUUACACACACACUUUAACAUUUGAUUGUAGGUUGCAUAUUUGAUUAUUACAUUAUUUAUGUUCUUUUGUUAAAGGUAACAACUAAGGGAAAGAGAUAGUAUAUAAUUUGCAAAAAACAAAAAACCAAAAAAAAACCAAAAAACUAAAAACUAAAAGAAAUUAAUUAUAUUGAUGAUAAUAAAAACGUAGAUAAGUUUGGUUUCGUAGCCUCCCUAACCUAAGCAAUUAAGCCCGAAGGGGUGUUUUAACACCUAAUACCCUAAAGUCAACUGACUUGGGAGCUAUUAGCCCAAUGCUUGUUACAUGGGUUAAGGAGAAAAGCUUAAGAGAAUCAAACAUUGCACUAUCUAUGUAUCAGUAUCUACAACCCGAGUUACUAAGCUCGUAGGGGUGUCUCAACACCUAAUGCCCUAAGACCAACUGGUCUGGGAGUCAUUAGUUGAAAGCUCGUUACAUAGGUUAAAGAUGCAUUGUAUUUUAAGUUAUCUAUAUAUAUAUAUAUAUAUAUAUAUAUAUAUAUAUAUAUUAAAAAAAAGAGAAAAAAAAAAGAUAAUAAUCCCAACCCAAGGAAGUUAACCUUAGAAAAACAUUAGAACAAAAUUGUGUUUUCAUCCAAGCAAAGCCCCAUAACUAUGUGUUGAUAUAUUGAGCACAAAAGGAAGGUUUAUCAAUAUCUUGUUUAAGAAGUAUGGAGUAGAUAUAUAAAUUUAAUAAGAGUUUGUUUAUUUAGAUAGAUUAAUGGAAGUUGAAUGAUGAAUGCCUUGCUUUGUGGAACUUGCAAAUUGUUUUUCUAUUUUAACACUUUGAUUACUAGGGACUAGUAAUAAGCUAGUUGGGGGGUGUGAUUAGUACUUAAAAGUGCAUUUUUAUCAAGGUUUUAUAUCAUCAUUUUGCACUUGAAGUAUCAAUAACUCCUUAACUAAAACAUGUUUUAUAAUAACAAGUCUAAUAAUAUAAGAUACCUUGAAUUUAUGGUAAAUGUUCAUCUUAAAUGCAGGCCUAUCACAUAAAUAAAAAGAUUGAUUGAUGAGUUUAACUACUGAAAUUGAGAAGACAAAGAGAGAGCUAAGCUUAGAAAAGAGAUACUGAUUCAAUUCAAACUGGAAUACUGUUCAGUCAUUGGGUCAUAUCUAGAGCUGUAGAUCUUGGAUUUCAGUUUGGUUUAUAUGGCUAAAAAGCUAAGACAUAGGCCUAAAACAUUUAAGAAGAGUCCAAAACUCAAUUUUGCCGUUUGAAAGUCCAAAUCUUAGCAUCAAAAGAGAAGUCUGAAUCUGUCCUGUAGCCUACACAUUGUUCAGUGUUCAGCCAUAUCUCGAGUUCUAGAAGUCAAAAUACACCGAUUUAUUUUUUCUUGGAAAGCUAGGACAAUUUUCUAGAACUUUCAUGAAGACUAUCUGUUCAAAUUCUGAUGUUAGCAAUGACGUUUUGUUCAGACAAGAAGAUAAGAAUGUAAAUGUAAUUAGAAUAUUUUGCAAUAAAAUAAAUUAUAAUUAAAUCUUUGAAUAAAUUCAUUAAUCAACGUUAAUGUUACUGAAACAACAUUAAAUUAAUCACUGAACAAGUUGAUUAAUUCAAACAACACGCAUUCAAUCAAUAUAAUGGUCUUGAAGAUAAGUGAUUAAUGAACGUUAAACAAUUCAACAAGUUGAGAUUAGAAACAAGUUGAUUCAAACAGCACGCAUUCAAUCACCAUAUCAUGGUGUGUAUCUUGGACAAGCGGAAAGCACUUGUCCCCGUUUUGUCUUUUAAAAACCCUAAUGCUCCUACUUUCGGUGGAGUUUAGCUUCUUUUUUUUUUACUUAACCUUUCUUAUUAAUAUCACAUGCAAAGUUUUUAAAACAACAUUAUUGUACACAUAAGGUGAAAAUGACAGGGAAUUGACCUCUCCUCACUAUUAUUUUCCUGCUUUCGUAAAGUUUUUUAUAGCUCUAUAUUCUAUCUCGUGCUGAGAGUGUUUCCAAAAGCACUGAAACGUGUGGUGCUAAACGACAAGGCAGAAUAAGGUUAAAGGGAUCUAUUUUAAAAUUUUACUCUUAAGGUGUACAGUGGAAAUCGACUCUCCCUUGUUAAUUUCUAAAUUAACCAUCUGAAGAGGUUUUUUUCUUCUUGUAUAUUAUUGUUUUAAUAAAAACAAUAUAAAAGAAGAAAAGGAUAAAAGUAAAACCAGAGAAAGAUUAAGAAUACCAAGAGAGUGUGGGAUUGGUAAUGCAAUAUAAGAUUUUUUUAAAAAAAAAUUAUUUUUUUGUUAAAAAUAUAUUUAAAUAAUUUUUUUAAUAUUUUACAUCAUAUAUUAGAAUGAUAAAAAAAAAAACACCAUGUAAACUAUUAUCAUUAUAUUUGUUUAUCAUUAUCUUUAUAUUGUAUUAUGCAUGCUAUCUUAAUUAUGUCAUCAAAUUGCAUUUUUUUUAUGGGAAUUGCUGCUCUAACUCGGAAGUUAGAAUCCAUGUAAACUAUUUUGUUUUAAUACUUCUCCUCUUUUCAACAUAAAGUCGUUCUUUUAUAAAUAUAUUCAUUAGAUUGAUGAUAUGCUAUCUUUUCUUUUUAUUGGUUUUGAGAAAGAAAAAAAAAAGUAUUUCUAUCCUUUUAUGGAAAAGCACAGAGAUCUAAGAACUAUUGUGUAAAUAACUGUUAGGGUAAGUGUGAAUUUUAACACAUGGCAUGGAUAGCUAUUGAUGAGGGGAGAAAGGGAUUACAAGUCUGGUUUGGAUAUAAAUUAUACAAAAUCUGACCAUAGUUUCCAUUGCCAUCUCUGUUGAAUAUUCUUGGCACAAACAGCUCAUUUCAAACCAGUUGUCCCUGUUUUGUAUUUUAAAAACUCUAAUUAAAUAUUAAAUUAACACACAAAAAAAAAAAAAACUAAAUGAGAAGGGUUUUUUUUAUUAUACCCUUCCUCACAAACACAACCUUCAACUCUACUAUAGUUGAUGUGAUGGGUCAAUUAUUUCUAACUACGGCAUAACAUUAUACUUCAUGUUUUAAUAUUAUAUUAGUAAUAACAACUCCUUUUAAUUUAUUAGUUCAGAUAUAUAUUUACUUUGUUUUAUAAAAUAUAAAUAGUAUAUUUUCAUGUCUCAAUUAAAAAAAACAUUAAUUAUUGGACUUCAUAAUUUAUUUUGGUGUGUUUUUCAUAAAGUUAUUGUGGUCUUAAACAAACAUCUCGAUAUUUGUUUGAGCGUUAAUUUUUUAAUCAUAUCAUUAAAUAAAAAUAUUUUUUAAAACAAUUACUAAAUUUAGUGAAGUCUAUAACUCGAAUCACGAAUUUAACGGGUUAAAAUUAUUGUUGGAAAAGCUAAUAUUAAAAUUAUUAUUUUAGUAUUAUCAUCAAAUAAUUUUUUUAUAUUUUAAAAAAUUUAUUUAACUCGGCGGAGUAUAGUUAAAUGGAAUGGUAUAAUUUAGAUCUUGAGACACUAACGUCAGCUGAACUACUUCUAGUUUGGAUCUUGAGACACUAACGUUAGCUAAACUUAUUUCCAGUUUGAGAGUAUGGUUGUGGUUGCUUUUUAAAGUGUUUUUCAUGUUGAAAUGCAUCAAAAUGAUAUUUUUUUUAUUUUUAAAAAAUUAGUUUUAAGAUCGGUGCAUCAAAACGAUCCAAAACAUAAAAAAUAUAUUAAUUUUUAACCAAAAAACAAUUUAAAUUUUUUAAAAACACGAAUUGAUCCACGUUUCCAAACUCUCUGGAUUGAUAUGCUUUAAAUGAGCAAUUAAAAUAUCAAAGGAUUUCCGGGACACUCCCAAGACGUUUAAUGGUAUAUUUAAUGUUUGUCCCUAUUGAGAUUACGACAAGACCAAAUAGAAAAGUACUAGUUACAUGCCCCGCGCGAUGUUGCGGGUCAAUUAUUUUUUGCAUUUCAAAAAAAGUUAAGAUCUAAAAGUGUUAGAUUUUUUUGCAAAGUUAUACCCAAGAGUCUUAGGUUUGGUUGCAACGCCUGAUCCAAGAGUAAUAUUUAUAAAAGUGUUAGGUUUUUUUGCAAAGUUAUACCUAAGAGUCUUAGGUUUGGUUGCAACGUCUGACCCAAGAGUAAUAUUUAUAAUUUUAAUAAUAACAUUAAACUUGCAUGACCCAAAUUUAAGUGGGUUUGACUGCAAUACCAGACCCAAUAGCAUUGGACGUGGGUCUGGCUGCAAAGUCGUGUCAUAAAAGUGUGAUAAUUAAAUAGAUUAGUUAAAAAGAAAAAAAACAACAGGAAGAAAAAAACUAAUGAAGAAAAAGAAAAAAUAUAUGAAUUAAUUGGGUUAACCCUUCAAACCAGGUUAACCCGUCAUACCUUGAAUUCGCAUCGUGAAAGUUUGAUAAUUAAAAAGGAAAAAAAAAUUAAUGGGUUAACCAAGAAUUAACUCGGCUAACUCGUCAAACCAGGUUAACCCGUCAAACUCAGAAUCCGUGUCAUGAAAGUUUGAUAACUAAAUAGAAAAAAAAAAUUAACAUUAACAAUUUAAAUUAAACAAAAAAAUUAAUUAAAAAAAAAAGCAUUAGCCUUUUCACUGUGGACUGCAUUGUCCAGUCCACAGUCAAAGGCAUAAAAACAACAAAAAAAGAAAAAGAAAAACUAAAGGCAUCAGCCGAUAACUACUUAGAAAAAAAUUUAAUAUUAAUAAACUAAAUUAAUUAAAUAAAAUUAAUUAAAAAUAAAAAAGAAAAGAAAAAAACUCUAAAAACAAAAAAAAAACUAAAUAGAAAGAAAUUUAACAUUAACAACUAAACUAAACGAAAAAAAUAAUUAAAAAGAAAAAAAAAAGCAAAAAAAAAUAUUCCAGGUUAACUCGUCAAACCAGGUUAACCCGUUAAACCCAGGAUUUGUGUCAUGAAUGUCUGGUAACUAAAUAAAAAAAAAAAGUGAACAUUAACAAACUGAACUAAACGAAAAAAAUUAAUUAAAAAGAAAAAAAUAAAAAAGAAAUGUUGGUUAACUCGUCAAACCAUGUUACCCCUUAAACCCAGGAUCUGUGUCAUGAAAGUCUGAUAACUAAAUAAAAAAAAUUAUGAAAAUAAAAAAACAAAAAACAAUUGACGGGUCAACCCAGAAUUAACUGGGUUCGCCCGUGAAACCAGGUUAACCCGUGAAACUCGGGAUAUGUGUCAUGAAAGUGCAAAAAAAAAAAUUCUAGGUUAACUUAUCAAAUCAGGUUAACCCGUUAAAUUCAGAAAACGUGUCAUGAAAGUCUGAUAACUAAAUAAAAAAAAUUUAACAUUAAUAAACUAAAUUAAACAAAAAAUUUUGUUAGAAGAAAAAAAACAAAGAAAGAAGCUAAAAAAUAAUCCCAAAAGGCAUAAAAAAACAGCUAAAAAAACAAUUUAAAAAAAAAACCUAAAGCAUCAGUGUUUUAGUGUGGACUGCAUUGUGCUGUCCACGGUAAAACACUGAUUCGUUUUAGUAUAUGUUACAAUUUAUAAAAUAUUUUAGUUUUUAAGUUUGAUUUUAUUCCUUUUUAUUUUCGGUUGGGAUCAUAUUAAACCAAUCAAAUUUUGUUUUUCAAAUUUUUCAUAUUAAAAUUAUCUAAUAAACUCAAAAUAAAUCAAACUAUCAAAAGAUGAGCUUACUUUCUCUUUUUUUCUUGUCUCGCACUUGUCUCUGUUUUCUCUUUUAAAAACCUUUGUUAUUUAAUAUCACAUGCAAGGUUUUUAAAACGAACAUUAUUGUACACAUAAGGUGAAAAUGACAGGGAAUUGACCUCUCCUCACUAUUAUUUUCCUGCUUUCGUAAAGUUUUUUAUAGCUCUAUAUUCUAUCUCGUGCUGAGAGUGUUUCCAAAAGCACUGAAACGUGUGGUGCUAAACGACAAGGCAGAAUAAGGUUAAAGGGAUCUAUUUUAAAAUUUUACUCUUAAGGUGUACAGUGGAAAUCGACUCUCCCUUGUUAAUUUCUAAAUUAACCAUCUGAAGAGGUUUUUUUCUUCUUGUAUAUUAUUGUUUUAAUAAAAACAAUAUAAAAGAAGAAAAGGAUAAAAGUAAAACCAGAGAAAGAUUAAGAAUACCAAGAGAGUGUGGGAUUGGUAAUGCAAUAUAAGAUUUUUUAAAAAAAAAAUUAUUUUUUUGUUAAAAAUAUAUUUAAAUAAUUUUGCAAACUAACUUCAUCAAGUUUUAAAAAGAAAAGGCAAAGAAAAACCAGCGAAUUGACCAUAUCAAAUAAAGUCGCGUACGAGAGAACCUUUAUUAUUAAUAUCACAUGCAAAGUUUUUAAAACAACAUUAUUGUACUCUUAAGGUGAAAAUGACAGGGAAUUGACCUCUCCUCACUAUUAUUUUCCUGCUUUCGUAAAGUUUUUUUUAGCUCUAUAUUCUAUCUCGUGCUGGGAGUGUUUCCAAAAGCACUGAAAUGUGUGGUGCUAAAAGACAAGGCAGAAUAAGGUUAAAGGGACCUAUUUAAAAAUUUUACUCUUAAGGUGUACAGUGGAAAUCGACUCUCCCUUGUUAAUUUCUAAAAUUAACCAUCUGAAGAGGUUUUUUUCUUCUUGUAUAUUAUUGUUUUAAUAAAAAUAAUACAAAAGAAGAAACGGAUAAAAGUAAAACCAGAGAAAGAUUAAGAAUACCAAGAGAGUGUGGGAUUGGUAAUGUAAUAUAAGAUGUUUUUUAAAAUUAUUUUUUUGUUUAAGAAUAUAUUUAAAUAGUUUUUUUAAUAUUUUACAUCAUAUAUUAGAAUCAUAAAAAAAAAUCACUAUGUAAACUAUUAUCAUUAUAUUUGUUUAUCAUUAUUUUUAUAUUAUAUUAUGCGCGUGCUAUCUUAAUUAUGUCAUCAAAUUGCAUUUUUUUUUAUGAGAAUUGCUGCUCUGACUCGUAAGUUAGAAUCCAUGUAAACUAUUUUGUUUUAACACUUCUCCUCUUUUCAACAUAAAGUCCUUUUUAUAAAUAUAUUCAUUAGAUUUGCCAUCUCUGUUGAAUAUUCUUGGCACAAACAGCUCAUAGCUAAGGGAAGCUCGGAUUUCAAACCAGUUUCCAUCCCAUUUUAUAGACCGAAUUCUUACAAUAUCUUCUUCAUCGAUCGAUAAACCGAUUCUGGAGGACCACAAUAUGAUGGUGUAUCUUAGAGCACCACAUCAAAAGAUAAGAAAUUCCUCGAAGAUCACCAUAAUAUCAUGGUGUGUAUCUUAGACAAGCGAAAAGCACUUGUCCCCGUUUUGCCUUUUAAACCUUCAAAGAUUUGUGUCCAGGGGGGCAUCAAGUUUUAAAAAGAAAAGGCAAAGAAAAACUGGCCCGACCACCAUUUCAAAAGAUAAGCUUACUUUCUUUCUUUUUCCCAUCUCUCACUUGUCCUUGUUUUGUAUUUUAAAAACUCUAAUUAAAUAUUAAAUUAACCAAAAAAAACUAAAUGAGAAGGGUUUUUUUAAUUAUACCCUUCCUCACAAAACACAACCUUCAACUCUAGUACUAUAGUUGAUGUGGUGGGUCAAUUAUUUCUAACCAAGGCAUAACAUUAUCAAAAUAAAUUAAUAAACCGUGAGGUGGUGAGGUGAUUUUAUGAUGGCACCAUUCACUAUGAAUCCUCUUACAUUUUAUUAUGAACGGUAGUAGUGAUUUUUUUCUUUUAAUGCUCAAACAUUUUUUUUCUUCUUAAUUUUAUUAUUUUGUGGUCAAAUUGAUGGCCAAUUGUUUUUGAUUUGUUAUGAAAGGGUAAGAUUAAAAGAUAGGGGACCAAAGAGAAAAGAACAAAAAAAAUAGGUGGCAGUUUCAAAAUUAACAUAAAAAGUUCACUUUGUUUGAAUUAACAUAAAAUAGGUGGCAGCUAUAUCUGCUGACUAGUUAUUCAUGGUGAAGUGAUAAUCUCUUCUUUUGUUCUACUGAAAUUCUUGAUGUUUAGGCUGGGAAUAAAUUUAGCUCCUCUUGUUUACCUAGAAAACUGAGGGAAAGUAGCUGAAAUAAUUUGAAACCAUUUAAGAUUUUUGUCAGUUUAGUUUAUUCGUUCACUUUCCUGUAGUUUCUGAGAUAGUACCAAACACAUUGUUAUGUGUUGAAUAAAUAAUUAACCACCGAUUAAAGCAGAAGGAACAUUUGUGUUUGAAUCCUGAGAAAAUUGAGUCGGAAAAUAAAGGGAAAUUUUUGCAUUUUAUGAAGUUUUUUUUCUUAGUUAUGAUGAUUUAUUUUUUUGGAGGCCCCUAAAAGUGGAAUAAUGGUCCCAAAAUUUACAAUGUUUUCCUGCAAUCAAACAGUGCUUUGGAAGAUAAUUGUUAGAAGAUAAAAUAAUUUGUUUUUUUAUUAAUGUAAAUCUGCUUUUCUCUAUAUCACAAUACUUUUAACGAAGUUUUUUGUUUUUUUGUUUAAGCCUUUUUUUUUUUAAUAUUUCAAUCUCUAAUAUUCUUUUGUACUUUCUUUCUAUGGGAUUUAUCUUUCUUUUUUAAAUAAUAAGGAUUGCCUCAAAGUUUUUUUUUUCUGUCUUUGUUAAAUUUUGCUUCUUUAAAAGGGAUUUUUUUUAAUUAAAUUAAUUUUUUUGAUUUCAUUCUCUUGCAUUUAAUUUGAGGCAAUACCUGAAAGAAUUUUGUUUCUCUAAUUAAUUUUUUUAAAAAAAUUAUAUUCUUUGUUUUUUUAUUUUUUUCUAUAGAGUUAUCCUGAUAUUAUAUCUUGGGUCAUAGAUUCAAUAGGUUUACCAAGGUUGAUUUAAGUUUUUUUUUUAAUUUCUUUUUAAUAUUUUUUUAUCUCAAGUCAAUGACUAAAAUCUUAAAUUUCAAAAAAUUGCAUUGUCAAUAGUGUUUUUUUUUACUUGGUUUUUUUUAAUCUAUAUUUUUUUUUUUAAUUUCAAACUUCAACAUUUAGUUUAUUGAAGACUGGGCUUCAUAAUUUAUUAUUGCUUGCUUUAUAUAUUGUUAGCUCAAUCUCUUUACACUAUAAACUAAAAGAGGUGAUAGAUUUACUAUUCACCACCUCACAAGACACAAUUCAUUUCAAUAGUUUUUUUUUAAAAAAAUCUAUAUUUCUUUAUUCCUUGAUUUCAUACUUCAACAUUUAGUUUAUUAUAGACUAGGCUUAAUAAUUUAUCAUGGUUUGUCUUAGUCUCAUAACUCGUAUUACGGGUUUAAUUGGUUAACUCAGUUUUUUUGUCUUUUUUAAUUGCUAUUUUUUCAAUUUCACCAUUCAACAUUGGAUUGAUUAUGAAUUAGACUUCAUUAUUUAUUUUGGUUUACUUUUUAUGAGGUUAUCUUGGUUUUAUGACUUAGGUUACGUGUUUUGUGAGUUAAGCCGUGUAGACUUGGGUCGUUUUAUUGUAUAAUGUUUUUAGAUUGAUUUUUUUUUAUUUCAACCUUUAACAAUAAAUUUAUUGAAAAUUGAGUUUCAUAAUUUAUUUUGAUUAACUUUCUACAGAAUUAUCAUAAUUUCAUGACCUUGGUCGCGGGUUUGGCAGGUUAACUUAGGUUGACUCAAGCUAUUUUUUGUUUACUUUUUAUGAGGUUAUCUGAGUUUCAUUACCCAGAUCAUAGGUUUGACGAAUUAACCUGAGUUGAAUAUGAUCCUUUUUUUUAAUUUUAUCCUUCAACAUUGAGUUUGCUUAUCCCGGGUCACGAGUUAACUCAGCUUUGUUUUGUCCAUUUUUUAGUUGGUUUUUUUUUUUCUCAAUUUCAUCCUUCAAUAUUUGGUUGGUUUGAAAUUAGACUUCAUAUUUUAUCUUAUUUUAUUUCUUUCUAUGAGAUUAUUCUAGUCUCAUUACUUGGGUCACGGGUUUGCUAAGUUAACUUGGGUUGUCGCAGGUCUUUUUUUUUUUAUCUUUUUUUAAUUAAUAUUUUUUUUCAAUUUCAUCCUUCAAUAUUUGAUUAAUUAGGGAUUAAGUUUCAUAAUUUGUUUUGAUUGCUUUUUAUGGGGUUAUAUUAGUCAUAUAACCCGGGUUGCAGUUUUGACAAGUGAACCCUAGGUGACUCGAGUUCUUUGUUUUUUUUUCUCUUUUUUAAUUGUUUUUUUUUUCAAUUUCAUCUUUCAAUAUUGGUUUAAUUGGGAAUUGGGUUUCAUAUUUGGUUUUUUUUUCAAUUUUGUUUUUAUUAGAAAGCACACUUAACAAAUAAUAAUUUAGUCUUGAUAAAACUAAUGAAUCAUUCCAUAGUUUCAAUAACAAUAUGUUUAAUUCUUAUAUUUUUAGUUAUAUAUAGUUUAGUACUAUCAAUUUCAAGUUCUUUCCCAUGUAUUUUUUCUUCUUCCUUCUUGAAAAAUAGAAAAGGAAAAGAGAAGCAGGCAGUUGGGGAAAUUUCAUUAGGAAGGAAGGUAUUUUAUAUAUAUAGUAAAUUGAGGGUGGUUAACACUAGUUAAUGGGAUGUUUCAUUAUUUAUGAUACUACAAGGACUAGAUAAUUAAUUUUAAUAAAUUACAGCGCUAAUUAGUUAUAAUUAAAUCUUCAUUGACAAAUAGGAUUUUAUUAUUUGUUUUUUGAAGGAGAAUAUGUACAUGCAACAAUCUUUACUGUUCCUUCAUUUAGGAAUAUAGAAUUCAAAUAUGGUUUUAAGAGUAUAUAUUUAUAGGGUACAAAUCUGUUUGUAUAAGCAAUAUUUUCAUAAAUUUAUCAAUUCUGCAGCUGGAAAAAAGAAAUAGACUCAAUAUUCCACCUGAGAAAACCGAUAAAAUGAAAGAAAAGAGAAUUCUUUCUUUAUCCAUUAGACCACAAAAAUUUACAUAUAACACAAUUUUAGUUAGAGCACUACAACUCAACUGUUAUAUUAUCUUAAUUAACAAAAAAUUCCAUCAUAUAAUAAGCUAUAGACUUAGCUGGGUUUUAAAAAACUCCUCUUUUACGUUUCUAUGUUUUCAUGAACAUUGAAAAAGGAGCCAUGGUUGACUUUCUAUCUGUUUCUUUCUUUUCUUGGAGGAGAAAGAGAGGAUUGCGCUACUUGUUUCUUUUCAUUUUCUUGAAAACCAAAUAGAAAGUUCUUGGUUGAUUUCUAGCCAAUAGUCUUUUUUCUCUUAUUAACUCGGUUUCUUUGGGUGCUGAUCGACUAGUUAUUUUUGUGAAGUAAUAAUCUAUUCUUUUAUUCUACUUAAAUUCUUGAUGUUUUUGGCAGGGAAUAAAUUUAGCUACUCUUAUUUACCAAGAAAAUUGAGGGAAAGUAAAAAAAAUAAUUUAAAACCAUUUAAGAUUUUUGUCAGAUUAGUUUAGUCUUUCCUGAAGUUUUUAAGGUCAAGGGAGUAGCCAAUCAAAAAGGAAGGAUUGCAAUGAAAAAUUCGGUACAGCUCUUUCAUUUCGCACUUGAGAGACAAUCUAUUGGUUGUAAUGAGGAGAUAUGGUUGAACAAGUGGCUACGAUCUAUUGGCUCAUCGGACUACCUUAUCUCCAAGUCACAGAUCCUUUCUCUUAAUUGGUUUUUUUUUUAAUUUGAAACUGUAAUUUGUUUCAAAGCUACAAAUACCUGGAUUUUUUUCUUCCUUUUCUUUCUUAUUUUCUUUCUUUCUUUUCUUUCCAUGGAGAAAGAGGAUUGUGCUACUUUUAUUUUCUUCAUUUUCAAAGCUACAAAUCAUGUUUGAGAGAAAGAAACAAGGUUUGUAAUAAAAUUACGUAGACUUACAUUUAUUAUAUACUAAGGAAAAAAAAUAUAUUUUUGUCUAAUUUGCUUUUUCCUGUUGAACAAGGAGGCAGAUCAUAAUUUCCCAAACUAUAGAUUGAAAAAAAAAAAAAAAAACAGACGAAAAGUAUAGGAGAUUUUUUUUUAUUAUACCUAAAAGUUAUUAAGGAAAGAAUAAAAAUUCAACAAUAGUGUACCAAAGUAUAAAAUAAAAAGAAAUCCAAUAAUCAAUCUUAAAUUUGUUAAAAAAUGUUAUGUUUAGUUCACGUAUUUUUUUUUAUUCUACAGUUCCUUUAGUUUUUACAAUUUUAAUUUUAGUUCAAAAUUUUAUUUUUUUAACAUUUUAAAUCCUUGAGUUUAAAAAAUAAGAGAGAAAGUCGUUUGAAAACAAUGAAAAAAAAGGUGAAGUUUGUGAAUAAGAACUUUUUCAAAAUAAAACUCAUCGUUUUUUGUAUCAACGAGUUUUAUUAUACGAGAGAAGCUUGAUAGUGGUAGUUUAUUUCUAUAAACAAGCCUGAAAAAUAUAUUGAGUUUCAUUUAGAUUUUUUUAUUUGGUUUUUUUUUUAUUUUUUGAAUGAUUUUGGGAUUUUAUUUUUAAUAUAUAAAAUCCCAUUAUUUCCUUGCUUUCGUCAGGACCGCUGAAAUAAGGUAAAGUUUUUUUUAGCAAGAACAUGAUUUUAUGGCCUCAAUCAGAGAGGUAAUGUGUGGUGCUAAAAGACAAGGCAGAAUAAGGUGUAUAGUGGAAAUAGACUCUCCCUAGUCCCUAGUUAAUUUCUAUAUUUCCAUCAAACCUAUUUUAGGGUUUGAACUUGAACCAUCUGAAGAGGUUUUUUUUUCUUGUAUAUUAUUGCUUUAAUAAAGAUAACAAAAAAGAAAAGAAAAGGAUAAAAGUAAAACCAGAGAAAGAUUAAGAAUGCCAAAUGAGUGUGGGAUUGAUAUUGUAAUAUAAGAUGUUUUUUUAAAAAUAUUAAUUUAAAAUAAAUAAAUAAAUAAAUAAAAUUUAAUUUUUUAAAAAAAUACUUGUAAAAUAUCUAAGUAAUCAUUCAAAUUAUUUUAUUUUCUUAAAAGAAAAAAAAAGUCGCGUACGAGAGAACCUUUGUUAUUAAUAUCACGUGCAAACUUCUUAAAACAUUAUUGAAAUCAUUAUAUAUUGACCAUUAUAUUAUUGUCCUCGUGAAAAUGACAUCUUCUCACCAUUAUUAGAAGAACAGGAGAGUGUUUUGAAAAGCGGGGACAGAGUGAGAAACAAGAACAUGAUUUUAAGGCACGUGGUCAGUUAUUGAUAUAUUAAAAUCAUAAAAAAAAUAUUAAUUUAAUAUAUUUUCAAACAAAACUCAUUCAAAUUCAAUUAAAAAAACAUUAGAAAAAAAAAAUGUAAGGAGGAGAUAAGGUUGAACAAGUGACGAUAAUCUAUUGAAUUCUCGGAUUACCUUAUUUUCAUGUCACAGGUCCUUUCUCUUAAUUGUUUUCUAAAUUUGAAACUGUAAUUUGUAAUUGUAAUAUGCGAGGGUAAUCACAGCAACUCAAGAGAAAAACAACACCCUAUUAAAUCAAAUUAAAAAAAAAAAACAAUUUGAAACAUCGAAGGGUGAAAUAGAAAAAAUAAAAGGACUGAAAUGAAAUAAAACCUUGGUGGAUGCUAUCAAUAGCCUUGUUCUUUUAGCUUUCUGUAUGAUGUAAUGGGCAGGUCUUAUUACUUGAGUGUGUGAUGCAAGAGAUAGUCAUUGCAGAUUUUAGUUGCCUAAGUUUGAUCCUUUGUGGAGUUCCUUGUAAGUCUCUUUUUUUUUCUCUCCUUAUUCAUAAUUUUCGAGAAAAAAAAACAUUUACCGAUCAUAGCUUUAGAUUAAUGUGUUAUUGGAAGCAAAGAGGAGCUAGUAUCAUGCGUGCAGGUGUCAAAGUGAUCUUCAUCAGCCUUCCAUUCCUUUCUCUCUUUGCUAGGUGAGUACUUGUACAUAUUAUUCUUUUAUUUGUUUGUCAUUAUCUUUAUAUUAUGCUUUUUAUCUUAAUUAUGUCAUAAAUUUGCAUUUUUGUGGGAAUUGCUGCUUUAAACUCUUAAGUGUAAACUAUUUUGUUUCAAUGUAUUCUUUAGAUCGGUGGUAUGCUAUCUUUCACUAAUGAAAUUCUGUUUAUUGGUUUUGAGAAGGAAAAAAAAAAGUAUUUCUAUCUUUGUUUUAUGGAAAAAGCACAUAGAUCUAUGAAAUAGAUAUAUAUUAAAAAAAAGGAUAGAUUAGAUAUUCCCAUUACUCAUGGCAUAGAUAGAGAUAGUCAUUACAGAUUUUAGUUGCCUAAGAUUGAUCCUUUGUUGAGUUCGUUCCUUGCAAGUCUUUUUUUCUCCUCAUGCAGACUAUCUUAAUUAUGUCAUCAAAUUGCAUUUUUUUUAUGGGAAUUGCUGCUCUAACUCGCAAGUUAGAAUCCAUGUAUACUAUUUUGUUUUAAUACUUCUCCUCUUUUCAACAUAAAGUCCUUCUUUUAUAAAUAUAUUCAUUAGAUUGAUGAUAUGCUAUCUUUUCUUUUUAUUUGUUUUGAGAAAGAAAAAAAAAAGUAUUUCUAUCUUUUUUAUGGAAAAGCACAGAGAUCUAAGAACUAUUGUGUAAAUAAUUGUUAGGGUAAGUGUGAAUUUUAACACGUGGCAUGGAUAGCUAUUGAUGAGGGGACAAAGGGAUUACAAUGAUCUAUGAACUAUUGUGUAAAUAAUUGUUAUGUUAGGACAAGGAAUUAAAUGUUUAUCGUUCUGCUUAUACCUUGCCUUGUUGCUCUUGAAGCUGGCUUCCAUACAGAGCUAAAGGCCUUCUCCUUUUGUUCCUCUCGCUAUAUUUUAUUAUUGAGCAGUCAGUACCAGUGCUUUCCGCAUAUAUUUUCACAAAUUAAGGUAAUAAAAUUACUAUUCUUAUUCUCUCAAUGCCUAUUUUACUUGUAAUGACUCACUCUCACGUUCUGUAUCCUUAUUUCUUUGUUUUUCAGACCGGUGGAAAAUGGCUAUCGAAAGUGUUGGUGGAUCCGUUGUAUCCAAGAUAGCAGAGCUCUUGGUGGAACCAGCAAUAAGGCAGUUCCGUUACAUGUUCUGUUUCAACAAUUUUGUUCAAGAAUUCAAUGAACACAAGAAGAACCUGGCUUUGACACUAGAUCGUCUACAAAAUGAUGUCCGAGAUGCUGAAAGGAAUGCUGAAGAAAUUUACAAAUAUGUCAGUAAAUGGCUGGAAGAUGCAAACAACGAAAUUGAAGGUGUGAAUCCUUUGGAAAAUGAAAUAGAAAAAAAUGGCAAAUGCUUCACUUGGUGUCCAAAUUGGACGCGACAAUUCAAGUUAAGCAAGGCACUGGCAAAGAAAACGGAGACUUUGAGAAAACUUGAAGAAAAUGGCAGAAAGUUUCCAAAAGUGUCCUACAAACCACCUCUUCAAGGCAUAGAAUUUCUUCCAUCAGAGGAAGUCACGCCUUCAGAAUCGUCAAAAGCAGCUUUCGAACAGAUUAUGAAAGCUCUCAAAGAUGACAAUGUCAAUAUGAUCGGACUGUACGGCAUGGGAGGGGUGGGUAAAACCACUCUAGUGAAAGAAGUAGGAAGGAGAGCCAAAGAGUCGCAGCUGUUUGAUGAAGUUGUGAUGGCUACACUGUCCCAGAAUCCAAAGGUCACAGGCAUCCAGGAUCAAAUGGCAGAUAGUUUAGGUCUGAAAUUUGACGAGAACAGUGAAGGAGGGAGAGCAGGUCGGUUAUGGCAGAGACUGCAGGGAAAGAAGAUGCUUAUAGUCCUGGAUGAUGUUUGGAAAGAUAUUGACUUCCAAGAGAUAGGGAUCCCAUUUGGUGAUGAUCACAGGGGUUGUAAAAUUCUUCUAACAACACGUCUUCAAGACAUAUGUUCUUAUAUGGAGUGCCAGCCACAAGUGUUCUUAAAUAUCUUAACAGAAAAUGAAGCAUGGGCUUUAUUCAAAAUCCAUGCAGGUUUACGUGAUGAGGACUCUGACUUGAACAGAGUGGCAAAGGACGUUGCGAGAGAAUGCCAAGGCUUGCCUAUAGCACUUGUGGCAGUGGGAAAGGCUCUAAAAGAUAAAUCUGAACAUGAGUGGGAAGUAGCAUCUGAAGAGCUCAAAAAAUCUCAAUCUCGGCACGUGGAAAAUUUUGAUGACCGAAGAAAUGCAUAUGCAUGUCUUAAAUUGAGCUAUGAUUAUUUGAAGCACGAGAAAACCAAGUUAUGUUUCUUGCUAUGCUGUUUAUUUCCAGAAGAUUACAACAUUCCAAUCGAGGAGUUGACGAGAUGUGCAGUUGGCUACGGGUAUCAAGAUGUGAAGUCCAUUGAAGGUGCAAGGAAACGAGUUUAUAUGGAAAUCGAAAACCUCAAAGCUUGUUGUAUGCUGUUAGGAACUGAAACUGAAGAAUAUGUGAAAAUGCAUGACUUGGUUCGUGAUGUUGCUAUUCAGAUAGCAUCAUCAGAAAAAUACGGAUUCAUGGUAGAGGCUGGCUUUGGGUUGAAGGAGUGGCCAAUGAGGAAUAAAAGCUUUGAAGGUUGUAAAGUAAUCUCGUUAAUGGGCAAUAAACUAACAGAUCUUCCUGAAGGAUUGGUGUGUCCACAGCUCAAAGUUCUAUUAUUAGAACUGGAUCGUGGUUUGAAUGUUCCAGAGAGGUUUUUUGAAGGGAUGAAAGCAAUAGAAGUUUUGUCUCUAAAAGGAGGGUGUUUGUCAUUGCAAUCACUUCAAUUCUCAACGAACCUUCAGUCGUUGCUGUUGAGAUGGUGUGAAUGCAAGGACCUCAUUUGGUUGAGAAAGCUGCAAAGACUUGAGAUUCUUGGUUUCAUUUGGUGCGGCUCCGUUGAAGAAUUACCUAAUGAAAUUGGGGAGCUCAAGGAGUUAAGGUUGUUGGAUGUGACAGGUUGUGGAUUGCUAAGAAGGAUUCCUGUGAAUUUGAUUGGAAGGUUGAAGAAGUUAGAAGAGCUGUUGAUCGGGGCUACGAGCUUCAACAGAUGGGAUGUUGUUGGAUGUGACAGCGCAGAAGGAAUGAAUGCAAGCCUAACAGAACUAAGUUCGCUGUCUCAUUUAGCUGUAUUAUCAUUGAAGAUACCGAAGGUUGAAUGCAUUCCCAGAGAUUUUGUUUUUCCCAGGUUGCUCAAAUAUGAUAUAGUGUUAGGGGAUGGGUAUUCGGAAGGAGUAUACCCAACAAAAUUAUAUUUGGGUAAUAUCAGCACCGCAUCCUUAAAUGCAAAGACAUUUGAGCAAUUGUUUCCUACUGUGUCUCUAAUUGAUUUUAGAAACAUUGAGGGUUUAGAAAAUAUAGUAGAGUCGCAAAAGGACUUCUUUCAAAGAUUAGAACAUGUAGAAGUGACAGGAUGUGGGGAUAUUCGCACUCUGUUUCCAGCAAAAUGGCGGCAAGCUUUGAAAAAACUAAGGAGCGUGGAAAUUAAAAGAUGCGAUUCAUUGGAAGAAGUAUUUGAAUUGGAUGAGGAGAAAGAGCUGCUGUCAUCUUUAACAACGUUACGGUUGUCAGAUUUACCUGAGCUCAAAUGUAUAUGGAAGGGGCCCACCAGACAUGUCAGCCUCCACAGUCUUGUUCAUCUGAAGUUGUUGUGUCUUGACAAACUGACAUUUAUAUUCACACCGUCCCUUGCUCAAAGUCUUAUUCAUAUGGAAACACUUGAGAUAGGAUUUUGCCGUGGAUUGAAGCGUCUUAUCAGAGAGAAGGAUGACGAAGGGGAAAUAAUUCCAGAGUCUCUUGGCUUCCCAAAAUUAAAAAAACUCUAUAUAUUUGUUUGUGAUAAACUGGAAUAUGUUUUCCCUGUCUCCGUGUCUCCAAGUCUUCAGAACCUGGAAGAGAUGAAGAUUGUUUUUGCUGACAAUUUAAAGCAAGUAUUUUACAGUGGAGAAGGAGAUGACAUCAUCGUCAAGUCUAAAAUUAAAGAUGGCAUCAUCGACUUCCCUCAGCUAAGAAAAUUGUCUCUUUCAAAGUGCAGCUUUUUUGGUCCAAAGGAUUUUGCUGCCCAAUUGCCUUCUUUGCAAGAGUUAACCAUUUAUGGCCACGAAGAAGGGGGUAAUUUGUUGGCACAGCUUCGAGUACGUCCAUUCUAUUUCUCCAUUUUUUUUUCUUUUUCUAAUUGAAAUUGUCAACUUCAAUACAUUGUGAUAAUUUGUUCUAUCUUCCUCCAAAUUUCUAAAACUAAAGUAAUUGAUAAGUUCUUUAACCAUCCACUGAAUUUAAUUGAUGAUUUAAAUUGGCUUAGGAAGUUCUUUAAUUUUUUUGAGUUAAAGUAUAAUUUUUCGUGAUUGCUUUUAAUUUAACUAAUAUAAAGUAAUAGUUUGUAUUCAGAUUAUCAUAAAUAUGAAAAAAUAUGAUUUUAUAUUCCCAUGACCCGGUGCCUUGUCUAUCUAUAUUUUCUUAAAAAAUAUGAAAAUUUUUUUUACUAAUCUGUAAAAUUCAAAAUAUUUUCUUUUAUAUUUUUAUUUUUGGACAAUGUCAUAAUUUUUUUUUAUUAUAAAUCGAAUAUAAUUUUUUUUUUUUUAGUUAAUAAGUAUAAUUUUUUCAUGAUUGCUUUUAAUUUAACUAAUAUAAAAUAAUAGUUUAUAUUUAGAUUAUCAUAAAUAUGAAAAAAAAAAUAUCAUUUUAUAUUCCCAUGACCUGUUGCCCUGUCUAUUUAUAUCUUCUUGUUGAUAAUUGGUUGAUCUAUUUAACAAAAUUAUAUAAUAGUUCCAAAGUGCACAAAAAUUACUAGGAAUUAUAUCUAACAAAUUGGUACCUUUUGAUGCAGGGGUUUACAAGUUUGGAAACAUUAACUUUGUCCUACGUGCUUGUGCCUGACUUGAGGUGUAUAUGGAAGGACCUCAUGCCGAGCCAUUUGACUUCUUUGACGGUGUAUAGCUGUAAGAGACUGACACGUGUAUUCACACAUAGCAUGAUUGCUAGUCUUGUUCAACUGCAAGUUCUAGAGAUAUCAAAUUGUGAGGAAUUGGAGCAAAUCAUUGCUAAGGAUAAUGAUGAUGAAAAUGAUCAGAUAUUGUCAGGAAGUGAUCUCCAAUCUUCAUGCUUCCCUAAUCUGUGGCGACUUGAGAUCAGAGGAUGCAACAAGUUGAAGAGUCUCUUCCCAGUAGCCAUGGCUUCAGGUCUCAAAAAGCUCCGAAUACUUAGAGUAAGAAAAUCCUCUCAAUUAUUGGGAGUAUUUGGACAGGAUGAUCAUGCUUCACCUGCCAAUAUUGAGAAGGAGAUGGUGCUCCCUGAUCUGCAGGAGUUGUUGCUUGUACAAUUACCAAGUAUUUCCUCCUUUAGUCUCGGAUGUUCUAAUUUCUUGUUCCCUCAUUUGAAGAAGUUGGAGGUGGAUGGAUGCCCGAAGCUGACCACAAAAUCUGCUACUACAUCAAAUGACUCAAUGAGUGCUCAAUCAAAGGUACUCCUGAUUUGACUUGAUUUCUUGCCUCUCGUUUAGUUUUAAAAGUGCACAAUAAUUACUAGGAAUUACAUCUAACAAAUCGGUACCCUUGUUUUCUUUUGAUGCAGGCGUUUAUGAAUUUGAAAGAAAUAUCUAUUGGAAACUUGGAAGGAGUACAAGAUUUAAUGCAAGUUGGACGUUUGGUAACUAAUAGAAGAGGUGGGCAUGAACUUUCACUCGUGAGUUUGGAAACAUUAUGCUUGAACUUAUUGCCAGACUUGAGGUGUAUAUGGAAGGGUCUCGUUCCGAGCAAUUUGACUACUUUGAAGGUGAAAGAGUGCAAGAGACUGACACAUGUAUUCACAGACAGCAUGAUUGCUAGUCUAAUUCAACUUCAAGUUCUAGAGAUAUCAAAUUGUGAGGAAUUGGAGCAAAUCAUUGCUAAGGAUAAUGAUGAUGAAAAUGAUCAGAUAUUGUCAGGAAGUGAUCUCCAAUCUUCAUGCUUCCCUAAUCUGUGGCGACUUGAGAUCAGAGGAUGCAACAAGUUGAAGAGUCUCUUCCCAGUAGCCAUGGCUUCAGGUCUCAAAAAGCUCCGAAUACUUAGAGUAAGAAAAUCCUCUCAAUUAUUGGGAGUAUUUGGACAGGAUGAUCAUGCUUCACCUGCCAAUAUUGAGAAGGAGAUGGUGCUCCCUGAUCUGCAGGAGUUGUUGCUUGUACAAUUACCAAGUAUUUCCUCCUUUAGUCUCGGAUGUUCUAAUUUCUUGUUCCCUCAUUUGAAGAAGUUGGAGGUGGAUGGAUGCCCGAAGCUGACCACAAAAUCUGCUACUACAUCAAAUGACUCAAUGAGUGCUCAAUCAAAGGUACUCCUGAUUUGACUUGAUUUCUUGCCUCUCGUUUAGUUUUAAAAGUGCACAAUAAUUACUAGGAAUUACAUCUAACAAAUCGGUACCCUUGUUUUCUUUUGAUGCAGGCGUUUAUGAAUUUGAAAGAAAUAUCUAUUGGAAACUUGGAAGGAGUACAAGAUUUAAUGCAAGUUGGACGUUUGGUAACUAAUAGAAGAGGUGGGCAUGAACUUUCACUCGUGAGUUUGGAAACAUUAUGCUUGAACUUAUUGCCAGACUUGAGGUGUAUAUGGAAGGGUCUCGUUCCGAGCAAUUUGACUACUUUGAAGGUGAAAGACUGCAAGAGACUGACACAUGUAUUCACAGACAGCAUGAUUGCUAGUCUAAUUCAACUUCAAGUUCUAGAGAUAUCAAAUUGUGAGGAUUGGNNNNNNNNNNNNNNNNNNNNNNNNNNNNNNNNNNNNNNNNNNNNNNNNNNNNNNNNNNNNNNNNNNNNNNNNNNNNNNNNNNNNNNNNNNNNNNNNNNNNNNNNNNNNNNNNNNNNNNNNNNNNNNNNNNNNNNNNNNNNNNNNNNNNNNNNNNNNNNNNNNNNNNNNNNNNNNNNNNNNNNNNNNNNNNNNNNNNNNNNNNNNNNNNNNNNNNNNNNNNNNNNNNNNNNNNNNNNNNNNNNNNNNNNNNNNNNNNNNNNNNNNNNNNNNNNNNNNNNNNNNNNNNNNNNNNNNNNNNNNNNNNNNNNNNNNNNNNNNNNNNNNNNNNNNNNNNNNNNNNNNNNNNNNNNNNNNNNNNNNNNNNNNNNNNNNNNNNNNNNNNNNNNNNNNNNNNNNNNNNNNNNNNNNNNNNNNNNNNNNNNNNNNNNNNNNNNNNNNNNNNNNNNNNNNNNNNNNNNNNNNNNNNNNNNNNNNNNNNNNNNNNNNNNNNNNNNNNNNNNNNNNNNNNNNNNNNNNNNNNNNNNNNNNNNNNNNNNNNNNNNNNNNNNNNNNNNNNNNNNNNNNNNNNNNNNNNNNNNNNNNNNNNNNNNNNNNNNNNNNNNNNNNNNNNNNNNNNNNNNNNNNNNNNNNNNNNNNNNNNNNNNNNNNNNNNNNNNNNNNNNNNNNNNNNNNNNNNNNNNNNNNNNNNNNNNNNNNNNNNNNNNNNNNNNNNNNNNNNNNNNNNNNNNNNNNNNNNNNNNNNNNNNNNNNNNNNNNNNNNNNNNNNNNNNNNNNNNNNNNNNNNNNNNNNNNNNNNNNNNNNNNNNNNNNNNNNNNNNNNNNNNNNNNNNNNNNNNNNNNNNNNNNNNNNNNNNNNNNNNNNNNNNNNNNNNNNNNNNNNNNNNNNNNNNNNNNNNNNNNNNNNNNNNNNNNNNNNNNNNNNNNNNNNNNNNNNNNNNNNNNNNNNNNNNNNNNNNNNNNNNNNNNNNNNNNNNNNNNNNNNNNNNNNNNNNNNNNNNNNNNNNNNNNNNNNNNNNNNNNNNNNNNNNNNNNNNNNNNNNNNNNNNNNNNNNNNNNNNNNNNNNNNNNNNNNNNNNNNNNNNNNNNNNNNNNNNNNNNNNNNNNNNNNNNGUGUCGUUGGGCAUUAUCAGAUUCAUGAGUGGCUCAAUCAGAGGUGCUGUAUAUUUGACAUGAUUUCUUGCCUCUCUUUCAGUGUUUUUAUUUCUUGUUUCCCUCACUAAUAAGACUUACAAGUUAGAAUGUGUAUGCCAUGCUUGAAUUGGUUUUGCAGGUAUCUCAAGUAGCUGAGGGUUCCAGCACUGGUUGCUCCGUGCCAACCAGCACUGCUAGAAGUUGGACCCGAAGAAAUGGGUGGAAAGAGGAAAAAGAGGAAGAGGAUGGAGUCAGAUGAUUAGUUUGGCAUUGGAAUUUGAAAAACAUGGUAGUAAUUCAUUCUUGCAGGUAAAAUGGCUGCAACUAUUUAUCUUCUAUCCUUGUUUAAAUGGUUGGAUUAAAUCAACAAAUACGAGAUGCCUGGAUGAUCUUUGUUCUUGAUGUUUGCAUUAGGUUGGUUGGUUACCUAUGUGAUGAUCAACUCGACAUUGGUGGGAAGUAAUUCCAGCUGUUUCAUUAGCUACAACAAUUUGUCUUAUUUCAUGUGUUUGUUGUGUGAACUUCCAGAAAUAAGGGUAAUGUUAUGUGUUUAGUAAUUUAUUGUACGAACCUUCAAAAACGAAAGGCAUAAUGUUUACUCAUUUGUGUGCUUAUUGUUUAAUGUGUGGAUUCUUAUUCUCCUCAUUUUGAUGUUCUAUUUCUAUUACGGAUUCUUUAUGUGGUAAGAUUAUAUAAAAUAAUAAAUCAAAAAGCAUCAAUGAAAAAUAAAUCACCUCAUGGUGAUUAACCUCCUAAGGGACAAAGUUAGCACAAUGGUGAACUACAUGGAAGAUUAUUCAAGGGCUUCAUCCUUGUGGUGAACUACAUGAUAAAUCGGCUAUAAAUUACAAAAUCAAAAUAACCUCAGCCAACAUUGAUUACUCCAAAUUAAUUUUAAAAUUCGAUUUAUUUGACUUAAUAAAAAAUAUUAAUCUGAAUUGCUUCCUAUAAAAAAUAUGUGAGCAGAGUAUUUCAUGAAACCUAAUAAAAAUAAGAUUCUUCUUCAAUUUUUUAUUUAUCAUCAUUUGUAAAUCUUGAUAGAAAAAAUGAGGAAUGUAUUUCUCAUGCCUCCAAACCUCAUCACUCCUAUAUUUGUUUAUUAUAUUCUAAAAUACUAAAUAAGCACAACCUAAUUUUUAAAUCUGAAUUUCUUAAAAGCAUUUAAUUAUCACAACAUAGGAAUAAAAGUUUUUAAAAAAACACUGAACAGGCCUACCCAACACAUAAGCAAAUUUGUGCUCCAAAUGACAAAAUAAAAGCGCAUUCCAAACUAUCAAGUCAAGUACUGAACCUUUUUAAAAUUGCUUUUUUUUUCAAAUAUUUCUUUUUGUCUAAUUAUAUUUAUUUUUUAUUUUUUUAUUAACAUGAGUGUCCAGACCAGCUUGCAUGCAUUUCGACUAAUCCCAUAAAUUUUAAAAUUAACGAUCAUGUAAGUCUCUAGUGAUUCUAAAAUUUUUAAAAUUUAAAUUAAUAAUUUUUAAAAAAUAAAUUCAAAAUCUGAUAAUUUUAUCCCAUUAUUACAUUCAAUGAUUGGUUGAUUGGAUUAUUAAAUUCAUUGAUCGGAUGAUUGGAUGUUCGAAUUUCAUUUACUUUUGGCAUUACACAAAAACAUCCCUUUCAAGUUACAAAACGACGUGCAGCUCAAUCAAUGCCUUCAUUGCCUACAGCCUUCAAAAAAUCAACUCCUUGGUUAGUUUCGUCCUUGGCUCGCUUGGAGCGACAGCCACAUUAAAUGAUAGCCACCGAAAUGUUUGACAUGUGGCACUUGAGUUUAAGAAACCAUUAAUGCCUGGUCUUGUUUUAGAUUGACACGUGUACGCCAGGGCCGUUGCCAUAGUUAAUUGUCCAAGGUUGAGUUAAGAUUUCCUCGCCGUAAUUGCUUGAUGUUGACGUGGCUCAUUAAAUGAAGACAUUGUCGUCAGCAUUGGACCGCCUCUUUUAUGCGAGUCAGCUUGGUUAUAGCAAAAAAAUAUAAAUAUGCUUAGUUAAGAUAAUUUUAUAAUGAAUUUUUAUUAUUUAAAAACAAGAAAGGUAACGGAGCAUGUUCUCUCUGUUUUAAUUAACAAAUGUUAUCUAAAAAAUUAAGAUGUGAAUUUAUUAAUAUUCUCGUACCUUUUAAGAACUAUAUGAAUUUAUAUUUAUUUUCUUAAAUUAAAGUUUAUGAAAAAAAAUUGAGUUAUGGAUAUCUAAAUUAUUAUGGUAUACCUUCCCUGCAGACUGUAAGGAAACUCCAAUUCAUCAACAAUAUUAUUCGACUACAGCCAAAAAACAAGAACACUCAGUCUUCUAAACUAAAAAAUAAAAGAUUUAUGUUUCGUGACUACUGAAAAAUAUGUAUUUAAUCGAAAUGAUUACCAGAAGCAUAAAUUCUGUACAAAAACUGAAUUGCCACUGCUGUUGGGUAUCAAUAUAUACUAUAUAGAAAAAAAUAGAUAUGUAAAAAAGAAGAAAAAUACUCUACUUAUUAAAAGUGAUAAAUUAUUUUUGUCUUUUUGAAAAAAAAACAUUUUCUUCCUAAUUUAUUGAUAAAAUUAUAAUGAGGUUGUUUUUUAUAAUGUUUUUUUAUAUAAUUAUAUCAAAAUAAUACAUAUUUUUUAUUUUUUAAAAUUUAUUUUUGGUAUCAUUAUAUUAAAAAAAUAAAAAAUAAAAUAAUAAUUUUCACCUACUAACUAGACGGUGUUUUUUUUUUUAUUAAUAUUGCUAAUCAGGUCAGCUUGCUAGUACUUUAAUUAAUCUCACGAAUUCUAAAGUUAAUAACUAUAUAAGCCUCUAAUGAUCCUGAUGUUUAUAAAACUUGAAUUAAUAACUUUUAAAAAACUAACUUAAAAUCUGAAUAGUUGAAUUAUACCCAUCAAGAUUCCAGUCUCUAAGUUAAACUAAGAAGCUAGCUUGGCCAACACUUGAAAAUGUUAAAUAAAUAAGGAUAAAAUAGACUUUUCAGUAUAUUAUAUCAGUAAUUUACUGGCUGGUCGUGGUGACUCACAAGGUCUUUGGUGAUGAGAGAGAUGAAUAAAGAAGAAGCAGAGGUCUCAUUGGGGACCCAGUGGGGGAAUUAAGUUUCACUCUCAUGAUAUGCGCGUGCGUCGAACGCACAAUUCUUUGUCUUAUUUUAAAAGAUCUAUACGCGUGAAACACACGAGUAGGUAGAUGGUUGAAGAUUAUUACGAAAGUAGACACAUCUCUGUCAUAAAAGAUUGUAGUCAUAGUACAAAUAUUUCGGGAAUUUCAUCAUUGCCGGCAUUAAUGAUCUCAUUUACUCAUAAGUUCCAGACUUGAUGAGAGUUCUGACCGGUCAAUGAUUAUUCGUCGUGUUAAUCUUUUAAAUUGAUAUCGGAAUAAUUUUUUUAAUUUUAUAUUUAUGGAAAAAGAGUAAAAAAAUUUUAAAUUGAAUUUUUUUAUAGUUUUAUAAAAAAAUAAACUGAAAUAUAACUUAUUAAUAUUUUUAAAAAUUUAUUAAAAAAAACCAUAACUGAAAAAUAAAAAAAAUAAAAAAUGAUAAAAUUUAAAAAAUAUUAUAAUUUUAUAAAUUAUUUAAAAUAAAAUAAAUAACUAUUAAAGGAAUAAAAAUCAAAUAUAGUAGAUAAAAAAUUUAAUUAAAAAAAUAAUAAGAUAAAAAUAAAUAACAAUAAAAAAAUAAGAAUCCAAGUUGAUAUAAAAAUUAAACCAAAUCAAAAUUUAAAGGAUAAAAUUUAAAAAUAAAAAAAAUUUAAAAGAUUAAAUAUUAGAUUUAAUAUAAUCUACAAAUAACAUGAUUUCUUUUUAAUUUCUUAAAAUUUUUAAAAGUAUAAUAUGUAAAAAUUAAAAGAAAAAUACUAUUCUAAAAACAAAUCAAAUUUUUUGUGUGAAAAGUAUUUUUUAUCAAUUUUUUAAUAAUAAAUAAGCAUGAAAAAAUUUAAAAUAUAUAUUGUUUUUAAUUACUAACCUAUCCCAGAUAGGUUUUAAAAAAAUCACAUGAAAGUUAACUCUACGAAACAAAAUCUGUUUGAUUUUAAUUAUUUUAAUUAACCUAAGUUAAUUUAUCAGAUCCAUGUACUGAAUUCACUCAAUCGAGUUUAAUAACAUUUAUUGAAAUUUGUUUCUUCUAAGUUAGGGAAUCAAUCAACCUAAGCACACAAUUCUGCAAGGAGAGAGGCCCAUUUCCUCAAGAGUAAUGAAAGUUGGAAAUAUAAUAAAGGCUCAAAGUGAAAAAGUCCCACUUGAACUGAACCUAGUCGUAUGCUUUGGAUUCCUUGAAAACCCAUAUGAUUUAGGUGUCAAGAUAAAUGAAAAUUUCUUGCUUUUUUUUCUUCUCUCUCUCUCUUAUGAAUAUGGAUUCCUCGAAACCCCAUAUUUAUGUUAUUAUUGGAAAUUCGAACUCUACGAAAAAAAAACUAUAAGAUAUGAUCGGUUUGGACGAGGAUGACUUGAUUUGAAAAAGAAUUAAUUAUGAUAAGUGAAAGAUGUCUUAAGAGUACUCUAAUCCAUACUUUUUUUUUAUUGGGGCCCCUUGUGUUUUUUUAUUUAUAAUUGAUUGAGAGUCCCUCUACUCUUUAUUUUGUUUUGUAAUAGUCCUUCCAUCAUAAAUAAAGACCCAUAUUUUUUGCUCAAGGAGUGACUUGUCUAUGAAUUUUAAAAUUAUAGCAUAGUUAUUAAACAUGAUUUAAUGCGUUGAACUUUUAAAUUAAAAUUUAUUCAUAGUCAUUAAUUUAAACAUGAUUUAAAAUUAUAGCAUAGUCACUGCCUAGAAGAUGCAUAUUUAACAAUUAUCAACUGAUAGAGGAAGCCUAUAUCCAAACCAAUCGCACAUCCUUUCGUCCUCCAAUUUCCUUCUAUUUUUUUUUAUGUACACAAUUAACAUAUCCUCAAUUACCCUUUUGAUUUUUAUAUUUUUUGUUGUGAACAAAAUUAAACAGUCAGAAGAAAAUCCAGACCCCUUUUUUUUAAUGAAUUAAUUAUGUGAAUAAAAUUUAUAAAAGAGGUUGAGGAGGGCAUGAACAGCACUAGCUAGAAGUCAAUGUAUCAAUGUUGAUACUCCUCAAAAAGUCAAUGCUGGUGGAGUUGGCAGCAAAAAUAAAUAAUAAUAAUAAUAAUAAUAACAACAAAAUAAUUGAGGAGCUACAAGCUAGAGAGCCAAACGAAAUUGCCAAAGACGAGUAGCUAGUAUGCGGUGUCGUGAUGAUCGUUUAUUCUGGUAUGUAUUUGAAAAAUAGGUAAGAUAAAAAAAUUUUAUUUUUUAUCAGUGAAAAGAAAGAAUGAUAAUUGUCACUUAAUAUUUUGAUUACUAGAAAUCUUAACUGGUCUUAGAGAUCGGGCAUGGAAACUGGUUGCAUAAAGACAAUGUAUUAGCACCCCAAAUACGUCAUACUAAGGUAAGAUGCAUUAUUUAAUUGUCUGAUAUAAACUAAGAUAUUGUCGUGUUUUCUAAUGAUUGGUCCGUUUAAGGUUUAAAAAAAGUCAUUCUCGGUAAGACGAUUCUUAUCUUAUCGAGUAAAAUCUAACCAUUCUAAUAUCAACAAAAAGAAAAACUAACUCUUAUUUAAUAUUAGAAAUACGUCUUACGUAUAAGUUUGUAAUCUCAAAUAUUAAAAGAAAACACAAUAAUUUUUUUGUAUUUUUGAAAUAUUGGCUUAAUUCUCAUGACUUUAAUAAACUGGCUAUUAAAACUCAAAAUGCAUGCUAAUACAUAUUUUUUGAAUUUUUAAAAUUCUCAGUUUUCUCCAAAAUGUUGCAAAAAAAUAUAUAUAUAUCUUGUUUUCAUGCAUACGACUAAAAAAGAUAAGAAAUUUCAUAUUGUAUUUUCAUACUAAAAAAAAUAUCAAAUUUGUAUUUUUACAAUAUAAAAAUACAAACUAAUAUUAAUCAAAAUUGGUAGAAAAAUAUACGAGAAAACCACAAAUUAUUUUAGAAAAGAUUUUGAAAUUUUUCAGAAUUGCAUAAAGGUAAUGUAUUAGCACCCCAAAUACGUCAUAUCUAAGGUCAGAUGCAUUCUUUAAUUGUCUGAUAUAAUUAACUAAGGGAUUGUCGUGUUUUACAAUGGUUGGUCUGUCUAAGGUUUAAAAAAAGUCAUUCUCAGUAAGGCGAUUCUUAUCUUAUCGGAUAAAAUCUAACUGUUCUAAUAUCGACAAAAAGAAAAACUAACUUUUAUUUAAUAUUAGAAAUACAUCUUACGUAUAAGUUUGUAACCUCAUAUAUUAAAAGAAAAAAAAAUAUUUUUUUCGUAUUUUUAAAAUAUUGACCUAGUUCUCAUGGUUUUAAUAAACUGGCUAUUAAAGCUCAAAAUGCAUGCUAAUACAUAUUUUUUGAAUUUUUUGAAAUUCUCAGUUGUCUCCAAAAUGUUGCAAAAAAAUAUAUAUGGAAAAAAUAUAUAUAUCUUGUUUUCAUGCAUACGACUAAAAAAUAUAAGAAAUUUCAUAUCGUAUUUUCAUACUAAAACAAAUACCAAAUUUGUAUUUUUACAAUAUAAAAAUACAAGUUAAUAUUAAUCAAAAUUGGUAGAAAAAUAUACGAGAAAACCACAAAUUAUUUUGAAAUUUUUCAGAAUUGCAUAAAGGCAAUGUAUUAGCACCUCAAAUACGUCAUAUCUAAGAUAAGAUGCAUUGUUUAAUUGUCUGAUAUAAACUAAGGCAUUGUCGUGUUUUUUAAUGGUUGGUCCGUCUAAGGUUUUAAAAAAAUCAUUCUGGGUAAGACGAUUCUUAUCUUAUCGGGUAAAAUCUAAACGUUCUAAUAUCUACAAAAAGAAAAAUUAACACUUAUUUAAUAUUGAAAAUACAUCUUACGUAUAAGUUUGUAAUCUCAUAUAUUAAAAGAAAACAAAAUAAUUUUUUUUUAUAUUUUUCAAAUAUUGACCUAGUUCUCAAGACUUUAAUAAACUGGUUAUUAAAACUCAAAAUGCAUGCUAAUAUAUAUUUUUUGAAUUUUUGAAAUUCUUAGUUUUCUCCAAAAUGUUGCAAAAAAAUAUAUAUGGAAAAACAACAAAAAAAAUCUUGUUUUCAUGCAUACGACUAAAAAAUAUAAGAAAUUUCAUAUCGUAUUUUCAUACCAAAACAAAUAUCUAAUUUGUAUUUUUACAAUAUAAAAAUACAAACUAAUAUUAAUCAAAAUUGAUAAAAAAAAAUAUACGAGAAAACCACAAAUUGUUUUAGAAAAGAUUUUGAAAUUUUUCAGAAUUUUGUCUCCUCUUUUUAAUAUAUAAUAUUAUAUUAUAUAUUAUUAUAAAUAUAUAAUAAAAAACAUUGGGAUGGGCUGGCCCAAAUAUAUGGGUUGAGCCCAUCCUUGUUAGGUUAAAAUUGGCCUAGGUUGGCCCAAAGGAGUUGGGCCAACAUCGGCCCAAGAAGUAGGCAGGAGAGCCGAAGAGUUGCACCUUUUUGAUGAAGUUUUGAUAGCUACGGUGUCCCAGAAUCCAAAUGUCACAGGCAUCCAGGAUCAAAUGGCAGAUAGUUUAGAUCUGAAAUUUGACAAGAAGAGUAAAGAAGGGAGAGCAAAUGAACUAUGGCAGAGACUGCAGGGAAAGAAGAUGCUUAUAGUCCUGGAUGAUGUUUGGAAAGAUAUUGACUUCCAAGAGAUAGGGAUCCCAUUUGGUGAUGAUCACAGGUGUUGUAAAAUUCUUCUAACAACACGUCUUGAAGACAGGUGUUCUUAUAUGAAGUGCAAGGAAAAAGUGUUUUUAGGUCUCUUUUCUGAAGAGGAAGCAUGGGCUUUAUUCAGAAUCAAUGCAGAUUUACGUGACGAGGACUCUACCUUGAACACGGUGGCAAAGAAGGUUGCGAGAGAAUGUAAAGGAUUGCAUACAGCACUUGUGACAGUGGGAAGGGCUCUAAGAGAUAAAUCUGUUGUUGAGUGGGAAGUAGCGUCUGAAGAGCUCAAAAACUCUCAAUUUCGGCAUUUGGAACAAAUUGACGGACAAAAAAAAUGCAUAUGCAUGUCUUAAGUUGAGCUAUGAUUCUUUGAUGUCCAAUGAAACCAAGUCAUGUUUCUUGCUAUGCUGUUUAUUUCCAGAAGAUUACAACAUUCCAAUUGAGGACUUGACGAGAUACGCAGUUGGCUAUGGGUUACAUAAAGAUGCGGAGUCCAUUGAAGAUGCAAGGAAACGAGUUUAUUUGGCAAUCAAAAACCUCAAAGCUUCUUGUAUGCUGUUAGGAAAUGAAAGUGAAGAAUAUGUGAAAAUGCAUGCUUGGUUCGUGAUGUUGCUAUUCAGAUAGCAUCUACAGAACAUGGAGUCAUGGUAAAGGCUGGCUUUGGGUUGAAGGAGUGGCCAUUAAGGGAUAAAUAAACUAGCAGAACUUCCUGAAGUAUUGGUGUGUCCACAGCUCAAAGUUACUUUUUAUUUUUUUUAUUGGGGCCUCUUAUGUUUUUUCAUAAUUGAUUGAGUCCCUCUACUCUUUAUGUUGUUUUGUAAUAGUCCUUCCAUCAUAAAUAAAGAAAAAAAUGUUAACUAGCUAGCUCCAUUAGAAGAUGCAUAUUUAACAAUUAUCAACUGAUAGAGGAAGCCUAUAUCCAAACCAAUCGCACAACCUUUCGUCUUCCAAUUUUUAACUUAGAAUCGGAUUGAGCAGGUGUUAUAUUAACAUUUCAAACCAAAUCAAGUUUAAUUUCCAUUAUAUAUCGUAAUAGUAUUCUUGAUUCAAUUUAUACAUAACAAGACUAACAAGGUUUAAGAAUAGUUGUAAUCCCUCUAUAAUACAGAAGUAAUUGAUUCUCUUUAUAUAUGUAUAUAUAGUAGUUAGCAAAUCCUAUAUAAUAGGAAACAAAUAAAACCUAACAAAAUAUGUAUCUUACAAGAUAUAAUAACAAACGACAUGUUCUUUAAUUCUAUUACCUUCGUAUAAAAAUUUUCGAACAUUCAGACAAUUAUCAGGGUUUCACCUAUCCUACAUUGGCCUAAGACAUAUAAAAGGAAAAACCUAUUUUUCAUACACAGAAUUAUAAUUUUUCAUACAAAAGGAAAAACCUAUCCUACAUUGGCCUAAGACAUAUAAAAGGAAAAACCUAUUUUUCAUACACAGAAUUAUAAUUUUCAUAUUGGAAGAAGGCUAAAUAUUAGCCGAUUCUUUAGCAACAGUUAUUUGAUACGUAAAGGAUUAAUUAUGCCAAUGCUUUUAGGAGAAAGAUAUGCAGCCCUUAUAAGAUAAAGAUUGUCUGUUAGAUUCAACUUCUACUCAUGCCUCUGCUGCGUUGUAUAUAUAUAUAUGAUACAUUACAUAAUAAAGAUUACAUUGCAUUCCAAAGCAGCAGCUCUGUUCUCAAUAUUGUUGAUUCUCUGUUCUUUCUUUUCUUCAUGGUAUCAGAGCUGGUUUCGAUUGACUUGCGUUUUACUUAAAGUUUUCUAUGAAAGACUCUUCUAAAUAUGUUGGUGCUGAUGACAUCAACAGAUCUUCUAAUACAUCAGAAGGAGAACAAAAUAAUCCAAACCAACAUCUAGGUUCAGUUUUGUUGAAUGAACUCAACUAUCUUUCUUGGUCAAGAGCUGUGACGAUUGCUCUUGGGGGAAGGUCCAAACUUGGCUAUGUUAAUGGCCAUAUCAAGGCCCCUAACCCUUCCUCGUAGAACUAUGAAGCAUGGCAAUACAAGGAUCAACUUGUCAUGUCUUGGUUACUCAAUUCUAUAGAGAACAAUAUUGCUGAAAUAUUUAGUUAUUCAGAAUCUUCAAUGGACCUCUGGGAGGCUGUGAAGGAAAUGUAUGGAAAUCAAAACAAUGCAGCUCGCAUUUUUCAAAUCAAAAGAGAUCUUGCUAAUUUGUAGCAAGAUGGCAAGACUUAUGUGCAACUACUUGGAAUUCUGAAAGGUAUGUGGAGUGAACUUGCUUUAUAUCGAACUCACACUGUUGAUGUUGCAGCAUUGAAAAAACAAGAUGAGGAAGAUAAGAUAUUCCAAUUACUAUCCAGUCUUGGUAUAUAUUAUGAAGACCUUCGAAGUCAAGUUCUGAUGAACUCUGAUCUUCCAUCCCUUGCGAAUGUAUGUGCUGCAAUACAGCGAGAAGAAGCUCGCAGAAAAAUCAUGAAUCUAGAGCCAAGAAUCACCUUUCCAGAAACCCGUGUAUACACUGUUACCAGACAGAUGAAAAGUAAUAAAUCUUACAAAGGAAAGCGACCAAAUUUGAAGUGCACUCAUUGUCAUAAUCUUGGACACACAAUCGGGUGGUGUUGGAUCCUUCAUCCGGAAUUAAAGCCUAACUUUGGAAAGGAAAAGGGACUUCAAAAGGGUUAUGGAUAUAAAGCUCACAUUGCUGCUCGCUCUACUGAUAAUUCUUCUCCAAGUAAUGUAGUAAACUUUUCUACCAACCCAUCUACUCUUAAUGAUUUUGCCAAUUAUCUUAAGGAAAAGGGUGAUGCCAGCUUGACAGCCUCAAGCAAUUCUGAUUCUACGGCUAUUCUUGGUAAGUUUGCUGGUUUCAUGGCAAACUCUGAUCAUCUAUCACAAGAGAAUUUGGAAGGUAUUUUGACUGCUUUUAAAACUGUUUUAGUUCCUAGUACUGUGCAUAAUUUUUGGGUCAAUGAUUCGGGUGCUUCUGAUCACAUAACAAAUAAAAGGACUAGCUUACAUCAUUUCGAAAAAAUCACUACUCCAACUCAUAUUUCUGUUGCAAAUGGAAAACAUGUCCCUGUCGAAGGUAAAGGGAAAAUUAAAUUGCUCUGAAAAUAUUGAGUCUUUGGUUUUAUAUGUUCCAUCUUUUCCAUUCCAAUUGAUUUCCGUUGGCAAGGUCACCAAAACACUAAAUUGUCGUGUUAUAUUUGACUCUCACCGAGUUCUUUUUCAAGAUCGCGCCACCGAGAGGAUGAUUGGUGAAAGUUUCUUUUUUCAAGGGCUUUAUUAUUUUUCAAAUAAUUCUAAGCAUCCUCAAAUUUCUGCUCUUUCUUCCCUUAGUCAGGAUCAAGUUUUAUGGCAUCAACGUUUAGCCCAUCCUUCCAAGAAUGUUCUUACAAAAUUAAUGCCCAGUCUAGAUGCCAGAAAGAUCACUUGUGAUACAUGUCAUCUAUCAAAAUCCACCAGACUGCCCUUUUCACCCUCUAUGUCUAGAGCUAAUGAGAUGUUUGAACUUAUACACUCUGAUGUUUGGGGACCAACUAUUGAAUCCUUUGAUGGCUACAAGUAUUUUGUUACUUUUGUUGAUGAUUUUUCUCUUGUAACGUGGAUAUAUCUUUUAAAAUUCAAAAGUGAGGUUGUUGAUGUUUUUAAGGAUUUUCAUACGCUAGUCAUUACUUUUUAAAAUUCAAAAGUGAGCUAAUGAGAUGUUUUAAAGACCUUCUUCUAGCACAAGGGUUGUUAGUCCUAUUAUGGCUAAUCCUAAGGGUGAUUCCCUAAAUGAGCAAUCUGAAUUGGAGACUCAUGUUAUUCCUUUGCCACAUACUUGCAAAAAUCCAGUUCGUAAUCGUGCUCCUCCAAUUAAAAUGCAAGAUUUUGUCACCUUUGCAGCAAGACAUCCUAUUUCAAAUUCCCUUACAUACCAACAACUCUCACCUGAUCAUACAUCAUUUCUUUCUGCUAUAUCUAAUGUUCGAGAGCCACGAAAUUUUUAGGAAGGUAAUACUCAAGAUGAAUGGAAACGUGCCAUGGAUGAUGAACUCCUAGCUCUUGCUCAGAAUCAAACCUGGAGUAUUGUCAAACUUCCCAAAGGAAAACAUGUUGUUGGCGGCCGGUGGGUGUAUAAAACAAAGUUUAAUUCCAAUGGCACCAUUGACAGACACAAGGCACGUCUUAUAGCUCAGGGAUUUACUCAAACCUUUGGAGUGGAUUACAAGGAAACCUUUGCUCCUGUUGCAAAGAUGAACACUGUUCGUGUUUUAUUAUCAGUUGCCAUAAACAAAGGAUGGUUAAUGUGUCAGAUGGACGUAAAAAAUGCCUUCUUGCAUGGGAACCUUGAGGAAGAAGUCUACAUGAAAUUGCCUCCUGGUCAUCCUUAAGCUUCAGAUCCUACCUUAGUGUGCCGACUUCACAAAUCACUUCAUGGUUUGAAUCAGUCUUCACGUGCUUGGCAUGCUCAAUUAAGUUCUGUUCUUGAAGAGCUUGCUUUCAAAAGAAGUAAUGCAGAUUCAUCUUUAUUUGUUCAUCUUGGACCUAAAGAAACAUUGGUGGUUCUUAUGUACGUUGAUGAUCUUAAUUAUUUCAGGAAAUAAUAGUGAGGCUAUAUCACGUCUCAAAGCCACCUUACAACAUCAUUUUCCAAUUACAGAUCUUGGCAGAUUGAAGUAUUUUCUUGGAAUAGAAAUGGAAGCUUCUCAUAAAGGGUUAUUUCUUAAUCAACGCAAGUAUGUUCUUGAUUUACUCAAAGAUGCUGAGAUGAUGGAUGCCAAGCCUGCCCCUACUCCAUUGGACAAUAAAUUGCAGCUUCCCAAAAAUAGUGAGCCCCUUCAGUCUAUCAAUCACUACCAGCAUCUUGUAGGUAAGCUUAUUUACCUUACCAUUACGCGACCUGAUAUAGCCUAUGUAGUUAGUCUUGUUAGCCAAUUGAUGCAUGCACCUACUAUUUUCCAUCUGAGUAUUGUCAAGGGCAUCCUACGCUAUCUAAAGGGUUCUAUUGGACAUGGAAUUGUGAUUAGUACUUAAAAGUGUAUUUUUAUCAAGGUUUUAUAUCAUCAUUUUGCACUUGAAGUAUCAAUAACUCCUUAACUAGAGCAUGUUUUAUAAUAACAAGUCUGAUAAUAUAAGAUACCUUUAAUUUAUGGUAAAUGCUCAUUUUAAAUCCAGGCAUAUCUCACAAUUCAAAGGAUUGAUUGUUGUGAUUAACUAUUGGAAGUGAAAGGACAAAGAAAAGGCUAAGCUUAGAAAGGAGAUGCCGAUUCAAUUCAAAUUUGAACACUAUUCAGUCAUUGAGUCAUAUCUAGAGCUAUAGAUCUUGGAUUUCAGUUUGGUUUAUAUGUCUGGAAAGAUAAGAAAUAGGCCUACAACUUUCAUGAAUAGGAAAAGACCCAAAUCUGCCAUUUUCAAAUUCAAAGUUUGGCCACAAAAAAGAAAUCAGAAUCUGUCCUGCAAUCCAGCCCAAACACUGCUCAGAAUUUUACCCAUAGCUAGAGUUCUAGAAGGCCAAAUGAAGUGAAAUUCGGUGGGUAUAAGGACAAGACAAUUUCAAACAACUUUCAUGAGGAAGACAUGCUCAAAUGCUGAUGGUAAAAAUGACAUUUCAUCCAGACAAGAGCUUGAGGGCUAUCUACCACGUCCACCAGCAGCACUACUCAGUAUUGUAGACAUAUCUCGAGCUGUAGUGAUCCAAAUGCUUUGAUAUUUGAUGGGUGGAAGGAUAAGAUGAUUUCCAACAACUUUCAUAGCACUUUGCCAAAUUCUGAUUGCAUCAAUGUCAUUUCAUCCAGCCAAAAUACUUGAGUGCUGCUAUCCACCAAGUCCACUAAAUCAAUAGUUGGCCACUACAUCAAUAAUCAAUUACCAAAUGAAUAGUUCUGAAUUUUAGCCUAUAAAAGGAGGCAUUUGCCAUUCAUUUAGGAAUCUUGGUUUUCAGAUCAAGAUCAUGUUCUUGCUCUCUUUGUAUUUUGUAGUGUUCAAGUUUUAUUCCAUGUUAUAUUUUCCUUAAUCUCUUGUUUAUGCUUUUCAUUUCCUUUACUAUACUUAUAUAAUUAUGUUCUUAUUUUGUUUAUUUAUGUUCUUCUUCUUCAUAAUGUCUAGCUAAGUUAAUUAUGUCAAUGUGAAAAGGUUUCACUAAUGGUGUUAGGAUAAGUAUAAUAUAAACUCAAUAUGGACUUUAAUGCUUAUGUCCUAAACAAUUUGCAAUUAACAUGUCUUAUCAUUUUUAUCUUAUUAAUUAUUAAUACAUUGCUUGUUAAAUGGUUAAUCUAGAUUUGUGUUGUAUAACACCUGAUACAUCAAAUGCUUGAUCCUUCAUAGUCUUCGGCCGACAUCGUUGUUAUGAGAGGAACUUGAUUUGUUAUCAACAUAAGUUAGCAUCAUAAAUAUCUGAUAAAAUUUAUAAGUAUGGUAUUACGUAAAUAAGAUGAUUAAUAUGAUCAUGUUGAUAAUUUAUAAAGAGUUUAUACUUUACUUAUCUCUAAUACUAUUAGUGGAUCCUCUAACCUUAACAUUUGUUUUUAUCAUUAUUUAAACCUCACAUUAAUCUUACAUCUCAAAGUCCUCUUUAACUCAUCAUCACCAUCAUCACCAUCAUUGUUCUUAUUAUUAUUAUUAUUAUUAUUAUUAUUAUUAUUAUUAUUAUUUAUAAUUUAUAUAAUUAAACUCCAUGUGGUUCGACCCCGGUCUUGCCGGGUUAUUUAUUACGUUGACACUCCUACACUUAGGAUAAGACAUCAACUCUUUGAUUGUGUCAAGUUUUUGGCGUCGUUGCCGGGGAGGUAAAUUCUUGUAUAAAUUAUAAUAUUUAUAUUUAACUUUUCACUUUUCUUGUAUCUAACUUUUGUUUCUUUUGCUUUGUUUCUUUUUCUUUUGUUUCCUUCUUCCUUUUAUUCUCUUCCUACACGUACAUGAGAGUUUGGUCACGUACAUUAAGUGGUAGACUUUGUAGGGUAUCCUCAUCAUUUUUAGAAAAAUAUGGCCGAAGAAGAUAACCAGUCGCUUCAUAAUGAGAAUAAUGAGAAUAACCGAGUUAGAACACUUAGAGACCACAUGAAUCCUACAAGAACAAGUGCACCCUCAUGUAUAGUUUUCCCUCCUGAUGCAUCUCACUUUAAUUUUAAGCUAGGCAUUAUUCAACUUUUACCUUCUUUUCAUGGCUUAGAUCUAGAAAAUCCAUACUUGCAUUUGAGAGAAUUUGAAGAAGUCUGUAACACCUAUAAUGACUUAAAUUGUAGCAUGAACACCAUCAGAUUAAAGCUUUUUCCUUUUUCAUUAAAAGAUAAAGCUAAAACAUGACUACAAAAUCUUAGGUCAGGAUCUAUUCAUGCUUGGGAUGAAAUGAAAAAAUAAUUUUUAAAGAAGUUUUUUCCAUCUCACAGAACAAACUCUUUCAAAAGACAAAUCACCACUUUCACUCAAAAACCAGGAGAAACAUUUUACCAAUGUUGGGAUAGGUAUCGAGACUUGCUUAAUACUUGUCCUCAUCAUGGUUUUGAAACAUGGAGAUUGGUUUCACAUUUUUAUGAAGGGUUAACACCUAAAGAUAGACAAAUGGUGGAAUUGAUGUGCAAUGAAACUUUUGAAAAUAAAGACCCUGAUGAAGCAAUGAAGUACCUAGACUUGUUAGCUAAAAAUGCUCAAAAUUGGGACACUACAGGUAUUUAUGAGGCACCAGGUAAAACUCAACCUCAUACAUCUAGUGGAGGUAUGUACAACCUUAGAGAAGAUCAUGACCUCCAAACUAAAUUUGCAUUUUUAGCUAGAAAAGUUGAGGCACUAGAAUUAAAAAAGAGUGGUCAAUUAAAAUCUGUUUAAGACAUUGUGUGUCAAAUCUGUGAAACCAAUGAACACUCAACCAAUGACUGUCCAAUUUUUCCUUCUUUCAAAGAAUGCCUCCAUGAACAAGCUCAUGCUUUAAAUAGUUUUCAAAGGCCCAAUCAUAACCCAUACUCGCAAACAUACAACCCUGGUUGGAGAAAUCACCUAAAUUUCAGUUGGAAGAGUGGUAACAAUAAUGCACAAACUUCACAGCCACCGUUUCAAGCACACCAUAAUUUCAAAAAUUCUCAUGGAUAUACACCUCUUUAUGCUCUACCUCCUAGAAGAAAUCUUGAGGAAACAUUACAUGCAUUCAUUGAAAAGCAGGAGACAAUCAACACUCAUAAUGCUUAAACCAUGGUAGAUCUAAAAGAUGCUCUUGCAAAAUUCACAUAUACUCUCAAUUUUCAAGAGAAAGGUAAGUUUCCAUCUCAACCACAACAAAAUCCCAAGGGGCAAUACAAUGCAAAUGCAAGUAGUUCCGGAAGCCAACACAUGGAUCAAGUCAAAUCAGUCAUCACUCUUCGCAGUGGUAAGGUUAUUGAAAAACCCACUCUUGAACCUUGUGAGAAAGAUGAUGAGUUAAGCAUUUUCAAGAGCAGGCAGUAAAGUAUGAUAAGUGAACUUCAACUAUUUAUCCUGUUAUUUUUAUGUAGUGGUCAUCCAUUUUCAAAAGUUAUUUGUUGAUAACAUGACAACAGUUGUCGCGGGUGGGCGGCGUCGCGACGAGUAUUCCACUUUUUUUAAAAAUAGGAAGUGUAUAUGGUAUCUAUCUUUAUUUAUUUGGCCAAUAUGAGGGAUAAGAAAAUCCAAUCUUUUAUUGGUGGGAAAUGGAAUGGGAGUCGCCACCUAGUAUUUUGGUCACUAGGAACCCUAACUGGUCUCAGAGAUUGGGUACGGAGACUGGUUGCGUAGAGGGAAGGUAUUAGCACCCCAAAUACGCCCUACCUAAGGUAAGCUGUAUGGUUUAUUUGUCUGAUAAAAUUCAAGGUUUCGUUGUGUUUCCUAAUUGUUGGUCCGUCUAUGGUUCAAGAAAAGUCCUCCUCAAUAAGGAGGUCCUUAUCUUAUCGGGUAAAGCCUAACCGUUCUAAUGUCUAAAAAAAUCAUAUUUUUAAUAUCAAGAAUACGUUUUACAUAUAAAUUCGUAAUCCCAAAUACUAACAGAGGACAAAAAUAUUUUUUAGAAUUUUUGAAAUAUUGGCCUAGUUCUCAUGGCUUGAAUAAACUGGUUAUUAAAGCCAAAAUGCAUGUUAAUACAUAUAUUGUUUUGAAAUUUUCUUUGUUAUAUGAAAAAGAUGAUGUUAUAAUAUUUAUAUAUAUAUAUUGGAGAGACUAGACCGUAUUUUAAAACAAAAUAUUUUUUAAAUAUGUAUUUUUGUACGUUUUGACGCAAAUCGGGUAUUUUAAUACUGGGUUUGUAUCCUUACGGUAUAAAAAUACAACCAAAUAUUAAUCCACUUUAAUAAAACAAAUGCAGAAAAAUCAACAAUAUUUUCAAAGAUAUUUUUAGAAAAUUUUUGAAAGCAAAAGACAUUUUUUAUUUUGAAAAUCUUUGAUGUUUUGAUGAAAAUCGGGUAUUUUAAUACCGGAUUUGUAUCUUUACAGUAUAAAAAUACCAACCGAUAUUAAUCAAAAUAUAGUAAUAAAAUUACAACAAAAUCACAUAUAUUUUUUAUAAUUUUUUGCAAAAUUUUUAUAAUUUGUUUUCAUAUAUAUAUAUAUAUAUAAAUAAUACAAAAUAUAAUAUAUAUAUAAUAUUAAAUGGGCUGGGCUGGUCCGGCCCAACCGACUGGGCCGGACUCAGCCCAAAAAGUGUUGGGCCGAUCUCGGCCCACAAACUGGUAUUCUCCUCUGGGCCAGACCCGGCCCAGAAGGCAGGACUGGGCCAGGAUCAGCCUGGCCCAUCAACUAGACUAGCUGGGCCAGAACAAGUCUGGCCCAGCACAAGAAAUCAACGGGGGGAAUUAUUCCCCCCCAUCCUCCUGCAUGCAGAACUAAUGUUCUGCAUGCAGAAGGAAACGCCGGUCACGGAAAUAAUAUGAGGGGGAAGGAACGUUUACCUGGCGCGGAGGAGGCGGUGGCGCUGGUGCUACUGCUGCUGCCGGAGGCGGUGCUGUGGCGGAGGCCGGUGGCGGUGUCAAGCGGCGCUGCGGUUCCAACGACAGCUCCAAGCGGUGCUACUGUCUCCCACGGUGCAGCGACAUUCUUCCCGGCUGUUCUUGCGUUUUCUCACGUUCCCUCGCGGUUUCUGGCUUUCCUUCCUCUCGGUCUUGGGUUUUUGGUGGUUAUCUCCCUCUUUUUCUCUGUUUUUUUUUCUUUUUUUUCUCCUCUCGGUUUCUCUCUUCUUUUCAGUCCUCCCUCCUCUGUUUUUUUCGUUUUCUCCUUCUUCCCCCUCCGUUCUCCCUCCUCAGCGUUCUUGGGGUUCUAUUUAUAGAGCCCAGGGCGUGGCUUUGCUGUGGAGCAUGGGGAGCAACCGGCCGGUCGGCUAUUGGGCACGACUGCCAAGGUCCGCCCCCCCCUCUCGGCUUUCUGGUAGGUGCGCGGUGGGUGGUCGGCCAUUGUGUCCGGUCGGUGGGCUCCAGGCGAGAGAGUGGCCGGCAAAAAUUCAAAAAAAAGCUUCCCUUUUUCCUUCUUCCCCGCUGCAUGAUCGGGGGAAGAAGAUGAACAGUGUCGUUCAAAACGACACCGUUCUGCUCUUUCCCUUUUUUUUUUUUUUUUGAAUGCAUGAAACGACGUCGUUUUGGAGAAAAUGCGCCGUUUCAUUUAAAUGUGGCGCCAAAACGCGCCAAAUUUCAACUCAGCCCUCAAUCCUCUUUUUUUCUUUAAUUGCAUCCCUGCCAAUUUCGGUCUUCGCCCCUCUUGUUGGCCGCGUUUUUCACUUUAGUCCUUGGCCUCUGAUUUAUGCAAUUGAGCCCUUAAUUGAUCAAAAAACUUCUAAUUUCUUCAAUUAGGCCCCUGAAUCAAUUAAUUCCAGCCCCUCCAUUUACGCGCCUCUUCCAAUUUGGUCCCUGGUUUCGAAUUUUCUUAAUUAAGUCCCCAAUUGGCCCUUAAACUUCAAUAUUUAUGCAAUUAGGCCCCUGAUUUGACCUAAUAAAUUCCUAAAAAAUAUAUUUUGGCCCCAGAACUUAAAUUUCUUCUAAUUAAAACCCAAAUUGACUUAAAAAUCAAUUUUUCUUACAAUCAAAUCUCCUAUAAAUUCAUUUAAAAAUCCAAUUAAGUCCAUAAACAUCCAAAUUUAGGCUUUUCUCCUCAAAUUUCAAAUUUUCCUUCUCAACAGGGCUCUCCUCCUUCAAGAAUAUACUGUCAAAAAACCAAUCUUUGUAUUUUUAACCUCAUUGACCAAUUUUCCAACCACUUUCUGAGCGCUUCUGCCUCUUGUUAUUUUUCUAACCUCCUUUGGCUAUAUAUUUUUAUAUAUAUUUUGUGGGGACCCAAAAAUGGGUUACAACAGAUGCCCCCUCUUUAUAAUGCUUACGGAGCAGAGGUUUUGCACAGUAAGUUUUAUAAAGAUAACCCAAAAUGGAACUCCCGAAACUGAUCUGGUUGAAGCUUGAUUGAUCUGAAACUUGUCUUUUAUAGUAAUCCUCCUCAACUGGGAAUCCCAUCUGGCGAUUCCCUUUUAACCAACAUGAAAAACGAGGUCCCAUCUGACGACCUCCAAAUAACGAAACAUGAGAUCCCUUCUAGCGAUCUCCUUUAACCAACUUGGAAUCCCAUCUGGCGAUUCCUUUUAUUCAAUGAAAAACGAGGUCCCAUCUGGCGACCUCCAAAUAAUGAAACACGAGAUCCCUUCUGGCGAUCUCCUUUAAUCAACUUGGAAUCCCAUCUGGCGAUUCCUUUUUUUUCAACAGGUAAUACGAGGUCCCAUCUGGCGACCUCCAAAUAGCGAAACACGAGAUCCGUUCUGGCGAUCUCCUUUAGUCAACUUGGAAUCCCAUCUGGCGAUUCCUUUUAUUCAAUGAAAAACGAGGUCCCAUCUGGCGACCUCCAAAUAGCGAAACAUGAGAUCCCUUCUGGCGAUCUCCUUUAGUCAACUUGGAAUCCCAUCUGGCGAUUCCUUUUAUUCAAUGAAAAACGAGGUCCCAUCUGGCGACCUCCAAAUAGUGAAGUAUGAGAUCCCUUCUGGCGAUCUCCAUCAACUUGGAAUCCCAUCUGGCGAUUCCUUUUAUUCAAAGCGAUAUGCGAGGUCCCUUCUGGCGACCUUCUUUGACCAAUAUCGAAAUACAAGAUCCCCUCUGGCGAUCUAAGACAACUUGGAAUCCCAUCUGGCGAUUUCCUUUUAUUCGAAGCUGAAAUAAUGAGAUCCCUUCUAGCGAUCUCCUUUAAUCAAAAACCAAAAAAUCUUUCUUGUAAAUCGGUUAACCUGGAGUCCCCUCUGGCAAUUCCCUUUUACUGAUUGCUCGAUGUCGUUCUUCCUGAUGGCAAGGUUCGAAAAUUAUUAUCUUCUCUUCUCGUUGUUCUAGAAUCAACUCAAUGAUUCUUUCUUCGUCUCCAAUUUUGUUGGAAUGUAUUAAGGUCUCCUCCUGUAACGAUCCAAAAAACAUAUAUGCAAUGAUUUAUGAUUAGAUGCCAUGCAUGCAUUCGUACCUGGUUUUGAAACAUAGGCCCCAUCAUCUUCUUCGAGUUCAUGAGAUUCCCUCUUAACAUGAGCUUGCUUUUGAAGUCGUAUGCUGGAUUCAUCUCUCGUGUUGCCUCCUAUCAUAUUCUUGGAGAAGAAAUCUCUGACUUUCUUCAAAUAGUCCUUUUUCCAAAAUGUAUGACUUGUCAUUGCCUCUUUGUCAUGCUUUUGUCAAAUGUUUUAGCUUGGUUUUUAAAUCUAUAGGCUUUCGUACAUGAAAAUAUCUCUUAUUGCCCCCAGUGUAGGGGUGUGAUUCUAGUCUAGGCUUUUAUAGAGAGAAGAAAUUCGUUCAGCCGAUGCUAAACUUUUUAAAUGAGAUAACACAAGACAUGCACUGUUGGGAUUAAUGCAAAAAUGACUGUUGUGAGAUCAAUGCAAAAGAGAAAGAAGUCAAUGGCCAAACUUUGCUUUAUUGAUUUAGGAGCCUACAUCAAGCAUAAUAUCUUUUUACAGAGUCAGAAUUCACAGGUCGAGCUAGGUCUUCUCCAUCCAUUCUAGCCAACUUCAGCGCUCCUCCUGAGAAUGCCUUCUUUACUACGUAAGGACCUUCGUAAUUCGGUGCCCAUUUGCUUUGAUCGUCUCCAGGUAGUGACAAUAUUUUCUUCAAUACUAGAUCCCCUUCUUGAAACAACCGCGGUCUAACCUUCUUAUCAUAUGCCUUGGCCAUUCGUUUCUGGUAAAGUUGGUGAUGACAUAUUGCGGCCAUCCUCUUUUCACUGAUCAGGUUCAGUUGCUCAUAUCUCACUUUGGCCCACUCGGCCUCUUCUAAUUCGGAGUCCAUCAAUACUCUUAACGACGAGAUUUCUACUUCCAAAGGCAUCACUGCUUCCAUACCGUACACUAGAGAAUAUGGGGUAGUUCCUGUCGAGGUCCUGACUGUAGUGCGGUAUGCGUGAAGAGCAAACGGCAACAUCUCAUGCCAAUCUUUAUACGUGACUACCAUUUUUUGAAUAAUCGUUUUGAUGUUCUUGUUGGCGGCUUCUACUGCGCCAUUCAUUUUCGGCCGGUAUGGCGAGGAGUUCGAAUGCUUAAUCUUCCACUUGGUACACAACUCCACUAUCAUUUUACCAUUGAAAUUCUGUGCAUUAUCGGUCACUAUCUUUUCCGGAGGACCAUAUCGACAAAUCAGAUCCUUUUCUAUAAACCUCUUCACUACCUUCUGUGUUACAUGGGCAUACGAAUUAGCUUCCACCCAUUUGGUGAAGUAGUCAAUAGCCACGAGGAUGAAUCUAUGCCCAUUGCUAGCUUUUGGGUUAACCGGACCGAUUACAUCAAUUCCCCACAUUGCAAAUGGCCAAUGAGAUAUUAGAUUAAACAGAGGAGCUGGUGGCAUAUUGACCUUGUCACUAUAAACUUGACAUUUAUGACAUUUCCUGACAUAGUCGAUACAGUCUUUCUCUAGUGUCAUCCAAAAAUAACCAGCCCUUUGGAUUUUCCUUGCUAUCAUAUGCCCGCUAGCAUGGGUUGAGCAAAUCCCCUCAUGGACCUCCCGUAAUGCCUUUCUAGCAUCUGCCUCAUUCAAACACCUUAGCAAGGUUCCAUCAAAUGAUCUUUUGUACAAAAUCUCUCCAUCUAAAUAGAAGUCUGUAGCCAACCUUCUCAAGGUUUUCUUAUCCGUUUUGGAGGCUCCCACCGGAUAUUCCUGAUUUUGCACAAGGUUCUUGAUAUCAUAAUACCAAGGCUGUCCGUCUAUCUCUCCUUCAACUAAGCAACAGUGAGCUGGGUCAUUUCUAAUGUCAAUGUGUACCGGUUGUACUUUGCACUUGAGAUCAAUGGUAGUCAUAACAGCUAGUGUGGCCAAAGCAUCUGCAAAAUGGUUCCUCUCUCUUCCCAGAUGGGUGAAUCUAAUUUCUUCAAAUUCCUUUGCUAGCGUGGACAGGUAUUCCUGGUACGGCCUCAACUUUUCCUCUUUGGUCUGCCAUUCCCCCUUAACCUGACAGAUAAUCAACAUUGAAUCUCCGUACACAUCUAACUUCUUUAUCUUCAGCUCUAAUGCCGCUUCUAGACCAAGGAUACAAGCUUCAUACUCAGCUGUAUUGUUGGUGCACUCGAAAUGUAGUUUAACCGAGACUGGAUACUGUUUCUUAUCGGGAGAGAUUAUUACCGCACCGGCCCCGUUACCAUAUACAUUCACUGCACCGUCAAAAAACAUCGUCCACCAAUCUGUCUUCUCUUCUUCUUUCUCUAUUGACAAUAGAUCUUCAUCAGGGAAGUCAAAAUCCAAAGGUUCGUAAUCUUCAACAGCAUGAUCGGCCAGAUGGUCCGCGAUUGCACUUCCUUUUACGGCUUUCCUUGUCAUGUAUACUAUGUCAUAUUCUGCUAAUAGAACUUGCCACCUUGCAAUUCGACUUGAGAGAAAGGGCUUGUUACAAAUGUACCUUAGAGGAUCCACUUUUGAAAUCAACCAAGUGGUAUAGUAUAACAUAUAAUGUCGCAACCUCUUUGCCGCCCAUACCAACGCACAACAAAGCCUUUCUAUCUCCGUGUAUCUAGACUCACAUUCAGUGAAUUUCUUACUUAAGUAAUAAAUAGCUCUUUCCUUCCUUCCGGUUUCAUCAUGCUGACCCAAUACACAUCCCAUGGCUGCUUCAGUUACUGUUAGAUAUAGUACUAGAGGUUUUCCUGAUACCGGAGGAACCAGUAAAGGUGGAUUUUGUAAAUAAUGCUUGAUUUUAUUGAAUGCCUCCUCACACUCCUCAUUCCAGGUUCCAGGAUUCUUUUUCCUUAGUAGUCGGAAUAUAGGUUCACACGUCGUUGUUAACUGAGCUAUGAACCGAGCAAUGUAGUUUAACCUUCCCAAGAAUCCUCUUACUUCUUUCUCCGUCUUAGGGGAUGACAUAGCUUGGAUGGCCCUUACUUUAUCUGGAUCCACCUCUAUACCUCUAUCACUUACUACAAAUCCUAACAGCUUGCCCGAUUUAACUCCGAAUGAACAUUUUGCAGGAUUAAGCCUUAGUUCAUACUUCCUCAACCGCUCAAACAACUUCCUCAAAACUUCAACAUGAUCCUCUCCCCUUUUAGACUUGGCAAUCAUGUCGUCUACAUACACCUCAAUUUCCUUGUGCAUCAUGUCGUGGAACAAAGUCACCAUUGCUCUUUGAUAGGUUGCUCCUGCAUUCUUCAAUCCAAAUGGUAUGACCUUGUAGCAGAACGUCCCCUAAGGUGUGACAAAGGUUGUUUUCGCCUUAUCCUCCGGAGCCAUUUUUAUCUGGUUGUAUCCUGAAAAACCAUCCAUAAAGGAAUAAGUGGAACUCCGGGCAGCGUUAUCCACUAAAACAUCUAUGUGUGGUAGGGGAAAAUCAUCCUUAGGGCUAGCUCUAUUCAAAUUCCGAAAAUCCACACAAACUCUAAUCUUCCCCUCCUUCUUAGGCACCACAACAACGUUAGAUACCCAUUGUGGAUAUCUAACUACUUCUAGGAAGCCAGUAUCCCAUUGCUUCUCAAGUUCUGCCUUGACCUUGAUCCAGACAUCCGGGUGGGCCCUCCUCAGCUUCUGCUUGACUGGCUUACAACCUUCUUCCAACGGUAUCUUGUGUACUACAAUAUUUGUAUCCAAACCAGGCAUAUCUUCAUAGGACCAAGCAAAGACAUCUGAAUAUUCUUGUAAUAGGGUGAUCAUUUUUAUCCUUUGUUCAGAAGUAAUUAAGGUACCUAUUUUCAACUCUUUCUUGAGUUGAUCACUACCCACAUUGAUGGUUUCGAGUUCUUCGGCGAUAGGCUUCCAAGUCUGUUCCUGUUGUUCUACUAGCCUGGUGAAUUCACUAAUAUUGCUUUCAUCCCAUUCUUCUUCCAUAGCUAUCACAUGCUCGUUCAAGUUUGGCCAUUUAUUCUUGAUGCUAAAUAUAUGUGAUGUUGUAGGAGAUCCGCUUUCAGGAUUCCUGAAAGCGGGAAGUGUUUGGUGUAAAUGCAUAAAAAAAAGAAGGCAAUUUGUGGAAAGUGCAUGAUCUCACAAUUUAUUUAAAGAAAAAGUGGGCUCCAUGACAAACAUAAAAUCUAGCUGACAUCAUGAGCCUUGAUUGUCAACUAGAGGAAAUAAAAGCAAACAUAAGCAAUGACGAAAGCAUGCUAAGGCAAAUAAAGUUGGUUUACAUUUUGAAAACCACUGGAGCUUCUUGGGUCACCCAGUUCUGAAACUUCUCGUCCUGAGCCAACUUGCGCACAAAGGUCUUGGCGGAGACUUCUUCUAUGGUGUAGACCGUCAGUUGUGGGAGUGCUUCAUCUCCCUUUCUUGCUACUGUCUUCCUGUCAUCUCCUUCCAUCUUGUUCUCCCCCAAGGUAUUUACGCUCAUGUUUGACAGCUCUUGAUCAAGGCUUUCGGCCUCUUUAUCAUGUUGCAUUAUGUAUGCAGUUUUGGGGAAUGACACGCUAAGGGGAGGGAUUUCUAGCUUUUCUUCAUCAGGCUCUCUUCCUUUAAUUCUAGCCAUCCUUCUUGCCCUUCUCCGACCAGCAGCCCACCGAUAAUCCUCUUGGUUAGGUUGGUACCCUAACCCAAAUCUUUGAGCAGCACUUUUCAUCCUUGCCAGAUUAACCCCUUCUGGUAUCCCGAUAAUAAGGUUAUACUGAAAUGGGAUCCCGCGGUUCAAGAAGCAUAGACUUGUCAUCCUUGCUGCUUCUGAGAUCCUUGGCCUUCUUAGCACUGUAUUCUCUGGCACCCAGUCGGUGUUCACAAUCUCAAAGGCAUGGAUAUUGUUAUCCUUGCAAUCAUUCGCUUCGAUAAAAGGCACAACCACAUUCUUUAUCAUGGAUACUGUCUCCUCAGCCUUGACAGUUACCAACAUCCCAUUCAUGAUAUACUUCAGGCAUUGAUGCAAUGACGAAGCUACUGCCCCCACUGCAUGAAUCCAAGGUCUUCCUAACAACAGACUAUAGGAAGGGUGGAUAUCCAUAACCUGAAGUGUUACUAAGAACAUUUGUGGUCCCACAUAUAGCUCCACUUCUAAAGUCCCAAUUAUUGGCCUAGGCGAGCCAUCAUACGCUCUAGCCAUCAUAGUACUGGGCUUUAUAUGGGAUUCAUCGAUCGGCAUUUCUUCCAGCAUGUGCUUUGGCAACACAUUAAGGGCCGAGCCGUUAUCAAUGAGUACUUUUCCUAUGAGGCAGUCCUUGCACCUAACCGUAAUGUAUAAGGGCUUGUUAUGUCCGGUACCUUCAGCAUAUCAGCCGUGAAGUACAGGUAAUUAGUUGCAUGGAUCCUUCCUACUAGAUGCUCCAUGGUUUUAUGUUCAAUGUCUUGGGGUACAUAUGCCUCAUUCAAUACCUUCUGCAAGGCGUUUCGAUGCAGCUCAGAGCUGAGUAUCAGGGACAUAAGGGAGAUCCUAGCUGGAGUCUUCUUUAGUUGAUCUACUAUGCAAUAUUCACUAUGCUUGAUCAACUUCAGGAAUUCAUUCGACUCUUCUUCUGUUACUGGCUUAUUAACUUCUAGUGCUUUGUCAAGAUCUACCACUUCUUUACCCUUUUCCUUCCUCAACUCCUCAGAAGUAAAGCAACGACCACUCCUGGUCAAACCACUUAUCUCAGUCUGGAACAAAGGAAGAGGAGCUUGAACGUUGGAGGCAUAACCAUAAUUAUAAGGCAUGGCAUUGUGAUUCCCUUUUGUGUAGGACGGUUUAACCAAGAUUAGCCUUGGGGGACCAUUAGCUGUUUGUUGGACCCUGCAUACUCCUGUCAUCUCCAUCUGACCUUCCAUCAUACUCACCUCACCCCUGUUCUCCAUGGGUUCAAUUCUCAAUUGCCCCAUUUUUAACAUUUUUGCAAUCUUUUCGUAAAACUCGAUGCAAUCCUCAAUAUGGUGUCCAUCUCUUCCAUGGAACUUACAAUAACUACCUCCCUCCGAAUGGCCUUCCAUAUUUGCCUCUAGAAAUCCUGAUCGUACUAACAAGUAGUACAUCUUUUCCAUAGACACCUUCAACACCUUGCAUUGAUUUCCAACUUCUAUCAUGCCUAUUCCACUACUACUUGAGGCAUGUUUAGGCAACGGGUUUGAAUUAACAUUGGGCUUGUCUUCAAAGGAUACCCAUCCUAUCUUAAUAAGCUCCAGCAAUCUUUUCUUGAAAGCGUAACAGGUUUCAAUCCCAUGCCCAGGAUUACCCGCAUAGUACUCACAAGUUAACUCGGGCUUGUACCAAAUUGGGAAUGGUGGUUGUAAUGGUAGUGUAGGGAUAGAAGAUAUGUGCCCAAUGCUCAAUAGUUUGGCGUACAUGUCCUUCAAAGGCAUGGGUAAUGGUGGCAGUUGUUCUGAAGUGUAUCUUGUAUGGGGUCUUUGGUAGUGAUUUUGGUAGUUUGACUGGUUAUUUGUUCGAUUAGGGGAAAAGUUUAUGCGUGAGAAUUGAGAGGUAGAUACUUGAGGAUUGUGAAAAUCUACUCUUUUGCCCUUGUACCCACCUUCCAGAUUGUUAACAUCACCUUCUCUCUUUCUUCCAAUAAAACCCUUCUUUUCCACUGGCAUCGCUAUUCGCCCAGCUUUAAUCCCUUGUUCUAUUCUUUCAGCUAUGCGUACCGCAUCAUAGAAAUGUUGAGAGGAACUACCCAUUAGGUGCUCAUAAUAAGGUGCCUUGAAGGUAUUAGCGAACAAGCUCACCAUCUCUGUUUCUAUCAAAGGGGGUUGGACAUGCAUUGCCUCAUCCCUCCAUCUUUGCGCAUAAGCCCUUACUGACUCCUGGCUCCUUUUCUCCAUUGCCAUUAGACUUGUUCGAUCAGGAGCGAUUUCCAUGUUAAACUUGUACUGCUUGAGGAAAGCCUCCACCAAGUCUCUCCAGCUUCUGAUCUUGACACUAUCUAACCUCAUGUACCAACUCAAAGCGGACCCUGAGAGGCUAUCCUGAAAGAAAUAGAUUAGCAGCUUAUCAUCGCGGAUUACUUCUGCCAUUUUAUUGCAGUAGGAACGAAGGUGAGUGUUUGGGCAUUCCAAACCAGUGUACUUAAUGAACUCUGGUAUCCUGAAAUCUUUUGGUACCACGAUGUUUGGUACCAGACAUACUUCAGCUGCUCGCAUAGGGUCAAACCAGUCAUUACCCUCAACUGCCCUUAAUCUUUCUUCCAAGGCAAACAACUUGUCCUGGUCCAUCAGAUUGGGAAACCUAUUAUCCGGGGUUCCUUCCGUUGUUAAGUCAACAGUGACUGGCGUAUGAGUUGGUAGGAUAGGAGUAAUAGGCACAAACUGCUGUCCAUUGGCCGAGUUUGCCCCCUGGCUUUGAGAUGCUUGAGGGAUGUGAGCUGCUGGCGCUCCUUCAAGUUGUUGUGUUGAUGUUCCCUCCCCAUUCUUAGCUCUUAGAAGCUGCCCAAGUAAGUCGGUUAGCCGAGAAACUUCAUUCUUUAUGGACUCCAACUCGGUCUGAUAAUGUGACUCUAAGUGAGCUCUCUCUUCGUUCUCCAUUCUCGCUCUGGACCGGGUGUUGUGGAUUUUGGAUGUGGGACCUAUGUUUCACGAUCUGGCAUGCAUAUGAUGAAUUAAAAACAAAAUGUGAUGAAAAUAUGAUGCUCAUGCAAUGUAUAUUUUAGAGCCGACUCAUGACUUUCGUAAUCCUUUAGGCAAGAUUUCUGAGUUGACCCGAUUACUGUAAAGGAGGGUUUGCCAAGUUCUUUAUCAUAGUAGCUUACCAAAACAUAUUUAGAAAGAAAGAUAGGUCAUGCCUUCUUAUAAAUAGAAGAAGCUCAUACAUUGAUAACAGAACAAGGCGUUAUACAUUGCUACCCUUUAAAAGGCAUUUCCUCUAUUAGCUAAAUCCCCAAUAAAACAGGUGAUGGCCGCCAUAUAUUCUCGAUACUUUGAAGCAUCAUUUCCCACUUGAGUAGCUUGUCGUUGCAACCUUUCCGCAUAGCGGGCUGCUUGCUCGACCUGCUUCGUUAUAUGCCUUAUCUUAUCAUGGAACACAGUGUUAUCUGCAAUUAUCACUUCGUUGCUGGCUCCUAGGGCUUCAUUACUUCUUUCCAACACUCGAACCAUAUCAUCCGACCGGGCCAACUUAUCCCUUACCCUCUGCAGUUCCUCCUUUUCGAUAUCCAGCUCGGCUAUUUUGGAGUUAAUUUGGACUGUAAAGCUGUCCAUGUAGCCUUGACAUUCUUGAUGCUCUUGCUUAGCCUUACUGAGAUCCUCCUCCAUCUCGAAGUAAUGGCUUCUCAACUCCCUCAACUCUUCUACUUGUAUCUCGAUCUCAGAUUGUAAAGUCAUCAUUCUUCCUUUCGAAGACUCAGCUCUUUUCUGGUAAUCUCUCAUAUCAGACUCGGCGGCCUUUCUUGCACUCCUCUCUUCCUCAAGCUGCACCAUAUAUUGAGCUCUAAUCCUUCUUUCCUCUUCUAUGUCGAGCUGGGCCAGCCGAUUCUUCUCCUUUUCAACUUCUAUUUUCUUUGAAAGAAUGCUCUUUCCCUUCUUCAAGGAAUCCAUCACCUUUUUGUCAACAUUCAUCUUGCCUUUUGUUGAUCUUUUAACCUUUGCCAACUCUUUUUCUGCGAGCCCAUUCUUCUUAACCAGCUCAUCAUAUUCGGUCAUUCGUUUCUUUAGCUCAGCCUGGACCCCUUUUGCUAUUUCUUCCGCUACCUCGACCCUUUUCUGCCAUUCCUUUAAAGAUGUCAAUUGUUUAUCUUGUUUUUCCAACUGCUGGUUCAAGUAAACCCUCAUCGUGUUUUCUUCCUCUAAUUGAUUUUCCAACAGUCGCAGCUGCCCUUUGCUCUUGCUGAGAUCAAUUCUACAUUGUUCUAGCUGCUUUCUCAGCUCUUCCUCAAUAUCAGUCCUUUUCCUUUUUGGUUGUUCUAUUGCGGAUUCUGGAUGUUUUGGUAUGGAGAAACCCCUUUCUUCAAAAAGCUCUUCAUUCCUCCAAACUACAUAAUUCUGGCUGAAUGAUGUUUCAAAUGUGCUCCCUUCUUCCCUUUUUACCAUCAGGGGUCUUUCCCAAUCCUGUCGGAUAAGCUCCAUCUCUUCGAGGAAGGGUUGGUGCUUGAAUAAACCGAUGAAAUCAGCUAAACCCAGAGUUCUUGGCGCGUACUGCAUUCCACCCAACUGUCUUGUUACUAGGGCGGGCGCGUAACUGAUGUACCCGGUUAUACCAAUCAAAGGAACCCAUAUCUUAUUUCCACAACUCAUUGUGCAGAUGGCAUUGUUCAUCCAUGGUGCUUUCCAUUUGAAGUUGCUCCUUGGCAAUGCUGCAUACUUAUCUAUCCAUGCUUUCUCAUCCCAAUUCUUCCAAGUCUCAUCCAUGGUAACCUUUAAUGGUCGUAGGUCAAACCACCAAAAGUUGUUAAAAAUGUCCCUUGGUGUUUCGAUAUGACUGAUAAUCCAUAAAUACAACAUAGGGGUGCAACAUCUCAUGGCUCCUUUUCCAUGCAUUCUGCAGUGAUUGAGUGAUAACAUGGUUUCUCCCAAAAUAGCUGAUGAAGGAUUGAUCUGGUCACGCUCGUAUUCGAUGAAGACACUUGCUGCUUCCAAACUGAUGACUCCGAUUUCUGAAGGGAACAAUACUAGCCCAAAAAUGGCGAAGGCCACCAACCUGUAUCGUUCCUCUCCUAACUUGCCUUCCUCAGCAUUUUUCUUCAUUCGAGCUUCUAUGACCUUCCAUUUGAAACCCCCCUCGGCGACUCUACAUUGACUGAUCUUUCCCAAGCCUAAUAAACUGACUACCUCCGAAGCUGUGUCUUCAAAUCUUCGCCUUAGAUAGAUCCUGUGACUGUUGUUUGGAAAAUCUAGAAUCCUUUCAUAUUCCUCCAAAGUCGGUGUCAUAUCAAUGUUCCCAAAGGUAAAACUCCGAUAACUAGGAUCCCAAAAAUUCAGUAGGGCUUUGAUUGUUGCUGCUUGUACGGGUAACCUCAUUAGUUGUGCAAUUCUCCCGUAUCGCCUUUCAAAAAUAGUCUCAUCAAUAUAUUCCAUAAUAGACACUAACUUCCCCAAGUCAUUUACCAUGUGAUUUAUCUUGGUAAUGCCAGGCAACCUACUAGCAUCGAUUCUUGGGCAUUUUCCUUCAGCUACUUGAGUCAACUCAGAUUCUUGUCCAAACUCUUGGAAAGAUAGGUACUUAGUCAUGAUUUCAGCUCAAAAACCUGGAUUGAUGAUUUUAACAUUAUUAAUCAUGAUGAAGAUGAACGUAAGAUAGAUAUCCUAAGGACAAGUUCUAUUUAUUAGGUGAGAAUGGGUAGGUUUUCUAUUUGGUCUUUAAAAUGGUCUCAUAUCUGCCCAGUGACGUUCUUCGUAAAGACAGUAUGGGGGCGUUGCAAGGAACAGUUAAGGUAAGUAUACCCACCAUUACCAAGCAGGCACUCAGAUAUGAGUUGGGUGUUUCACGCAUCUGAACCCUGACCAAUAGUCAUAGGGCAGAUCGCUAAUCCCACUCCUAGCUUAAAGCUUGUGUGUGCUUCUCAAAAUCAAAGUAUGUGAUGCAUGUGACAGUUCUAUAAGAUGCAUGAGACAAUUCUAUACAAAUGCAUGAACAAUAUGCGUAAAAAAAUUUAAAGCAUAUAAGCAGAUAACAAAAGGAAAAAAAAACACACGAAAACAAAAACAAUUCAGACAAAAACAAAGCUUAGUCCACAAGGUCCCCAGUGGAGUCGCCAUUCUGUCGCGGGUGCGCGGCGAGUAUUCCACUUUUUAAAAAAAUAGGAAGUGUAUAUGGUAUCUAUCUUUAUUUAUUUGGCCAAUAUGAGGGAUAAGAAAAUCCAGUCUUUUAUUGGUGGGAAAUGGAAUGGGAGUCGCCACCUAGUAUUUUGGUCACUAGGAACCCUAACUGGUCUCAGAGAUUGGGUACGGGGACUGGUUGCGUAGAGGGAAGGUAUUAGCACCCCAAAUACGCCCUACCUAAGGUAAGCUGCAUGGUUUAUUUGUCUGAUAAAAUUCAAGGUUUCGUUGUGUUUCCUAAUUGUUGGUCCGUCUAUGGUUCAAGAAAAAUCCUCCUCAAUAAGGAGGUCCUUAUCUUAUCGGGUAAAGCCUAACCGUUCUAAUGUCUAAAAAAAUCAUAUUUUUAAUAUCAAGAAUACGUUUUACAUAUAAAUUCGUAAUCCCAAAUACUAACAGAGGACAAAAAUAUUUUUUAGAAUUUUUGAAAUAUUGGCCUAGUUCUCAUGGCUUGAAUAAACUGGUUAUUAAAGCCAAAAUGCAUGUUAAUACAUAUAUUGUUUUGAAAUUUUCUUUGUUAUAUGAAAAAGAUGAUGUUAUAAUAUUUAUAUAUAUAUAUUGGAGAGACUAGGCCGUAUUUUGAAACAAAAUAUUUUUUAAAUAUGUAUUUUUGUACGUUUUGACGCAAAUCGGGUAUUUUAAUACUGGGUUUGUAUCCUUACGGUAUAAAAAUACAACCAAAUAUUAAUCCACUUUAAUAAAACAAAUGCAGAAAAAUCAACAAUAUUUUCAAAGAUAUUUUUGAAAGCAAAAGACAUUUUUUAUUUUGAAAAUCUUUGAUGUUUUGAUGAAAAUCGGGUAUUUUAAUACCGGAUUUGUAUCUUUACAGUAUAAAAAUACCAACCGAUAUUAAUCAAAAUAUAGUAAUAAAAUUACAACAAAAUCACAUAUAUUUUUUAUAAUUUUUUGCAAAAUUUUUAUAAUUUUUUUUCAUAUAUAUAUAUAUAUAUAUAUAUAAAUAAUACAAAAUAUAAUAUAUAUAAUAUUAAAUGGGCUGGGCUGGUCCGGCCCAACCGACUGGGCCGAACUCAGCCCAAAAAGUGUUGGGCCGACUUCGGCCCAAGAAUGGAUUGGGCCGAUCUCGGCCCACAAACUGGUAUUCUCCUCUGGGCCAGACCCGGCCCAGAAGGCAGGACUGGGCCAGGAUCAGCCUGGCCCAUUAACUAGACUAGCUGGGCCAGAACAAGUCUGGCCCAGCACAAGAAAUCAACGGGGGGAAUUAUUCCCCCCCAUCCUCCUGCAUGCAGAACUAAUGUUCUGCAUGCAGAAGGAAACGCCGGUCACGGAAAUAAUAUGAGGGGGAAGGAACGUUUACCUGGCGCGGAGGAGGCGGUGGCGCUGGUGCUACUGCUGCUGCCGGAGGCGGUGCUGUGGCGGAGGCCGGUGGCGGUGUCAAGCGGCGCUGCGGUUCCAACGACAGCUCCAAGCGGUGCUACUGUCUCCCACGGUGCAGCGACAUUCUUCCCGGCUGUUCUUGCGUUUUCUCACGUUCCCUCGCGGUUUCUGGCUUUCCUUCCUCUCGGUCUUGGGUUUUUGGUGGUUAUCUCCCUCUUUUUCUCUGUUUUUUUUUUCGUUUUUUUCUCCUCUCGGUUUCUCUCUUCUUUUCAGUCCUCCCUCCUCUGUUUUUUUCGUUUUCUCCUUCUUCCCCCUCCGUUCUCCCUCCUCAGCGUUCUUGGGGUUCUAUUUAUAGAGCCUAGGGCGUGGCUUUGCUGUGGAGCAUGGGGAGCAACCGGCCGGUCGGCUAUUGGGCACGACUGCCAAGGUCCGCCCCCCCUCUCGGCUUUCUGGUAGGUGCGCGGUGGGUGGUCGGCCAUUGUGUCCGGUCGGUGGGCUCCAGGCGAGAGAGUGGCCGGCAAAAAUUCAAAAAAAAGCUUCCCUUUUUCCUUCUUCCCCGCUGCGUGAUCGGGGGAAGAAGAUGAACAGUGUCGUUCAAAACGACACCGUUCUGCUCUUUCCCUUUUUUUUUUUUUUUGAAUGCAUGAAACGGCGUCGUUUUGGAGAAAACGCGCCGUUUCAUUUAAAUGUGGCGCCAAAACGCGCCAAAUUUCAACUCAGCCCUCAAUCCUCUUUUUUUCUUUAAUUGCAUCCCUGCCAAUUUCGGUCUUCGCCCCUCUUGUUGGCCGCGUUUUUCACUUUAGUCCUUGGCCUCUGAUUUAUGCAAUUGAGCCCUUAAUUGAUCAAAAAACUUCUAAUUUCUUCAAUUAGGCCCCUGAAUCAAUUAAUUCCAGCCCCUCCAUUUACGCGCCUCUUCCAAUUUGGUCCCUGGUUUCGAAUUUUCUUAAUUAAGUCCCCAAUUGGCCCUUAAACUUCAAUAUUUAUGCAAUUAGGCCCCUGAUUUGACCUAAUAAAUUCCUAAAAAAUAUAUUUUGGCCCCAGAACUUAAAUUUCUUCUAAUUAAAACCCAAAUUGACUUAAAAAUCAAUUUUUCUUACAAUCAAAUCUCCUAUAAAUUCAUUUAAAAAUCCAAUUAAGUCCAUAAACAUCCAAAUUUAGGCUUUUCUCCUCAAAUUUCAAAUUUUCCUUCUCAACAGGGCUCUCUUCCUUCAAGAAUAUACUGUCAAAAAACCAAUCUUUGUAUUUUUAACCUCAUUGACCAAUUUUCCAACCACUUUCGGAGCGCUUCUGCCUCCUGUUAUUUUUCUAACCUCCUUUGGCUAUAUAUUUUUAUAUAUAUUUUGUGGAGACCCAAAAAUGGGUUACAACAACAGUUUCCACAGUUGGGAAGAAAGUGUGUUUGACCUACUUUUGGGUAUACAUUUAAUAAAUUUGGAAGUGCCGCCUUCAUAAAGCAUAAAAUUUAGCCCACGGUUGUCCUCUUAAUAUCUGCUGCUAGAAUACUAUUUGUGCUUAAAAUGUUGGAAGUAAAAUAAACAGGAGCAGAAUAUGAGUAUCUAUUGGAGCUUAAUGCUGCAGAACCUAUAAAAAUUCUACGUGUCACUUCCUCAAUUAAAAUAAUGCUGCAGAAUUCACUCGCAUGGUUGUAUAGAAUGCUCCAUUCAAAGGACAGCUUGCUAUUGGGUUUUCUUGGUGUACUAAUAUACAACUUGUUGGGAACAACUGAUAAUAACAUGAUAGCAAAGGCUUAUUAGAUAUCUUUUGUUUUUUUAGCUGCUUUUGUUUUUUAGUUGUUCUUAAAGAGGGUGUUUUCCUAUUUUAGAUGAAUGAUUUUGAAACCUACAAAAACUUUGAAUCAGGUAAUGUUUCUUAAAAACUUACACCUUUUAUUUUAUGAUUUAUUAAUUAACACAUUUUUAUUCUAACAUGUUUAAUUUUUUAUUUUAUAGAAUUUGGUGGAAAGUUGCAUCUAGCAACAGAUGAUAAUUAGUUCACAAAUUGUGAUGCAUUUAUUGAAAACAUAUGGUAAAAAUACAAUUUUUUUAUUUUUAUAUCUUCUAAUUUAAUUUAUCAUGUUAUAAUUCUAGAUUAUAAAUUUCAAGAAUCAAAGUGCAAUGUUCUUGAAGAGUUUUUUUUAUUAAGAUGAUGUGCACAUGAGGAUUUUUUUUUGUUUGGAGUGUUUUAUGAUAAUGUUAUUUGUUGUUUUUUCUUUAAGCCCUUUGAAGGCAAUGGUUUGUAAUUUGGAUUUUAAGUUAUUGGUGUGUGAUUGUGAGUAUGUGUUAUUUAAACUUUUUGGAAGCAGAAAAAUAUUAAGAAGGUAAAAAAUAUAUUGAACACAAGAUUGACAUUAAUAAUUUCAUAUAAAUGAAUACUCAGUGGCUAAAAAACAUAAUAAACAUAAGAUUGACAAUACCAAUUUAAUACAAAUGAAUAUUUAGGGGUAAAAAAAUUAAAUGUACUUUGGAAUCUUCAAAGAAAAUGAGACAAUAUCAACAUUAAUUGCAAACCCAUUAGAAAUCCAUUAAAAGCUCGUUACAAAUCCCAUUAUAAAGCCAAAAAAGCCCAAAAAAAUGCAUAUAGGUUUUUUCGGUUUUUUGCAUAAAAAACCAAACUGAAACCGGACCGAAACAGGUUAGUUUGGGCUGGUUUCGGUUCGGUUUCGGGUCUUUUUUUUGGGUUUGGUUGUUUGUUUUGGGUAAAAACCAAAUCGAACCGAAAAUGAUCACCUGUAAGUUUAAUACCCUCACUUGAACAUAUACUUAUUGGAGGCAUGAGAAAUUCAUUCCUUAUUUUUUUUAUAUCACGAUUUACAUGUUAUGAUAAAACAACAUUGAAGAUUUUUUUUUUAUCAGGUUUCAUGAAAUAAUUUUUCAUAGGGAGAAAUUCAUAUUAAUAUCUUUAAGAUAUAAGUCAAAUAAAUUUAAUUUUAAAAUUAAUUUGGGGUAAUCAAUAUUGGUUGAGGUUAUUUUGAUUUUGUAAUUUGCAGCCAAAAUCUGCUAAUGUAAUUGUGACGAUUUAAUUAGCCCACAUUUAUUAUGUAGGUGUGUGGCCUUUGUGUUUUUCAACUUUUAUCCUAUUUUAUGUUGUAACAAUCAAAUUCUUUUAAAAAAAGAAAUCAAAUGAAAAAAAUUAGUUAUUUAGGUUACGUUUAGGUAAUAUUUGAUUAUAGAAAAAUAUAAAAUAAAUCAAUAUUUAUAACAGUUUUACAGUAAAUUUACAUACUUCAAAAAAAUAAUAAAUACAAGGAGACACGUCUUUUUUAUUUCUACCGUCUCUCUUCUUCUUUUUUUUCUUUUUUCUUUUGGUGAUAGUAACCAAACACAAAUUUAGUAAUGAAUCUUAAUACUCUCUCCCCCUCCACACGUAGCAUGAAGGCUGGAACCAUUACGUAUUAGGUGGAGGAGAAAUAUAUUCCUCGUUUUUUCCAUGAAGACUCAUGAAUCUUAAUGAAAUUAUGAAGAAGAAUUUAUUUGAUCAAGCUUCACACACACAUUUUAUAACAAGAAUCUCAUUAGAUAUAAGUGUCCAUUUUACACAACUAUUAUUAAAAUGGUACUUAUCAUCAAGCCAUGGGGCAUAUGAGUUGUAUUAUUUCGUUGAUUUAUAGUUUCUAAGAUAUGUCUCCACAAGAUAAAGCCCUUAAAUAAUUCUCUAUGGAGUUCACCAUGGGGAGAAGUUGCUUGAGUUCAUAAGUCUUAUAGUGGGCCUCUUGUCUUGGGUUCCUAUUUUGGUUCCAUCGUGGGGUGACUGAUGAUGUUGAAUUUAGUCCAAAUAGAAAAAUAUUUUUUUUUCAUUGAUCCUUUUGAUUUUUUAUUUUAUAUUUGGCAUAAUUUUUAAUUCUUGUUGAUCAUUAUAAUAGAAUAAUAUGUUAAUAUUGACAUGUUAACAAUUCUCCAAAAAGUUAUAUAUGUGUGUGUUAUGGUAAAUGAAAAAUUUUGUCUGCUAAAAAAAUCAGUUUUAAAAUAGAGCUAUGUUUUAUUUUAAAUACAAAUUUGUGUCUAUUAAAUAACACAGAUACCCUUUUUUCUGGAAGUUCACACAACAAAUACAGAAGAUAGAUAAGUCAAUAUUGUUCUUUUGAGAGUUCUAUAAAAUUACAUUUGCAGCACCAUAGCUCAAAGACAUGAAUCUCUGUGAAACCAAUUAUGUCGAGGUGAACAUGUAAUAGGUAACCAACCUUGCCUGAUGCAAACAUGAAGAACAAAGACCAUCCAGGAAUACCGCAUAUGUUGAUUUAAUUCAACCAUUUAAAGUUAAAGGAGAAGGAGAAAACAUAAAUAACCACCUCAAUCAUAAUGACCACAUUUAAAUUAUUACCUGAAAGAAUUAAUUAUUAGCCCUCCAUCAUCUCCCUUUUCCUCUUCCUCUUUCUCUUCCCACCCAUUAUUUCGGGUCCACAUUCUACAAGUGUUGGUUGGCAAGGAGCAACCAGUGCUUGAAUCCUCAGCUACUUGAGAUACCUGCAAAACCAAUUCAAGCAUGGCAUACGCAUUCUAACUUGUAAGUCUUAUUAUUGAGAAGAAACAAAAACACUAUGAAAUCAAGUCCAGUAAGCAGCACCUCUGAUUGAGCACUCAUUGAACCAUUUGAUGUAGUAGCAAAUUUUGUCGUCAACUUUGGGCAUUGACGCACCUCCAACAUCCACAAAUGAGGGAAUAAGAAAUCAUAACAUCCAUGACUGAAGCAUACAAUACUUGGUAAUUUUUCUAGAAACAGCCAUUGCAGAUUAUGGAGCACCAUCUCCUUCUCAACAUCGACUGGUGAGGCAUGACUCUUUAACUUGUUGUCUUCUAUGAUUUCAUUUGAACAUGAAUUGGGGAAGCAUAAAGAUUGGUGACAUCUUCCUAACAAUAUCUUAUUCUUUUCAUCAUCAAUAUCCUUAGCGAUGAUUUGCUCCAAUUCCUCACAGUUUGAUAUCUUUAGAUAAUUCAGUUGAACAAGAGUAGCAAUCAUACUGUCUGUAAAUAUAUGUGUCAGUCUCUUACACUCAUUCACAACCAAAGUGGUCAAAUUGCUCGGCACGAGACCCUUCCAUAUACACCUCAUGUCAGGCAAUAAGUUCAAGUGUAAUUUUUCCAAACUCAAGAGUGAAAGUUCAUGCCCACCUCUUAUAUUAGUUACCAAACUCCCAACCUGCAUUAAAUCCUGUACUCCUUCGCAGUUUCUAAUAUAUAUUUCUUUUGAAUUUAUAAAUACCUGCAUCAAAAGAAAACAAGGGUACCAAUUUGUUAGAAGUAAUUCUUAGUAAUUAUUGUGAACCUUUGGAACUAAAUGUUGAAGUUUGGUACCUAAGCUAGAACAGGAUUACUUAACAGUAAUCUACUGCAUGAUUAUCUAGUUGUUAGCUGAGAUUACUAUCUAGAUUAGGAUAUGUUUUUGAAUUCUUUUGUUGAGUUUAUCUAGGAUUAAACUAACUUGUAAACAUCUCCUUAAACAAAGGAGAAGUUGGCUGGUACGUUUCUAGAGUUUAUUUUUCUUUGUAAUUCUGUUUUCUUUUCCUAUAAAUAAAAGGGCAUGGGAUGGCAGUAACCAAUAACUCAAUUCUGCUCUUUGUUCUUUAUACUUAAAUACUAAGUUCUGUGUUCUUUCUUUUGUUCUUUCUAUCGUGGACUUAGUUCUUUGUUCUUUUCUCUUUUAUCAGCAAACAUAAGGUUGUUCUUUAUAUUUCUACAAUUGGUAUCAGAGCAUCCUUAGGAUCUUUGAAGGGCUUUCUUGUGAGUGAGAAAGACGAGAGUACAAAGAGGAUAAAUCAAAUUUUUUACUUUGAGGGUUGGUGAGUGAAAAACACGAGAGAAUAAAGUGAGUUUUUUUUAAUGGAUUCUGCAAGUUUUUCACCAAAAACACCAUUGUUUACGGGACAAAAUUUUGGUGUGUGGGCUGUAAAAAUGGAAACCUAUCUCAAAGCUCUUGAUUUAUGGGAGAUAGUGGAAAGUGAUAGGCAACCUACUCCUUUAGGUAACAAUCCCACAAUUGCACAGAUGAAGUUCUUUAAUGAAGAAAAGGCAAAGAGAUUCAAAGCUCUUUCUUGUCUUCAUAAUGCUGUAAGUGAAGACAUCUUCACAAGGAUCAUGGCAUGCAAAUCUGCCAAGGAAACAUGGGAUAAAUUAAAAGCAGAGUUCCAUGGUGAUGAGAAGUCAAGAAGGAUGCAGAUUCUGAAUCUGAGAAGACAAUUCGAAGGUCUGAAGAUGAAAGAAAAUGAGAGCAUCAAAGAUUUCUCUUCUCAAAUUUUGAAACUUGUGAAUCAAGUAAGACUUUUGGGAGAAGAUUUUCCAGACUCUAGAAUUGUAGAGAAAGUCCUGGUGAGUCUGCCAGAAAAGUUUGAACAUAAAAUCUGUUCUUUAGAAGAUUCAAAAGAUUUUUCUGAAAUGAGCUUGCAAGAACUAGUAAAUGCAUUGCAAGCUGUGGAGCAAAGGCAAGCAUAUAGACAAGAAGGAUCAAGUGAAGGAGCUCUUGUAGCAGUUUACAAAGAUAAGAGUCGGGCUAAGAACAUCUUCAGAAAUAAUCAAGAUGGAAAAAGAGAAAAAGGGAGAAGCUGGAAAUCUGCUAACUGGCAACAGAACAUCAAUAACAGCUUCAUGAGGGGGAAAGAGAAGAAAGAGCAUUUUCCUGCUUGCAAAUACUGUCAGAAAACUAAUCAUCUUGAAGCCUGGUGUUGGCUCAAGAAUGCUCAAUGCCGAAACUGCAAGCAAUUUGGGCACAUCCAAAGAUUUUGCAAAAAUAAAACAGAAACUGAACAACAAGCUCAAGUAGCCGAUUGUUCAGAAGUCAAAGAAGAUCUUUUAUUCAUGGUCACAAUUCAGGACAUGUGUAAUUCAGCAGAGCCAAAGGACUCAUCAUGGCUCAUUGAUAGCGGCUGCACUAACCAUAUGACAGCAGACUUAAACUUAUUCAGAGACUUGGAUAAAAGCUACCUAUCUAAAAUCAGAAUUGGCAAUGGAGACUUUGUGAAGGUUGAAGGAAAAGGAGCAAUUGCAGUAGAAACACUGUCAGGUACAAAAAUUCUUAAAAAUGUUCUUUAUAUGCCUAAGAUCAACCAAAAUCUAGUUAGUGUGGGUCAAUUGAUUGAAUCUGGCUAUUCAAUAGUCUUUAAUGAUGGAGUGUGUGACAUUAAAGAUAAAAAUGGAGUACUUUUACUUUCUGCAAAAAUGAUGAACCGAAGUUUUAAUGUUAACUGGAAGGAAGUUUGUUUGAGUGCCAAUACCUAUGAGAACAAUGAAUCUGUUCUUUGGCACAAAAGGUUGGGACACUUCAAUUAUGCAACUCUAAAAAGAAUGGCUGACUAGCAGAUGACUCACGGGUUACCAGAUAUUCAAGAACAACAAAUUAUGUGUGAAGCUUGUCAGCUGGGAAAACAAACCAGAACUGUUUUUCCUGACAAUGCAUAUAGGGCAGUGUCUAAACUCCAGCUUGUACACACAGAUGUGUGUGGACCUAUGCACAAUGAAUCAUUAAAUGGUUCAAAAUACUUUCUUCUAUUUAUUGAUGAUUUUAGUAGGUACUGCUGGGUUUACUUUCUAAAAUCCAAAGCUGAUGUGUUUGCUGAGUUUGUUAAGUUCAAGGCAGCAGUUGAACUAGAAACAUGAAACAAAUUGAAGAUAUUGAGAUCUGACAAUGGAGGAGAGUAUACCUCUCGACAAUUUGAAGAAUACCUUGCUAAAGAAGUGAUUAAACACCAGCUGACUGUUCCCUACACACCACAGCAGAAUGGUGUCAGUGAAAGAAGAAACCGAACAUUGAUGGAGAUGGCAAGAUGCUUGCUAUAUGAGAAGAAGCUGCCAUUGAAUUUCUGGGCAGAAGCAGUAAACACAACAUCAUAUCUUAUAAACCGAAUGGCUUCAAGAGUUUUAGCAGAUAAAACUCCUUAUGAACUCUGGUAUGGUUUUAAACCUAGUAUUGAUCAUUUAAAGGUGUUUGGUAGUAUUUGUUAUGUUUUGAAACCUGAAGUUAGAAGAAGAAAACUUGAUCAAAAGGCUGAUAUAGGGAUCUUUAUAGGCUAUAGUACAACAUCUAAGGCUUAUAAAGUUUAUGAUGGCUAUAGAAAUGUCAAAGUUGUAGAAAAUGCUACUUGGGAUUGGAAAAAUUCAUCAGGUGAAGGAUCAAAACAGAUACAACAAGAUGAUUUGGAUGUUGCAAACAUGAUUGAUCAACAAACAGAUGUUGCUGGGAAUAUUGAGCAACAAACUGAGUGGGAUGCUGCAGAGAAUAUUGAUGAUCAACCAGUAAAGGGGACAAGAUCUCUAUCAGAUAUCUAUAGCAGGUGCAAUGUAGCUGAGGCAGAACCUGUAGAUGUUGAAGAAGCUAUGAAUUCUCAAGUUUGGAUAGCAGCAAUGAAGGAGGAGCUUGCAAUGAUAGACAAAAAUCAAACAUUGAUGCUAGUUGACAGACCAACUCAUAAGAAGGUAAUUGGAGUGAAAUGGAUUUUCAAAACAAAAUUAAAUGCAGAUGGUAAGAUCAACAAGCAUAAAGCCAGACUUGUAGUGAAAGGAUAUUCACAAGAGGCAGGGAUCGACUUCACAGAAACUUUUGCUCCAGUUUCCAGACAUGAAACAAUGAAGCUCCUACUUGCUCUAGCAGCACAAAACGGUUGGUAUAUACUUCAAUUGGAUGUUAAAUCUGCAUUUUUGAAUGGUGUGCUAAAUGAAGAGAUUUAUGUUGAGCAACCUGCUGGUUUUGAAAAAUCAAAUUCAACAAACAAAGUUUAUUUACUGAAGAAGGCAUUGUAUGGAUUGAAACAAGCUCCUAGAGCUUGGUAUAGCAGGUUGGAUAAUCAUCUUUUAAGCUUGGGAUUUAACAGGAGCAUGAAUGAGGUAACUUUAUAUGUGAAGCAUGCUGAAGGACAUAAACUCAUUGUAUCAGUUUAUGUUGAUGAUUUGCUAAUCACAGGGGACAAGGAGCAGCUUGUAGAGGAAUUCAAAACCAAUAUGAAAGACGUGUUUGAGAUGAAAGAACUUGGUUUGUUGACAUAUUUUUUAGGAAUGGAAGUAACUCAGUCUGAUCAAGGUUACUUUCUUUGUCAAAAACGUUUUUCCUUGAAAAUACUGGACAAUUUUGCAAUGAGCAAAUGCAAGCCAGUAAGCACACCUAUGAUACAGGGGCUGAAGCUAAUGAAAGAAGAUGGAUCUCCAAAAGCUGAUGGGAAAGUUUACAGGAGUCUAAUUGGGAGUUUGCUAUAUUUAACAGCCACACGUCCUGACAUUCAAUUUGCUGUGAAUUAUCUUUCCAGGUUCAUGCAAGAGCCAAGUCAAAACCACUUUGUGGUAGCUAAGAGAGUAUUAAGAUAUUUGAGAGGGACUGCAGGUUUUGGCAUACAUUUUGUGAAGUUCAGCUCAAUCAAUCUUGUUGGAUUUUCAGACAGUGACUGGGGAGGAAGUGAUGAAGGAAUGAUGAGUACUUCAGGUUACUGUUUUGCUGUGGGAAAGAGUGUGUUUUGCUGGAAUUCAAAGAAACAAUCGGUGGUGGCACAUUCUACAGCAGAGGCUGAAUAUAUAGCUGCUUAUGUAGCAGCAAAACAACUUAUAUGACUGAGGAAAAUGCUAAGUGACUUAGAUUGCAAUCAACAAAAUCCCACAACAUUGUUUUGUGACAACACAUCAGCUAUAGCUAUUUCUAAAAAUUCUGUUUUUCAUGAUAGAACCAAGCACAUGAAGAUCAAAUUUCAUGCAAUCAGGCAGUUUCAGCAAGAAGGAGAAUUGGAACUAUGCUACUGCACUUCUGAAGAUCAACUAGCAUAUUUUUUCACCAAACCGUUGGCUAAAACCAGGUUUGAAGAUCUGAGGGCAAGAAUUGGAAUGACUAGCUUUGGAACCAAGGAGGAGUGUUGAAGUUUGGUACCUAAGCUAGAACAGGAUUACUUAGCAGUAAUCUACUGCAUGAUUAUCUAGUUGUUAGCUGAGAUUACUAUCUAGAUUAGGAUAUGUUUUUGAAUUCUUUUGUUGAGUUUAUCUAGGAUUAAACUAACUUAUAAACAUCUCCUUAAACAAAAGAGAAGUUGGCUGGUACGUUUCUAGAGUUUGUUUUUCUUUGUAAUUCUGUUUUCUUUUCCUAUAAAUAAAAGGGCAUGGGAUGGAAGUAACCAAUAACUCAAUUCUGCUCUUUGUUCUUUAUACUUAAAUACUAAGUUCUGUGUUCUUUCUUUUGUUCUUUCUAUCGUGGACUUAGUUCUUUGUUCUUUUCUCUUUUAUCAGCAAACAUAAGGUUGUUCUUUAUAUUUCUACACUAAAAGAGAGGCAAGAAAUCAAGUCAAAUCAGCAGCACCUCUGAUUCAGCACCCAUUGAACCAUUUGAUGUAGUAGCAUGUUUUGUGAUCAGCUUUGGGCAUUGACGCAUCUCCAACUUCUCCAAACGAGGGAAUAAGAAAUCAUAACAUCCAGGAAUGAAGCAUGCAAUACUUGGUAAUUGUUGAAGCGACAACUCCUGCAGAUUAGGGAGCACCAUCUCCUUCUCAACAUUGACAGGCGAAGCAUGAUCAUCCUGCCCAAAUACUCCCAAUAAUUGAGAGGAUUCUCUUAUUUCAAGUAUUUGGAGCUUUGGGAGACCUGAAGCCAUGGCUAUUGGGAAGAGACUCUUCAACUUGUUGCAUCUUUUGAUUUUAAGUUGACACAAAUUAGGGAAGCAUAAAGAUUGGAGAUCACUUCUUGACAAUAUCCGGUCCUUUUCAUCAUCAUUAUCCUUUGCAAUGAUUUGCUCCAAUUCCUCACACUUUGAUAUCUUUAGAACUUUCAGUUGAACUAGACUAGCAGUCAUGUUGUCUGUGAAUGCAUAUGUCAGUCUCCUACACUCUUUUACCUUCAAAGUAGUCAAAUUGCUCGGCACGAGACCCUCCCAUAUACACCUCAUGUCAGGCAAUAAGCUCAAGUGUAAUGUUUCCAAACUCACGAGUGAAAGUUCAUGCCCACCUCUUCUAUUAGUUACCAAACGUCCAACUUGCAUUAAAUCUUGUACUCUUUCCAUGUUUCCAAUAUAUAAUUCUCUCAAAUUCAUAAACCCCUGCAUCAAAAGAAAACAAGGGUACCAAUAUGUUAGAUUUAAUUCCUAGUAAUUAUUAUUGUGCACUUUUGAAACUAAACAAGAGGCAAGAAAUCAAGUCAAAUCAGCAGCACCUCUGAUUGAGCACUCAUUGAACCAUUUGUUGUAGUAGUAAAUUUUGUAGUCAGCUUUGGACAUUCAUACACCUUCAACGUCUCCAGACGAGGGAAUAAGAAAUCAUGACAUCCAAGACUAAAGCAGGCAAUACUUGGUAAUUGUAUAAGCAACAGCUCCUGCAGAUCAGGGAGCACCAUCUCCUUCUCAACAUUGACAGGUGAAACAUGAUCAUCCUGUCCAAAUACUCCCAAUAAUUGAGAGGAUUCUCUUACUUCAAGUAGUUGGAGCUUUUUGAGACCUAAAGCCAUGGCUAUUGGGAAGAGACUCUUCAACUUGUUGCAUUCUUUGAUUUCAAUUCGACACAAGUUGGGGAAGCAUGAAGAUUGAAGAUCACUUCCUGCCAAUAUCUGAUCCUUUUCAUCAUCAUUAUCCUUAGCAAUGAUUUGCUCCAAUUCAUCACAAGUUGAUAUCUCUAGAACUUCUAGUUGAACUAGACUAGCAAUCACGUUGUCUAUGAAUACAUAUGUCAGUCUCUUACACUUAUACACCACCAAAGAAGUCAAAUGGCUCAGCACCAGACCCUUCCAUAUACACCUCAUGUUAGGCAAAGGCAUGUAGACCAACUCUAAUGUUUCCAAACUUGUUAACCCCUGCAUCAAAAGAAAAUAAGAGUACCAAUUUGUUAGAUAUAAUGCCUAGUAAUUUUUGUGCACUUUGGAACUGUUAAUUUUGGUAAAUAGAAGAACCAAUUGUCCCCAAUACUUUAGCCAAAUACUUAUCAGCAAAAAGACAUAAAUAGAUAGGGCACUAGAAAUAGACAACUGAAACAGACAACUUAAUAUUCUAAUGUGGAGCUUUAUCGUCCUGUCCAGAUACUUCCAUUAAUUGGCGGAAAAGCCUCAAUUUCACUCAAAUUGGGAAAGCAUAAUGAUUGAAAUUAAAGGUCUCAUUUCAUUACAAUAAUUAUUUUCUAACUUUUUAAGCCCUGCAUCAAGAGACAGAGAAUGAUAUACUGAGACGACUACUUUUAAAUUCAAUGAAUAGCUAAAGUAUUUAAUAGCAUUUAUCAAUUACUUUAGUUUUAGAAAUUUGGUGGAAGAAAGAAGAAAUUAUCACAAUGUGUUGAAGUUGACAAUUUAAAUUAGAAAAGGAAAAAAAUUAGUGUAGAAAUAUAAAGGACGUACUUGGAGCUGUGCCAACAAAUUAUCCAAUUCUUCGUGGCCAUAGAUUCUUAGAUUUUGCAAAGAAGGCAAUUGGGCAGCAAAAUUCUUUGGAGCAAAGAAGCUGCAAUUUGAUAUGGAAAAAAGAGACAAUUUUCUUAGCUGAGGGAAGUUGAUGAUGUCAUCUGUGGUGAGUGCAUCUCCUUUUCCCCUGUAAAAUAUUUGCUUUAAAUUGCCAGCAUCUCUAAUCAUUAUCUCUUCCAGGUUCCCAAGACUUGGAGACACACAGUCAGGGAAGACAUGUUCCAAUUUACCACAUUCAGAUAUGAAGAUAGUUUUUAAUUUUGGGAAGCGAAGAGGCUCUGAAAUUAUUUCCCUUUCAUCAUCUUCUUCUCUGAUAAUAUGCUUCAAUUCACCGCAACUGAGUAUCAGUAAUUUUUCUAGAUGAAAAAGACUCUGAGCGAGGGACGGUGUGAAAAUAAAUGUCAGUUUGUGAAGAGAUUGCAACUCCAGAUGAAUAAGACUUUUAAGGCUGACAUGUCUGGUGGGCCCCUUCCAUAUACAUUUGAGCUCAGGUAACCAUUGCAGAUGUAACCUUGUUAAAGAUGACAGCAGCGGCAGCUCCUUCUCCUCGUUAAUUCCUUCAUCAGCCACACCCAAUUCAAAUACCUCUUCCAAUGAUUGGCAGUCUUCAUUUUGCUGGAAACAGAGUGCGAAUAUCCCCACAUCCAUUCACUUCAACAUGUUCUAAUCUUUUUAACAACUGCUCAAAUGUCUUUGCAUUUAAGGAUGUGGCGCUUGUCUUAUCCAAAUAUAAUACUGUCGAGGUUGGGUAUAUUGUUACUGGUACUUGUAACCCAUCCCCUAAUAGUAUAUCAUAUUUGAGCAAGCUGGGAAAAACAAAAUCUCUGGGAAUGCGUUCAACCUUCGGUAUCUUCAAUGAUAAUACAGCUAAAUGAGACAGCGAAUUUAGUUCUGUUAGACUUGCAUUCAUUCCUCCUGCGCUUGUCCCAACAACAUCCCAUGCCGUGAAGCUGUGAUGCCCGAUCAGCAGUUCUUCUAACAUCUUCAACCUUCCAAUCAAAUUCACAGGAAUCCUUGCUAGGUAUAUACAACCUGUCAAAUCCAACAACCUUAAGUCUUUGAGCUCCCCAAUUUCAUCAGGUAAUUCUUUAAUGGAGUCGCACCACAUGAAAACAAGAAUCUUAAGUCUUUGCAGCUUUCUCAACCGAAUGAGGUCCUUGCAUUCACACCCGAUCAACAGCAACGCUUGAAGGUUCGUUGAGAGUUCAAGUGAUUGCAAUGACAAACACCCUCCCUUUAGAGACAAAACUUCAAUUGCUUUCAUCCCUUCAAAAAACCUCUUUGGAACAUUCAAACCAUCAUCCAGUCCUAAUAAUAGAAUUUUGAGCCGUGGACACACCAACCCCUCAGGAAGUUCUGUUAGUUUAUUGCCCAUUAACGAAAUUGUUGUACAGGCUUCAAAGCUUUUAUUGCUCAUUGGCCACUCCUUCAACCCACUGCCAGCCUCUACCAUGAAUCCAUAUUCUUCUGAUGAUGCUAUCUGAAUAGCAACAUCACGAAACAAGUCAUGUAUUUUCACAUGUUCUGCAGUUUCAGUGCCCAACAACAUACAACAAGCUUUGAGGUAUUCGAUUUCCAUAUAAACUCGUUUCCUUGCACCUUCAAUGGACUUCACAUCUUGAUUUAACCCGUAGCCAACUGCAUAUCUCGUCAACUCCUCGAUUGGAAUGUCAUAAUCUUCUGGAAAUAAACAGCAUAUGCAUUUCUUCGGUCAUCAAAUUUUUCCAUGUGCCGAGAUUGAGAUUUUUUGAGUUCUUCAGAUGCUACUUCCCACUCAUUUUUAGAUUUAUCUAUUAGAGCCUUUCCCACUGCCACAAGUGCUAUAGGCAAGCCUUGGCAUUCUCUCGCAACCUCCUUUGCCACUCUGUUCAAGUCAGAGUCCUCAUCACGUAAACCUGCAUUGAUUUUGAAUAAAGUCCAUGCUUCAUUUUCAGAUAGGACUCUUAAAAACACUUUUUCCUGGCAAUCCAUAGAAGAACAUAUGUUUUCAAGACGUGUUGUUAGAAGAAUUUUACAACCCCUGUGAGCAUCACCAAAUGGGAUCCCUAUCUCUUUUAAGUUAAUAACUUUCCAAACAUCAUCCAGGACUAUAAGCAUCUUCUUCUCUGUCUUCAGUCUCUGCCAUAAUCGAUCUGCUCUCCCUUCUUUGGUCUUUUCGUCAAAAUGUAGACCUAAGCGAUCUGCCAUUCGAUCCUGAAUGUCUAUGACAUUUGGAUUCUGGGACAGUGUAGCCAUCAAAACUUCAUCCAACAGCUGCAACUCUUUGGCUCUCCUACCUACUUCUUUCCUAGGGUGGUUUUACCCACCCCUCCCAUGCCGUAUAGUCCGAUCAUAUUGGCAGUGUUAUCUUUGAGAGCUUUCAUAAUUUGUUCGAAAGCUUCUUUUGAGGAUUUCGAGGGUGUGAAUCCCUCUGAUGGAAGAAAUUCUAUGUCUUGAAGAGGUGCUUUGUGGGACACUUUUGGAAACUUUCUGCUAUUCCCUUCAAGUUUUCUCAAAGUCUCCGUCUUCUUUGCCAGUGCCUUGCUUAACUUGAAUUGUCGCAUCCAAUUUGGACACCAAGUAAAGCAUUUGCCAUUUUUUCCCUUUUCAUUUUCCAAACGAUUCACACCUUCAAUUUCGUUUUUUGCAUCUUCCAGCCAUUUGUUGACAUCAAUCUCAAUUUCUUCAGCAUUCCUUUUAGCAACGUCGACAGCAUCUUGCAGACGAUAAAGUGCCAAAGCCAGGCUCAUCAUUUGUUCAUUGACUUCUUGAACAAAAUUGUUGAAACAGAACAUGUAACGGAACUGCCUUAUUGCUGGUUCCACCAAGAGUUCUGCUAUCUUAGAUACAAUGGAUCCACCAGCACUUUCGAUAGCCAUUUUCCCUUAAUUUGUGAAAAUAUAUGCGGAAAGCUCUGGUACUGACUGCUCAAUAAUAAAAUAUAGAGGAACAAAAGGAAAAAGGCCUUUAGCUCUGUAUGGAAGCCAGCUUCAAAAGCAACAAGACAAGGUAAAAGUAGAACGAUAAACAAUUAAUCCCUUGUCCUAACACAACAAUUAUUUACACAAUAGUUCAUAGAUCAUUGUAAUCCCUUUGUCCCCUCAUCAAUAUAUCUAUCCACGCCAUGUGUUAAAAUUCACACUUACCCUAACAAUUAUUUACACACUAGUUCAUAGAUCUCUGUGCCUUUCCAUAAAAAAAGAUAGAAAUACAUUUUUUUUUCUCAAAACCAAUAAAAAUAUUUAUAAAAGAAUUUCAUUAGUGAAAGAUAGCAUAUCAUCAAUCUAAUGAAAAUAUUUAUAAAAGAACGACUUUACGUUAAAAAGAGGAGAAGUAUUAAAACAAAAUAGUUUACAUGGAUUCUAACUUGCGAGUUAGAGCAGCAAUUCCCAUAAACAAAUGCAAUUUGAUGACAUAAUUAAGAUACUAGGCAUAAUAUUAUAUAAAGAUAAUGAUAAACAAAUAGAAUAAUAAUUCUUACAAGUACUCACCUAGCAAAGAGAGAAAUGAAUGGAAGGUUGAUGAUGAUCACUUUGACACGAUACUACCUCCUCAUCGCUUCCAAUAAUUAAUCUAUAAGCUAUGAUCGGUCAAUGUUUUUUUCUUUUGUUUUUUUUUUUGUAAAAUUAUGAAUAAGGAGAUAAAAAAAGACUUGCAAGGAAGUAUAAUUAAUGGAACGAACUCAACAAAAUCUGUAAUGACUAUCUCUGCAACACCCACUCAAGAAAGUAAAAAGAAAAAGGAAGGAAAGAAACAAAGAUUGAAGGUCAACCACGGUUCUUUUUUCAAUGUUCAAGAAAACAAAGAAACGUAAAACAGGAGUUUUUUAAAACCCAGCUAAGUAUAUGGCUUAUUAUAUUAUGAAAUUUUUUGUUAAUUAAGAUUAUAUAACAGUUGAGUUGUAGAGCUGUAACUAAAAUUUUGUGUUAUAUGUAAAUUUUUGCAGAAUUGAAAAAUUUAUGAAAAUAUUGCUUAUACAAACAGAUUUGUACCCUAUAAAUAUAUACUCUUAAACCCAUAUUUGAAUUCUAUAUUCCUAAAUGAAGGAACAAUAAAGAUUAUUGCAUGUACAUAUUCUCCUUCAAAAAACAAAUAAUAAAGUCCUAUAUGUCAAUGAAGAUUUAAUUAUAACUUAGCGCUGUUAUUAAAAUUAAUUAUUUAAUCCUUGUAGUACUAUCAUAUAUAAUUAAACAUCUCAUUAACUAGUGUUAACCACCCUCAAUUUACUAUAUAUAUAAAAUACCUUCCUUCCUUAUGAAAUUUCCCCAACUGCCUGCUUCUCUUUUCCUUUUUUCUAUUUUUCAAGAAGGAAGAAAAAAAAAAUACUUGGAAAGGAACUUGAAAUUGACAGUACUAAACUAUAUAUAACUAAAAAUAUAAGAAUCAAACAUAUAGUUAUUGAAAUUAUGGAAUUGAUUAAUUAGUUUUUAUCAAGACUAAAUUAUUAUUUGUUAAGUGUGCUUUCUAAUAAAAAAAUUAAAUCGAGUAAGGGUUAACUCGAUAUGACCCGGUCAACUUAACAGGUCUAAAAAUAAAUUAGACAACCAUUUAAAAUAUAGUUUGACUAAAUAAAUUCAAGAGAAGAUGUUUUUUUAAAAAAAUAUUGAGACAAAAAUAUAUUGGAUCGACUUAGGUUAACUCGGGUUAACUUGCCAAAUCCACAACUCAGAUCAUGAGACCGGGAUAACCUCAUAAAAAGUAAAUCAAAACCAAAUAUGAAACUCAAUCCCUAAUUAAAUCAAUGUUGAAGGAUGAAAUUAAAAAAAAAACAAUUAAAAAAGAGACAAAAAAACUGGGUCAUGUGACUGAAAUAACUCCAUAGAAUGCAAUUGAAACAAAUUAUGAAACUUAAUCCCCAAUUAAUCAAAUGUUGAAGGAUGAAAUUGAAAAAAAUAUUAAUUAAAAAAUGACAAAAAAAGACCGGAGGCAACCCAAGUUAAUCUGGCAAACUUGUAACCCAAGUAAUGAGAUUGGAAUAACCUCAUAAAAAGAAAUAAAAUAAGAUAAAUAUGACAUCUGAUUCCAAACCAAUCAAAUAUUGAAAGAUGAAAUUGAAAAAAAUAUCAAUUAAAAAAUGAUAAAAAAAAAAGAAUCGAGGCAACCCAAGUUGAUAUGGCAAACUCGUAACCCAAGUUAUGAGAUUGGAAUAACUUCAUAGAAAGAAAUAAAAUAAGAUAAAAUAUGACAUCUGAUUCCAAACCAACCAAAUAUUGAAAGAUAAAAUUGAGAAAAAAAAAAGCCAACUAAAAAAUGGACAAAAAAAAGCUGAGUUAACCCGCGACUCAGGAUAAGCAAAUCCAACGUUGAAGAAUAAAAUUAACAAAGAUAAGAGAGAGAGAGAGAGAGAGAGAGAGAGACUAGAUUCAACUCAGGUUAACUCGCUAAACUUGUGACCUGGGUAAUGAGAUUCGGAUAACUAUAUAGAAAGUAAACAAAAAAAAAUAACGUGAGUCAACUUAGGUUAAACUGUCAAACUCGCGACCAAGGUCAUGAAUUGUGAUAAUCCUAUAGAAAGUAAAUUAAAAUAAAUUAUGAAGCUCAAUUUUUAAUAAACUUAUUGUGAAAGGUUGAAAUUAAAAAAAAAUCAAUCGAAAAACAUUAUACAAUAAGAAGACUUGAGCCUACAUGGCUUAACUCGCAAAACACUUGACCUGAGUCAUAAAACCAAGAUAACCUCAUAGAAAACAAACCAAAAUAAAUCAUGAAGCCUAAUUUAUAAUCAACUCAAUGUUGAAUGAUGAAAUUGAAAAAAAUACCAAUUAAAAAAGACAAAAAAAAAAUCUAACCCAUCAAACUCGUAAUACGAUUUAUGAAACUGAGCUAAUCAUGUAUAAAGCAAACCACGAUAAAUUAUUCAGCUCAAUCUUCAAUAAACUAAAUGUUGAAGUAUGAAAUUAGAAAAAAAAAACAAAAAAAAACACUAUUAAAAUGAAUAGUGUUUUGUGAGGUGGUAAAUAGUAAUUAAAUUCACCUCCUCUUUUGGUUUAUAGUGUAAAGAGACUGGGCUAACCAUAUAUAAAGUAAACCAUAAUAAAUUAUGAAACUCAAUCUCUAAUAAACUAAAAGUUGAAGUAUGAAAUUAGAGAAAAAAAUAUAGAUUUAGAAAAAGAGAAAACCAAGUAAAAAAACACACUAUUGACGAUACAAUUUCUUUUAAAAUUUAAGAUUUUGGUCAUUGACUUGAGAUAAAAAAAUAUUAAAAAGAAAUGAAAAAAAAAGACCUGGGUCAAACUUGGUAAACCUGUUGAAUCCAUGAUCUGAGACAUAAUAUCAUGAUAACUCUAUAGAAAAAAAUAAAAAUAAAUAAAGAAUACCAAUUUAAAAAUAAUAAUAAUAAAAAAUUCUUUUAAUUUUAAAAAAAUUCCUUUUAAAGAAGCGAAAUUUAACAAAGACCGGAAAAAGAACUCUGAGGCAGCCCUUGUUAUUUUAAAAAGAAAGAUAGAUACUAUAGAAAGAGAGUAAAAAAGAAUGUUAAAGGUUGAAAUAUGAAAAAAAAAAGUGCUAAAAAAAAGAAACAAAAACCAAAGAAGCCCGAGUGAACCUUGUAAACUCGGGAUAAACUCUUAAAUCCGCAAUCCAUUAAUUUCUUGACCUGGGCUCAAUGCAGGAGCUCAACACCUAAAAAAUUAAAUAUUCAAGGAUGAAAUCAAUCAAUUUAAUUCAAUUUAAAAAUAAAAUUUCUUCAUAAAAACUAAAUUUAACAAAAACAAACCAAGGCAACCUGUGUUAUUUUCAAAAAGACUAAAAAAAUACCAUAUAAAGUGAAUUAAAAAAUAAUAAAAUGCUGGAGGAUGGAAAAAAGGAAAAAAAACAGGGGUCAAUAUUUUAAACCCGCAAACCAUUAAAUUCUAGACCCGGACUCAACUAAAAAGCUAAAGACCCAGCUAAUUAAAUUUUAGAGGAUGAAAUAAUAAAAAAAUCAAUCUAAAAAAAAUCUUGCAAGGUAAAAAAAAAUACAAUAAUAAAAAAGGAUUAGAUUUGACAAGAAAAAAACUAAAGAAUAAUGAAAUUUUAAAAAUAAAAACAAUUAUAAAAACCAUCUAAAAUUGAAAACAAUUUUUAAUUUGAUAAACUAUUUUAAAUAUAAAAAAAUCCAGCAAAGAGAACAAGGAUAAAAUUGAAAAAACCACAUAAGUUCAUAAAGUAUUCUAAAUUUAAAAAAUUGUAAUAAAGAUAAUAGGGAUGAAAUCAUAAAUACAACAAACUUUAGGGACUGAUUGAUUUUUUAAUUCCAACAUGAAAAUUGAGUAGGAGAGAGGGGAAAAGAAAAAAAAAAGGCUACACAUGCCACACUAGCUGCUAUAGUGCUACAUGCGCCGCUGAUUCAUGGAGGGUACAUCAAGAUCCUUUAGAAGACGCCUUGGAAUCAUGGUUUUGGCUAUCGGAUGGCGUCGCACACGCCGUUUGAAGAUGGCAAACAUUGUUCACCCAUUUUUUUUAAUUUCAUUUCCUUAUUUAUCAAAUUAUAUUAUUGUCUCCAAUGACACCCAAUAACUACCAAAUGACCACUUCUAAAUGACAAAACAAGCCUUAGUGUCAGACAAUUGUUUUAAAUUUUCAAGAGCAAUGAAGGAACUUGUUGAAAAAUCAUGUCAAGGACUAAAAAGACCCUAGACCCAAGUGAUUUUUUUUUUGUUUUCCAAGGAUAAUUAAUAAAUCAUAUUGUGCAAAGAAAAUGCAAAAAUACCAUCUAAUCCCUCUCUUUUAAGUAAUGACCAAUGUGUCCCAUGAAAAAGAUCAGCAUGCCCCUAGAUCCAAGGCAUGCUACUUUGCCCAUCAAAAGGUAAAAUCAACCUUUUACCAUGUGAAUCUACAGUAAAAGGCUGAUCUUUUUUAAUAUAGAGUAUAAUAUCAAGGAAAAACUCUUUUUUUUUUCUUUUUCUAAACAAGAGUAAUUGAAUUCUAGCUUAACAAAAACACCGAACUUAUUUACUCGAUUGAGAGCCUUUAUCGGAUAAGCCAUUAAGCUGCUAAGUACUUGUUAGGCUUUUACAAAGACAUAUUGAGUGCAUUGUUUUAAAACCUGACAUAGGUUGACUCAUGAUUUAGGUAAUUUGGGGUUUAAGUCGGGCUAAGUUUAAUUCAAUAAAAAUAGAAAAAAAAAUUAAUCUCGUGUUAACUCGAUUAAAAACUCGAGGUGACCCGAUCAUUCUAGAAAAACUCAAUCAAAACUUAUUUAUGAAUACACCUGUUUGAGUAUCAAUGACAUAAUCUAAAUCCUAAUCAAGUAUAGGUCCGAAUUCUUUGUACGUUGUCUAAAUUUGAAAAGGAGUUUCAAUUCAUUUAAUAACAUAUAUACAUGGUUCAACUGUUGGAUCGUUUGUGUUUAUUAAUAAGAAGCUUAUGCUGUAUAGGACAUUGCCAAUUUUAUGGGUAAGAAUAUGAAGCAUACUAUAAGCUAAAUUUAAGUUAUAUAGGGUAUUAAUUACUUUUAUAAUUUGAUGUAAGUUAUUUUUCAAUUGUUUACUUAAAAAAAAUUAUAAGUAUGUUUAGUUGGAAAUCAGAAGGUUAUUCCAAAUUUGAAUAAAAAAGUUAAUAUUUUUUAACUUUUAACCUAUCAGUUAUAACUCAUGUUACAUUUUUCAUUAAAACAAGUUAAUUUAAAUCAUUUUUACCAAACAUCUUUAUAACUUGAAGUUAUUUUUUUUCAUAAGUUAUUUAUGAAAAAUAAUUUUUGGAUUAUGACAUAAACCAAAAAAAAAAUCAUAAUUUAAAAAUCUUACCGAACAGACUUCUUAUUUCCAACACAGAACAAAAUGCUUAUGAAAAAAACCAAUAGCAUGAAGAGAGAUAGGGACUAGUAAUAAGCUGGUUGGGGGGUGUGAUUAGUACUUAAAAGUGUAUUUUUAUCAAGGUUUUAUAUCAUCACUUUGCACUUAAAGUAUCAAUAACUCCUUAACUAGAGCAUGUUUUAUAAUAACAAGUCUGAUAAUAUAAGAUACCUUUAAUUUAUGGUAAAUGCUCAUUUUAAACGCAGGCAUAUCUCACAAUUCAAAGGAUUGAUUGUUGUGAUUAACUAUUGAAAGUGAAAGGACAAAGAAAAGGCUAAGCUGAGAAAGGAGAUGCCGAUAGGCUAAGCUUAGAAAGGAGAUGUCGAUUCAAUUAAAAUUCGAACAUUGUUCAGUCAUUUGGUAAUAUCUAGAGCUAUAGAUCUUGGAUUUCAGUUUGGUUUAUAUGGCUGGAAAGAUAGAAAUAGGCCUACAACUUUCAUGAAUAGGGAAAGACCCAAAUUUUCCGUUUUCAAAUUCAAAGUUUGGCCACAAAAGAGAAGUCAGAAUCUGUCCUGCAAUCCAGCCUAGACAAUGCUCAGAAUUUUACCCAUAGCUGGAGUUCUAGAAGGCCAAAUAAAGUGAAAUUUGGUGGGUGGAAGGAAAAGACAAUUUCAAAUAACUUUCAUGAGGAAAACCUGCUCAAAGUCUAAUGGUAGAAAUGACAUUUCAUCCAGACAAGAGCUUGAGGGCUAUUCACCACGUCCACCAGCAGCACUACUCUGUAUUUUAGACAUAUCUUGAGCUGUAAUGUUCCAAAUGCUCUGAUAUUUGGUGGGUGGAAGGAUAAGAUGAUUUACAACAACUUUUAUGAAGAAUACCGUGCCAAAUUCUGAUUGCAUCAAUGCCAUUUCAUCCAACCAAAAUGCUUGAGUGCUGCUGUCCACCAAGUCCACUAAAUCAAUAGUUGGCCACUACAUCAAUAAUCAAUUACCAAAUGAAUAGUUCUGAAUUUUAGCCUAUAAAAGGAGAUAUUUGCCAUUCAUUUAAGCAUCUUGGUUUUCAGAUCAAGAUCAUGUUCUUGCUCUCUUUGUAUUUUGUAGUGUUCAAGUUUUAUUCCAUGUUAUAUUUUCCUUAAUCUCUUGUUUAUGCUUUUCAUUUCCUUUACUAUACUUAUAUAAUUAUGUUCUUAUUUUGUUUAUUUAUUUCUUCUUCAUAAUGUCUAGCUAAGUUAAUUAUGUCAAGGUGAAAAGGUUUCAGUAAUGGUGUUAGGAUAAGUAUAAUAUAAACUCAAUAUGGACUUUAAUGCUUAUAUCCUAAACAACUUGCUAUUAACAUGUCUUAUCAUUUGUAUCUUAUUAAUUAUUAAUACCUUGCUUGUUAAAUGGUUAAUCGAGAUUUGUGUUGUAUAACACCUGGUACAUCAAAUGCUUGAUCCUUCAUAGUCUUCGGCCAACAUCGUUGUUAUGAGAGGAACUUGAUUUGUUGUCAACAUAAGUUAGCAUCAUAAAUAUCUAAUAAAAUUUAUAAGUAUAGUGUUAUGUAAAUAAGAUGAUUAAUAUGAUCAUGUUGAUAAUUUAUAAAGAGUUUAUACUUUACUUAUCUUUAAUACUAUUACUGGAUCCUCUAACCUUGAUAUUUGUUUUUAUCAUUGUUUAAACCUCAUAUUAAUCUUACAUCUCAAAGUCAUCUUUAACUCAUCAUCACCACCAUCAUCAUCAUUGUUGUUCUUAUUAUUAUUAUUAUUAUAAAUUAUUUAUAAUUUAUAUAGUUAACCUCCCUGUGGUUCGACCCCGGUCUUGCCGGGUUAUUUAUUACUUUGAUACUCCUGCACUUGGGAUAAGACAUCAACUCUUUGAUUGUAUCAAAUUGUCAUGACCAAAAAUGGUCACACUCAGAUAACCGGAUACAGUGAUUCAGAUUGGGUUGGCAAUGCUAUUGAUCGCAAGUCAACCAUUGGCUAUUGUAUGUUUGUUGGUGGUAAUCUUGUCUCUUAGCGUAGCAAGAAACAACAUGCCAUUGCACGUUCUAGUGUCGAAGCUGAAUAUUGUGUCAUGGCAUCAGCUGCUUGUGAGUUAAUUUGGCUUAAAGGUCUCCUAUCUGAACUGGGUUUUAUAAGUAGCAUCCUUAUGACCUUGUUUUUUGACAACCAAGCUGCCAUGCAUAUUGCAGCCAAUCCUGUGUUUCACGAAAGAACAAAACAAAUUGAAGUUGAUUGUCAUUUUAUUCGUCAACAAGUUCAGUCUCAGAUUAUCCAAACUCAUUACGUCCGCAGUCAUGAUCAACUAGCUGAUGUGUUCACAAAAUCCCUGACCUCUGCUCAUUUUCACCUACUGUUGUCCAAGCUUGGAUCAAUUAAUCCCCUUGAUCCAGCUUGAGGGAGAGUAUUGGAAGAAGGUUAAAUAUUAGCCGAUUCUUUAGCAACAGUUGAUACGUAAAUGAUUAAUUAUAACAAUGCUUUUAGGAGAAAGAUAUGCAGUCCUUAUAAGAUAAAGAUUGUCUGUUAGAUUGUUAGUUUUCUUUAUAAUCAUAGACUUCUAUUCCACUUUUACUCACGCCUCUGCUGCGUUGUCUAUAUAUAUAUAUAUAUGAUACAUUACAUAAUAAAGAUUACACUGCAUUCCAAAGCAGCAGCUCUGUUCUCAAUAUUGUUGAUUCUCUAUUCUUUCUUUUCUUCAUUUCAAGAAUUCAAGUACACAGGACUUGACUAGUUCUCCUCUUUUAGGAAUCUUGAAACAUGAUUACAGAAUCAAAGUGAAGCAUUGAGGUCAAUUCUGGGCUUCUUUGUAACUAAUGGAGAUGGAACAGUGAAGUUGCAACUAGGGCACUUGGGAUUUGUCUUCAAUGUAAUCACAUAUAGCAAGCAACCAGGGCAAGCAGCAGCAAAUACUCCUGUUGAAGAGAAUGUAGUGCUAAUCUCAUCUUCUUUAAUGUCACUGGCUGGUGGGGUUGGUGGUGGUCUCUCUCUGCUCUUUGCAAAGCAGAAUUAACCUUAUCAAGAGUGCAAACACUUUCACAAUGACUUGAAGGUACAAGUUUUAAUUCCAAGCAGCUUUCUUCCAAGAACCUCAAUGGCGGAGACUUGGAAUCUUGAACCUCUGAUUCUUGGGUGGUUCUCUGUUUGUGAUGAUGCUUCGUGAUGUUAAGGGAUGGUAAUGACGAGCUUACAGAAUUGCAUCUCUGCGAGUAUACCUUCUCUGUAGACUGCAAGAACAUCCCAAUUCAUCAACAAUAUUAUUUGACUACAGCCAAAAACAAGAACACUCAGUUCUUCUACACUAAAAAAUAAAAGAUUUAUGUUUCGCGGCUACUGAAAAAUAUGUAUUUAAUCGAAAUGAUGACCAGAAGCCUAAAUUCUGUACAAAAACUGUUCAUCAAUAUGAGAGAAACUAUCAAGAUUGUUUCUUGGCUAUAAAAAAGAUUGGGGAUAAAACCAUAUAUACCUUUAAAUUAACAGGCACAUCCCAAGUUUUUGUGGAGCAGUUGCCAGCCGAUGCACAGUUCUAUAUCGACUUUGAUCUUCAAGUGCUUAUGAAACUUGACCAUGUUUCAUAACAAUCAUAGUUAUACCACGUGUAAUCUUUAAAAAUCAUUUACCAUGAGAGAAGACACAUUUUUUAAGUUUUUGCAUCAAUUUUUUUUAUGCGAUGAAUCCAUUCUAAAAUCAAAUGCAUAGAUAUUAAACAAUGGUUUGAUAAUUUAUCUACACAUAACUUAGUUUAAACUAAGUUUUAUUUUAAAUUGAUUUAUAAAUAAAUCUAAAUAAAUUUAAAUUGAUUUGGUUAAAUCUAAACAAUUUAAUUUAAUUAGACUUGAUUGGUUUAAAUUAUCUUUAAUUUUUUUAAAGAUUGUUUUUUAUGUCUAAAACUAUAUUAUUUUAUUAAAUACUAAAACAACACUAUUUUAAGUUUAAUUUCAUAACUAAAAUUUUCAUCAGCAAACUUUGAAAAGUAAUCGGUGGUUAUUAUUAUUUUUUAAAAUGCUUUUCACCUAAAAAUAUAAUAAAAUAAUAUAUUUUUUAUUUUAUAAAAUCUAAUUUUAACAUAAAAAGAUUAAAAACAUAAAUAAAUAAUUUAAAAAUAAAAAAAUAAAUUUCCACAAAUCUUUGGCUUAACAGCACUGCUAAUCAGGUGUAAAUUACCCUAAGAGUCUAUCUGGGAGUGUGAUUGCGGUUAUUUUUCAAAGUAUUUUUUACUUAGAAAUAUAUAAAAAUAAUAUUUUUUUUAUUUUAAAAAAAUAUUUUUAAUAUUAACACAUUAAAAUAUUUAAAAACAUAAAAAAAAAACCAAACAAAAAAAAUUAAAAAACUAAGCUCGGAAAUGCUAAAUGAAUAAGGAUAAAAUAGACUUCUUUACUAGGUGGUCGUGCCGUCGUGGUAGCUCACAAGGUCUUUGGAGACGAAAGAGAUGAAUGAAUAAGAAGCAGAGGUCUCUUUAAUGGCAGCCAUUCAAUGCAUUUUGUUCUCUUCUCUCACUACAUGCGCGUGCUUCUACGCAAUUCUUUCUCUUAUUUUAAAAGAUCUACACUCGUGAAACGCACGAGUAGCUAGCUGGUUGAGGGUUAUUACGAAAGUGGACACACCUCUGUCCUCCCAUUCAUUAAAGAUUAGAGUCGUAGUACAGGUUAUUCACAUGGAAUCAGGAAUUUCAUCAUUGCCGGCAUUAAUGAUCUCAUUUAUAAUUAUAGGGUUUCACCUAUAAUUAUUUUUCAUACACAGAAUCAUAAUUUUCGAGAAUUCAAGUACAUAGGACUUGACUAGUUCUCCUCUUUUAGGAAUCUUGAAACAUGAUUACAGAAUCAAAGUGAAGCAUUGAGGUCAAUUCUGUGCUUCUUUGUAACUAAUGGAGAUGGAACAGUACUGAAGUUGCAAGUAGGGCACUUGGGAUUUGUCUUCAAUGUAAUCACAUAUAGCAAGCAGCCAGGACAAGCAGCAGCAAAUACUCCUGUUGAAGAGAAUGUAGUGCUAAGCUCAUCUUCUUUAAUGUCACUGGCUGGUGGGGUUGGCGGUGGUGGUGGUGAUCUCUUCUUAGUCAUGGUCUCUUUCUCUGCUCUUUGCAAAGCAGACUUAACCUUAUCACUUUCAAUUUACAAAACGACGUGCAGCUCAAUCAAUGCCUUUAUUGCCUCCAGCCUUCAAAAAAUCAACUCAUUAGUUAGUUUCGCCCUUGGCUCGCGUACAAAUACAUCCACUUUAAAUGACAGCCACCGAGAUGUUUGACCUGUGGCACAUGAGCUUAGAAAAAGAAUUAUGUGUUGGAAUUUGAUAUUUUUUUUUUAGUUACAGUGGCUAUGGCUAAUAUGUAGCAUUAGGGUAUGUUUGAGUGUGUGGUUGUGAUUGUUUUUUAAAUAAUUUUUAUGCUGAAAUGUAUUAAAAUGAUUUUUUUUUAUUUUUAAAAAAUUAUUUUUAAAAUCAGCACGUCAAAAAUAUUUUUAAUUUUUUAGGAAUGCUGUUUGCACCGCGAACCGGUAAACCAAAGUAAUAGACUGUUACUUGUAAAAAGUUAUUUUUAGUAGAUAUGAGGAUUUUUAAAUGUUUAAGUAUCUACUUAGAGAGGUGAUAUUUUAGAAAAAUAAACUUUGAAAAUAUAUAUACUAAAAAUAUUAAAAAUAAAAAGAUUAUAAACCUUAAACUUUAAGUAUUCAUGGAGUAUUUAUAACUUAUAAAUUUUGUUUUUUUAUAAAGAGAAGUUAAAAAAUAAUUUUAUCUUUGUGAUAUAUUAAAUUAUAUUUCAUUUAAAAUAAUAUAUAUUAAAUUUAUAAAAUAUUGAAGAAUAUCCGUGAAGUCUUGAAAAAAAUUUGAAUGGAGUGUUGAGUUUAAUUGAGUUGCUUGAGCUUAUUAAAAAUAAAAAAUAAAUUAACACAUGCUACCUGAUCCAAAUAAAUUGUACCCAAGAUGCACACUCGAGCCCAUAAAAAUACUGGGAUGCAUGCCCAACAAGGUAAAUGGGUAAAGGCAACGCUUGGACCCAACCAAGAGCAGUUAGGCUUUUGGAAGUUUCAAAUUUUGGUUUAAAGCAAAUAGAAAGCAAUUAAAUUUCUAUUCAUUAGUCUUUUUCUUUCAUUGACUCGGUUUCUGGAGGUGCUGACUAGUUAUUUAUGGUGAAGUGAUUCUUUUCUUCUACUGAAAUUCUUGAUGUUUAGGCUGGGAAUAAAUUUAGCUCCUCUUGUCUACCUAGAAAAUUGAGGGAGGGAAAGUAGCUGAAACCAUUUAAGAUUUUUGUCAGUGUAGUUUAUUCGUUCACUUUCGUGUAGUUUCUGAGAUAGGCAGCGCUUGGACCCACCCCAAAGCAGUUAGGCAUUUGCGAGUUUUUUUUUAGCCAAUUAAAUUUUGGUCUAAAGCAAAUAGAAAGCUAUUGUUCUGUUGAUUGAUUUCUAUUCAUUAGUCUUUUUCUUUCAUUGACUCAGUUUCUCUAGGUGCUGACUAGUUAUUUAUGGUGAAGUGAUAAUCUCUUCUUUUCUUCUACUGAAAUUCUUGAUGUUUAGGCUGGGAUUAAAUUUAGCUCCUCUUGUCCACCUAGAAAAUUGAGGGAAAGUAGCUGAAAUAAUUUGAAAGCAUUUAAGAUUUUUGUCAGUUUAGUUUAUUCGUUUCACUUUCGUGUAGUUUCUGAGAUAGUACCAAAACAUUGUUAUGUGUUGAAUAAAUAAUUAACCACCAAUUAAAGCAGAAGUAACAUUUGUGUUUGAAUCCUGAGAAAAUUGAGUAGGAAAAUUUUGCAUUUUAUGAAGUUUUUUUGCUUAGUUGUGAUGAUUUAUUUUUUUGGAGGUCCCUAAAAGUGGAAUAAUGGUCCCUAACAGUGCCUUUUUGAAACUGCUCAAUUACUUGUUCUCUACUUGUCCGUUCAAUUGACUUCCUACAACCACAUGCCUGUAUUAGAGCUUUCUCUACUAGUGAAGAUAGCAUCAAAUGAUGAGCUUGUUAUUGUUGUUGAUUAGAGCUCUAUCUUCCAAAGUUCAAUCUUCGAAUCUUCUUCUAAAUUCUUUAAUUUUGCUCUCAUAUUGAAUUUAUAAAAAUGUUAUUAUUCACAGAAUUCAUAAAAAUAAUUACCUUUUUUAAAUUAUUGAGAAAGGAAUGCCUUUGGCUUUCUUCAUAAGUAAACCAAACAUGAAGCAAGGAAUGCCUUUUCUAUUCUUUGUAUAUAUAUAUAUAUGUGUGUGUGUGUGUGUGUGUGUGUGUGUGUGUGUGUGUGUGGGCAAAUCAUAUUCCUUGAGUGGGAUUAGAGGGACAAUCAUAUAGCUCGAGUUUCAUUCUUGGAAGUGGCAGAGAGUAUUCCUCAUUUAAUUAAUUAUUGUCUUCUUUUCAGGUCCUUUCGUUUUUUUUACCCCAAUCAUCAUAAUUAUAGGAACACUACAUCCAUUAAGGAUUAUAUUUGUGGUUGCAAUCUAUUGAUAGAGAGGCUGUGGGUGUCUAAGUGAUCGUGAACCUUUCAUUCGUUCCGGUCUCUGCUAUAUAAGGUGUGUGUAUUUUAACUAAUUCUUGUAUUAUUAAUUUGUUUUUGUCUUUAUAUUAUAUUGUUAUGCAUAUAUUAUGUGUUCAUACAUGUUUGCAAGUAUGAUCCAUGAAGAAAGAAAGUGAAAUACUUGUUCAAUUUAAUCCUUAUUCUCUCCUACUAGACUCAAUCAAUCUCUAUAUAUACAAGUUUAUAUGUAAGUCUAUAUAUCUCGUUGUAGGGUUGAAUAAUUGUAAAUACAGAUCAAACACCCAUUAUUAAAAAGAUUAUGGUGUUUUAAUUUAUUAGUCAAUUAGAAAACUAAUUAGUUUUAAAAUCUUCUUAAUAAUACAUAUAUAAAAUUAAAUUAAGACUUUAAUCUUGAUAGCUAACAUUUUGAACUUUUACCUUAAAUUUGAUAUGGAUGUAAAAUCUACAAAUUCACAAGACUAAAAUUUCUCUGUGUUUGGUGAAUUAAAGUAGGGUAAUGGUCUAAAUAAUAUUACUCUUGUAAAAGUUGGAUCUCCUUCAAUUUUCAACCUCAUCUUUCUAUUAUAGUGAAAGUAAAAAUGAAGAACAUUCUAAUUAACUAUAAUGUUUGGAUUUAAUAGUGCAUGGCUAGCUUUCACCACCAUAAUUUGAUCUUGACACCAUCAUUCCUUUUCUUUUUCAUUUUUUUUAUUAUAUCACUCAUUUUGUUUUAUAUUGGAAAGCCCCAAAAUCCACGUAGUAAGAGCAGACCUUCCCAUUACUUAAUAAUUGAGGAAAUUAGAUUCAUUUUAAUCAAAUCAUCUUCAAUAGAUAAAGCUAUUAUGUAAUUAUUUGCUAGGCUAAACGUAUUUGUAUAUUCAUAGUUCCUGUUAAAUUCUAAAUACUAUAAAUCUACAAGGAUUUCUAUGAUGUUAAGAGAAAUAUCCCCUUUUAGCCAACACUAGAUAAUUAAAUACUAUAUAUACUAGAUUGACUUGGAUUUACGAGAAUCAACUCAGGUUAACCUGCCAAGUUCCUGACCUGAGUUAUAAGACCUUAAUAACCCUAUAAAAGAUAACUAAGAAAAAAUAUUAAGCCUAAUUUUCAGUGAACAUAAUAUUGCAAAAUAAAAUUGAAAAAAAACUUAAUUAAAAAAAUGACACAAAAAACCACCCUAGUCAACCCAAGUUAACCAACCAAACUCGUAACCUAUAUCAUGAGGUUAGGAGAAUCUCAAAGAAAACAAAAUAAAAUAAAUUAUGAAGCCUAAUAAUCAACUCCAAAUUAAAAAAUAAAAUUGAAAAAAAAAUAUUCAAUUGAAAAAGGAUAAAAAAAAAACUAAGACAACUAGGCUAACCUGCAAUAGAAUCAUGAGACCGUGAUAAACCUAUAGAAAGUAAAUAAAAAAAUUAUAAAACUCAACUCUUAAUUAAUACAUUAUUGAAUGAAUAAAUUAAAUAAAAUCAAUUAAAAAAUAUCUCAGGUCAACUCGGAUUAACCUGUUAAAUUUGAGUUUUAAUAUCAAAAUAAAUCUAUAAAAAGAAAAAAAAAACAAUUAUGAAGUGAAAGCCUUGAUAGCUAACAUUUUGAACUUUCACCUUAAAUUGAAACGGAUGUAAAAGCUACAAAUUCACAACAGUAAAAUUUCAAUCUGUUUGGUGAAUUAAAAUAGGGUAAUGGUCUAAAUAAUAGUACUCUUGUAAGAGAUGGAUCUCCUUCAAUUUUUAUAACCUUAUCUUUCUAUUUUAAUGAAAAUAAAAGUGAAGAGGAUAAAAUUGGAAAAAAAAAGUUUAAACUUAAAAAAAACAACUUGAGAACUAAAGUGAAAAAGACUAAAGCAUUUCAUUAGUCAUUGCUACAAUGAAAUACCAAGUUCUCUUAAUAUAUGUUAAUUAUUCAAUUGUAUGGUUAGUCUAUAAAAAAUAAAAUUCUUAUAAAUUCCUUAGUUAAGCAAAAUAGAGUGUAGGAUUUUUUUAACAAUAUAUAAAAUAUUACACAAGAAUCUUGACCAUGAAAUAAAAAUUAAUCCAAACAUUUUAAUAAAUUAUUCUAAAACACAAUAAUUUAUAUAUCUCUAUCUAUCUACAAAUCCAAAUAGAUUAUUGUUUAUUAUGUCUAAAUCAAAUGACCUAUAUCUUUACAAUAAUUUUAUUUAUGGUUAGGGUCAUAGGAUUGUUUGGCUUUAACAGAGUAAUUUUUCAAAUACUUUUGGUUCCUUUUAAGUUGGUAAACUAAACAUCUUUUGUUAAAAAGAUAUCUUGGGCUUCAAAGUACAUUUUCUAAUUCUUAGAGCCUUUUGUGAAGUUAGCUAGUAUUUUGUGAAUUUAGCUAGUAUUGUAUUCAACUUAUCAAACUUUUCUUGGAAGGAUUUAUUUUCUUCUUCAAGUUGAUUAACCUUUUUAUUUUCAUCAAUGUCGCACGUGUGCAGCAUCGCGGCGAAAACAUUCACCCUCAAAAUAUCUAUCUAAAUGUGGCAAAUAUGUGUGGGGAGACAAGGAAUUCUUGUCUUUUACAUGUGAAAAGCAGGAAUGGAGAGUCGCCACCUAGUAUUUUGAUCACUAGGAACCCUAACUGGUCUUAAAGAUCGGGUACAGGGACUGGUUGCGCAAAGGGAGGUAUUAGCACCCCAAAUACGCCCUACCUAAGGUAAGCUACAUUGUUUUAUUGUCUGAUAAAAUCUAAGGUCUUGUCGUGUUUUUUAGUUGUUGGUCCGUCUAUGGUUCAAGAAAAGUCAUCUUCGGUAAAGAGAUCCUUAUCUUAUUAGGUAAAACCUAACCGUUCUAAUGUCAACAAAAGAAUUUAAUAUCUGGAAUAUGUCUUACGUAUAAGGUCGUAACCCUAGAUACUAAAAGAAAACAAAAUAAUGUUUUUUAUAAUUUUUAAAAUAUUGGCCUAGUUCUCGUUACUUUAAUAAACUAGUUAUUAAAGCCAAAAUGCAUGUUGAUAUAUAUUUUUGAAAUUUUCUUUGUUGUACGAAAAUACAAUUUUUUUUAAUUAUUAUUAUUGAGAGACUUGGCCGUAUGCAUCAAAACAAAAUAUUUUUUAUUUUUUUUAAUGUUUUGACGAAAACGAAGUAUUUUAAUACCGGAUUUGUAUCUUUAUAGUAUAAAAAUACAAACCAGUAUUGAUCAAAAUACAGUAAAAAAAUACACGGGGAAAUCACAAAUUUUCCAAAAAUAUAUUUUUAAAAUUUUUUCCUUUUAGGCCGGGCCGGACCCGGCUCACCCAUUUUGGGCUAGGCCGGCACUGCCUGGCCCAGUAAACAAAAACAAACAGUGGAGAACUCUCCACUGUUCACUUGCAACGUGAACAAUGGAGCAGCCCGGGCGAGGAAGAAGAAGAAGAAGAGAAGUGGAGGCUUACCUGGCGGUCGUCCGUUCUUGCGGGAGCUGGAGCUGCCGGUUCUAUGCUGUUGGACGACGGUUCUGUUCCUUCUCUGUUCUAUUUUUUCUGUGUUCCUUCUUCUCCCCGCUUCUGUCUCCUGUUUCUCUUUUUCUUCUUCUGUUUCUAAUAGUGGUGGUGUCGUUGUUGAUGGUGGCGCUGGUGGCUGCAGACGGUGGCUCUUCUCUGCGGUGGCGGGCAGUGUUUGCUGCUGUUCUUCCCGUCUGUGCAGAGGCGCAGGCUUCUUCUUCUUCUUCACGGGUGUUGCAGCAGGGGGAGGAAGAUGGUGAGAGGCUGAUGGUGGCGCUGCUCCAAACGGCGGAGAGAGAGAGAGAGACCGAAGAGAUUGAGGUUACUGUUAUUCUCUUCUCCUCUGUGUUCUUGUUUUUCUGUUCCUUUCCAUCUCCCUCAGAUCAAACUCUUUUCCUCGUCUCCUCUGUUUCUCGUUUUUUACUCCCUCCUAUGUCGUCUUCUUCGUUCUCUCCUGCCUCUGUUUUUUUUCUUUCCUCUGUCCUGUUCUCCCCCCCCCCCCUGUUCUCUCUUUCUCUUCCAAGUGCGGCAAUCUACCCUGUUGUCCUGGCUCUUUGAGAUGAAGGAAUGAAGACGAUGGUGAUGCCUGUUGUCAGUGGUCUUUUUCUGCGUGGUUCUUAUUUUUCUGCUUGUCUCUGUUCUCCUUUUGUGCCCACUGUUUCCUCUGGUUCUAUCCCCCUCGUCUUCUCUUUGCCUCUGUUCUUAAAGAAAAGAGAAUCACCCUGGUUCCUGGAACCUGCUGCUUGCAGUUGCAGACGAAGACGACAGUGUGGAAGGGGGCUGUUCCACCAACACUGCUUCCUCUCCUCCUGUUUUUUCCCCUGUCUCCCCCCUCUAGUUCGUUCUCCUCCCUGACUUUUUAUAGCCAAAACUACAUGCGUUUUUUUUCUUUUAUAAUAAAGACAUUCGCGAUAUUAUUGCAGUGGUAACGGUCGGCGGUGUGCAGAGAGAUUGUAGCUGUGAAACGUUCCCCAUAACUGAAGCAAUCUGCGGCAUGUUAUUGCUGAAACUGUUGCUGAGGAGAAGACGAUGAACAGUUCAUGAAACGUCUCUGUUUCUCCAAUUCAAAUGGCCAUUUUGAUUUGGUCCUUGUGGUUUCACAAUUUUGUAAUCAAACUCUUGGACAAAUUAUAAUUGGAUCCCUGAACUUUAAUUUCUUCCAAAUAAAGCCCAAAUUGACUUAAAAACAUUUUUUCUUGCAAUCAAACCCUCCAUAAAUUCAAUUAAACCUUCAAUAAAAUUUAAUUGAGUCCAUAAAUAUUUGAUUUUGAACUUUUGUUUUCAAAAAUUGAAUUUUUCUUAUCAACAGGGCUGAUAUACUAUUAAAUUUCAAUUUUUGUAUUUUUAAACCUCCUCAACCAAUUUUUGGUCAUUUUAUGGGCAUUCCAGCAUCAUUUUCUCGCUUCUAUUAUUUUUUGGAUUUCUUCUGAAUAUUUUUUGAUAUAUUGUUUUUGUAUUUUUUUUAUUUUUUGUGUGGGAACCCAAAAAUAGAUAACAACAAUCAAUAACAAUGCAAUCUUUAUUUUCUAGAGUUUCUUUUUCCAGCAAACAAGUAUGCAUAAUUCUAUUUCAAUAAACUAUAUUUUAAACCUAAUUUUUUAAAUUCAUCAUAUAAAGAUUCAAGAGCAUCAUGCAACUCAUCAGAGGUAGAGUCAGAUUCAUCAUCCAAAUACUGUACCUCAUUUUCACUUUUGAUAGAAAACUUCUUAAUCACCUUGUAAUUAAGGCAAUGUCCUCUUCAAUGCUUUCUUGAUCAUCAUCAUCAUCCUCAAUGUGGUGAACGGUUUCAAAUGCCAAAGAGUAUUCAUUUUUAUUCCCUCACCAAUACCAUGAGUUUUUACUUAACUCUCAUAGGUUUACAAGUAUGGUUUUGUUUACAACAAACUCUUUCAUAGAGUGAAUGAUAUAAAUAAAGUUCUAGUAUCUCCAUAACUCACUAAAUAGCACUUAUAGGAUUUAAAAGUGUUUAAGUAUAGUUCGAAUGAAAAUGUAUACUCUUUGUUCUAGAAUAUAAAGGUUUAAAUCCACUAGUUAGAGUAUAAUCAAUAAUUUAUAAUUUUAUUGUUAUUUUGAUCUUAGAGUAUGUUGUUUAUCAUAUAUGUCCGGAAUCCCUUACUAAUUUUACAAUUAGACAAGCUAUAUAAUUGUUUCUAAGAAAAACUAGUCAUUGGAACCCCAUUAAUAACUAAAACGAUCGAUUGGUUCAAAUUGAUCAAGCCAAUCAAUCAACCGGUUCCUACAAAAUUCCCAAGUUUUCAUCACUGAUAAACAAGUGAGCGCCUGAUUCAUGCAGAAUUCUCAAAUGUUUUCAUCAUUAAUGAACAAAUGGUGGUUCGUUUCAUGUAGAAUUACAUAUUUAAUAGUUUUAAACUAGGUGAAUUCCUAGAGCCAUCCAUCUUAGAUCAUCUUUUAUAUCAAUCCUAAAUGUAUGUAAAGUAGUGUGUGUGAGUUUAUUUUAAUUAUACCAUCAAGUAAGAUGUAAAGAUUUAUAAAUUAAACACUAAAAUGAAUACUUGAACUUUUUGAUUAAUUUUUUAUGAAAUCCUUCAUGUUUAUUAAUGUGAUCUUAAUAUGAAACAUGUUUAAAACUUAUUCUCAACUAGACAUAUUAUUAGUCUAUGUUCUUUUUUUUUUUUGUUAUCAUCAAAAUAUAAAAAAAUAUGAAUGUGUGACUCUAAAGGUCAAUAAAAUCAUCACCAUUUAGAGUAAAAAUAUAUCUAGACUAGGAUUUGCUAUCAUUAAUAUCUAAUUUAAAUCUAGCAUUUGAAUAUCCAUAAACUUCUAGUUUAUCUCCUUUAUAGAUCAUAAAGAAAUUCUUAGUUCUUUUUAACUACUUCUUAGAUUCAAAACCUUUAGGUAGUGUAAUAUACAUAUCUUUAUGAAUUUUCCUAUAUAGAAAAGCAUUUUUUAUAUCUAUUUGCUAAAAUUCAUAAUAUUAGCAUGUAGCUAUAGCAAGAAGGUUUUUACAUAACUACUAAUAAAAAGGUUUCAUCAAAGUCAAUUCUUUUUCUUUGCUUGUAACCACUGUCAACUAUUCUGGUUUUGUACAUCUAUACAUUGCCAUUAAUAUUAAUUUGUUUCUUAAAGAUCCAUUUACAUUCAGUGAGUUUUACCCUUUUAGGUUGAUAGUCAAGUUAUAUUUAAUCCAUUUAGAAUUUUACAUCCUUGAUUCAUUUUAUGGAAUUAAUAUUAGAUAUUGCUUUCAUGUAAUUGGUAGGCAUAUUAAAUGUAAGUAACUCAUCAUUUUUAGCUUCUAUAAAAAAUCCAUAUCUCAUUAGUGUAUGACAUCUUCUAUUAGAUCUAUGAAGUUAUUGUGUUUCUUGAGCUUUAAGUUGAGUAUCUAAUGUUAUAUAUUCUAGCUCAUGUUCUAAUUAGAUGUCAGUUUAUGGUUCUUGAAUUUCUCCAAAUUUUAUUUUUCUUUCACUACUUCUUUCAAGAAUAAAUUCUUUUUAAAAAUAUAGCAUGUUUGGAGACAAAUAACUUUUGCUCAAUGGAAUGGUAGAAAUAUUAUCCAAUAGUUUUUUUAAGAUAUCCUAUAAACUUAAAUUUAUUUGAUUUAGCUCAUAACUUUCAUAUAUGAUAUGCUUUACAUAAAUAUCACAUCCCCAAAUCUUCAAGUAUAAUAAGUUAAGUCUCCUAUCUUUUCAUAUCUUAUAUGAAGUCUUAUUACUAAAUUUUGUUGGAACUUUAUUUUAAAACUAAGCAACAAUUUUUUAGGCCAUAUCCCUAUAGCUCAUAAUGGAUCGUACCAUACCCAAUAGGGUACGAUUUGUCCUUUUGGAAACUCUAUAAUAUUAUGGUAAAUGUCAUAAUUAUUGAAUCUUUGGAUGAGAUUUGAAACUCAUCUUACACAUGAAUUUUAUAAUUAAUACUAUUUAAAAACAAAUAAAACAUUUUUUUUUCUUCUAAAUUCACCUAUAAUGAUGAUACCUAUCUUAAUCAUAUAGUUUCUAUUAUACCAAAUAUAUAUUCACUUAUUACUUUUGAUUAAAGCAACAUAUUGUUAGGAUUGAAAAAUAACAGUUGCAAUAUCAACCAACUAUUUCAACUACUAUCUCCUUCUCACCACCACCACUAACAUCUUUUCUUUAUCCACCACAACCAUCUCACCACCACCUCUUCUUGUAUCAUCACCACCACCACCACUACUUUUAUCAUUUCACAACCACUACCACUUCACCACAAUCUCUUUCACCACCAUUGUCAUCUCACCACCACCUCUUUCACCAUCAUUGUCAUCUCACCACCUCCAUCACCACCAUUAUUAAAAAUUAUUUUACAUGUAAAAUAUUUAACGGUAAAGUAUUUUUCAAGCCAAACAUUGAAUUUAAAAGUAAACCAUUUUUUAUUUGUAAAAUAUUUUAUGCAAAACAAACAUACUCUUAACAUAUAAUUUUAUCUCUUCUAGAAAAUUCAAUAAAAAAAUUCAUUUUUUCAUGUUUACCUAAGGUUAGCCUUCACAAUUAUAAUUCCGUUAUCUAUCUCUUUAUUGGGAUAUUUUCAGUUAGAAAUAAUUUCCAUUCUAUAAUUCUCUUUUAGGAUAUCUCAUUUAGGAUGUUAAUUUUUAUAGUGUUUUAUAUUUUUUUAAAAACUUUCUUCGUACUGAACCGUUAUUGCUUUAAAUUCCCUCAUGUAUACAUAACAUGAUUAAUGAGCUGUACCAAAUUUUUAUUUUGAUCUUCUAAGAACAUUCCAAAAGUGUCAUUUGAAAAUGAAUUUAAUCAAACUUCUAUACAUUUUAUCCUUGUUGAAUAUGUCAUCUUUUUCUUCAUCUUUUAAACAUUUUUUAUUUUAUUUUGAAAUCAUCCUCACCAUGUUAUUUCAUACAUUUUCUAUUUUUCUUAUAUAAUCUUUUUAAUUUGAAGUUGUCUUUAAUUUUUUGAUUCUCUACUUAGUAACAAUAUAAUCUUCAUCGUCUUCAAUUAUGUAAAAAAAAUUAAAAAUUGUUAUAGAAAUCUGCCUUUCUUAUAUAGCUAGGAAAGUUAAAUUUUAUUCAAAUAAAUGAAUUUUAAUGCAAUUGUAUAUAAGAAAAUACACUCUUAGAAAUGUAUAAAGAUAUCAAAGGAAGAAAAAAUCUUAAAGAACUAAGAAGGGAAAGAUAUUAAUAAUCUAUAUCUUUUUUUUUAUUAACGUGGGUGUCCGGGUUAGCUUGCGCGCACCUCAACUAAUCUUACAGACCCUGAAGUUAACAACAAUAUAAGUCUCCAAUGACCCUGAGGUUUGUGAGACUCAAACUGGUGACUUUUAGAAAGUAAACCUAAAAUUUGACUAGUUGAGCUACACUUCUAUAGAGUGUAUUUUCUAUAUUCUAUAGAGUUUAAUGUAUAGAGUUUUUUGAUUAACAAUACAACCAUAUCAAUAUUCUAUAUUUUAUUAACAACACUGUGACAAUUUAAAAUUAAUAACAAAUUAAUUUAAAGAUAUUAUAGUCUUCAACAAAAGAUAACACCCUAACUUUUGUAGAUGGCAUAGAUAGAUAUAGAUAAGGGGACAAGGAAUUAAUUGUUCAUUGGUAUACUUAUACCUUGCCUUGUUGCUUUUGAAGCUUGAUUCCAUACAGAGCUAAAGGCCUUCUCGUUUUGUUCCUCGCUGAGCAAUCAACACCAGUGCUUUUCGCGCAUAUUUUCACAAAUUCAGGUAAUAAAAUUCCUAUUCUCAUUCUCUCAAUGCCUAUUUUACUUGUAGUGAACUCCUCUCACAGUCAGCAUCCUUAUUUCUCUGAUUUUCAGACUGGUGGAAAAUGGCUAUCGAAAGUGUUGGUGGAUCCAUUUUAUCUAAGAUAGCAGAACUCUUGGUGGAACCAACAAUAAGGCAGUUCCGUUACAUGUUCUGUUUCAACAAUUUUGUUCAAGAAUUCAAUGAACAGAAGAAGAACCUGGCUUUGACUCUUGAUCGUUUGCAAAACGCUGUCGAAGUUGCUGAAAGAAAUGCUGAAGAAAUUGAGAAGGAUGUCAACAAAUGGUUGGAAGAUGCAAAAAACGAAAUUGAAGGUGUUAAUCGUUUGGAAAAUGAAAAGGGAAAAAAUAGCAAAUGCUUUAAUUGGUGUCCAAAUUGGAUACCACAAUUCAAGUUAAGCAAGGCCCUGGCAAAAAAGAUAGAGACUUUGAAAAAACUUGAAGAAAAUAGCAGAAAGUUUCCAAAAGUGUCCCACAAAGCACCUCUUCAAGACACAGAGUUUCUUCCAUCAAAGGGAUUCACACCCUCAGAAUCGUCAAAAGAAGCUUUUGAACAAAUUAUGAAAGCUCUCAAAGAUGACAAUGUCAAUAUGAUCGGACUGUACGGCAUGGGAGGGGUGGGUAAAACCACCCUGGUGAAAGAAGUAGGCAGGAAAGCCAAAGAGUUGCAGCUUUUUAAUGAAGUUUUGAUGGCUACGGUGUCCCAGAAUCCACAUGUCACAGACAUGCAGGAUCAAAUGGCAGAUAGUUUAGGUCUGCAUUUUGACGAGAAAAGUAAAGAAGGGAGAGCAGGUCGGUUAUGGCAGAGACUGCAGGGAAAGAAGAUGCUUAUAAUCCUAGAUGAUGUUUGGAAAGAUAUUGACUUGAAAGAGAUAGGGAUCCCAUUUGGUGACGCUCACAGGAGUUGUAAAAUUGUUAUAACAACACGUCUUGAAAACAUAUGUUCUUAUAUGGAGUGCCAGCAAAAAGUGUUUUUAAGAGUCUUAUCUGAAGAGGAAGCAUGGGCUUUAUUCAAAAUCAAUGCAGGUUUACGUGAUGAGGACUCUGACUUGAACAGAGUGGCAAAGGAGGUUGCGAGAGAAUGCCAAGGCUUGCCUUUAGCACUUGUGGCAGUGGGAAAGGCUCUAAAAGAUAAAUCUGAACAUGAGUGGGAAGUAGCAUCUGAAGAGCUCAAAAAAUCUCAAUCUCGGCACGUGGAAACAUUUGAUGACCGAAGAAAUGCAUAUGCAUGUCUUAAAUUGAGCUAUGAUUAUUUGAAGCACGAGGAAACCAAGCUAUGUUUCUUGCUAUGCUGUUUAUUUUCAGAAGAUUACAACAUUCCAAUCGAGGAGUUGACGAGAUAUGCAGUUGGCUACGGGUUAUAUCAAGAUGUGAAGUUCAUUGAAGGUGCAAGGAAACGAGUUUAUAUGGAAAUCGAAAACCUCAAAGCUUGUUGUAUGCUGUUAGGAACUGAAACUGAAGAAUAUGUGCAAAUGCAUGACUUGGUUCGUGAUGUUGCUAUUCAGAUAGCAUCAUCAGAAAAAUACAGAUUCAUGGUAAAGGCUGGCUUUGGGUUGAAGGAGUGGCCAAUGAGCAAUAGAAGAUUUGAAGGUUGUACAGUAAUUUCGUUAAUGGGCAAUAAACUAGCAGAACUUCCUCAAGGAUUGGUUUGUCCACAGCUCAAAGUUCUAUUAUUAGAACUGGAUGAUGGUCUGAAUGUUCCAGAGAGGUUUUUUGAAGGAAUGAAAGAAAUUGAAGUUUUGUCUCUGAAGGGAGGGUGCUUGUCAUUGCAAUCACUUGAAUUCUCAACAAACCUUCAAUCAUUGCUGUUAGUCAAAUGUAUAUGCAAGGACCUCGUUUCAUUGAGAAAGCUGCAAAGACUUAAGAUUCUUGUUUUCAUGUGGUGCGACUCCAUUAAAGAAUUACCUGAGGAAAUGGGGGAGCUCAAGGAGUUAAGAUUGUUGGAUGUGACAGGUUGUAUGUACGUUGCAAGCAUUCCUGUGAAUUUGAUUGGAAGGUUGAAGAUGUUAGAAGAACUAUUGAUCUGGGAUGGCAGCUUCACGGGAUGGGACAGCACAGGAGGAAUGAAUGCAAGAGUAACAGAACUAAAUUCGCUGUCUCAUUUGGCCGUAUUAUCAUUGACGAUACCGAAGGUUGAAUGCAUUCCCAGAGAUUUUGUUUUUCCCAGGUUGCUCAAAUAUGAUAUAGUGUUAGGGAAUGGGUAUUCAAUAACAGCAUACCCAAUCUCGAAAAGAUUAUAUUUGGGUGAUAUCAGCGCCACAUCCUUAAAUGCAAAGACAUUUGAGCAGUUGUUUCCUACUGUGUCUCAAAUUGGUUUUAGCAACGUUGAGGGUUUAGAAAAUAUAGUAUUGUCCUCUGAUCAGAUGACCACCCAUGGCCAUGGGUCGCAAAAGGACUUCUUACAAAGAUUAGAACAUGUAGAAGUGGCUGCAUGUGGGGAUAUUCGCACUCUGUUUCCAGCAAAAUGGCGGCAAGCUUUGAAAAAUCUAAGGAGUGUGGAAAUUAAUCACUGCAAUUCAUUGGAAGAGAUAUUUGAAUUGGGUGAGGCUGAUGAAGGAAGCAGUGAGGAAAAGGAGCUGCCGCUGCUAUCAUCUUUAACGGAGUUACAGCUGUCCUGGUUACCUGAGCUCAAAUGGAUAUGGAAGGGGCCCAGUAGACAUGUCAGCCUCCAAAGUCUUAAUCAUCUGGAGUUGUGGUAUCUUAGCAAACUAACAUUUAUCUUCACGCCGUCCCUGGCUCAAAGUCUUAUUCAUCUAGAAACACUACGGAUAGAAUAUUGCCGUGGAUUGAAGCAUCUUAUCAGAGAAAAGGAUGACGAAAGGGAAAUCAUUCCAGAGUCUCUUCGCUUCCCAAAGUUAAAAACUCUCUCUAUAAGUGACUGUGAUAAACUGGAACAUGUCUUCCCUGUCUCCGUGUCUCCAAGUCUUCUGAACCUGGAACAGAUAAAGAUUACUUUUGCUGACAAUUUAAAGCAAAUAUUUUACAGUGGAGAAGGAGAUGCACUCACCAGAGAUGGCAUCAUCAACUUCCCUCGGCUAAGAGAAUUGUCUCUUUCAUGUUGCAGCUUUUUUGGUCCAAAGAAUUUUACUGCCCAAUUGCCUUCUUUGCAAGAGUUAACCAUUAAAGGCCACCAAGAAUUGAGUAAUUUGUUGACACAGCUCCAUGUACGUCCUUUAUAUUUCUCCACUUAUUUUUUCCUUUUUAAUUUAAAUUGUCAAAUGCAAUACAUUGAUCAAAUUUCUUAUUUCUUCCUCCAGAUAAAGUAUUUUUAUUUUAUAUAUAAGAAGUUUUACUAAUAUGUAAAAUUAAAAUUAUUUUCUUUUAUAUAUGUUUUUUUGUUAAUGUCAUAAUUUGUUUUAUUGUAAAUAGAAUAUAAAAUGAUUUAUUUUUUUUAUUUAAUAAGUAUAAUUUUUUCAUGAUUGCUUUUAAUUUAACUAAUAUGAAAUAAUAAUUUAUAUUUAGAUUAUUAUAAAUAUGAAAAAUUACGAUUUCAUAUUCCCAUGCCCUAUUGCUCUGUCUAUUUAUAUCUUUUUGUUGAUAAGUAUUUAGGUAUUCGGGAUAAUUGGUUCAUCACCAAAAUUAUAUAAUAGUUACAGAGUGUACAAAAAUUAAUAGGAAUUAUAUCUAAAAAAUCGGUACCCUUGUUUUCUUUUGAUGCAGGGGCUUACAAAUUUGAGAGGAAUAUAUAUUACAGACUGCAAAGGAGCACAAGAUUUAAUGCAGGUUGGAAGUUUUUUAACUAAUAGAAGAACUGGGCAUGAACUUUCACUCUUGAGUUUGGAAACAUUACACGUAGACUCCUUCCCUGACAUGAAGUGUAUAUGGAAGGGUCUCUUGCUGAGUCAUUUGACUACUUUGAUGGUGAGGAAAUGUCAAAGACUAGCACAUGUAUUUACAAGCAGCAUGAUUGCUAGUCUAGUUCAACUGAAAGUUCUAGACAUAUCAACCUGUGAGGAAUUGGAGCAAAUAAUUGCUAAGGAUAAUGAUGACGAAAAGCUUCAGAUAUUGUCAAGAAGUGAUCUCCAAUCUUUAUGCUUCCCUAAUUUGUGUCGGCUUGAAAUCGAAAGAUGCAACAAGUUGAAGAGUCUCUUCCCAGUAGCCAUGGCUUCAGGUCUCCCAAAGCUCCAAAUACUAAAAGUAAGCCAAUGCUCUCAGCUAUUGGGAGUAUUUGGGCAGGACGAUCAUGCUUCACCUUUCAAUGUUGAGAAGGAGAUGGUGCUCCCUGAUAUGCUGGAGCUGUUGCUAGAAAAUUUACCAGGUAUAGUUUGCUUCAGUCCUGGAUGUUAUGAUUUCUUAUUCCCUCGUCUGAAGACGUUGAAGGUGUAUGAAUGCCCGAAGCUGACCACAAAAUUUUCUACUACAACAAAUGGUUCAAUGAGUGCUCAAUCAGAGGUGCUGCUUAUUGGACUUGAUUUCUUGCCUCUCUUUUAGUGUUUGUGUUUCUUUUUUCACUCAAUAACAAGACUCGGAAGUUAGAAUGUGUAUGCCAUGCUUGAAUUUGGUUUUGUAGGUAUCUCAAGUAGUUGAGGAUUCAAGCACCGGUUGCUACGUGCUAACCAGCACUUGUAGAAUGUGGACCCGGAAUAAUGGGUGGUGGGAAGAGGAAAAAGAGGAAGAGGAAUGGGAAGAGGAAGAGGAAGAGGAAUGGGAGGAGGAGGAGGAAGAGGAGGAGGAAGAGGAAGAGGAAGAGGAAUGGGAGGAGGAGGAGGAGGAGGAGGAGGAAGGGGAAGAGGAAGAGGAAAAGGAUGAGGAUGGAGGUGGUCAUGAGGAUUACGUCAAAUGAUAAGUUUGGCAUUGGAAUUUGAAAAACAUGCUAAUAAUUAAUUCUUGCAGGUAAUAUGACUGCAAUUAUUUAUCAUCUUCUAUCCUUUUCCUUCAACUUUAAAUGGUUGAAUUAAAUCAACAUAUGCGAUAUGUCUGAAUGGUCUUUGUUCUUCAUGUUUGCAUCAGGCAAGGUUGGUUACCUGUUACAUGUUCACCUCAACAUUAGGUGAUUUCUCGGAGAUUUAUGUCUUUGAGCUGUGGUGCUGUGAAUGUUUUUUAAUUUGUGGAAUUGAUUUCAACUGUUUCAUUGGCAAUGGCAUACAAUUUGGCUUUGUAUUGUAAUUUUAUAGAACUCCCAAAAGAACAAUAUUGACUUAUCUAUCUAUGUGUUUGCUGUGUGAACUUCCAGAAAUAACGGAAUCUCCAGAAAUAAGGGCGUAUGCUUGCUUGCCCAUUUGUGUUUCUUUUCAAGUGUUUGAACCUUCAAAAACAAGGACAUAAUGUUUACUUGUGUGUGUUUAUUGUUUAACUAGUUAGAUGACCCGCGCGAUGCUGCGGGUCAAUUUUUUUUUGCAUAAAAAAUAUCAAAAAAGCUAAGAUUUUAAAAGUGUUAGGUCUUUCUGCAAGACUAUACCUAAGAGUUUUGGGUUUGGCUGCAACGUCUGACCCAAGAGUAAUAUUUAUAAUAUUAAUAAUAAUAUUAAACUUGCAUGACCCAAGUUUAAAUGGGUUUGGCUGUAAUACCAGACCCAAUAACCUUGGAUGUGGAUCUGGCUGCAAGGUUGUAUCAUAAAAGUAUGAUAAUUAAAUAGAUUAAGUAAAAAGAAAAAAAUAUAGAAAAAAAAAACCAACAUGAAGAAAAUAACUAAUGAAGAAAAAGAAAAAAAUCCGAAUUAACUGGGUCAACUCUUCAAACCAGGUUAACCCGUCAAGCAUUGGAUUUGUGUCGUGAAAGUUUGAUAACUAAAUAGAAAAAAAACAAUUGACGGGUUACCCCAGAAUUAACUGGGCUAACCCGUCAAACCCAGGAUCCAUGUUAUAAAAGUCUGAUAAUUAAAUAGAAAAAAAUUAAUAUUAAGAAAGUAAAUUAAAACAAAUAAUUAAAAAAGAAAAAAAAGAAAAAAGCCAGAAAAAAACUAAAAGCAUCAGCUUUUUCACUGUGGACUGCACUGUGCAGUCCACAAUAAAAUGCUUAAAAAGGAAAAGAAAAAGGGAAAAAAAACAAAGGCAUACCCACGGGUUAAUUUUUUUUCUUGCAUAAAAAAUAUAAAAAAGGCUAAGAUCUAAGAGUGUUAGGUCUUUCUGCAAAGAUAUACCCAAAAACCUUGGGUCUAAAUGCAACGCUUGACCCAAGAGUAAUAUUUAUAAUAUUAAUAAUAAUAUUAAACUUACAUAACUCAAGUUUAAGUGAGUCUGACUGCAACACCAGAUCCAAGAGCCUUGGAUGUGGGUCUGGCUGCAAGAUCGUGUCAUAAAAGUAUGAUAAUUAAAUAGAUUAAUUAAAAAGAAAAAAACAAAGAAAAAAAUCCAACAUGAAGAAAAAAAUUAAUAAAGACAAAGAAAAAACAUCUGAAUUAACUGGGUUAACCCUUCAAACCAGGUUAACCCAUCAAACUUGGAAUUCAUGUCAUGAAAGUUUGAUAACUAAAUAGAAAAAAAAAAGUUGAUGGGUUAACCAAGAAUUAACUCAAUUAACCCGUGAAACCAGGUUAACCAGUCAAACCCGGGAUAUGUGUCAUGAAAGUCUGAUAAUUAAAUAGAAAGAAAUUUAACAUUAACAGACUAAAUUAAACAAAAAAAAUUAAUUAAAAAGAAAAAAAAACUUCGGGUUACCUUGUCAAACCAGGUUAACCCGUUAAACCCGGGAUCCAUGUCAUAAAAGUCUGAUAAUUAAAUAAAAAAAUUUAACAUUAACAAAAGAAAAAAAACAAAUAAAAAUGGACGGGUUAACCCAGAAUUAACUGGGUUAACCCGCAAAACCAGGUUAACUCGUCAGACCUGGGAUAUGUGUCAUGAAAGUCUGAUAACUAAAUAGAAAGAAAUUUAACAUUAACAAACUAAAGUAAACAAAAAAAAUUAAUUAAAAAGAAAAAAAAACAAAAAAAAAAACUCCGGGUUAACUCGUCAAAGCAGAUUAACCUGUUAAACCUGGGAUCCUUGUCAUGAAAGUCUGAUAGCUAAAUAAAAAAAAUUUAAUAUUAACAAAAUAAAAAAACAAAAAAAAAUGGACGGGUUAAUCCAGAAUUAACUGGGUUAACCCGUGAAACCAAGUUAACCCGUGAAACCUGAGAUAUGUGUCAUGAAAGUCUGAUAACUAAAUAGAAAGAAAUUUAACAUUAACAAACUAAAGUAAACGAAAAAAAUUAAUUAAAAAAAAAAUCCGGGUUAACUCGUGAAAUCAAGUUAACCUGUUAAACCCGGGAUCAAUGUCAUAAAAGUUUGAUAACUAAAUUAAAAAAAAUAUUAACAUUAACAAACUAAAUUAAACAAAACAAAAUUUAUUAAAAGAAAAAAAACAAAGAAAGAAAGAAAAAAGCUAAAGGCAUCAAAAAUGAAAAAAUGAAAAAAAAUAGCUUAAACUAAAUUAAACAAAACAAAAUUUAUUAAAAGAAAAAAAACAAAGAAAGAAAGAAAAAAAGCUAAAGGCAUAAAAAAAAUGAAAAAAUGAAGAAAAAUAGCUUAAAAAAUGAAAAAAAAAAGAAAAAAAAAAGAAACAGGUCAGCCUUUCACUGUGGAUUGCUAGAGUGAAAGGCUGAGCAGGAAAAAAAAUCUGGGUUAACUCGUGAAACCAAGUUAACCUAUUAAACCCGGGAUCAAUGUCAUAAAAGUUUGAUAACUAAAUUAAAAAAAUAUUAACAUUAACAAACUAAAUUAAACAAAACAAAAUUUAUUAAAAGAAAAAAAAACAAAGAAAGAAAAAAAAAGCUAAAGGCAUCAAAAAAUAAAAAAUAAAAAAAAUAAAAAAAUAGCUUAAACUAAAUUAAAUAAAAGAAAAUUUAUUAAAAGAAAAAAAAUAAAGAAAGAAAAAAAGAAGAAGCUAAAAGCAUAAAAAAAAAUAAAAGAAAAAUGAAGAAAAAUAGCUUAAAAAAUGAAAAUAAAAAAAAAGAAAGAGCUAAGCCUCCUUUCACUGUGGAUUGCUACAAUGAAAGGCUUAACAGUUUUAGUAUAUUUCUAAUGUUCUGUUUUUUAUUUGUGCUGAGUAAACCUUAACCAACUAGAUUAAGCCCACAAUGCAUCCAGUAAAUUUAGACUGUUGUAAUAAAUCCAACAUCAUCAGCCAGACCCAUAAUUAAACCAAAAUAGGAAUCCAAAGCAAGAGCCCAAUAACAGAACAGAACGUAUCAACUUAACCAAGCUAGCAUAUAUAUAUAUAUAUAUAUAUAUAUAUAAAACCUUAGGCAACUUCAGCAUAGCAAAGAGAAAGUGAGGAACAAGUGACUCAUGCGAUUCACCUCCUAAGGGACAAAGCUAGCACAAUGGUGAAAUUUCAUGAUGUAAAAAAAAGAUAUAAAAAUAAUUCAUAAUAUAUUUUAUUUGGUAUGAUAAAAAUAUUUUUUUCUUUCUAGAAAUUAAAAAACAAAAAAACAACACUAGUUAUAGCAAAAGCUAUUGUUAUGCCAAGCCAACUAUUAAUGUUAUCACAGUGGAAUCAACCAUCAAUACUAUCAAUAUGUACUAGUAAAAUCAAGAAAAUUUAAGUGUAUUUUGUGAUUAACAUACAUUGAUUGAUUAUGUGUCAACACAUUUAAAUUUUAAUCAUUCAUAUUUUAUCACAUAUUAGAAAACUAAUACAUAAAUUGGGGUUUUUUUUUACUACAUAUGCAGAUAAAAAGAAGAAAAAAAAAUAAACAUUGAUACCAAAUUGAAAAGGAGAAAGUAGGAGAAAAACUUUUCAACUAGAAACUUUGAAUUGUAAUUUCUUAGCAUAAACUUAUCAUUAAAUAAUUUUUACUUAAAUCAAUUGAAAGCUUUGUCAUAAUCCAAUUCUAUGUUAUUUCCCAAAACUUAUCUUUUUCAAAACAAAAAUAAAAAAAUAAAAGAAAAUAAUGUUGUCAUUUUGCAGAAAAUUCAAGACCUAAUUGUACCCCAUUAUGCAAAAACAAAUACAAAUUCAAGGUCAAAUUAAAUUAUUAUUGAAUGAAUUUACAUAAAAAUUAAGUCCAAAGACAUAAUUUAAUUUUUAUUAGGCCAAUUUGAUUUAAUCAUGAGCCAAAUUGAAUUUUAAUUAUGUUUGAAAAAUAAUUUGGGUCCAAUUGAAGGAUUUAAUCAAGUGCAAGGACUUAAUUAUACUUUAAAUGGUUCAAAAUAAUUUUAUUAUGGGCUUAAUUAGAAAAAAAUUAAGUUUGAGAACCCAUUUGGACUUAAAUGAAAAGAUUUGAAUUUUAAGAGACCAAAUUUAAUUUUUAUCAAAUUAUUUGAUUGAAAUUAGGAGCAAAAUUACAAUAAAAAUAAAAUUUUGGGGUCAAUUAGGAGUUAAAUUGAUAAUUUUCACAAUCAAUGACCAUUUUAUAAAAAACAUCAAACUAUGGGAACCUAAUUGGCAAAAAUCGGGGUUGAAAUUGAAGAGAAAUUAAAAUUUUCAAAGUAAUUAGGGGUGAAAUUGACCUAAAUGAACUAUACCAAAACGACGCUGUUUUGGUUACUAUUCAUCUUCAUCUUCAAUUUUCUCUAAAGUAACAACUCAGGGAGGUUAGUUUGUAGGUGCAUUUAAUGCCUCUAACCGUCAUCAAAUUUGGCAACUUUUAAAUCAAAAUGAUCACCUGACAACCCCUUAUCCCUAGGCAUGACAUGUUCAGUUCUCCUGACACUAAUGCAUCCCCGGUGUCGGCCUAAAUUGAACAACUCAGGCAACCACGAAUUGUCAAAUUUGACAGUUCAUGGUGUCUACUUUGAACCAAUGAUUGAGAUUCUUCCCAACCGAAUCAAGAGCUGAAAUUCUUGUCCAGUGUAUACAAGAUUACCCUCUUUCAUCUUCUAUAAAUAAGGGUGGGGGGGGGGGAGGGGUAUGAAAAUCACAAAAAAAAAUAGCUUAUUCCCUAGUUUCCACCACAUUUUUCUCUCUCCUCUUUCUCUCUUCGUCGUGGCCUUCAACCACCACCAUUUUCACCGCCGACUUGACCACCAUCCUCUCCACCAUACUUCUCCCUCUCCACCGAUUGUUUCUCCGUUUUCCUUCACAACGGCAGUAGCCCAUCAACAUCGUCAUCUUCAUUUUCUUCCUUCUUCAGCAUUGGUAGUAACAACAUCAAUAUCAACCUCCACCGUUGCAACAACCAACAAAAACACCAUUCUCUCCAUCAGCAUGACCGCAGAACCUCACCACCUCAGGUGGUCCUUCAUCCUUGCCUUGCAUCAACCUUCCAUGAGAUUUCUAUUGCGAUCGCUGCAUGCAUAAUUCGUUCUACAUGCAACACCAAUAAUUAACCAAAAAUUAAGGUCGACCUCAACCCAGUUUAUAUGGGUCGAGUAUUGCUCCCCCCUUCUGUUUUUAUAUCGAGUCGCUGCCUAGGUCAUAUGGAUCCAAUCUCGGCCCUAUCUUCCUUCAAGGCGGAGUCAUGGCCCAAUUCAUAUGAGUCUAGUCUCGACCCUAGCUUCCUUCUGAACCGAGUCGUAGCCCAAGUCAUAUAGGUCUUGUCUCGGCCUCAUCUUCCUUUAGGGCCGAGCCGCGACCCAAUUCAUAUGGGUUUUCUCUCGGGCCAAACUUCCUUUUGGGCCGAGUCGCGACCCAUUUCAUAUGGGUUUGGUCUUGGGCCCAACUUCCUUUUGGGCCCAGUCAAAGUCCAGGUUAUAUGGGUCCAGUUUUAACCCCAGCUUCAUUCAGGUUCGAGUCGUGGCCUAGGUCACAUGGAUCCGGUCUCGACCCCAACUUCCUUUAGAGCCGAGUCACAGCCCACUUUAUAUGGCUCUCUUCCCCUUGAUCACUUCAGAGCCGAGUCGCGGCCCAGAUCAUAUAGGUCCCAUCUCAGCCCCUAGCUUCCUUAAGGACCGAGUCACAGCCCAGCUCCUUCCUAAGCCAGUUUCAUCCUAAAUUUCUUUAGGUCGAUAUAAACCUAGCCCAGUUAUUUGGGUCGUCCAGCCCACAUGUUUUUAUAAUAUUUAAUUAAUAUAUAUAAUAUAUAAUAUUAUUGUAAACCCACGUAAAAAAAAACAUAGGAUCGAAGUAAUGAGGUCUCGAUGAGUAAUGGAGAUUCGAUAUGAAAUAAAUGAAUAAAUAGUAAGAAUGAUAAUAAAUGUGUCAUGUGAGAGAGAGAAUAAUCUCCAUAAACAUAUUUAAAGGUAUCAUUGAAGUCGAAAUGAGAGUUAUGAUUUUUAGUUUAAAACUCGUAACGUUGGCGAAACCAGUGACAAGUUUCAUUGGAUAAAAGAAUAAGAAAAACGAGAAGAUAUUAAACCUUGAUAAAAAAAAAACUUAUUUUGACAAAUUAGUGAUAAAUGUGGUAAUAUUGAAUUUAUUGAGCAUAAAUUAAGGGGAAAUGCCAUGAGAAUCUAUGUAAAUAAAGUAAUGCAUGAAAUUCAGAUUUUAGUGUAAAAGACAUUGAUUGUCUAGUUUUAAGGUAUCGAUAAUAUAUCUCAAUCCGACCGUUGGAUUGGACUGAAAUUUUAUAAGAAAUCUCCAGACUUAUUGUUUUAUCUUAGGUUACAAUUGCAUGUCAAUCGGAGUUCGGAAAGGCUUUACGAGAGUACUCAAAAUCAGGUAAAUUGAAGAAGAUGACACAGGGGGCAUUAAUAAGGGUAUUUUGGUAAUUUUAUAUGAAACAUCAUUCCCCUCUCCUCCUUUAAACACAGCUCAUGUCCUCUUCAAAAGGAGAAAACAUGAGGGAGACUAUUUUUCUCCUAUUUUCUUCAUCUUCUCUCCAUUUCUUCAAGUUAAAUAAAAAAGGAGCGUUAUUGGGAGGAUUAUAUCCAAGAAAACAAAUUAAAUGACUAUACUUAGAGAGUUAUAAAGCUUGGAAGAAACAAAGAGUAAGAGCUGGAACUUGAAAGAGGAGGACAUGAGUUUUGUAGAUUUUUGCAAGAAUUCAUUGAAAUAAGUUAUGGUAGCAAAGGUAAGCAACAUACCCUUUUUUAGAUUGAUUUUUUUUAUUAUUAUGUCAUCCUCCAACAUUUAAUUAGCCAGGUCUUUAGCUUCUUAGUUGAGUCCGGGUCUAAAAUUUAACGGUUUGUUGGUUUAAGAGAUUGACCCCAAUUUCUUUGUUUUUUUUUUCUUCUUUUUCCAUCCCCCAACAUUUUGUUAUAUUUUAAUUCACUUUAUAUGGUAUUUUUUAGUUUUUUUGAAAAUAAUGCACGUUGCCUUAGUUUUUUUUUUUUUUUUGUCUUUGUUGAAUUUAGUUUUUAUGAAAGAAUUUUAUUUUUAAAUUGAAUUAAAUUGAUUGAUUUAAUCUUCCAACAUUUAUAUUUUUAGGUGUUGAGCUCCUGCAUUAAGCCUGAGUCAAGAAUUAAUUGGAUUGCGUGUUUGAGAGUUUAACCCGAGUUUAUAAGGUUCACUCCGACUUCUUUGGUGUUUUGUUUCUUUUUUAAGCUCUUUUCUUUUUUCAUAUUUCAACCUCUAACAUUCUUUUUUACUCUCUUUCUAUAUAAUUUAUCUUUCUUUUUAAAAUAACAAGGGUUGCCUCAAAGUUUUCUAUUUUCGAUCUUCGUUAAAUUUUGCUUCUUUAAAAGGAAUUUUCUUAAUUAAAUUUAAUUUUUUUUAUUUCAUCCUCUUGCAAUUAAUUUGAGGCAAUACAUGAGAGAAUUUUGCUUUUUUAAUUAAGGUUUUUAAAAAUUGGUAUUUGUUUUUCUACUUUUUUUCUAUAGAGUUAUCUUGAUAUUAUGUCUCAAGUCAUGGAUUCAAUAUAUUUACCAAGUUUGACUCAGGUUUUUUUUUCAUUUUUUUUAAUCUCGAGUCAAUGAUCAAAAUCUUAAAUUUUUUUAAAAAUUGCAUCAUCAAUAGUGUUUUUUUUACUUGUUUUUUUUUCCUAAAUCUAUAUUUCUUUCUCUACUUUCAUACUUCAAUAUUUAGUUUAUUGGAGACCGGAUUUAAUAAUUUAUUGUGGUUUACUUUAUAUAUGGUUAGCUCAGUCUCUUUACACUAUAAACUAAAAGAGGUGGUGAAUUUACUAUUUACCGCCUCACAAAACACUAUUUAUUCCAAUAAUGUUUUUUGUUUUCUAAAUCUAUAUUCCUUUCUCUAAUUUCAUAUUUUUACAUUUAGUUUAUUGGAGACCGGGCUUAAUAAUUUAUCAUAGUUUGCUUUAUAUAUGGUUAGCUAAGUCUAAUAACUCGUAUUACGGGUUUGACGAGUUAGCUCAAUUUUUUUUUAUCUUUUUAUAAUUGGUAUUUUUUUAAUUUUAUCAUCCAACAUUGGGUUGAUUAUGAAUUAAGCUUUUGAUUUAUAUUGGUUUGCUUUUUAUGAGGUUAUCCUAGUUUUAUGACUCAGGUCACGUGUUUUGCAAGUUAAGUCGUGUAGACUCGGGUCUUUUAUUGUCUAAUAUUUUUAGAUUGAUUUUUUUUUUCAAUUUCAACCUUUAAGAAUAAGUUUAUUGAAAUUUGAAAUUUGAGAUUUAUAAUUUGUUUUGAUUUACUUUUUAUAAUGUUAUCACAAUCUCAUGACCUUGAUUGCGGGUUUGGCAAGUUAAUCUAGGUUGAGACUCAUGCUAUUUUUUUUUGUUUACUUUCUAUGAAAAAUCAAAAUAGUUUAGUAAUAAAAUUAAUAUAAAAAAUAAAUUGGGUGCAAAAUUGAUAACACCCAUAUAGUUUAAUGGUAUAUUUUUUAAAAAAGCUAUUAUUUUGAAAGUUUGAUUAAAAGUCAAGUCAUGUUUUUACCAAUCAUUAAGAUUGUAUUUUGAUUCGUAAAAUCAAUCAAUUUAAUUAAAAUUAACUUUUACAUGAUUUAAUUAAAAACUUGAGUUAGAUAAAAAAACUAAAUUACAAAAUUACAAAAUUAACUUAUUAAAUCAAUAAUAUAAUUAAAAGAUUGUUCAUACUUUUAAUAUUUUUUUACAUUUAAAAAAUUUAUCCAAUGAAUAACGGUUCAAUAAACUAGUAGAAGUUAGAUCACGAGACACUAACGUCAGCUGAACUACUUCAUGAUUGAUAAGCUUUAAAUGAGCAAUUAAAAUAUCAAAGGAUUUCUGGGACACUCCCAGGAUGUUUAAUUAUUGAUAAGCUUUAAUUAAUUAUUACACAUCUUUGUAUUUUUGAACCUCCUCAACCAAAUUCUAAUCAUUUUCCGGGCACUCCGGUAUCCAUUUCUUACUGCUAUUAUUUUUUUUGGAUAUCUUCCGACUAUAUUUUUUUUUCUUCCUUUCUUUGUGCGGGACCUAAAAAUAGGUUACAACAUCCCGUAUACAUCAAAACAAGACAUUGUUUUUAUAUAUCUUCUUGCAACAUUUCAACGAAAACCAGGUAUUUUAAUACCGGAUUUGUAACUUUACGAUAUAAAAAUACAAACCAAUAUUAAGAAAAAUUGACAAAAAAAUACGCGAGAAAAAUCACAAAUUUUGAAAAGAUUUUUUUUAAAAUUUUUUUCAAAAAUUUGUUUUGGACUGGGCCACACUUAGCCCAACCAUUUUGGUCUGGGCCAGCGCUUUCUAGCCCAUUAAACAGUGGAGGAUCUCUCCACUGUUCACUUUGUCGAUCAAUAGAGACGGGGUAAUGAAACUGAAGAAGAAGAAGAGCAGGAAGCUGACCUAUGGUGGCUCAUGGUGACGUUCGCUAGUGGUGGCGUUGCGAUUGCGAACUGGGGAGCAGCUCGGCCAAUGGUUCUUCUUCCUUUCUCUGUGUUUUUUGUAUUUCUUCUUCUCCCUGCUUAUAUUCUCCCACUUCUCUGUUUCAUUUCUGACGUGUUGUUGAUGAUGGCUCGAGCUGGCGAUGUUGCGGACUACAGACGGUGACGUUGCGGUGGUUCUUUUGGUGAAUAAGGCUCUUUCUUCAUCCGUCCUCCUUUCCAAAAAUCCCCUUCUGUUUAAUCUUUUUUGUCUGGUAUUUAUAAGUAGAAGGAGAGGGAGCCACCCUGCCCUGUCCUGUCUUGGGGACAGGGUAGAGUGGUUGGGGCAACCUUUAUGCAAUCACCCCAGAGCAGCCCACAGGGCAUGGCUCCCCUGCCCCUUCCAUGAUGGUGGUAGGCCAUGCAGCGUGGGCUAUGUCAGUUUUCUUGCAAUUAGGGAGGGAGAGAAAGAGAGAGAAAAGCAUGAAAAGAAGAUUUUAAAAAACAGCUUGUCCUUCCCCUACUGCACGUCCAAGGGAAGAAGAAUAGUGUCAUUCAAAACGACAUCGUUCUAUGAUUCUGUCUCUUUUUUUUUUUGUGAAAAAAGAAAUGAAUUUGGGGAAUAAAAAAAAAUGAAUUAUAAUAGUUGCCCCCUCUUUACAAUGCUUACAAAGCAAAGACUUUAUGUAGUAAGUUUUGUAAAAAUAAAUUAAACUGAACUUUUAAAACUGAUUUUCUCAAAGCUUGGUUGAUCUAAAGCUCUAUCUUUGCAGCAAAUCUCUUCAACCAUGAACUAACAAUCAAAACUGUGUAUAACUUGGUCAUUCUGAGAUCUCGAUCUGACGAUCCUCUAAAUUCUGUCUUUGAUUGGGUUAACCUGAAAUCUCAUCUGACGAUUCUCUAUAACCAGAACCUAGAAAAAAUGUUCUUCCUGAUGGCAGGGUUUGAACUUUCUCUUCUCUUUUUUUUUUUUGAGAAUUUCCUAAUGGUAGGGUUCUUCUCACUUUUCUUCCAAUGUUAAGAUGAUGUUGGUAGCUCGGUCAACCUGAGAUCCCAUCUGGUGAUCUCCUUUAACCAGAACCAAAAUUCUGAGUGCAGCUCGGUCAACUUGAAAUCUCAUCUGACGACUCCCUUUAACUAAAGCUAAAUUUCAUGUAUGGUUGGAUUAACCUGAGAUCCUAUCUGGCGACCUCCUUUAACCAGAACCAAAAUUCUGUGUGUAGCUUGAUUAACUUGAAAUCUCAUCUGGUGACACAGGCCCAACACUCUUCCAGGCUGAUGUGGGCCUAACACCUUUGGGCCACCCGCCCCCUGUCUUGGGCCGAUGUUUUGGGCCGACCUUGAUCCAAUUUCUUCUAGGCCAAUUUCAACCUAACAAGGAUGGGCUCAACCCAUAAUUUGGGCCAGCCCAUCCCAAUGUUUUUUUUUAUUAUAUAUUUAUAAUAAUAUAUAAUAUAAUAUUAUAUAUUAAAAAGAGGAGACAAAAUUCUGAAAAAUUUCAAAAUCUUUUCAAAAACAAUUUAUGGCUUUCUCGUGUAUUUUUCUACCAAUUUUGAUUAAUAUUAGUUUGUAUUUUUAUAUUGUAAAAAUACAAAUUCGGUAUUUGUUUUGGUAUGAAAAUAUGAUAUGAAAUUUCUUAUAUUUUUUAGUCGUAUGCAUGAAAAGAAGAUAUUUUUUUUUUGUUUUUCCAUAUAUUUUUUUUUGCAACAUUUUGGAGAAAACUAAGAAUUUCAAAAUUCAAAAAAUAUGUAUUAGCAUGCAUUUUGAGCUUUAAUAGCCAGUUUAUUAAAGCCAUGAGAACUAGGCCAAUAUUUUAAAAAUACAAAAAAAAUUAUUUCCUUUCCUUUUAAUAUCUAAGAUUACAAACUUAUACGUAAGAUGUAUUUCUAAUAUUAAAUAAGAGUUAGUUUUCCUUUUUAUCGAUAUUAAAACGGUUAGAUUUUACCAGAUAAGAUAGGCAUCGCCUUACCGAGAAUUACUUUUUUAAAACCUUAGACGUACCAAUCAUUAGAAAACACGACAAUACCUUAGUUUAUAUCAGACAAUUAAACAAUGCAUCUUACCUUAGAUAUGACGUAUUUAGGGUGCUAAUGCAUUGCCUUUAUGCAACCAGUUCCCAUACCCGAUCUCUAAGACCAAUUAGGGUUUCUAUUAACCAAAAUAUUAAGUGACGACUAUCAUUCUUUCUUUCCACUGAUAAAAAAACAAAAAUUUCUUAUCUUACCUAUUUUUCAAAUACAUACCAGAGUAAACGACCACCGCGACACCGCAUACUAGCUACUCUUCUUCUGUAAUUUCGUUUGGCUUUUUAGCUAGUAGCUCCUCAAUUAUUUUGUUAUUAUUAUUAUUAUUAUUAUUAUUAUUAUUAUUAUUAUUUAUUUUUGCUGGCAACUUCACCAACAUUGACUUUUUGAGGAGCAUUAACAUUGAUACACUGACUUCUAGCUAGGGGUGUGCAAAAAAACCGGAAAAUCGAAUAAACCGAUAAAACCGAACCGAGAAAAAAAAACCGAUUAAACCGAUUAGAAUAGUUAGAAAAAAUCCCGGUUCGGUUCGGUUUUUGGUUUUGUAAUGCAAGAACCGGUUAACCCGGACCGAACCGAAUCGGUUCAAAAAAAGACUAUAAAUAGAAAAAUUUAUCCCUCCACCCCCCAGUAACCCUAGCCAUCAGCAGCCCCUCUCGCCUCUUUCUCUCCCUCUCCCUCUUUCUCUCCCUCUCCCUUCCUCUAGACUUAGAAGCAGCCCCCUCUCGCGCUCUUGAUCCUAGGAUGAAUCCGGGUGUAGAGGAUCUUGCUAGGCUUGGGUGCGAGAGGAUGUUGAUCUUUGUAGCUAAGGAAGACUAUUUAACUGUUGCAGCUAAGAAUUAUUAUGAGAAGUUGACAAGGAGUAGAUGGAAGGGAACUGUUGAACUUGUCGAGAAUGAAAAGGAAGACCAUUGCUUCCAUUUGCUUCUGGGUAUUCUUUAAAAUGCAGGAAAGAUAAGAUUUAUCUGUAUAAGAAGAUUUGGGGUUUUGAUUUUAAAAAAUCGGGUUUGGAUUUUUGGCAUUUGGGUAUUUGAAAAAUAUAGGAAAAACCAUGUUUAUUUUGCAAGAAAUUUAGGGUUUUGAUUUAUAGCAGAGUUUUGGAUUUAGAAUGUUGAUUUUAUUUUUAUUUUUUAAUUGAAAUCAGUUUUAUUCUUUCAACGAUUUUAAAAAAUAAGAACUAUAACUUAUAAGUAAAAAAAGUUAAAAGAUGAUAAAAUUAAAAUAAAAUUUUAAUUUUAUAAAUUAUUUUAAAUAAAAUAAGUAACAAUAAAAAAAUAAAAAUUAAAUUUAAAUAGAUAAAAAAAAUUUAAUUAAAAAACAAUAAAAAAAACAAAUAACAAUUAAUAGAAUAAGAACUAAAGUGAUAUAACAAAUAAAAAUUAAUAGAAUAAGAACUAAAGUGAUAUAAAAAUAAAAUUGAAUCAAAUUGUAAAGGAUAAAAUUGAAAUAAUAAUAAAACAAAUUCAUAAUAAAAUAUAUAGUAAUAAAAAAUUUAAUAACUAGAUUACAAGUGAAAAAUUUUAAAGAUGAUAAAAUUAAAACAAAAUUCUAAUUUUAUAAAUUAUCUCAAAUAAAAUAAAUAACAAUAAAAAAAUAAGAAUCAAAUUUAAAUAGAUAAAAAAAAUUAAUUAAAAAACAAAUAACAAUUAAUAGAAUAAGAACUAAAGUGAUAUAAAAAUAAAAUUGAAUCAAAUUGUAAAGGAUAAAAUUGAAAUAAUAAUAAUAAUAAUAAUAAUAAUUCAUAAUAAAAUAUAUAGUAAUAAAAAAUUUAAUAACUAGAUUUGAUAUAAUUAACAAAUAACAUUAUAUUUUUGAAUUGUUUCAACUUUUAAAAAGUGUAAUACAAAAUAAAAAAAAAUACCUUUUUGGAAAACAACCAAAUUUUUCCACAAAGUAAAAACUGUUUUUCUUUUAUCAAUUUUUUAAUAAUAAAUAAAUAUUAAAAAAUAUAAAAAUUAUUUUUCAUGAACCACAAAAAUAGUCAAAAUCAAAUCUUUAUAUGAGUUUUACAGAUGAGUUAACCAGAUAAGUUACUCCCGGUUUGACUAUAUCAAUGUUUUGAAAGCAAACUCAGGUUUUUGUUUUUUUUUUAAUGUAACAUUCUACAUGUGAAUGAUUUAGUUGUAAAAACUUAAAACUUUUAUAAAGAUUAAAGAAUAAUAAAAAAAAAAAACACAAGCGAUGAGUAGUUUUUGGAGAACAGGAAGGAAGAGGCGAGUCAUUCCACCUCUUAAUUAUAGUCCUUGCAAAUCAACUCAAUGCCCACUCCACUCAUUAUUAAAAUCCAUUUGAUUUUAAUCUACCUAAGUUAAUUUACCUGAAUCAUGAUUCACAUCUUGCACUGAGUUGACUCAGUCAAAAGCGUGCAAUUCUGCAAGUCUUCGACUCAGGAGGGAGGCCCAUUGCCUUAAGAGUAAUGAAAGUUGGAAAUAUAAUAAAGGCCCAAAGUGAAGAUAUAUCGUCAAGUCCAUUAAAAAUGAUUUAGACAUCACGCCAAUGGCCUUCAACCUUGUCCACUGUCCAUUAAAAAUGAGGAAAAUGGAUCAAUCGAUCGAUAUUCUCGUAUGGAUUGGACAAGUUAAUUUUCAACAAGUUCAUAUAUUUUAAACCAUGCCAUGUUAAAUUACUGACCCUAAAAUUAUUACUGACCCUAAAAUUGUAAGAGUAAACUUUAAACUAAGUAAAAAAGAUAGGUAGAAAUCUCUCUCUCUCUCCCCCUCUCUCGUGCACACGCACACAGAGGAGGAGAUAAGGUCAGAAUUAGAACAUACACACACAGAGGAGGGGAUAAGGUCAGAAUUAGAAAAUUUAAGUCCUUUUCCUUCCUUCACCCAAAGGAAAGGUUGCUGGCCUUGGUUUUUGUGUUGUUGAAAUGUUAUAAUCUAUAGCCUCAUCCUAAGAGAUAGAUGUUUAUUACACUAUUGACUUAGUAUUCUCAUAUUUAUAAUUUGUUAUGAGUGUUUCUUUCAGAAAUGGCUUUGAACAGCCAUAUUGACCUUUUCUUAUAUUAAAAAAAAAAAACUAAGUUAGUUGGUGGUAGGUAAGUUUCAUUAAUGUCCAAUGUUAGAAGAACAUAAACCUACUACCCGUGCAGUGAGUCCAAUUGAUAUGCACUUGUAAUUAAGAAUAUACUUAGAGUAUACACGGGACCAACCUACAUCGGAUAUUUAAUAAUACUGAAGAUAGGUAUUUUACUAUUGAAACAAUGAUAUUCCGACGAAAAUAAAGCUAAAAAAAUAGCGUAACCGGUUUAUAAUUAUCCAUUAGAAUUUGAUUAAAAUGUCGAAAAAAAAUUUUCAAUUUUUUUUUUAGAGUCCAGAUGUAGACUUUAAUAUCUGUUGAGUGUAAAAUUAUACGAUAAAGUACAUUCUCGAGUGUUAAAGAUACAAGGCAAAAAAUAAAUGCGAUGCUAAUUUUUUUAUUUUAGAAUGGUUAGGAUUUAACCCGAUAAAAUAGAGACUCUCUCAUGAAGAGAGAUCUACUUUGAACCUUAAACGUAACCAACGAAUAGAAACCUGACCUAGAAACAAUAAAAAAAUAAUGCAGCUUACCUUAAGUAGGGUGCACUGGGGAUGAUGUGUCUUUCCCUGGCACAACCAAUGUCUUUUCCUGGCACAACCAGUCUCUUACCCAGACUCUCGCAGACUAUAGAUUCCUAGUAACCAUAAUACUAGGUGGCAACUCCUAAACAUUAAACAUAAUUUUAUGAUUAAAUCCAAAAAUCUUUCCAAAACAACACCUUACAUAGGAGGCAUGACAAAAGCCUCUGUCGUUGUCAAAUGACGUUGCGGUGCGACCCCGCGACACCUAUAAACAUGCUUGAAAAGUAUAUUGAGUUCCAUUUAGAUUUUCUUAUUUGGUUGAUUUUUAUUUUUUUUGAAUGAUUUUGGAAUUUUUUUUUUGGUAUAUGAAGGUAUUGGCAUAAGCUGAUCCAAUAUAUUGUUGUUUUAAUAUCUUAAAAAAAAGUUUCUUCUUGAAGUUUUUUUAAAAGUCAAACCAUGUUUUCAUUGGUUUUCUAAGUUGUUUUUAAACAAGCUUAGUCGAUUGGGUUAUAUUGGGACAACUCCUAAAUAAUUUGAUUUGAAGCUCAAGUUAGACAAAAAGUCCGGUUAAGAUAUUUCAAGAUUAACCCGUUAGAUCGAGUUUAAUAACACUAUUAAUAAAUUUUCCAUUACCUAAACAUUAUUUUUUUUACAUUAAUUUUUUUUAUCCAACCAGCAACAUAACAUUGCUAUUUAUCUAAUUGUAUUUCUUUUCAUUGAAGGACAACACUUUUCUAUGGAAAAAGUUACUAGAAAAUUCAUAUUCAAAGGCAAAACUAGAAUUUUCUGUGUUGCAAAUAAACAAACUUUAUUUGCAGGUCUUUGAGAUCUCAAAAGUCCACACUUUACAUUUAUCAUUGUUGAAAGAGCUAGUAUUAAAAUUAUUAUUUCAAUGUUAUCAUCAAUUUUGUUUUAUCAAUUUUAUCAUUAAACUUUCAGAAGUUUUAUCAUUAAAUUUUAUCAAAUUCUUGUUUUUUUUCUCCUUAUUCAUAAUUUUCCAAAAAAAAAAAAACAAAAACAUUGACCGAUCAUAGCUUAUAGAUUAAUUAUUGGAAGCGAUGAGGAGCUAGUAUCGUGUCAAAGUGAUCAUCAUCAACCUUCCAUUCAUUUCUCUCUUUGCUAGGUGAGUACUUGUAAAAAUUAUUAUUCUAUUUGUUUAUCAUUAUCUUUAUAUAAUAUUAUGCCUAGUAUCUUAAUUAUGUCAUCAAAUUGCAUUUUUUUAAUGGGUCAGGUACACAAGCCCAUGCGCCUGGCAUCUUAUGCUUUCUUUUUUCCUCUUACAUUUUAAACUUUAAUCAUUCUAAAAGAUUGGUUAAAAAACAAUUUGAUUUUUUUUUUAUCGGAUACCAUUGAAAUUUCAAAUUUUUUUUUUUUUAAGAUUGUAACCUUUUUUCAUAUUAUUUUAGCAAGUGCUAUUUCUUUACACCCCAUCAUGGUGUUUUGUGCUUUUUUUACAUAUAAAAAGUUUAUUUAAUUGAUAAAAUAUUUUUGUUUGUUGUUUGAUUAAAUACCAUUUGAUUUUUUAUUUUUUAUAACAUUUAAAGGCACUUUUUUUUUUACAAACCUCCACUGUGGUUUUCUUUACUUGAACUUUAUUACGUAGCUUUCCUUUGCAUGUUAGCUUUUAUUAUCUUAAAGUUCGAAAAAAAAUCCAAAAAAUAAAGUUAUUGAACCCAUCUGUACCCAUCGCUCAGUUUACGGGUUGACAACUUAACUCGAGAUAAUCCAAGUCAAUACAAAGUAUUGUCAUCUUAGUGUAUAAAAAGAAAACUUAAAAAGACAUUCACUUGAUUUUUUUCCCUUAAUACCAAACUAGAUUUUAACUAGUUCACAUCCUGUAGGCUCCUGCCCAAUUUAAUUUGAAAUCCAAUCCAUGUAAGGGCUUGGUUUGGGAGGUCUCUUAACUUCUCAACUUGAUGUUUUAUUAGUGUUAACAACUCUUUUAAAUGUUUAAUUAUAUCUUUAAUACUCCAUAUCUUAAAUAGAUGUGAUACAUUUUUGACUUAUUGUCAAUAACCUAAUUUUUACCUCGUUUAAAAAACACAUAAAUUGUGCAUCAGACAAUUUUGUAGACAAAACUGGACAUAUUUAAAAAAAAACAGUUGUUGAAAACAUUCAAAAAAUCACAAAAUAAAAAUUAUGAUUUGGGAUGAAAUCAAACAAAUAAUAAAAUUUUAGAAGCAAAAAGUGGUCUAAAACAAGUACAAGCAAGCCAACUAUAGUUUUGAGGAACAAUUAGGAGUUUGUUUGAAAAGAAAAUUGAAGAAAAAAGUUGAAUUUGACCAAAUUUGCUUAAGAGAGAGGUUGGAGAGAGAAAUCAUGUUUUAGAUAAAGAAAUGAGGUUUGUAAGAAAGUUAUGUAGACUUACAUUUAUUAUAUAUCAAGAAAAAAAUAUUUUUUUGUUUAAUUUGAUUUUUCCUGUUGAUCACGAAGGCAAACAAUAAUUUAUAAAAUCUUAGAUUGAAAACAAAAAAUAGACUAAAAGUACAGGAGUGCUUUUAUAAUUAUCCUUAAAAUUUAUUAAGGAAAGAAAGAAAAAAUUCAACAAUAGAGUACCAAAGUAUAAAAUAUAGAGAAAUCCAAUGAUCAAUCUUAAAUUUGUUAGAAAAAGUCAUGUUUAGCUCACUUACUUUCCUUUUUUUACUCUACAAUUUCUUUAGUUUUUACAAAUUUAAUUUUAGUUCAAAAAUUCAUUUUCAUAACAUUUUCAGUCAUUGAGUUUAAUAAAUAAAAGAGAAAGUCGUUUGAAAAUAGUGAAAGAGUAAUAAAGUUGGUGAAUAAGCACUUUUUAGAGACAAAACUCAUCAUUCUUGAUACCAACAAGUUUUAUUAUAGGAGAAAAAAUUUGAUGGUGGUGGUUUCUUCCUAUAAACACGCCUGAAAAGUAGAUUGAGUUCCUUUUAAUUUUUUAAUUUGGUUGAUUUUUAUUAUUUGAAUAAUUUUGGGAUUUUGUUUUUGGUACAUAGAGGUUUUUAUGGUAUUUUUAUAUGCAAAUGGAUUUAAAAAUAGGUUCUUAGGUUUGACUUAUUGACUUUUUUUUAUCCAUUUCCAUUACAUGUUUCUAUUAAAUUAGCUCUAUUUUUUAAAUAGUAAUUAAUUUUUUUUAUAUGUUUUUAGUUGCAUGAUAUUUCAAAGAAAUUAGUUUAAUUUGUCCUAAACAAGAUUAAAAUACAAAGAACAAUCAAUGUAUCGAUAUUUUAUUUCUACUAUAAAGACUAUCUUCAUGUUUUAAUAUUAAAUUAGUGACAACAACUCCUUUUAGAUUAAUUUUAUGUGUUAUUGGAAGCGAUGAGGAGCUAGCAUCAUUCGUGCAAGUGUCAAAGUGAUCAUCAUCAACCUUCCAUUCCUUUCUCUCUUUGCUAGGUGAGUACUUGUACAGAUUAUUCUUAUUUGUUCAUAAUUAUUUCAUAAAAUUGAAUUUUUGUGGGAAUUGAUGCUUUAAACUCAUAAGUCUAAACUAUUUUGUUUCAAUGUAUUCGUUAGAUCGGUGGUAUGCUAUCUUUCACUAAUGAAAUUCUUUUUGUUGGUUUUGAGAAGAAAAAAAAAAGUAUUUCUAUCUUUGUUUUAUGGAAAAAGCACAUAGAUCUAUGAACUAGAUAUAAAAAAAGAAAGGAUAGAUAUUCCCAUUACUUAAUAAUCGUGGCAUCUUAAUUAUGUCAAAUUAGAUAAAGCUGCUCUAACUCGCGGCAUAGAUGGAUAAAAAUAAUUAAAUAAGUGUAUGAUGCAGAGAUAGUCAUUACAGAUUUUAGUUGGCUAAGAUUGAUCCUUUGUUGAGUUCGUUCCAUUAAUUAUACUUCCUUGCAAGUCUUUUUUUCUCUUUAUUCAUAAUUUUUUUUUAAAAAAAAACAUUGACCGAUCAUAGCUUUAGAUUGAUUAAAUGUGUUAUUGGAAGCGAUGAGGAGCUAGUAUCAUUCGUGCAGGUGUCAAAGUGAUCAUCAUCAACCUUCCAUACAGAGACUGGUGGAAAAUGGCUAUCGAAUGUGUUGGUGGAUCCGUUGUAUCUAAGAUAGCAGAGCUCUUGGUGGAACCAGCAAUAAGGCAGUUCCGUUACAUGUUCUGCUUCAACAAUUUUGUUCGCGAAUUCAUUGAACGAAAGCAGAGCCUUGCUUUAGCGCUAGAUCGUCUACAAAAUGAGGUCAUAGUUGCUGAAAGGAAGGCUGAAGAAAUUGAGAAAGAUGUCAGUAAAUGGCUGGAAGAUGCAAACAACGAAAUUGAAGGUGUGAAUCCUUUGGAAAAUGAAAUAGGAAGAAAUGGAAAAUGCUUUACUUGGUGUCCAAAUUGGAUGCGACAAUUCAAGUUAAGCAAGGCACUGGCAAAGAAGACGGAGACUUUGAGAAAACUUGAAGAAAAUAGCAGAAAAUUUCCGAAAGUGUCCCACAAAACACCUCUUCAAGACAUAGAAUUUCUUCCAUCAGAGGGACUCACACCCUCGGAAUCAUCAAAAGAAGCUUUCGAACAGAUAAUGAAAGCUCUCAAAGAUGACACUGUCAAUAUGAUCGGACUGUACGGCAUGGGAGGGGUGGGUAAAACCACCCUGGUCAAAGAAGUAGGUAGGGGAGCCAAAGAGUUGCAGCUUGUUGAUGAAGUUUUGAUAGCCACGGUGUCCCAGAAUCCAAAUGUCACAGACAUGCAGGAUCAAAUGGCAGAUAGUUUAGGUCUGCAUUUUGACGGAAAGAGUGAAAAGGGGAGAGCAGGUCGGUUAUGGCAGAGACUUCAGGGAAAGAAGAUGCUUAUAAUCCUCGAUGAUGCUUGGAAAGAUAUUGACUUGAAAAAGAUAGGGAUCCCAUUUGGUGAUGCUCACAGGAGUUGUAAAAUUCUUAUAACAACACGCCUUGAAAACAUAUGUUCUUCUAUGAAGUGCCAGCAAAAAGUGUUUUUAAGAGUCUUAUCUGAAAAUGAAGCAUGGGCUUUAUUCAAAAUAAAUGCAGGUUUACGUGAUGAGGACUCUGACUUGAACAGAGUGGCAAAGAAGGUUGCGAGAGAAUGUAAAGGAUUGCCUAUAGCACUUGUGACAGUGGGAAGGGCUCUAAGAGAUAAAUCUGCAGUUGAGUGGGAAGUAGCAUUUGAUCAGCUAAAAAAGUCUCAAUUUCCGGACAUGGAACAAAUUGAUGAACAAAAAAAUGCAUAUGCAUGUCUUAAGUUGAGCUAUGAUUAUUUGAAGCACGAGAAAACCAAGUUAUGUUUCUUGCUAUGCUGUUUAUUUCCAGAAGAUUACAACAUUCCAAUUGAGGACUUGACAAGAUACGCAGUUGGCUAUGGGUUACAUCAAGAUGUGGAGUCCAUUGAAGAUGCAAGGAAACGAGUAUAUGUGGCAAUCAAAAACCUCAAAGCUUGUUGUAUGCUGUUAGGAAAUGAAACUGAAGAAUAUGUCAAAAUGCAUGACUUGGUUCGUGAUGUUGCUAUUCAGAUAGCAUCAUCAGAAAAAUACGGAUUCAUGGUAAAGGCUGGCUUUGGGUUGAAGGAGUGGCCAAUGAGGAAUAAAAGCUUUGAAGGUUGUACGGUAGUUUCGUUAAUGGGCAAUAAACUAGCAGAACUUCCUGAAGGAUUGGUGUGUCCACAGCUCAAAGUUCUAUUAUUAGAACUGGAUCGUGGUUUGAAUGUUCCAGAGAGGUUUUUUGAAGGGAUGAAAGAAAUUGAAGUUUUGUCUCUAAAGGGAGGGUGUUUUUCAUUGCAAUCACUUCAAUUCUCAACGAACCUUCAAUCGUUGCUGUUGAUGGAGUGUAAAUGCAAGGACCUCAUUUGGUUGAGAAAGCUGCAAAGACUUGAGAUUCUUGGUUUUAUAGGGCGCGACUCCAUUGAAGAAUUACCUGGUGAAAUGGGGGAGCUCAAGGAGUUGAGGUUGUUGGACGUGACAGGAUGUAGAAAUCUAGGAAGGAUUCCUGUGAAUUUGAUUGGAAGUUUGAAGAAGUUAGAAGAGCUGUUGAUCGGGCGAAAAAGCUUUAAGGAAUGGGAUGUCGUUGGGACAAGCAGGGGAGGAAUGAAUGCAAGCCUCACAGAACUAAAUUCGCUGUCUCAUUUAACUGUAUUAUCAUUGAAGAUACCGAAGGUUGAAACCAUUCCCAGAGAUUUUGUUUUUCCCAGGUUGCUCAAAUAUGAUAUAGUGUUAGGGAUUGAGUUACUCUAUAAAAAAUACCCAACUGCAAAGACAAGAUUAUAUUUGGGUGAAAUCAGCGCCACAUCCUUAAAUGCAAAGACAUUCGAGCAGUUGUUUCCUACUGUGUCUCAAAUUGUUUUCAUGAGAGUGAAGGGUUUAAGAAAUAUAGUAUUGUUCUCUGAUCAGAUGACCACCCAUGGCCAUGGGUCGCAAAAGGACCUCUUACGAAGAUUAGAACAUGUCAAAGUGGAAAAAUGUGGGGAUAUUCGCACUCUGUUUCCAGCAAAAUGGCGGCAAGCUUUGAAAAAUCUAACAAGUGUGGAUAUUAGUAACUGCAAAUCAUUGGAAGAGGUAUUUGAAUUGGGUGAGGCUGAUGAAGGAACUAAUUGGGGGAGGCUGCGGCUGCUGUCAUCUUUAACAACGUUACAGCUGCACCGGUUACCUGAGCUCAAAUGGAUAUGGAAGGGGCCCACUAGACAUGUCAGCCUCCAAAGUCUUAUUCAUCUGGAGUUGUCGUUUCUUGACAAACUGACAUUUAUCUUCACACCGUUACUUGCUCAAAGUCUUAUUCAUCUGGAAACACUACAGAUAAAACAUUGCGAUGAAUUGAAGCGUCUUAUCAGAGAGAAGGAUGACGAAGGGGAAAUAAUUCCGAAGUCUCUUUGCUUCCCAAGAUUAAAAAUUCUUCGUUUAAUUUAUUGUAUUAAACUUGAAUAUGUCUUCCCUGUCUCCGUGUCUCUAAGUCUUCAGAACCUGGAAGAGAUGAAGAUUCGUGAAGCUGCCAAUUUAAAGCAAGUAUUUUACAGUGGAGAAGGAGAUGACAUCAUCGUCAAGUCUAAAAUUAAAGAUGGCAUCAUCGACUUCCCUCAGCUAAGAAAAUUGUAUCUUUCAAAGUGCAGCUUUUUUGGUCCAAAGGAUUUUGCUGCCCAAUUGCCUUCUUUGCAAUGUCUAAGCAUCUCUGGCCACAACGAAUGGGGUAAUUUGUUGGCACAGCUUCAAGUACGUCCUUUAUAUUUCUCCAUUUUUUUUCUUUUCUAAUUUAAAUUGUCAACUUCAAUAAAUUGUGAUAAUUUGUUCUAUCUUCCUCCAAAUUUCGAAAACUAAAGUAAUUAUUAAGUUCUUUAACCAUCCACUACUGAAUUUAGUUGAUGAUUUAAAUUGGCUUAGGAAGUUAGACAUCAAUUACUGUAAUGUAAUUUCUUAUUUCUAAACCUAAAGUAAAUGGAUAAAUGCUAGCAAAUCCUUUAGCCAUCCACUGAAUUUUAAAGGAGUGAAAUUGAGGCUUUUCCGCCAAUUAAAGGAAAAUAUUUGGACCCGAUGAUAAAGCUUCGUCUGAGAAUAUUGAGUUUUUUUGUUUCAGUGCUGCAACUUAUGAACUGUUCAAAAAAUUAAUAAAGUUAGAGUCAAAAAAUGUAAAAAUUGAAACUUUCUUUUUAAAUACAAUAUUCCAAAUUUGUGUUGAAUUCAAAAAACAUAUUUUUUAAAUAUUUUUCAUGUUUUUGUUUCUACAAUUGUUUUCACUUUUUUAUGAAAAAAAUAAUUUAAAUGAUCAAUAAUCAAGCAUUUUUAUUAAAAAAAUUUACUAAUAUGUAAAAUUCAAAUUAUUUUCUUUUAUAUUUUUAUUUUUUGAUAAUGUGAUAUUUUUUUAUAAAUCGAAUAUAAAAAAUUAACUUUUAUGAGUUAAGAAGUGUAUUUUUUCAUGAUUGCUUUUAAUUUAACUAAUAUAAAAUAAUAGUUUAUAUUCAGUUUAUCAUAAAUACGAAAAAAUUUGAUUUUAUAUUCCCAUUGUUUUUUUUUAAGCAGGGAUUUAUGAAUUUGAAAGAAAUAUCUAUUGAAAAAUUGGAAGGAGUACAAGAUUUAAUGCAAGUUGGACGUUUGGUAACUAAUAGAAGAAGGGGGCAUGAACUUUCGCUCGUGAGUUUGGAAACAUUACACUUGAACUUAUUGCCUGACAUAAGGUGUAUAUGGAAGGGUCUCGUGCCGAGCAAUUUGACUACUUUGAAGGUGAAAAAGUGUGACAGACUAACACAUGUAUUCACAAACAGCAUGAUUGCUAGUCUAAUUCAACUGAAAUUUCUAGAUAUAUCAAAUUGUGAGGAAUUGGAGCAAAUUAUUUCUAAGGAUAAUGAUGAUGAAAAGGAUCAGAUAUUGUCAGGAAGUGAUCUCCAAUCUUCAUGCUUCCCUAAUCUGUGGCGACUUGAGAUCAGAGGAUGCAACAAGUUGAAGAGUCUCUUCCCAGUAGCCAUGGCUUCAGGUCUCAAAAAGCUUCGAAUACUUAGAGUAAGAGAAUCCCCUCAAUUAUUGGGAGUAUUUGGGCAAGGUGAUCAUGCUUCAGCUGUCAAUGUUGAGAAGGAGAUGGUGCUCCCUGAUCUGCAGGAGAUGUUGCUUGUACAAUUACCAAGUAUUUCCUGCUUCAGUCAUGGAUGUUAUGAUUUCAUAUUCCCUUGUUUGUUGAUGUGGGAGGUGCGUCAAUGUCCAAAGCUGACCACAAAAUUUGCUACUACAUCAAAUGGUUCAAUGAGUGCUCAAUCAGAGGUGCUGCAUAUUUGACAUGAUUUCUUGCCUCUCUUUUAGUGUUUUUAUUUCUUGUUUCCCUCAACAAUAAGACUAACAAGUUAGAAUGUGUAUGCCAUUCUUGAAUUGGCUUUGCAGGUAUCUCAAGUAGCUGAGGGUUCAAGCACUGGUUGCUCCGUGCCAACCAGCACUUGUAGAAACUGGACUCGAAAUAAAGGGUGGGAAGAGAAAGAGGAAGAGGAUGGAGUUGGUCAUGAUGAUUGAGUUAGAUGAUUAGUUUGGCAUUGGAAUUUGAAAAACAUGCUAAUAAUUAUUUCUUGCAGGUAAAAUGGAUGCAAUUAUUUAUUUUCUAUCCUUUUUUAAAUGGCUAAAUUAAAUCAACAUAUUACCUCGAUAUGCAUCAGGUUCGCUGGUUACCUAUUACAUGAACACCCAAUUAGGUGAUUUCACGAAGAUUCAUGUAUUUGAGUUGUGUUCAGCUGUUUCAUUAGCUAUGGGAUACAAUUUGGCUUCACAUUGUAAGAGUCUUAUUUACCAUAGAACUCCCAAAACAAGGUUUUUAACUUAUCUAUCUAUGUAUGAACCUCAAGAAAUAAGGGUUUCUGCUUGUUUGCCCAUUUGUGUUUCUUUUUCAAGUGUCUGAACCUUAAAAAACAAGGGCAUAAUGUUUGCUCAUUUGUGUGCUUAUUGUUUAAUAUGUGGAUUCUCAUUCUCC
rnacentral:lncRNA from 1 species